CGAGGCAAAAAUGACAAUCAAGAACGAAUCAAGCGGCUGUAAAUAGAGCAACACUGAAUGCGACUCAACUGGAAAAGAAAAUCGGCUUCAAAUCGUAACUGUGUCUUACAACGAGCAGAAGAACGUCGACUUGAUAGGGGACACGUAAUUUAGGAAGAGAUCGGCUUGGAUCCGUGUAUGACUUCACGAGAUGUAUGCGUCGACGGCUUCACGGAGGUGAAGACAGACGCGGUCGGAGAGUCGCGCGGCAGUGCAGAAAACGGAGGAGAAAGGAACGGGCGGCGGCUGGGCUUGGCUUCGACGGAGACAGAGAUUGCGCAGCAGGUCUUCACGAACGGAGAGGAAAGGAAUGGGCACGGCGACGCAGAUCUGGACGACUGCUGCAAGGUGACGCGUACGGCUUGCUUCACGAACCGACCGACGAUUGCAGCGACGGAUCUGGGUUAUGGCGAACUGCAAGGGUGAAGCACAUGCGGCGGCGAGGACCUGGACGGCUCGGCGAUGCAGAUCUGGACGACGAUUUGCUUUCCGAGGGAGGCACGACGGUUGUGAGCGAGAGGCACGGCGGUUGUGAGCGGCACGGCGGUUGUGAGCGAAUGGGCGCGGCGGUUUCGAUCCGAAGGAGAAAAGGAAGACGACCGGAAAGAAGAAGAAGAAACGACCGGCAGCUUGUGUGGCCGACUGGGUGAACGGAGAAGAGAGGGAUGUGCGGCUGCUAGGGUACGGGAAGGAGAAAGGGAUGGAGGACGCACGGGAGGAAGAAGGAAGGAAAAAUUUCUUUUUUCUUUUCUUUUAUUUAAAUAAUAAAAAUAAAACUAAAAUAUAAAUAAAUAUAUAUAUAAUAAAAUUUCUUUUUCUUUUCUUUUAUUUAAACUAAAUAAUAAAACUAAAAAUAUAAAUAAAUAUAUAUAUAAUUAUAUUAUCACAUUUUCAAAUCUUCUUUCCCCCCUUCAACAUAUUUUCUUCAAAACAAUAAAUCUUGUACAAAUCGAAAAAAUCUCUUAAAAUAAAAUACCUUCGAGUUUGGGGCGUUACACCAACUCACACAUCAAGAGGUAAAAUGUCACAAAUGCCCUCGUUAUUGAUGUACAUUUGAUACACCUUAUACACGUCUGAUACACCUAAUACCUCUUGAUACAUUAAGUCCAUUUAUGAGUUAGUUUGAUUAGAUUAUGUCACAUAUACAUGUAUUACAAUUAAGGGACACUUGCGAAAAUGGCAAAAUAAGUUAUAAUAAUUAAGUCCAUAGAACACAUACUUUAUUAUUUGAGAAAAUGACAAAAACAAAGACCAACUCACACAUCAAGAGGUAAAAUGUCACAAAUGCCCUCGUUAUUGAUGUACAUUUGAUACACCUUAUACACGUCUGAUACACCUAAUACCCCUUGAUACACUUGAUACUUCUUACUGAUACACUUGAUACAUUUGAUAGAUACAAUUCAUGCACUCGGUACUCAUUGAUACACUCGAUACUUUUUGAUACACACCUGAAACAUCUUCAUACACAUAAUACUUCUCGUUCCACAUAAUACUUCUCGUUACACUUGAUUCUUCUUGAUACACUUGAUACCCCUGAGACCUUGAUACACUUGAUUAGUUUGAUACACUUAAAGACUUCACUUAUAAGUUUGAUACACUUGAUACACCACUAAUAAACUUGUUAUACUUCAUUGGUACACUUAACAAAUUCGAUAUGUUUGAUGUACAUGCACUACAAGAAAUUUACCCUUUGUCGAUGACAAAUAUCGUCAGUAAAUCUUCAAAAACUAAUCAACUUUUCUUUUGCCAACGAAAUUAAGCUGUCAACACACACCGUCAGGUAGGUCUGUCGGAAGAUCCUCUAUCGAUGGCAAAAAAUAAACUGUCAGCAAAAAUAGGAACUAUCGAUGAAAUUGAACCAUCAGUGGGCGUGUGUGUGUGCGCUCGUGUGUGCGCAUGUCCACGUGUGCUUGGGUGUGUGUAUGCGCACAUACAUGUGUACGUGAGUAGGUGUUUGCGUGUUUCCGUGUGCAUUUGUGUGCGUGCGGUUUGGUGUGCGUGUGCAUGUGUGUGUUUGUGUGUGUGUGCCUAUGUUCGUUUGUGUGUGUGCGUGUAUGGGUGCACGCGCGUGCAAGUGUAUGUAUGUGUGUGCGCGUGUGAUUGUGUGUGAAUAAGUUGAUAUUUUUUAAUGUUGAGUUUCUCCCAAUUUUAAAACAAUAAUUUAAUUAUCUUGAUAUUCAAGCCAUUAAUAUUAUUGUGAGAUAAAGAUAGUGAAUAAGUUGAUAUUUUUUAAUUUUGAAAUUCAGUUAAAGUUAUUUUGAUACAAAAUCUAUUGCUGAGAUUAUCAUAUUCUGAAAAAUAAUAAUUUUGUUAUUUUGAAAUUCAAUUUGGUUAUUUUGAAAUUCAAAUUCAAUUAGGUUAUUUUGAAAUUAGUAAGAUUAAAUAAAGUUGAAGUCUUGAAUCCAUUAGUUGAGUCCCGAGAUAUUAAGAAAAAAGUAUGAUAUGAGUUUAUGUAUCUUUUUCAGGUAAAAAAUAAUUAAAAGCUGAUAAAUGCAUAAUAUAAAUUAAUUACAAUAUAGAAACAAGAUAAUUUUAGUUGGAGAAUGUGAAUAUUUUGGUAUUUUAUAAAAUAUUAUGCACGUGCAAAAAAUGUUAUUUGCUAAAAUUAACAAAAAAAUAGUUUUGCCAUUUUUCAAAAUGACCCAUAAAAAUGUUGCUAUAUCUCUUAUGACAGAGUGUAUAUCUACUGGUUCAUAUUCGACAUGUUUGUUGCUAAUAGAAUUGGAUAAAAUCGCAUUAUAUUGAAAUAAUUACACGAAUGACACUUUUAAGCCAAUAUUGGUAGAAAUUAUAGUUUAAUUAAUGUUAUUAAGUCAAAUGAACAUGGUUUAAAAGUCCUUCUAAACACAAUUAAUGUAGUUGUUUUUUAAUUUUAACUCAUUUAUACAUCUUUAUGCAUAUGUGCGUGUGUACGUGUGCGCGUGUAGGUAGGUGUGCGUAUGUGUAUGUGCGUGUGUUCGUGCGAGUGUCCGUGUGCAUGUGUGUGUGGGUGUGUGCAUGUUUGUAUGUGUUUGUGCAUGCGUGUGUGUGCACGGGCUAUUGCGUGUGUGCUUGGGUGUGUGGGUGUGCUCGCGCGUGCGUGUUUGUGCGCGUGUGUGUAUGUGUUUACGUGUGUGCUUUUGUGCGUACGCGUGUGUGCGUUUGUGCAUGUGUGUGUGCUUGUGCGCGUGUGGAUAGGUGUGUGUGUGUGCAUGCGUGCGCGUGUGCAUGUGUGUGUGCGUGCGUUCGUGCGUCUGUGGGUGUCUAUGUGUAGGUGUGCGUGUGCACGCGUGUGUGUAAGUGUGCAUGUGUACGUGUGUGCGCAGUGCUUCUAUGCUUGUGUGCGAACAAGUUAAUAUUUUUUAAUGUUGAGUUUCUUCCAAUUUUAAAAUAAUAAUUUAAUUAUCAUGAUAUUCAAGGCAUUAAUGUUAUUUUGAGAUAAAGAUAGUGAACAGGUUGAUAUUUUUUAAUUUUGAAAUUCAAUUAAGGUUAUUUUAAUACAAAAUCUAUCGUUGAGACUCUCAAAUUUCGAAAAAUAAUAAUUUUGUUAUUUUGAAAUUCAAAUUCAAUUAGGUUAUUUUGAAAUUAGUAUGAUUGAAUAAAGUUAUUAAUAUGUUGAAUUAAUUAGUUGAGUCUCGAGAUAUUAAGAAAAAUAUUAUGAUAUGAGUUAAUAUAUCUAUUUCAAGUAAAAGAUAAUUAAAAGCUGAUAAAUGCAUAACAUAAAUUAAUUACAAUGUAGAAACGAAAUAAUUACAGUUGAAGAAUGUUGAUAUUUUGGUAUUUUAUAAAAUACCAUGCACGUGCAAAAAAUGCUAGUUGCUAAAAUUCAAAGGAAAAAGUAGUUUUGUCAUUUUUCAAAAUGACCCCUAAAAACGUUGUUAUGUCUCUUAUGACAAAGAGUGUAGAUCUACUGAUCCAUAUUCGAUUUGUUUUUUGUUGGUAAAAUUGGAUAAGACCGCAUUAUAUUGAAAUAAUUACACGAAUGACAGUUUUAAGCCAAUAUUGAUAGAAAUUAUAAUUAAUCAAUGUUAUUAAGUCAAAUGAACAUGGUUUAAAACUCUUUCUACACAUAAUUAAUGUAUUUGUUUUUUAACUUUAAUUAAUUUACACAUCCUUGUGCGUGUGUGCAUAUGUGCGCGUGCGUGUGCGUGUGUGGAUGGGUGUGUGUGCGUGCGUGUGCGUGUGUUGUGCACGUGUGCGCGUGUGCUUGUGUGCGAACAAGUUGAUAUUUGUUAAUGUAAAAUUUCUCCCAAUUUUAAAAUAAUAAUUCAAUUAUCUUGAUAUUCAAGUCAUUAAUGUUAUUUUGAGAUAAAAAUAGUGUACAAGUUGAUAUUUUUUAAUUUUGAAAUUCAAUUAAAGUUAUUUUGAUACAAAAUCUAUCGUUGAGAUUCUCAAAUUUCAAAAAAUAAUAAUUUUGUUAUUUUGAAAUUGAAAUUUAAUUAGGUUAUUUUGAAAUUAGUAAGAUUGAAUAAAAUUAAAAUCUUGAAUCAAUUAGUUGAGUCCCGAGAUAUUAAGAAAAAAGGAUGUAUCUUUUUCAGGUAAAAAAUAAUUAAAAGCUAAUAAAUGCAUAACAUAAAUUAAUUACAACGUAGAAACGAAAUAAUUACUGUUUGAGAAGGUGAAUAUUUUGGUAUUUUAUAAAAUAUCAUGCACACGUGCAAAAAAUUCUAUUUGCUAAAAUUUAAAAGAAAAAGUAGUUUUGCCAUUUUUCAAAAUGACCCAUAAAAACGUUGCUAUAUCUCUUAUGACAAAGAGUGUGCAUCUACUGGUACAUAUUCGACUUGUUUUUUGUUCGUAAAAUUGGAGAAAUUGAGGACACAACUCCAAUUCCUAGCAUGGUUUCUCCCUAAGACUAUGCUGGUCCUAGUCGGGGAGUGGCAUUUACAUCCCAGAAAGACACACAUGUAUCACCUCGUGUUGGCACUUCCAUUGCAAUGCACAACUCUGACAUAUAUAGUGCCGACAUUUCCUUCCUUAAGCUUGAAAAAAAGGUGAUUUGAUGUCCAUAAAAAAUUAACUGAGCAGUUAGAUAUUUUCUAAUAUGUAUCUCACGUAAUUUGAUGCUCAUUGAUACUGCAGUACUGUGUCAGGAACGUGUUGAUGUAAAAUCUUUCAGUUUUGAUGGAUCUUAUUACAAGCUUUCAACUCUUCUUAGCACGACUUCUGACAGAACAAAGGUUUGAUAUAUCUUUACACGAUCGCAUAUCACAUAUGAACGAUCGCAUAUCCCAUCUGAAAUAUCGAUCACCCUUGGUAAAACAACCGUUUAGAUAUUCUACACGAUUGUUUGCUUAAGGAUACACGAUCAUUUUGUAACUAUUUUUUUUAUUAUCCUUUUUUCUUUCUAUACUAGAACCAGAAUCAAUUGUUUGAUGAUAUUAACAACAUGUAUGAUGAUCUUCGUGAUGAUUCUAGUCAUCACAAUCUGGACAAGAAUGAUGACCAUCAAAAUAACAAACAUGUGAUCAUCCAUGAGAAUCCAUUUGUUCAAGAGUCACAUCUUCAAGAAUCUACUGUAGAAACUCAACAGUUAGUGUUUAAUUCAUUAGUUACCGCUUUAUAUUGUUUAAAAUUGCUUAGAUUAUAAAUAAACAACAAUAAUUUUUUUUCUUUUCUGUGUAGGGAACAAAAAUGAACAACGCCUCAACAUCAAGAGUAGUCAGGCAGUGAUAUUAGCAUAUAUGGAAGAGAUGCACAUUUGAUAUUAACUAUAAGUAAUAUAGCAGAAAAUAUGGAAGGUCAUACUCAAACAGAAAAGGGAUUGCUAGAAAUGAUUGAAAAUCUUCCGUUGGUAAGCCAACCACUUCCACUUUGUGAGAUGCUACCAUUAACUACUGUCAAAGGUCUUGCAUUAGUUUAAUUGGUAUGUGUGCCCUAAAGGGAUAAAAGCUCUUGGCAGUGAAAGAUUUUACAAAACCAUUCAUCAAUUUUAAUUUGAAAAUUCCAAAAUACCAGUACAUUGACAAUAUUUAGAAUCAAAGUUCUAAAUAAAGAACUAAAUAUGCUUUUAAAUUAAAAGAUACAUAGAAUUGACUCUUGUUGACGUCUCUGAAUCUAGAAUCCACAGAAUUUGGGACACCACCCGUUGGAGACCUUCCUAUCUUCGAAGAUGAGAUUGGUUUGUGGAAAACAAUUGGAAUGAAAAAAAAAUUUAGAGAGAAACUAUGUAACACCCCCAAUAUCAAGGUAUUUCUCUCAAGCUAAAUUUUUAAAAUUUUAUUAAGAUUUUAAGGAAUUUGGUUGUGGUGUGGAUUUAGCAGGAAGUGAAGGGGGCUUUUAUGAAAAAAUAUACUAAUACUAAAGGUUAAAUAAUAAUAAUAGAAUUAAUGUUAUUAUUAAUUUAAAAUAUCAAUUCUUUAUUGAUUCACGUGCAACCCCAUCUCUUUCUCCUUCACUCUUCCUCUUCCCCGUGCCCACCGCCACCUGCCUCCCUUAGCCAUUUUAUAUUACUCUUGGACGUCAGCCGGCCACGCCGUCAUCGAUCCCUUCGUCUCCGUUGAAGCCGAAGCACCGUUCGUCGUGAGUUCGAACUCUCGGCAUCGCGUCUCACCUCUGUUUUCCAGCCAAGCUGUGAUUCAUUCGCGCGUAGCUCCUUCGACGUUCGCGCCACCACAUUCUGCUCCAGGUGACGAGGAGCGUCAACGAUUGACCUAUCAUCUCACCGGCAUUGUUACUUAGUUGAAGCAGCCGUCGACCAGACCUGAGCCCGUCACGUCUGUUGAAGUGCUGUCGCGCGGCUCUUCACCUUUCAGCCAUGGGUUGUAAGCUGAAGUUUGUUUUUUGUUUCUUGAUUAGAUCUGAUCUAUUACACGCGACGAUUCCAGUUAUUCGAAGUUGUUGCCCCCAUUUUACUCUAAUUUUUGGGAUUUUUGUGGUAAGUUGUAUUGGUGAGUGUGGUGGUUUUACAUUGUAAUUAUCCUUGGGUUGUAGUUUUGGAUAAUUAGUUAAAUUGUUAAUUGAUUCUUGAAGUUAGCGUUUGAGUUCUUUGGAUUCACAACUAAAUUGUAGAUUUGUUGGAGUUCGAUUCGCCAAUACUUUGAUAAAGCUAGAAUUUACAUUGAGGAAAUUAAAUGAAAGAAAGUAUUGUGAAAGUAAUUGAGUUCCAUAUUCUUAGUAUUAGGUUUCCUUCGUUCGAGAAAUUUAAGUAACAUUAAAGUAAGGGGUUUCUAUUACUGGACUCUUUGAAAGUUUUGAAAUGUGUUGACUGUUUGGAUCUCUGGACUUAGUAUGGUUUACCAAAUAUGUAGAAGUAGAUAUGAUGACAAAUGUAUAUUAUGCCAGACUAGUAUAGAAGUAGAUACGAUGGAUAAUGUAUUUGUAAACUGAGAAAGGUGUUAUGUAUAUAUAUAUAUCUUGACUGUCUGGUGUGUUGUUAUAGUAUCAACUGAUUUUGUGAUAGAUUGAAUAGAUUGAACGUAAGUGUGUUAAGUUGGAUUGAUGAUAUGAUUGUAACGACCCAACUUUUCUAAGUAAGUCGAGGUCGUUAAUUUUUUUUACAAAUAAAAGACUUUGGUUAAUAUAAAACAAAACAUAAGCUAAUUUAAAAACAUCUUUAAGUCAGGCCUGAAUUUCAAACAUUUAAGAAAACAUAAAAACAAUACUAUUUACAAUAAACGUUUGUAAGCAAACUUUCAAUUCAUCUUAAACCUCACAAAAACCCAUAAGCGGAAGCAAACAACAUAUUUCCUAUGGCAGUCACGCUUCCUUCCUGCCCUCGCCGGUUUGCCGCUUUUAUUACCUUUGCCUGAAAAUUAAACAUAAGAAGGGUGAGUAUUUAAAUACUCAGUAAGAGACCCUCUACUGUCUCGUCAGGGGAAAAUAAAUUGUUAACGUUCUAUUGGGACACCCUGUACAGUCGCAGUCUUGUGAUCCCGUAGGAUACACAUCUCAGUCUAACGCCCCGAGGGACGUACAUAUCAGUCUAGUGUUCUGCAGAAACACAUAUCAGUCUAAUGCUCCCGAAGGUGCACAAUAAAUUGGUGAUCCCGUGGGACACCUACAAGGUACACAUCCCAAUACAAUCUAACAAUUUUCCCCUCAUUCCAUUCAAUCCAUCUUUCAAUUACUUCAAAACACAAAGUUCUUUCUUUCAACGUCCUAACAGUCAACUUAUUUUACUUCAGUCAUAUGUCUGUCAAUAAUAUGCUAAUACAUCAGUCAAUCAAACUAUACAGUCAACACACCCCUCAGUUCAUCAGCACACAGUCAUACUUUAACGUAACGUACACCCAAUCUAAAUGAAAAUCACAAGUUCACAUCUGCAUCUCAUACAAACACAAUCUACAAUCUUCGUCUUGUCCACAUACACACACUUAUAUAUAUAUUCCAUGACAAUCACGAUAUACAUUCGAUGUCAAGUCUACUUCAAUUCAUAGGGAAAUGUCCUUCAAAUUGCUUAUACUUUAUAUUUUUUUUAUUUUGGUUUUCUUUAGUAAUUGAGACUGUUUUGGGUUUCAUGAUUGAACGACUUUUAUGUUCUUGAACUUUCUUUAUUAUCGAUACUUUUACACUUUCAAAAUUUUAUUUGAAAUAGAGACCGAAUAAAAACUCUUUAAUGUUGUUAAAAAAUAUUUUUUUAAAUUACAAAGUUUUAUGGUUAAAGGACGAAUCUAGUCUUAAAGUAAUAACUUCAGCUUAAUUCGAAAAAUUAGGUCGUUACAAUCUAUUUUGCAUAAAAGAAAAUCAUCGAUUUUAUUUUGGUUAAGAAAAGCUGUUUUUCUUCUACAUAUUUAUAACUCUCUUUCUUUCAUUGAGUAGGAGACGGGGUAGGAGAAAAUCAUAGGAUUCUAUUAACUUAAAAAAUAUUAAAUUAAUAGAAGUUUCAAAUCAAUUAGUUAAUAAUUAAUUAAAUUAUAUUUAAUUAAUUUUUCAUUUAAAUCUUAUUGAAUGAAUAUCUCUAAUUGAACUAAGCAUGGUAGCUACAGGUAGUUCUCUAAGAUCUUUAAAAACUAAAUUUACACUGUCUACACAAUUUGAUGUCAUCAUUCUAUAUAUGAAACUCAUUAUACCUGAGAUAGAUUCAACCAAUUUAUCAAAGAACCUUGGAAUCAACAUGUAUGAUUUAACUGUGUCACCUUUUAAUAUCUUUACUAUGUGUUCUUUUGCCCUCCAAGCUUUCUGCUAACUUAUAUUAACUCCAAGAUUUGUACAUGCCUUAUGCACAAUUGCUUUCAGAAUGAAACGAUCAAUAGACAUGAACCUGAACUCAUCUAUCAAGCAACUGUCAAUUACUGUUGAAGAAGCUUGCAUAUGACAACUAGUAUUCAAUGAACGGUCAUGUUCAUAAUUCUACUUAUCCAUCCAAUUGAAUCUGUUCACAUAUUAAAUCAACUAGAGAAUUAAAGCUGACUCGGACAUCUACCAAAAUUUCAGCAACUAAGUAAUUCUCAUAAAUAUUACAUCCAUUCCAUUGACCUCCAUAAAAAACAACAAUAGGAAAAGACAUUAUAAUCUGUAAAAAAAAAAAAAAAAUUAAGUAUUUAAUUGGGAUAGAAAGAAAUAGAUAGACAUAGAUAUACAUUUAUUACUGAAUAAAAGAAUAAAAUGUACAAAAUGAUAAUACUAAACACAAUGCAAGAAUAAGUAAACGAUCGUGCAAUGAAAUAAUAUACAUUAAACGAUCCUAUUAACCGUGAUAAACGACCAUUUAACAACGGUAAAUGAUAAUAUUGAUUAAAAUAAAUUAUCGUGUUGACAUGGGUACACGAUCAUAUGAUAUUGGUGAUCGUAUUGAAUAGUGUAAACAAUCGUCUUGUUAUCGGUACACGAUCGUGUUAAUAUUUGUAAGUGAUUCUAUUGAUAGUGGUAACUGAUCGUGUAAUUCGAUGUAAAUUAUCGUAAAAAACUUUAAACUAUCGAUCUUUAUAAUGAAGUACAUAAUUCUUACAUUAAUACUUAAAAUUUGUUGUAACGAUCCAACUUUUCUAACUAAGUUGAAGUCAUUAAUUUGGACAAAGAGACCUUGAUUGACACAAAUUAUAGUAAAAUUCACUUGAAAUCAUACGAUCAAAGAAAACAAACUUAAGUUCGGGCCCUAUUUCAAAUAACCAAAACUUUAAAAGUACUAUUUACAAAACAACAGUUCGUAAACUCAGUUCCAUCACAAAAUUUUUAAACAACCUCAUGUACAAAGGAAAAACAAGAAACAUAAAGCGAAAGCAUUUGAAGAACAUUCCCUUAUGGCAAUCACGUCUCCUUCUUGUCCCUCGUCGGUCUACCUCCUUUGUUACCUUUGCCUGAAAUAGUUAAACAUGAAAGGAUGAGUAUAAACAUACCCAAUAAGAGACCCGCUAUUGGUCCCAUUAGGGGAAAAAGAAACUGUUAACUUCCUAUUGGGGUACCCUGCACAGUCACAGUCUUGUGAUCCUGUAGGAUACACAUAAUCAGUCUAAUGCCUCAAAGGACGCAUAAAUCAGUCUAGUGUUCCGCAGAAACACAUAUCAGUAUAAUGCUCCCGAAGGAUGCACAUAUCAGUCUAGUGCUAUCGAAGGAUGCACAUAUCAGGUGGUGAUCCCGUAGGACACCUACAAGGUAACUACCCAAUAGAAAUCUAAUAAUUUUCCCCUCAAUCCAUUCUAAACAUCUUAACACUCAUUCAUAGUACAGUCCAACUACUUCAACAUAUAAUCCUUUCACUUAACACCCUAAUAGUCAACCUAUCUCACUUGAGCCCAAUGUCAGCCAGUAACAUAUUAAUACAUCAGUCAAUCAAACUAUAUAGUUAUAACACCCCUCAAUUCACCAGUACAUAGCCCUACUUUAGUAUAACCUACACCAAAUCUAAACGACAAUCACAAGUUCACAUCCACAUUCCAUACAAACACAAUCUACAAUUGUCGUCCUGUCUACAUCCAUACAUAUAUAUAUAUUCCCAGACAAUCACAAUAUGCAUUCAACAUCAAGUCUACAUCAAUCCAUGUAUAUAUAUAUUUUUUUUCAGUCAUUCACAGUAUACAUUCAACACCAAGUCUACAUCCAUAUGUAUAUAUAUCGUUUUGACAUCUUUACUCAAUCAGAGGUAACUAUACAGACAUCACAAUUCAAAACUAUAGGUGAGUCCAGUAGUAGAGAAUCCCUUACCUUAUAACCUUACUUAAGCUUCUUUUUCAAACUAAAGUGCAACGAACCGACCUAAACAUAAUUGAAGAGAAAUCAAUCACUUCCACAAACAAUUUAAUCCAUUCAAUUCACUCUAUAUGUAAAUUCCAUAACUUACCCAAAUUGUGGAGAAUCAAAUUCUAACGGAGACGGAUCGGUGCAACAAAUAACCAAACAAUUCAGAUCUAAACAUACAUGGCGUGACAGAACUGGAGUGACUCGGGCUAACGGUUAUGCGACGAUAGGAAAAAAUUUGCUUGACGUUCUGUGUAGGUGGAAGACGGUGGUGAAGUUGAUUGGAGAAGGAAAAGAGAAUGAAGAAAAGAGAGAUUAUGCAUACACUGUGAGAAGCACACAAAAAAAUUGAAAAUAAAUUGAAAAGAAGAGAGAGAUAAGUCUGAGGGAGAAAUAUUCAUUUCCUUUUCAAAGUGAAUUGCAAAGAAAUUUUCUCAAAUUGAAAAGAAAGGAGAAAUAUACAAAGUCAGCCACCGCUUCUUCUCCCUUCAGUUUGCAGUUUUCGUCUCCCUCUCUUCUAUUAUUAAAAUAAAUAAAUAAAAUAUCACAACCCGACUUAACACAAACUAUUUACUCCAACUUUUUAAACUACAAAUUUAAUUUCUCAACUUUUAAACUAUUUUAAACUUACAAAUCUACUUUAUUCAUUUCUUCAUAUUUAUAUCUAACAAAUAAAAAAAAAAUCAAAAUUUAUAGACACUUAAAACAUAAAAUUGAAAGACCUAUUAAACAAUUGAAAGGUUUAAGAGGUAACUAGACAAACUUUAAAAGUUCUAAGGGAAAGAAUCUUUUGUUUAACUAUUACAGUAAUUAAUUUUGAAAAUAUGUUAUUUUAGAAAAACUACAAGUGUUUGACAACUCUUUGAAAGCUAUUGAAAUACUCUCAAAUUGUAUUUUAAGCAAUUUUAAUAAAAAGAAAGUCUACAUAAAAAAAUUACCCUUUUUAAAGGAACAUUUUUUCUCUAAUCACUCCAAUGGAACUCAAACACGUACUUCAAGUUAAUUCUGGUAUCCAAGAAUCAGUCUCAUCCAACAUAAACAAGAACAUUCAACUUGAUAGAACUUCAUUACCUCAUUUUUACAAUUCCCAAAGUUACUAUAUGAAGGACCAUUCCUAAAACAUACUUACAUCCAACUUUCUCCAUGAAUAAACUUAUCGUCUUUUAUGUACUGAUGAAUAUAGAGAUGGAGCGAUCAGAGUUUGUUUAUGUACAAAAUUAGAGUGAGUUGAGAAAAGAGUGGAUUUACACAAGGACGAAAUGGCUGGCUGCUGCUUGUUCAAAACUGAAAGUUAGGGUGACCUUGUUUCUCAUAGGGACUCAGCAAAUUGAGGGGCCUCCAGGUCUACUUCUGGUCUCAUUAUACAUGCCAUUAGCCAUUCAACGUUGAAAGUCCAUAUCCCUUUUUCUACGGCCACCAAGGCUUCCUCCACGUCUUCCUCACAAGCCACAAAGAUCGUCUUCCAUACGUUGUUUACUUUAUCUAGCUCAUGAAUCACCUAAAUUUUCAAGCAUAAUGAAUUUGCCAAAUGAGAGAAAAAAUUAUGUAUAUACUACAAGGAAAUUGCAAGAAUUCACCCUAUCAAAAAAUAUUAAACAAAUUCUUGUUCUAGUCCCUAAAAUUUUCCAUCUUUUCCCAACUUUCAAAAUGAUUCCUAUGAGAUAUAUUCCAAUCACAUAUAGCAGAAAUGACCGAUGAGUAUUGGAUAAAUGAAUAUUAGUUGAUAAAAUAAUUUACAAAAUACUAAAAUCGUUAGUUGGCUACGUUUUGGAAGCUCGAUGAUUAAAAUGGAUGUUUUGAAAGUUCUAAGGCUAAAAUGGAAUUUAAAUCAACAUAAUAGUAAGUUCAAGAUCAAAGACAAGCUAAACAAUAAAAUGUUGCAAGCAGAAAACAAUCUAAUCAUAAUUAGAAACAUGAAUGUAUGUAUUUGUAAACCAAAUCACAAAAAAUAACUCCAAAUUUCGAUCUAGAGACAAUUAAAAACUUGAACAAAUUUGAUAAAUAAAGAAACACGGAGAUGGCCAUAUGACCCCUUGUGCAUAGACUUUUUACAUUACAUGCUCAAUUCCUAGGAUCAAAACAAACAUAAAUAUUAAAGACUUAAGCACAUACACUCUAGAUUGGCUAGUGUAUCAAUAAACAAUAUGUAUGGAACACUCGGAGAACACGUGUUGAACACUAGUUAGUACAGUAGAUGUGUUAGACAACAAGUACUUAUUGACUUUGAAUUUCUAUAUAAAUAUGAGACAUACUUUUUAAAUUAUAUAUAUUAAAACUGUGUUCUAGCACUAUCCUAUAUUUUUUAGAAAAAAAUGACACGUCACCAUGUCUAUAAUUUAUUGACCCAUGUCUAGAAUUCGUAUACGUGCUUGUUUGUUGAGAACUUCACGUCUUCAUUAGAUGGGAGGAUAGCCAUAUUAUAGUGGUCUAUAUGUAAUAUAGAGAACCAAACCUAGUACUCGAGAUUUGUACAAUAACAGAGAACUUACAUUUCCACCGGUUGACUUGACUAUCAAGGAUAGAGUUUCAGGUGGUGGUUGAGCGUGAGCUGAUAUGCAAACAUCAUACCCUUCAAAUAAAGCUCAAGAACAUGCUUUUGCCCUGAGAACUGCAGCUUUUAGGCUGGCUCGAUACUUCGAUAUGUAGUCAUCAUCAUUUAGUAUGUAAGGAAACUCGUCUGCAUAUCAAUAAGGAAUUAAUCAAUCACAAAAAUUAGGUAGGAUGAAAAACAUAAGUGGAAGAAAAUACAUUACGCUUUGAUACUAGCAAGCCAUUCGAACUUACCAACAAAUCUGCCUUCCCGUUAGGUUUCCUUUAACCAACUGGAGGAGAAAAUCCAAGCUCUGAGUAAUUUGCAAUUAACUUGCAAUUUUAGUAACAAGAUAUAGUAAAAAUUAUGAGCAAGAGCAUACUGACACACUUGAAGCCACAUGGUAAUGCAUAUGCUCGAUAAUCAUUGAGAACAUUAACAGGAGAAAAUAAAGUUAAGAAAAGUAGCUUGAAGAACAAAAAACAUUCUACAACAUAAAAUCUUCAAAAACACAUUGCUUAAAAUCAAGUUUACUAAUAUAAAAGGUAAGAUAUUACGUUCCACUCUCCACACUACUGAAGUUCAACAUUUCACAUGAAAGAAAUGAAAUACUACUCUCAAAUAUAACUGAAAAAAGCAUAAAUGGGUAAUGAAAAAGCAUAGAGAAAUGCAAAAGAAUCCUUGGCUUUGAUAUAUUGAAAGGUAAAGAAUAUCAACCAUAGAUGCCCGGGAGAAGAACUCCUACAAAUACACACUUAACGCAGAUUAUCAUUCGCUAACAUGAGACCUUCUAGACGAAUUCUGUUAGGAUACUUCCAAACAAGAACAAAAUCUUAAUUUAUUAUAAUGAACUAUAAGAAAAUACAAGAUAAAACCAAGUAUAAGGCACUUGGAACCUCUCUCUUGAGUACUCUCACCCAAGCCCUAGAUCACUCCCCAGAAUUCUCCCCUCACUUACCCUCCCUCCAUUUAUAAUAAGAUGUAACCACACUUACAUAAUAACUACUAGUAACUUUCUAAAUGAAAGAGGUGGGCGGCUGCUAGGGUGAACGGAGAAGAAGAAAGAGAUGGAGGACGCACGGGAGGAAGAAGGAAGGGAAAAAUUCUUUUUCUUUUCUUUUAUUUAUUUUAAAUAAUAAAAACUAAAAUAUAAAUAAAUAUAUAUAUAAUUAUAUUAUCACAUUUUCAAAUCUUCUUUCUCCCCCUUCAACAUAUUUUCUUAAAAAAAUAAAUCUUGUACAAAUCGAAAAAUUUUCUUAAAAUAAAUUACCUUCGAGUUUGGGGCGUUACACAAGGACUUGAACAUAGGACCUUUUGGACCACCUGCUCUGAUACCAUAUUAAACCCCAAAUUCACCCAAAAGCUUAAGCUAGUGGUUGAAGGUAAAUUUAAUUAUAUAUUACCAAAGUAUGAGGUUUCAUCACAAUACCAAUUGGCAAUGAGAGGAGUAGCUCAUCUAUUUUAUAAGGAGUCUAAGUUUCCUUGGUUUUUCAAUUGUGGGAACAUGCCCCUUCAAGAUGGUGCCUCUUUGGUUUCACCUAUCUUGAACCAAAUAUCCGUUUAGGCUUAAUGAGCUCUAAUACCAUAUUGAAAGCAAUAUAUACGAAACCAAAGCUUACGUGAAAACGCAAGAAUCGAAAGAAAAGCAUUGUGUUUGUAGAGGCACAAUUGGUUGUUUAAUAUAUAUCACUAACACUAUUGCUGCAAUGAUCGAUCAUCUCGAUGGAUUACCCAUUUAAGAGUUGUUGACAAGAGUUGACACUCUAGAAUCAAAAGUUGUAAGAACUAGAUGUUGUAAUUUAUGUCCUAAAACUCGUUGUAAUCAUAAUCUAUUCAAUUAAGUCGUUAUUGAUACUAUAAUCUUAAAGCCAAUAAACUAAGGACCCGAGGUUAUUAUUAAGUAAACUUGAACUUUAUGUAGAGACAUAAAAGUUGAUCAAGUUUAAGUAUAGAGCCUAAAUAGUAUAGAUUGUACGAAUACAGUUAGGCACCUUAUUCCAGGACACAAUGAAUGCAGUCUGCUUUGUAUUUAGUAUAACGAUGUGAUCCUAAAUCCUAGAGACAUGAAAGUAUGGACAUCCUAUGUAAAGAGUUUACAAAAGAAUAGAACCAUGAAAUAGUCACUUUUAAGUUAUAACACCGUUAACUUUGAAAAACUUACUAUUUCAUUGAUAGAUAUCAAAUAUAACUUAAUCUUAAUACUGGGCUAACUAUAAGCUUUUGUUCUCACCAGCAUGCUUGUUUAAGGCGUUGUUUAUCUAUGGCCACAUGCCCAAAUACCCCCAAAUCACCUUUUCUUUAUGUCUUGUAUUUAGUUUAGUCUAUUGCUUUCCUUUUUAUGUCAUAGACCUAGGGUGUGAGGUGUCACACAUUUUCAUUUGCAAACCUGUCAAAGCUCAAAAAGUCUAAACUAUACUAUAGGAGAGACCCAAUAGUUGAAUCCCCAACCAUUUCUUAUCGUAUUCUUUAUAAUUAAAUUUUUAUUUGCAAUUGAAAGUCUUCAACGCAUUCUUUAAUGAUGUUUUUAAUGAUACUCUCUCUCACAUUUUAUAAAACAAUUUUUUCAAGAACGAGAAGGGAGGUUAUAUCAUAUCGUGAGUUUGUUUGUGAUUUUCGGAUUUUACAUGCCUGACUUAUUGACUGAGCAAAACAAGUGUUCUACAAUUGUCCGUUCCAUGUUUGAAAGAUUGCGAUUGUGGUACGCAGAGUGUCACAAGUGUGCUUGUCCAAGGCAUUAUUUGCCUAUGGUCGUAUGCUCGUAUAUCCUCAAACCACUUUAUCUUUAUGCUUUGUACUUAGUUUAGUCAACUGCUUUCCUUUUGUUGUCACCGACCUAAGGUGCGUCGUUUCGCAAUUUUCAUAUGCAAUGUUGUCAAUGCUAAAAAAGUUUAAGAUGUAUUGUAGGGGAGGCAUGGUAGUUGAAUCCCCAACUAAGCCCUAUUGUGAUUUUUGCAAAUCUAAGCUUUCUUUGUAAUUGACAAUAUUCAAUUUUUUCUUUAAGGAUGUUAUCAAUGUUUUUCUUUAUCUCUCACGUUUUAUAAAACCAAUUUCUCUCAAAAGAUGAAGCGAGGCUACAUCGUACCACAAGUUUGUCCGCAACUUUCAAAUUUCACAAGGUUGCCUUGUUCAUCAAUUUAGAACAAGUGUUGCACAAUCGCCCGUCCCGUAUUUGAAAAGUUGCAUUUUGUGACAAGUGGUAUUAAAGCUUUGUUAGCUCCUUGGCUAAGCGAGAUGCAAUUAUGUCAACAAUGAAACAACUAUCAAAGUUGCAACCGGAGCGACUGACUGAGAUUGAAGAGGAAUUCUUGGAUAUGAAAGAAUUGCCAAACGAAGUAAGAUUUCUCUAGACCCAACUUGAGAUGUUUAAAGAAAAAGUCAGAGAAAUAGACGCAUUGAAUGCCUAAAUAGACAAACUACCCAUAAAUGAAUUGGUGCUGAGGGUUGAUUCGUUAGAACAUAAAACCACCAAAGUAGGUAGUUUUGAACGUGGAAGUAGCUCUUCAAGUUCUAUUGCACAAAUGGAAGAGCGUGUCGAAGAUUUUGACUUUUGACAAGCUCCAACAUAAUCAGUUAUAUUUCAAGAAAGAGAAAAGUGUUUUUGCUAAAUAGCGUAUCAAUUUUCUAGGUCACAUCAUCGAAUGUAGAAAGAUUUGAAUGGACGAACAUAAGUUGUAAGCUAUUAAGGAGUGGAGAGCCCCCACUUCCGUGAAAGAGUUACGUUUCAUCCUUCAAUAUAUUCUAAAAUAGGGUUCACCUACUAUCCUCUAGACUCAGUACCGGGAGAAAGAAAUAGAUGGAAAAAGAAAUGGGCUUGGUAAUUUUUUUCUAUGUAAAUAAGAAAAAGAAAUCCAAUUUGGUACAAGAGCCCAAAUUCAAUAGCCAGCCCAUCAAAUGAGGUCAACGACCCUAUUUAUAAGGAUUUUCCAUGCAAAAUUGCAUGUCCAUGGAAUACUAAAGCCCAACAACUCAAAGCUCUAUUUCUAAUAUGAAAUUCGAUGGCUAUAACACAUAUACUUGUCAGUUUCUCUCUCUUCUCCCAAUUCGAACAAUUCGACUUAUUCCAUCACACUGUUUUAAGUUUAUUCCAUAUGAGCUAGCAAGGGAACCUAAUGGACCUAUAUAUCAUGGACUCCAAUGAUUCAAGAUUAAUUGACAAAAUUCUUAUAGACUGAGUUAAUCAACAUUCGUUAACUAACGGGUCAUUCAUGUAUGUACUGGAACGAUUCAGAAUCACCUCGUUUGUACUAACUACAAAGCGGGCGGCAUCCACAAUUUCUCUGAAAAAAUCUGGGUUACUACAACGUCACCACGAUGUACAAUUUUCCUGAUAAGAUGGUACUUACGUUCGAUAUGUUUUCCCCGUUUACGGCUUUUAGGUUCUCUUGAAUUUGCAACUGCACCACUGUUGUGACAGUAUAAAGUGAUUGAUAGAUGCAUAUUUGGAACGACUUUCAGAUCUGUCAAGAAUUUUCUUAGCCAUAAUGCUUCUGUUGUUGCUUCAAAAGUUGCUACGUAUUCUCCCUCCAUUGUGGAAUCAACUAUACAAGUUUGUUUUAUGCUUCUCCAAACUACUACUCUUCUAUUUAGAGUGAAUACUAAUCCUGAUGUAGACUUUCUAGCAUCUUUAUCAGUUUGAAAAUCAUAAUGAGUGUAUCCAGUAAGGAUCAAAUCUUUUGUACCAUACACGAGAAUGUAGUGUUUUGUUCUUCAAAGAUAUUUUAGAACAUUCUUAACGGUUGUCUAGUGAUCACGUCCAAGAUUGGACUGAUACCUACUGACCAUCCCUACUAAGUAGCAAAUGUCAGAUCUAGUACACAACAUUGCAUAUAUCAAACUUCCAACAGCGGAAGCAUAGGAAAUUUUUCUCAUAUCCUCAAUUUCUUGAGGUGUCUUAGGACAUUGUUCCUUUGACAAAUGAAUUCCGUAGAUGUAUAAUAGCAUACCCUUUUUGGAAUUCUACAUUUUAUAUCUAGACAACAUUUUGUCUAUAUAAGAUGCUUGAGACAUGGCUAGUGUUUUGUUCUUGCAGUUCUGUACAAUUUGGAUCUUAAGAACGUAUUGUGCAUUUCCCAGAACUUUCAUUUGAAAUUGCAUAGCUAGCCAUUUCUUGAUAUUAGUAUGAAAUCCUAUGUCCUUUUCCAAUAAGUAGAAUAUCAUCUACAUACAAGACUAAGAAUACUACAAUGGAAUUGACGACCUUUUUUGUAAACAUAAGGUUCGUCAACCUUUUGUAUCAAAGCCAUAAGAUUUGAUCAUAGUAUCAAAUCUUAUAUUCCAGGAUCUAGAUGUUUGUUUUAAUCCAUAAAUGGAUUUUUGAAUCUUACAAACCUUUUGUUCUUGAUCUUGAUCUAUAAACCCCUAUAAUUGAGUAAUAUAGAUACUCUCUUCAAGAUUGUCAUUCAAAAAAAGUUGUCUUGACAUCCAUCUGCCAAAUUUCAUAAUCAUAAAACGUGGCGAUGCAUAAGACUAUUCUAAUUGACUUUAGCAUGGCAACGAUAGAGAAAGUUUCUUCAUAGUCUAUGUUAGAAAGAGACAUGCGCAGUGGAAAAAUGGAAUACAAAAUUCCCCUAAUUGCACCUAUUUAACUUGCAACCCUAAAUUAAAAGAAUUAGGGUUUAGGAAAUAUUAUACCUUUGUAUCUAUUCGAAUAUGAAGUCUAUACCUCUCACAAAAUUCCAAAAGUUUUUGAAACCAAAAUGUAACACCUUAAACUUAGGAUUUGGAAUUCGUAUCUCCAGCAUUCUCUGCAUCCCCUGCCACCUGGCAGCAUCAUCCUUACUAUUCUUAAAAACUUAUUAGAAUGAAAUUCCUCUUCACAAAACAACACGAAAUCUUUCAGCAUGCUUUUCCUCACUCACAUGCAUCCUAGGAAAAUUUCCAAGAGGUCACCCAACAUAGAAUUUCUUCAAGCUAAGCACGCUUAACUUUGAAGUCCCUAUAAUCGAGCCACCGAAAAAAAAAGGUUCACAUUGUUGGUAUAGGUAUUAAGUUUUAAUUCUUUUCAGUCUUUCUUAACAUGACUUUCAUGUCCUCAAGGUGCACCUUGUCGGUAUACUUGUCGAUUUCUCUCUCUUCUCUCAAUUCGGACAAUUCGACUUAUUCCAUCACAGUGUUCUAAGUUUAUUCCAUAUGAACUAGCAGGGAAACCUAAUGGACUUAUAUAUCAUGGGCUCCAACGAUUCAAGAUUAACCAUGAUCAAUAAGUUAAUCCUUCACAUGUUAUUCGUAACCUCGAAUGGAUCAAAUUACUGUUUUAUCCUUGAGACUACAUCUUAUUUCUUAAGUCUCAUUGAUCCACUAUUGAACAAUUGGUUUAAGGUCCAACCUAUAAACUUAAUCCCUCUCGGGCUAAUGUGAGGGUGGGGCCCCUUGUUCAAGACAUGGAUUUAGUGCUUAAGAGAACAACCUAUCUACUAACCCUAAAACAGGUAGAAGUGAAUUUUUUCUUGCAUCCUAUGUUCCCAGCCAUUCAUCUGAUCUUACCCUUGAAAUAGGAGGCUUAUUGGGAGAACGUUGAUGAGAUACCCUCACCUAUGCAGAUGUAACCCUAAAACAAGUAGAAGUGAAUUCAGUCUUAUGUAAGUACUUUAUAGUGUUUAAGAGAACAACCUAUCUACUAACCCUAAAACAGGUAGAAGUGAAUUAUGUCUUGCAUCCUAUGUUCCCAGCCAUUCAUCCGAUCUUACCCUUGAAAUGAGAGGCUUAUUGGGAGAACGUUGAUGAGAUACCCUCACCUAUGCAAAUGUAAGGAUAAUCUCAUGUGAACAGGAGUUCAUAGUUAGCUUAGGAUUAAGAUUAAGCUACCUAAGUCAUCAAUAAACGAAAUAGUCAGUUCUAAACAGUAAACGGUGUUUAACGUAAAAGUGACUAUUUCAUGGAUCAGUCUUAUGUAAGUACUUUACAUAGGAUGCCCCCACUUUCAUGUCUCUACAUGAACAAUUUAGGAUCACCUCGUUUGUACUAAUUACAAAGCGGGUCACAUCUGUAGUUUCUCUAAAUAAGGCACUAUAGACUAUUGAGGCUAUAUACUCGAACUUGAUCCACAUUUAUGUCUCGACAUAAAGUUCAAAUGUAUUAAAAAAUAGCAUCAAGACUUAGUUUAUUGGAUUUAAGAUUAUAAUUUUUAAUUUUUCAAUAAUGAUUUUAUUGAACUGAAUAUGAUAACAAACUACGAGUUUUAGGACAUAAAAUCCCAACAUAUGUAUUUUUGCCUCUAAUAAUAAUGUUGAAAGAUGUUUAUUGAUGUUGUCUCUUUGAUUUGGAGUCGCCAUGUAGGAGUUUCUCUGAUUGUGAGUUUCGUAAGAAAUUUACAUAACCACAAGCCUACCCUCCAUAUACAGUUUGGUAAGCACAUUCAGAGCCUAAGUGAGGAGGUUCGUAUUGCUAAAGAGUCCAUGGAUAAAGCUCAGAGAAAGGUUGGGCAAAAUCCUAUGUCUGAUGUUUUGAGUCGCCAAGCAGGUCUUGCCAUUGAGGCCUUUUGGACGGCUGUUAAAUUGGAGGAAGCCUUCAUGUGUUAGAAGUCCAAGAGGUUUGUGAGUUUCCUUAGAACUUGUGUUACCUCCUCGAUGUUCUCCAUUAUGAUUAAUGGCUCUUUCAAGGGUUUUUUAAUGGGAAGAAAGGUUUGCGGUAGGGUGAUCCUUUAUCUCCUUUCCUUUUUAUCAUGGUGAUGGAGGUCCUCUCUCGUAUGUUAAAUCGGCCUCCUCCGAGCUAUCAGUUUCACAGGCAUUGUGAGAAGGUUAGCUUAACUCAUCUGACCUUUGCUAAUGAUCUUAUGAUUUUUUGUGCUGCUGAUGAUUCCUCUUUGAGUUUUAUUAACGAGACUAUUCGAAAGUUUGGUGAUCUCUCGGGGCUAUUUACUAAUCUUAGUAAAAUUUCUAUGUUUGUUGUAGGGGUUAAUAGUGAUGAUGUUUAUCGUUUGACUACCAGUUUGGGUUUUGUCCUCAGGCAUCUCCCUGUUCGUUAUCUUGGGCUUCCUUUACUUUCUGGAAGGUUACGACCUACUGAUUGUGCUCUCUUAUUCAACGUAUUACUAGUCAGAUUCAUUCUUGGUUUGCUAGAGUUUUAUCAUUUGCAGGUAGAUUGCAACUGGUUCAAUAUGUGCUUGAUAAUCUUCAGGUUUACUAGGCUAACGUGUUUGUGCUGCCUGUGAGUGUGCAUCAUGAGGUUGAUAAAAUCUUGAGGUCUUAUCUUUGGAGGGGUAAGGAGGAAGGUAGAGGAGGUGUUAAGGUGGCGUGGGCUGAGGUGUGUUCCUUUUGAGGAGGGUGGUCUUGCUAUUCUUGAUGGGUCUUCUUAGAAUGUUGUGAGUACUAUGAAGAAUCUUUGGUUGUUGCUGACUAGUUCGAGUUUUCUAUGGGUUCCUUGGGUGGAGGCUUAUAUUCAUAAAGGAAGGUCAUUGUGGGAGGUCGAUUCUUGUGUUGGUCGGUCUUGGUGUCUUUGCGUUAUCAUGUGGAAACGAGAUAGUCUAAAAGAGCAUGUUCAGAUGGAGGUUGGGGAUGGUAGGCAUUGUAAACUGUGCCUGGAUCCGUGGUUGCAGGGUGGUCCUAUCCUUCAACAAGUUGGUGAGAGAGCGCUUUAUAAUGUAACGAGUAGAUAGGAGGCUAGGCUCUCUAAGUUUAUUGGUUCGAAAGGGGAGUGGAGGUGGUCGAGGGUGUCUUUGGAUUUGAUUAAUUUAUGGGAUAGGGUUCAAGUUGUAAGUUCGUGUCCUAAUGUUGGUGAUAGGUGGGUUUGGGUUCUUGGUCGUCAUAGUGGUUUUUUGAUUGCUAGUGCAUGGGAUACUAUUCAUCCUCGUAGUGUUAAGGUUCGUUGGACAGGUUUCUUGUGGGGUGGGGAUUGAGAGUCUCGUUAUCAUUUGUUUUUUCAUGUCCUUUUGGGUGUGAUAUUUAGUCUCGGGUCCUUCAGGUUAUGGCUUCCUCUCACAGGAUUGGGUAUUGGAGGGUUGAGUUGUUUGGGGUUUGUCAUUAGAGUAUUGGUAAGGGUGUGAGAAGGAAGUUGUGGUAUGUUCUCUGGUGUGCUACGAUUUAUUUUAUGUGAAAGGAGCAUAAUCAUUGUCUCCAUGGUGGUCAAGCUCGUGAGCUCAUUGUUCUGUUUCAGCUUAUUCCAUCUUGUAUCAGUGCUCGUGUUGUUUAUUUGCGUGAGGAUGCUCAUGGUAUUAUUUAGCUUGUUUUCUUUUGAUUUUUGUUUUAUCUGCUUGUUCUCGGGCUGUGGGGUUGUUUGGACUUUUUAUGUUUUUGUUGCUCUUAAUUUUGUUGGGUUUAUUAUUGUUCUUUCUUUUGAUACUUUGGAUUCUUCCUAUUUUUGUGAGCAUUGUCCGCUCUUGUGAGGUCAUCCUUGUUGUAUUAUGAUAUUAACUUUUCAAAAAAAAAAAGAAAGAUAAUGCAAUUCAACUUUAGAUAAAAACAUGAUUCGAAUUUUCAUUUCAAGAAAAUACAAGGGGACAGAACUUUUCUUUCACUAUUUCAAUUACUAGAAUCUAAAUUUCAAUUCUCACUUUUUUGUAUUUUGAAUUUACAAGCCUCUUUUUUCUUUCUUUGGUAUGAAAGGUGGCAACUAGGCCUUGCUAGAACGAGUGGGGUAACCUUUCUAUGGUUCUACACUUAGUUUCGAAGUUCGAAGUUUUCCUCCUACAGUGGAUCAUCGCUAUUGAUUUUUCUACUGUUAAUUCGACCUCCCACGAAUUCUCUUCUUCUAAGGAUUCACUUUUCUUUAAGGCUCUGCACUCUACUAAAAAGCCUUGAUCUUCUUCCCCCCAAUGUUUUCAUAAACUUCUUAAGACAGACCCUGACCUUGGUUAGGCUCGGAUCUCCUUGGAUUAUCACCUUCUUCCCCUAAUAUAUCAAUGUUAACAUCAUAUUCUUCCAAUCCACUCCAGUCGUUCCCAAGGAAUACAAUCACUGCAUUCCAAGUAUGGCAACUACCCCUCCCAACUUCAAGGGUAAAAACUCAUUCACUACCUUCUAGUCUCCCAGCAUUAACUCAACAUCUUCACAAAUUACCUUCCCUUUGACUACAGUGCCCGAGCCCAAAAUGACUCCAUAAUUCGACGUUUCUCUUGUACUCAGUUGCAACUCUUUCACUAUUUUUUUUAAAUGAAAUUGCGUGUGACUCCACAAUCAAUUAGUACUAUAGCCACCUUCCCUUGUAUCAUCUCUUUUACCUUCAUUUUCCCUAGGUUGGAUAAUCCCACCACAUAAUUAAUGGAUAAUUCCACCAUCACUUGACUCUCCUCUACGAUCUCAGGGGCAUUCAAUUCUUUCUGAUCAAUUCCUCCUUCUUCAAUAAUUUCAUACUCCUCGCCUUCUUCCUUGACAACAAUCAUUCGCAAUUCCCUUUGCUCUUUCAUCUUGCAUUUGUGGUCAUGAGAAUAUUUCUCAUUACAACGAAAGCACAAUCCCUUCUUUCUAGAUUGAAAUUCAGCAUCAAAUAAGCGCUUCGUCUGUCCCUUUUUCCGUACUUCCUCUUUUGUUGUUCCUCGUAGAGUAAUAGUUCUCAUCGGCCAAUUCAUUCCUCCUUUACUUUCUUCUGUAUUCGCAAUGGUAUUAGCCUUGGUGCUAUUAUGGGAGUUUAUCACCUUUUCUCCAGAAUAUCCAGAAAGAUUUGCUUCCUGACGUAUAUCUUCCUUGUUCUCUACCUUUUGCGCGAUUCGUAUCAUUUGUGCUAAUCCCUUCGACUCACAUAAAUCCAUCUCCGCGUAGAUCCAUAGUUUCAAUCCCGACAUAAAUGUCUCUUUUACCACCUUCUCUAAUAGGUCCGACAAAGGAGCUACCCACUUAUCGAAUAAAUUUUGAUAUUCCUCUAUCGUUGUCUUUUGUUGAAUUUGCAAGAACCUUACAUACAGCGAUUCCUCCCUAACGGAUCGAAAUCGCACCAAUAAUCUUUCCUUCAUAUUCACCCAAUCUACAAAGUUCUCUCGUUCUUCUUGAGAACGGUAAAAGUUCAAUGCUAGUCCCUUAAAACUAAUAGUGGAUACAGUCAUUUUCUCAAAUUCAGUAAGUUUAUGAAUGUGCAAAUACCUCUCUACGCGAAACAGCCAAGAAUCAGGAUCAUCUCCAUUGAAUAUCGACAUCUCCACCUUCUUAAACUUAUUGCAGUCACUAUUACUUUCAUCAUCUAUUUUCUUUCCUUCCUUCCUUGUUUCGUUCUCCCAUCUUGGUCACCCUUCGCCUUCGUCCACAUUCUUCGUCGAGGAAUUGUGCAUUGUUGUCGAUUCCAUAAUUCGUAACAUCAUCUGAUUCUACCUCUCCAUAUUUUUGGAUAUUUUGGCUAACGUCUUUUCGAUCACCAGUAUCUUACUAAUCUCUUUCUUAAUGUCCUGUAUUUCCUGGUCAAACGUCUCCAUCUCUUCGAUCCGAGUCUGAACCAUUUGCAUUCUUCUUGCCCAAGAUCAAUGCUCUAAUACCAAUUUGAUGGAAACCAGUCUUGGAAUAAAAUUGCUACUAUAUUAUUAAUGAUAGAAUAGGAAUGAAAUCCUAAUUACAAUAUGAAAUCCCUCUCCUGUUAUCCUCUCUCUCAAGGAAGAAUAGAAAUUCACUUUCUCAAACAAAACCUAACUUUCCCGCCCACGAUUACUUUUUAUUUAUACUAACAAUAAGGUAACUAACCCUUCCCUUUACUAACCCUCACAUGCUAUUCAUGUGCACGUGAUAUUUUUUUUUUAAUUUCUUUAUCCCUCUUCUGCUGUACAGAUGUAAUAUAGGGGGUCUAUCAGAUUCCUCCUCUUUUCAAAGCCUCCAAUCAAACUCAAUGCUAAGUUUGACUGCUCCCUUCAGAGUGACGACCCUCAUUUUCCCCCUUCCGUGGUUUGGGGAGGAUUCCUCCUCUUUUUAAAGCCCUCAAUCAAACUUGAUGCUAUGUUUAGAACGCUAAGAAUAGGUGGUUUAGUUUUGGUUAGGCCAAAAGUGAAAUUUUCCCCCACAAGCACUAAUAGUUAGGGAACUCAACACAUUCUACUUGACUUAAUCGACUUGACUCUCUAAUUUUUAUGAGCUUUUUUCAAUGCAUAUUGCAUAUGCUUUUUUUAUAGUUGUUGAUUGUCUCACAUUUUUAUGGUUUGCAUUUACAAGCCCCUUUUUUCUUUCUUUGGUAUGAAAUAUGGUAAUAGGCCUUGCUAGAACCGGUGGUGUAAUCUCUCUAUGGUUCUACACUUAGUUUCAAAGUUUGAUUACUCCCUUCGAAGUGACAACAAGCCUCGUUUUCCCCUAUUGUGGAUCAGAGAGGAUUCCUGCUCUUUUCAAAGCCCACAAUCAAACUCAAUUAGAGUAAAAAGGAAAAAUUUUCAUCUCGGGCGCGUGUACCUCACACGCAUCUCUCUAGGAUUUCCAAGUUCUCUCACUCGGCUGGUGAAGGAGGCGAACGGUUGGUGAGUGCUGCGGCCAGCAAGGGAUCAAAUUCGAAGGUAAUUCGUUCAAUUUUGGCAGAUUGAAUGUGAAAACUAAUGUCAUUUGGUAUCCAUUUCGAAAUUGAUUACAAUUGAUCAAUUGAACCAUUACGAAUGAUAUUCGUUUUGAUUCGGGAGAAUUAACGUCUGUCCAGAAAUUGUUUAAAUCGGUUUCCAAGCUGAAUUGAUUUGAACUAUCUUGAAAGUAUUGCGUGUGGUACAAAAUCGAUUUAUUGGCUAUCAGUUCUGGGUUUGGAGACUGUGAUUUAAUUCACUCGCUGGAGGGAUCUCGCAUGAAUCUCCUCGGUUGAAUUUCAAUUCUUUUUUAGUUCAUUCAUGUUCCCAAAUUGGGCCGAAAAGAUCAUCACGGGUGUUGGGUUGAUGUCUUAAGCAUGAAACAAUGAAGAAAUUAUCCAGUGACAUUGAGGAGGUGAAGAAACGCGUACAUGAUAUGGCGGCGAACGACCGAAGGGCGGCGACUGCAAAGGCUGACCUAAUUUCUGUGAGGAAGAAAUGGUCGGACAUGAGUGGACCCGAACCGGUUUACGUGAACCAUGAAACAUAUAGAAAUCGAAAUACAGGAAAUGGACCGAGCGGAGAUGGUCCCAUGAAGAUUGUUGGCCCAAAGGCGUGUGGACCGAUUGUUUCGAAUGAAAACUUGAUGAAGCCCAGUGAGCCGGUAAAGGGGUGAAGCCGAAUGGUGUGUUCACAUUUACGAAUGGAAUUGGUCAUGGAUCUCUGGUUGAUGGGCCAUCGUUGAAUGAUGGGCCGUCCAUCUCACACGAAAUUGGGAUCUCACAGAAGGAGUGCUUACCUGCUGGUGCUUCAUGUGUUCAGCAUGUUGGGCAAAUUGCAGCGGCCGAAGGAUAUGGACCUCGACUGGAUGCUAUUGCAAGUGCCCCAAAGAUUGGGCCGGUUGAUGGGCAUUUGAAUGAUGGGCCAGCCAUUAGAGAACCGUUUGGUACUAAUUCCAAUGGUAGGCCGCCUGUUUCGAUUCGUGGGCAUGAGGUGCAGAAAUCUAAUAAUUCUAGAGGUGCAGGCAAAAAUUCAUGGGCUUCCUUAUUUGGCUCAACAAGAGGUUUCUCUAUGACCUAUACACCUCUGACUACCGUGGGAGAGAAAAUUGUGGUGACCCCGUUUGAAGAAGUUAUUAGUUAAGGAGUUAGAGUGUGGGAGAACUCCCUCGUCAGCCAAUUAAUUGAUGCAAAAUUGUUGUAUCUAGUCAUCUAUCGUCUUAUAGAGAAGAUUUGGGGUAGAAUUGAAAUGCCAACAAUUACUCUGAUGGAGAAUGGGCUCAUCUGCUUUCAAUUCAAACAUCUGAAGUCAAUACAGUGGAUCUUAUCCCGUGGCCCAUGGCACCUUGGAGGCAAACCUAUGCUCCUCCGCAAAUGGACUCCAGGUAUAGUUCCUGAAUCCUUCGUCUUUGAUUCAGUUCCUGUUUGGAUAAAGUUAGGGAGGAUUCCGUUGGAGCUAUGGACGGAUGCUGGUUUGGCUGUGGUAGCGAGUGCAAUAGGAAAACCUCUUUUAGUUGAUCUUGCUACUAAAGAGAGGCGUCGUCUUUCUUAUGCCCGUAUAUGUGUGGAAUUGAAUGUGGACAAUAUUAUGCCUGCCGAAGUAACAGUCAACCUUAGAGGAGAGGAAUUUAUUGUAACUGUCACUUAUGAGUGGAAACCGAAAAAAUGUAACUUGUGUAGAUCUUUUGGACACUUGCAGAACACCUGCCCUAAGAAAAGAGGCAAUGAAGAUAGUAAAAAGGAAGCUGCAAGUAAAGAGGUUCCUGUUAAAGAGGUUGUUCCUACUAAAGAGGUGGUUCCAGAUUGUGGGGAGUAUGGAGAUGUUGUGUUGGAAUCCUUCCAACACAUGGAAGAAGGAGAAAUUAUUACCCAUAAACUUCCUGAAAAGGUGGAGGUGAAUCGGGAGGAAUUUACCCCAGUUGACAGGAAAAAUAGGGGAAUGAUCUCUAUUCGGGACAGAGGGAAAAGGGCAGAAGUGAGUAUCACUAACUCCUUUAAGAACCUCAUGGAGGUGGAUAAAGGAGAUAAAUGGCUUUUAUCUAUAGUGGAUGGCUCCCCUCCUCCCUUACGAGUAGAUGACUCUUCUAUGGUCCUUUUGAGUACUACAGGUGAUGUAAUUCCUAUGGGAGAGGCGGCUCCCAUAUGACCUCAUGGUUAGUUGGUGUACGUGGAACGUGCGGGGCCUUAAGAGCCCUGUAAAGUGUAGAGCGGUGAAGGACCGGGUAUGGUCUUGGGUGAUUUUAACACCAUCAGACUCCACUCUGAAGCCUUUGGGGGUGCUCCGAACGUGGUGGAUAUGGAGGAGUUUGACAUGGCUAUUAAAGAGGCGAACCUUGUUGAACCCGCGGUCCAGGGGAACUGGUUUACUUGGACUAGUAAGAUACAUGGGUCGGGUUUGAUGAAGAGACUUGAUCGUAUCCUAGUGAAUGAUGAGGGGCUUAGUACAUGGCCUAACAUGAGGGUUAACGUCCUCCCGUGGGGUAUUUUUGAUCAUUCUCCCAUACUUGUCGAUCCCAGUAAUCAGCGAAGCCAACAAGUGGUCUCUUUUCGUUUCUUUAACCAUUGGGUUGAAGAAGCGUCCUUUAUGGAUGUUGUGUCCUCUACUUGGACCAAAGAUACUAGAGUUUCUCCAAUUGUGAAUAUUGUGAGGAACUUAAGAAAUCUCAAGUCGAUUCUUCGCAGACAUUUUGGUAGGCAUAUCCGGACCAUCAGUGAGGAUGUUCGUCUUGCCAAUGAUACCAUGGACCGAGCUCAAAGAGAGAUGGAGACGAACUCUCUGUCGGAGGAGGCGAGUAAUCACGCGAGCUUAGCCACGGUAAACUUUUGGAAAGCGGUUAGAGUGGAGGAAGCCGCUAUGCGCCAGAAGUCGCAAAUCAGAUGGUUGAAGCUAGAUGACCAGAAUACUGCCUUUUUUCAUCGAUCUGUUCGAUCAAGGCAGAGCAGCAAUGCUUUGAGAUCAGUUAUUGACCCAGAUGGAAAUCGGUUGACUAACUAUGAUUAGGUGACUCGGGUGGUAGUGAAUUAUUUCAAAGAUAUAUGGGUUCUCAGAAUAUUAGCUAUAGAGAGCUCUCUACUAGUAUUGAGGAGAUUGUUCAGUUUAGAUGGACUGAGAAGUGUUGUCAGGCCCUCCAGUCGCCUAUUGGUAGGGAGGAAGUGAGACUUGUUCUGUUCUCCAUGGAUGGUGGAAAGGCUCCAGGCCCCGAUGGGUAUUCAGUUGGCUUCUUCAAAGGAGCUUGGACGGUGGUUGAAGAAGGUUUCUGUGAUGUCGUCUUACACUUCUUUGAGACCAAUUACUUCCCUCAAGGGGUGAAUACGACUGCUAUUACACUUAUUCCUAAAAGGAAUGGUGCUGAUCGAUUGGAGGAUUUCAGCCCUAUAUCUUGUUGCAGCGUUAUUUAUAAGUGCAUUUCAAGAAUAUUGGCAGAUAGGCUUCGUGUGUGGCUUCCUUCUUUUGUUAGUGGAAAUCAGCCAGCUUUCAUCCCUGGGAGGAGUAUUAUUGACAAUAUUCUUCUUUGUCAGGAGCUUGUAGGGGCAUACCAUUUGUACAGAGGUAAACCUCGGUGCACUAUGAAGGUUGACCUCCACAAAGCUUAUGAUUCUGUUAAUUGGGAUUUCCUCUUUGGCCUGCUGAUUGCCAUAGGUACGCCUUUAAGAUUUGUGAGUUGGGUUCGAGCGUGUGUGACCUCUCCGAUGUUCUCCAUUAUGAUUAAUGGAUCGUUGGAAGGUUUUUUCCAUGGGAGGAAAGGACUUAGACAAGGUGACCCUUUAUCCCCGUUCUUAUUUGUGAUGGUCAUGGAGGUGCUUUCUCGCAUGUUGAACAACCCACCUCAGAAUUUUCAAUUCCACCAGUUUUGUGAGAAGGUCAGAUUAACUCAUCUUACUUUUGUAGAUGACCUGAUGAUCUUUUGUACUGCUGAUAAUCAUUCUAUGAGUUUCAGAAAAGAGACUAUUAAGAGGUUUGGUGAGCUUUCGGGACUGUUUGCUAAUCUUCCUAAAAGCUCAAUUUUUCUUGUCGGGGUUAAUAGUUCGAAAGCUUCUCGGCUUGCUGCUAACAUGGGUUUUUCCAUUGGUCAUCUCCUUGUUCGUUAUCUUGGGCUUCCUCUCCUCUCUGGAAGAUUGCGGAGCUCUGAUUGUGAUCCCCUUAUUCAGCGUAUUACCAGUCGUAUUCGGUCUUGGUCUGCUAGAGUGUUAUCUUUUGUAGGUAGACUUCAGCUUGUUCGCUCAGUCCUUAGGAGCCUUUAGGUUUAUUGGGCUAGUGUGUUCAUGCUUCCUAUGAAAGUCCACAGAGACGUUGAUAAGAUCUUGAGGGCUUAUCUGUGGAGAGGUAAGAAGGAGGGAAGAGGUGUUGCUAAAGUUGCCUGGGAUGAGGUUUGUCUUCCUUUUGAUGAAGGAGGUCUUGAUAUUCGCGAUGGAUCUUCUUGGAAUAUAGCAAGCACGUUGAAGAUAUUAUGGUUGCUACUUGUUAAAUCUGGUAGUUUGUGGGUUGCUUGGGUGGAAUCUUAUAUCCUUAAAGGGAGAUCGCUGUGGGAGAUCGAUGCUGGGGUGGGUCGAUCUUGGUGCUUUAGGGAAAUCUUGCGUAAGCAGGAUAUCCUUAAAGCUCAUGUUAAGAUGGAGGUGGGCAAUGGAAGGAAGUAUAGAGUGUGGUUGGUUUCAUGGAUUCAGGGUGGGCCGAUUAUCCAGCAGUUUGGGGAGAGGGUGAUCUAUGAUGCGGGUAGUCGGUGGGAUGCGAGGCUGGUGGAUUUCAUGGGUCGGGAUGGUGAUUGGAGGUGGCCACUUGUUUAUUUGGAUUUGAUGGACAUUUGGGAUAGGGUUCAGGGAGUGAGGCCGAGUCCGAGUGUUGAGGAUAGGUGGGUUUGGGUGCCGGGGAGUCAUGAUAGUUUUUCGAUCACCAGUGCGUGGGAGACUAUUCGUCCUCAUAGUAGUAGGGUUGGCUGGUCGGGUUUACUAUGGGUUGGGGGAAAUAUUCCUAAGCACUCCUUUUGUGCUUGGUUGGCCAUCAGGGAUAGGUUGGGUACUAGAGGUAGGUUAAGUCGGUGGGAUAGGUCGAUUCCUUUAUCGUGUUUGCUUUGUGGAGGGAACUAUGAGUCUCGUGAUCAUUUGUUUUUUUCUUGUCAUUUUGGGUGGGAGAUUUGAUCGAGGAUCCUUUUGCUUAUGUCAUCUUCUCAUAGAACCGGUUAUUGGGGGGUUGAGUUAUCUUGGAUUUAUAAUCAGGGUAUUGGGAAGAGUGUGAGGAGAAAACUGUGGCGCCUCUCUCUAGUGCUACAAUUUAUUUCAUUUGGCAGGAGCGAAAUCAUCGUCUUCAUGGAGGUGCUAUUCGGGAGCCUCUGGUUGUAUUCCAGCUCAUUCGGUCGUGUAUUAAAGCGCGUGCUGCUUCUUGGUCGGAUGGUGUUCAUGGUCUUAUUUAAUGUUCUUUUCGUUUGCUUGUCCCCGGGCUGUGGGGUUUCUCUUCUCUUUAUUAACUUUGUUGUCUUUCUCUCUUCUUCUUGUCCUUUUAAUGUUUGGAACACUAGUUGGUUUCUUUUGGUUUUAGUUAUUGUUCCCGAGAUGUGGGGUUGUUUUGGGUACUUAUGGGUUGUUUUGUCUAACUACUUGUUCUGUGAGUGUUGUUCGCUCUUUUGUCUUGACCUCAGGCUGUGAGGUCCACAUUGUUGUUGUAUAAUAUUAUCAUUACCUUUUAAAAAAAAAAAAUCAAACUCAAUGCUAAGUUUGACUGCUCCCUUCGAAGUGACAACAAGCCUCGUUUUCGCCCUAUUGUGGAUCGUGGAGGAUUCCUCCUCUUUUCAAAGCCCUCAAUCAAACUUGACGUUAUGUUUAAAACACUAAAAAUAGAUGGUCUAGUUUUGGUUAGGCCAAAAGCGAUGUUUUCCCCCAAAAGCUCUAAUAGCUAGGGAACUCAACAUUCUACUUGACCUAACCGACUUGACUCUGCAUUUGUUAUGAGCUUUUUUUAAUGCAUAUUGCAUAUAUUUUUUUUAUAAUUGUUGAUUGUCUCACUUUUGUAUGGUAUGCAUUUACGAGCCUCUUUUCUUUCUUUGUUAUGAACUGCGGUGACUAGGCAUUGCUAUAACCGAUGGGGUAACAUUUCUAUGGUUCUACACUUAGUUUCUAAGUGUGAUUGCUCACCUCUAAUUUUCAAAAUACUUAAUUUCUAAGCACAUACAAUGUUCACCUAGAAAAAAUUGAAAAUUGUUGUAGUUAAGAUCAAAACUAAAUAGUUAUGAAAUAAGACAUAAGAGAUAUGAUUUUAACAACCUUCCCGUUGUACUUGGGAUCCACUCUGGCUUUGUGCUGGAAAAUUGGUUUGGAGCUGAUCGUAAGCUUUCGGUUGCUCUUCUAUAACCUUUAGAUACCCUUCAAAGCUAUAAGCUUUGCUUCCUGACGAAGAAUCUUCUACUAUUACAAUACAUAAGAAAAUUCUAUUUCAUAAACCCUGUAUCAUAAUUGAGGCUGAUAGAAUGAUUAUUCUAUAACCCUACCGAUAGUUUCAUUCUUAACAUUCAUAGACACGAUGCAUGGCAGCUAUCCAAUUCUAUUUCAUGUUCUCGAGAAUGGCUCGGUUUAACAAUAAUGUUAAUUUUUGUUUUCAAUUUUAAAAUAAUAACGCUGCUUACUAAUCUUUUUUUUUUUUCAUUUGGCAUUCUACUUUUUCUACUUAGCUUUCUUUCCCUAGUGAUAACAAAUAACACGGGUGAUAAAAAACUUAAUCACUCACUUGUUUUAGCAACCGAAAGCCCUUCUGUUCAUUGAACUCUCAAUUUCAUCGAGACUAAUUUCUCACUCAAACAUGGUCUUGCAUUCUCUAGAAACGUCCUACAAACAAAAAUGAAGAACAAAAAACUACAAUAAGGUCUAUGAAAAAGUUACAAAGGAAAAUCUCAAAAACUGAUAUGUAAGUCAUAACAACCUUAAGUCCUCUUAUCGUGGGUUAAAAUGCACGUAAGGUUUUUCCAAGAGUCCGAGCAACUAGCAUGUAAAUAAGUUAAGUCAACUAAAUUUGCUAUAAAUUUACUCGUAUUAACAUUAUCAUUGUUAUAGACUUGACAACUUCAAAUUUAUCAAUAUAAAAUAUGCUUUAACAAAACGUACCUUGAGGUUCCUCCAACCUCAUUAAAAAAGCAAAUAAUCCAAAAAAAGAUAACUAAUAUAUAUAUAUAUAUAUACAUACAACAGUAUUUAGUUAAAUUACAAAAAAAAAUUCUUUUGAAUUUUGUAGUUUGUGUAAAAAAAUAACCUUAAACUUUGAAAUGUUAAAAAAAAUUGUUUUGAACUUUUAAAAAUUAUUCAUAAAUACAUCUACAUACGUAGGAUGAAGGUAUUGGCAUGCUUCUCUAAAAAAACUUUCCAAAAAGAUGUUGUGUGACUUUUGAAAAGAAAAAUUACAAAUGGGGUCGUUUUUAAACAAAUUAGAUAUAUCGAGUUAUAUUUCUUUAAUUUUUUCCUUUUUUCACAUAUUAUCAAUCACAUCUUACUUUUUUCUUUUUUCUUUGGAACCCUGUAAAAGUAACAAAAACAUUUAUAAUCACAUGACUCAUGUCACUACAUUUUCUAAAUUUUAAAAGUAGUAAAUUUAAAAGUUGAUAACCCUAUGAUUAUCGUUUGAUAGUCAUCUAAUAUCACUAAUUUUGUCAUAUUCUUAAUAUCCAAAUAAGGUUUCUUGGUGAGUCUAGAGUCGAACGUGAGGACUUAUACUAAAAAUAUAUUUUUAUUUUGAAAUUAUCUUAAGGUGAUUAAUAACAUACGCCUAAGAACAAUAGCGGUAUCAUCCACUUGUAAGGGGGGAGGGGAGUCAUCCACUAUAGAUAAGGUCCACUUGUCUCCCUCACCCAACUUCAUAAGGCUGCCAAAAGAGUUAGGCAUAAUCACAUCCACACGUUUACCCUUCUCUCGAACAUAAACCAACUCUCUUUUCUUCCUAAUAACGAGUAAUUUCAUCUCGAUUACCUACCUCCUUUUCCUUAAUAUGCCUAAUGGUGGAGCUAUUAGUCUUACUUUCCUCCAACUAUUUAAAGUCUAACACCACAUCAACAAGACACAAUUGUCCGUUCCUCCUCUUUGUUUGAAACCACCUUGCUCACAUCCUCCUCUCGAUGAACUUUGUUUUCCACAUUCUUAGGACACUUACCACUAGAAUGCCCAAAAGACUGGCACAAAUUACACCUUCGAGGCUUCCACUCAUAAUUCACAGCCAUAACGAAAUCCUCUCCCCUAAGGUGAAUUGUAAAUUCAGCAGGCAUAGGAGAGUCCACAUUUGAUUCAACAAAUACUCAAGCAUGUGACAACCUUCGUCUUUCCUUAGUAGCUAGAUCUAAAGAUAGAGGUUUUCUUAUAGCACUAGCCACAACAGUCAAUCUGACAUCUGUCCAUAACUCCAUUGGAAUCCUACCUAGUUUAAUCCAUAUAGGAACAUAAUAAAAAACAAAGGAUUUAGGGACAAUACCUGGAGUCCAUUUACGGAGGAGCAUACUUUUGCCAGCAAGAUGUCGCGAUCAACGAGAUAGGAUCCAUUCAACAAGUUUUGGGCAUCUGAAUUGGAAACAGAUGAGUCUGUUCUCAAGAAUUGUAAUCGUUGGCAUUUUAAUUUUAUCAACAAUAACAACGAGCUAAACAAAAUCCUCUAUCCAGGACGCACUAAUGAAAACUAAAAUGUAAAAUAAGUACGAAGUAAUUAAUUAAAACAAAAUACAAAAGAAACCCACAGUAAGUUGACAAAAUGCCCAUAAUAAGCUUCAAGAUGAGUGAGAGGGAACACCAAGAGAAACAUGAAUAGCCUUGCUAACUUUUCACUACUAGCCAACUACAUAUUUUUUACAAUACGUGUUAGGGAAAUCUUUCCCUUUGCAAAACAGACCAAUAUAUAAUCAAUCAUUGGCUCCUUAUGGGAAAAUACAGAAGCCCUAUACAUGUAUGUUUCAAGCCUGUGUUGAACAACUUUUAAUUCCCUAAGAUAAGGAGAUUUAUCUGAAGGUUCGAGAAUAAUGACAUGUCCUAAACUAACCCACCAUUUCGCAACAGUGAACCAGUUUGAUCGUUAGGGGACAACUUUUGAUAAUAAGUGCACAACCAUACCCUAAUUCCAAUGUUGCCCAAAAGUAAAGGCCUUUCUUCACAAGGCUCCAUAAAAAAAAGUUCGACUUUCACAUAAAGAUCUUAUUUCUUUUUUAUUGCUCCAAGAGAUCUAAUAGAUCUAUUUUCACCACGCAAAUCCCUUUUGUUAUCAUGGGAAAUGUGUUGGUUGUGCUCAAACCAAAUCUCUGCUAGCAACACUUUUAUCAAAUUAACCCAUAUUGUUUUUUUUUAAAAAAAAGGAUAUGAGUCUCACUAUUAUUAAUAUUGAAAAAUGAAGAGACAAAGUUCAAUGUCAUGAGGAUUAUACAAAGAGCAAUAGGAUGGAGGAUCAACAGACGCACCUGGACAUCUCAACUAGGUUGACACCCCCUUAGCGCCCUCAUCACAUCCAAAAAGCGACAACACAAGAUCAAAACCAAAAGCCACAAAUAGAAGGCUUUUUUUGUGUUUGUUUUGCCUUUGGACAUUACUCCUUUGUUAUGGGUUUUAGCUUGGUUGGAUAUGAUGAGGGUGCUAUGGGGGUGUCAACCUAGUUGAGAUGCCAAGGUGCACCCCCUGAUCCAUGGUUACAUGUUCCUUGUAUAACUCUCUUGUACUAUGAGCUUUUGUCUAAUUAUUAUUAUUAUUUUAAUAUUAAUAAAGAGGUUGUCUCCUUUUCAAAAAAAAAAAAAAACAAAACAAAACAAAACAAAAGCCACAAAUAUAAAACCAAACAAAAUGAUAAAAUAAUAUGUCCAAAACAAAUCAUAAAUCAUAGGUAGCAGGUUUAGAACAAAGAAGAAUAAGCCUUGAUUGAGCAAAAAAUCCCAACAAAUAUUGAAUGUUUAGAGAAGACGGAACCAACAUUUCGAUACAAAGACAUAGUCAAUUAAAAGGUGCUAAAUAUUUUUCAUGUUAUCAACACAAAUGGGGCAGACAUGAGGUGAGAGGACAUGGGAGGGAAGUUUUCUUUGAAGUACUAAAGCACAGUUUAAUUUUCCAAACAACGUAAUCCAUAUGGGGAUAUUUAUCCAAAGAGUGAGCUAAAUAGCCCAAUAUGUGAUUGUUUUAUAAAACAUCGUUUUGAAAUAACAAGUAUUUAACAAUUAACUCUUAACAUAAAUGAAAUCAAACUCAAACAACUUAUCUCAAACUUUCCCUUUCAGUUGCUAUACCUAGAAUCGUCGAGACGAAAAACAAUAAACUAGGCAUAGAAGCCCUAUCCCGUGAUACGAUACUUACGAGAUGAAACUCUAGGCAUCAAUUGUGCCCUAUCUCGUUAUAACUACAAUGGGAUGGAAAACUAGGCAUUCGUACAGGCUCUCGUCCCUUGAGAUGGGAAACUAAGCAUCUUUAGAAGUCUUCAUCUCUUAUCUAAUACCAAUGAUGGAAAGCUAGGUAUUUACUGAAUAUCCAAAUCAAAUGACCUCUAUGCACAAGAAAAUCUCUCCCGAAAGGUUGCUAUAUAUCUUAGAAUAUUUUAGGUAUAGACUAAAACAUGCUAAUAUUAUUUUCAAGCUUAAACAUUUUGAAAACUUAGCACAAUCAUGAUUGCUUAUAAUUUUCAUUAGUAAAUUCAUCAAUAAAAACAUGUUUACCAAAAUGUUUCUAAAUUCAUGCUUUGGAAAUACAUUAUAAGUCAGUAUCCUCAAAUAUUCAAACAUCAAAGCAUGCUUGAAACAUUUGAUAGUAAAUUCAUGUUUAGAAAUCAACUUUAAACUCAUUUUUGUCACUUAUCGAGAGUAGCUUGGACCCUUGGCUUAUAAACUUGUUCUAUCUCCUUCAGAUCUAAAAUAUCAAAACUUUGCUUAAAAUUUCCAAAAACCACAAAAACAGCCCAAAGACAUUAGCUUGCGUACAAAAUAUUGUGGCAGAAGUUGGCAGGCGCGCGUAGGGCUUGCCUUGCCAUGUCUCAUUCUAACCUCAUGUGCAGCGUGUCACAAUCACAACUUUUCAAACACGGAACAGACAAUUGUGCGGCACUUGUUGUAACUCGAUGAACACGUCAGUUGUAUGAAAUUUGAUACGAUGUAGCCUCCCUACAGGUUUUAAGAGAAAUUGGUUUUAUUAAACAUGAGAGAGAAAGGAAAGCAUUGGAAACAUCGUUAAAAAAACUUUGAAGAUUGUCCAUUGCAAAGAGAGCUUAAAUUGCAAAGAGUACCUCUGUGAUGAGAUUGGUUUGUGGAACCAAUUGGGAUGGGAAAAAGUUUAGAGAUAUUUGAGAGAAACUCUUUUCUUUUUGCAAAGAGCAAUAGCGUUAGCCUUAUUUUUUUCUUUUUUUAUUAAUUCAUUUUUUUAAGAAAAUUGUUUUCUUCUAAAUAUUAUAACUCUCUUUCCUUCUAGGAAUAGAAAAUGAAGUAGAAGAGAACCAUGAGAUUCUAUUAAUUUACAAAUAAUUAAAUUAAUAUAUAUAUUUCAAAUCUACUGAUUAAUUAAACAUUAAUUCAAUUAGUUUAAUGAAAUCGAAUUUAAUUAAAUAAUAUUAAACUAAACUAUUAAUUAAUUCUCCAAUUAACUAAUAACACUAAAUUAUUUAUCUUAUAUUUAACUUAAAUUAAAUUUGAAUCAUAUUCAAAUAUAAGUUUCUCUCAAUAAUUUUAAUAUGAAUCCAAUUCACAUUAAAUUAAUAUUUGAACUCAUUCAAAUAUUUUAUCUCUCAUAAAUUAAUUUUGAAUCAUCCCCAAAGUUAAAUUUAUAUAGUAAAGUUUGAUAAACUUUAUAUUAUAAUGUAUCACUAUACAUUAUACUAAUUCCCAAGUUAAAUUUAAACAUUUUAAAUUACAACCAAUAUAAAUAAAUCUCAUUACCCUUUACGAGCUAGGAAAGGGACCUAAUGGAUCUACAGAUCAAAAGCUACAACGAUCUAAGAUUAAUUGGCUAAACUCAUUAACCACAUUAAUCAAUAUUCGUUAGCUGUGUGUACACUCCAUUAAAGACUCACAACUGAACUCUUCUCACUAAAAAUAUAUGUCUGUGUCCACGGAUAUAGACCAAUAAUAGUAAGUUAGUCCUUCACGAGUGUUUGUAACACCAGUUGGAUCAAUUUACCACUUUACCCCUAUGUUACCUCUAAUCCUUAAAAACCAGUGCUCCUCUAAUGAACAACUUGUUUAUGGUCCUACUAAUAAACAAAAACCCCCUCUCAUGUCAUAGAGAGGGUACGAACCCUUUGUCCAAGUUUUGGAGCCACCAUUUAAGCUAAAAUUCAUCUACUUACCCUAAAGUAGGAAAUGAGUGAAUUCUAUUUUGUUUAAUUAUAAUCCCAACUCCCCACUCAGUCUUGUCCCCAAAAUCACUACUACAAAAAUAGGCUCUCUUGACGGUUGUAGUUUUCCUUUCUUGACGUUUUUAAAUAAAAAAACGUCAAGAAUUUUUAUGAAAGGCCAAUUUUCAACUUUCUUGACGUUUAUUAAACGUCAAGUAAGAUGUAUUUUUUCUUGACGUUUAAAAAACGUCAAGAAUGUUUAUGAAUUCAACAUUCUUGACGUUUUUUAAACGUCAAUAAUAUAUAGUUUUCCUCGACGUUUUAAAAACGUCAAGAAAUUUAUAAAAAAUUCUUAACGUUUUUAAAAUGUUGAGAUAAUUCUAAAAAGUUCUUGACAUUUUUAAAAACAUCAAGAAAUUUAUAAAAAAUUCUUGACGUUUUUAAAACGUCAAGAUAAUUCUAAAAAAUCAUUGAUGUUUUUAAAAACUUCAAGAAAUUUUAAUUUGUUUUUGAGUCUUUAAAAACAUCAAGAAAUUUCUAAAAAAUUAUUGUGUGAAUAUUCUUUUACAAAACGCAACGUUUCAAUUAGAUCACUUCCCCUUUUCUUAAUUAAACCUAAUUCGCCGCGACUUUGUCCCUUCUCCACCCGAAAUCAAAAGCGUCGUUCACCUAACCUUCCCUUCGCGUUCAUCUGUGCAUUCAUCUGCGUUCAUCGCCGAAAAAGACUUCCCUUUGCGUUCAUCAGCGUUCACCUUCAUUCAUUUGCGUUCAUCGUCCGUCACCGUUCGUCUGCUUUGCGUUCCCUUCACCUUCGUUGAUUUGCGUCUGUCUGUUCACCGUUCGAAAUGUGUAAACACAUUCUCUGUUUGAAAACGAGUAAACACGUUCACCGUCCUUCUGUCGCAUUCCACUUUCGCUAAACCUCUAUUCGUUUCCAAAUCCUUCAUGGUUACUCAUUCAUUUUCUUCCCUUUCUAAAGGUAAUAAUUUUCCUUUUUUCCUUUGUGAUUAAAAUUUGUAAUUUGUUAUUUAAAAUUGGAAUGCAAAAUUAAAGAAGAGGAAAUGUGCCUUAGAGAAUGGAAGAAAGGUUUUGCAUUUUAGGCUUGAAAAGGGGGGAUACAAGUUAUUAUAAUUGUAAUAUAUAAUAUUUUGAACAAGGCUACCAAGCGUGCAAAUAUGAUUCAUUGGUUAGUUUAGGGAUUGGAAAAAGAAGGAUUGUGGAGUUUGUGAUAAUAUUUUGGUACACUGGAGCUGGAAACAGAGAAUAUUAAAAAACACAUACUGUUAUACACAGUAUUAUAAUAAUACGAAUCACUAGCUUUUCUUCUUCGUUUUCUUUUUCUUCUCCUUGAAUUUUUGUUAUGGGUAUUGUAUUCCAUUUUGUGUUUUAGAUUGUGAAGUAUGGGGUAGCUAAACUCUUAAUCCUAGGGAUAGAUGUAGACAAAGUUUAUGAAUUAUUCUUUGUAAUGCAUCUGAUUAUUUGCUCUUCAUCUUUUCAUGUUUUUAUGUGAAUAACGUUCAUAAUAUCUUAAUCACAGAUUAAUUGUUGAUUGGCCAUGAACCUUAAUCUUUGCAUGACUAGAGUGGUUAUGAACUUGGAAAGAGAUAAUUAAGGAUCCUUGAGGAGGUUGUUGAAAGAAGUGGACCUAAAAACUUUUGUUUGUUAAUAAAAAGAAAAAUGAACAGAGAUUCAUCUUCGUCAUGGGUCUUGAUGUUUAAUUUAAUUUAAAUUGUGUAUGAAUUUUUAAUUACGAGAAUUUUAAUAUGUUGCAAGAGCACUAUAGCCAAGGUAUAGAGUGAGGGAGAUAAGGUUUAUAUGUCUUAGAGAAUGGAAAGAUGGAAUUUGUGCUAAAAUCAUUAGUGUUCCAAAUACAAUUAUGAAUUGGGUAUAGUUGCAUUCCCCCUUCUGGAUUGCAUAGCACAUAAAUAUACUCUCAUGGAUUGCAUAGCACAUAAAUAUACUGUCAAAAACAAUAACAUAAAACACAAACUUGAUUUAGUUUCAUUCACACUUGUACACCAACAUGUUUCAAGUAAUGAUCAUAUAUUAAAAAUGUCAUUUUCAAAUUUGGUAAUAUAAAAUGGAAGAAGUGAGACCUUGAGGUUUUGACCACCAAUACUAUCUAACUGAUGAGUUUAUGAUUUUUGUUUCUAUUGUGUUCUUUCCUUAAGCUUUAACUUGUUUUAGGGGCAAGAUGGUGAAGGUCUAGUCCACAACCUUUCCCAAGAAUUUAAUGAUGUUUGGGUUGACCCAAUUAUUGUUAUUGGACACCGUUUUAUGGUAAUUGGUUGUUAUGGUUUUUAAGUGUGUUUUGAUAUCUUGUGUUAAAAAAUAAUUGCAAAAAGUCGGAAAAGUUUGUUAAAGAUUAGGUGUUUUUAAGUUUGUCAUUCCACUUUAAUUCUCACCAGUACUUGCUGAAUGGAAGCCUCUUGUCUAAGACAAUUCGAGUGGAAUAACUCUUGUGACUACCACAACAUUUGGGAACUCACCAAAUGUAAGACUAUUCCUUUAUCCUAGCAUUUGAUCUCUCUCUAUAAUUUGGUUUGCUAUCGUAAGUUUCAUUAAAAUAAAUGCUGAUAAUUCAACUCCAAUGUUCUUAUUUUCUUAACUCCCAUUCAGUCAGUUAGAAUCAGAACUCAUUUAUUUAUCUUGUCUCCAUAAUUUGGAUUCAAAGAUUCAUCACAAUAAUCUUCUCAACAACAUUCUUGAAAAGGUAUUGAAUUUUCAACUGUGUGACCUUUAUACACAAAUUUCUUCAAAGAAAUUUACAUUCUUUAGAGUUUAGAGCUUUGAAUUCUAGUACAACUUAUAAAGCUUUUGAUACUUGUUAGAAUUUUUUGCUUGGUGCGGAUAAAACCUUAUUUACAUUCUUUCUUUCCUGCAUGUUCUCUUUUGAUAUUUGUUAGACUUUUUUGCUUGGUUGUCCUUAGUGUUUUCCUCUUUAGCUGAAAUUUUUCUAUCUUGAAAAAAAUAGAGCUUUAAAAUUCAACUUUAACUUUAUUUGAUACUAUCUUAGUCCAUACUUAUUUUGGUAUUUCUUUCCUUUCUCACAAACAAAUCUAAGAGGUUGCCUUCACAAUAUGGCCACAUUAACAAUAUGGCAACCUUUUUCAUUGCAAAACAUAUUAGAGGUUGGUUACUUAGUUAGCCUUAUUGGGUAAAUAAUUGACAUUUAGGUACUUUUUAGUUUGUAUAUUUAUAGAUGCCAAAUCGAUAUGUGAAUUUUAAUUGUUGCUUAUUUGAAACAUUGCAACCAUUUGAUAAAAUGUUGCUAUGUGAAUCCAUCUUAACUUGAUAUAUUAUUUUAUUUUGGUUUAGGUUGUGGAAUCCAAGUUUGUAUUUGAAGUCAAAUUCAUCCAAGAUCAUUGAGUUUCAAAGCUUCUUUAAUUAAGAUUUUGUUUCUUGAACUAGAAUUGUAGUCUUGUGAUUUUUGGAAUAGCAUAGUUGGAUUGGUUUUGUAAUUUUGGUUUUGUAGAUUCAUCCAAGAUCACUGAAGUAGUGUUUUGUAUAUGACAAUAUCGAACAAACAUGUAAAGUUUUCGAAAUGUUCAUACAUAUAUGAUUAAAUGUUAAUAUAUGUUAAAGUUUUGGAAUUGUACUCGUGCAUAUUUAUGAGAUUGUUGGGCCACACUACAGGAAUUAUAGAGACAAUACAGGAACAAAAAUAUAAAUAAAUUAUAAUUUAGAAAAAAAAUGAAACAAGCUUGACGUUUUUUAAAUGUCAUAAACAAAUACAUUCUUGACGGUUUUUCAAUGUCAUUAACAAGUAAAUUCUUGAUGUUUUUUAAACGUCAUAAACAAUUGUGUUCUUGACCGUUUUUAAAUGUCAUAAAUUACAUUCUUGAUAGUUUUUAAAUGUCAUGAAUACUCAUUCACUUGACGAUUUUUAACUGUCAUGAAUAUUUGUAUACUUGACGUUUAUAAACUAUUAAGAAUCGCUAUUCUUGACGUUUUAUUAACCGUCAAGAACUUUGACUUUCUUGACGCUGGCUUCAACGACGGUUUUAAAACCGUCAAGAAUAGUGAUUCUUGACAGUUUAAAAACGUCAAGAGAAUCUGUUUUUGUAGUAGUGAAUGAUAAGCUUAUUGAGUCGGCGAUCUAGCCACUCUCACUCGUACAAAUCAAAGGACAAUCUCUCGUGAACAAGAGUUCAUAAUACACUCAAGAUUAAGACUAAGUUAUCUAGGUCAUCCUAGUGAAAUAGAAACCUAACUAGUUAAUGUAGUAACACCAAGUGGUUACUAUUUCACGAUCUGGUCUAUUGCAAUCUCAUUGCAUAGGAUACCUUCACUCGCAUGUCAACUACAUGAACACAUUGGAUCAUUGUAUUUGUAUCAAAUACAAAGUGAGUCGUAUUCAUAAUGUUACCAUGAUAAAGGUACCCAGUCUUAUCCCUAUACUAUAGACCCUUUAAGCUGAUCUCGAACAUUGAUCCCUGUAUGUCUCUACAUACUAUUCAAUACUUAUUAAACAGUUUAGGAUGUUAGUUUAUUGGAUUUGAGUUAUUAAGACAAAACUAAUAAUAUAAUCAAUAACAAAUAUUACAAUAAUAACACUUUAUUAACAAUGGUCAAUGGAUUAUAUUUACAAUCUACGAGUUUUAGGACAUAAAUUCCAACAAACUCCCACUUGGACUAAAACUCUAGUCUCUUUGGGAUGUUCAUAAUAAAGUAAUCCUCUAACAUUGAAAAUGGUAAAAUGUACAAGUGUAUUACAUAAAAUGUGUAUAUACAAAUACAAUAAACUAGGGCAUCCUCAUACCCAUUACACAUCUGCCACUUUUCCUAGAUUACCAAAUGUACAUAACUCGCAGAUCUAGACUUUCUAGAAGACCCUCGAACACUUUAGCCAUGAGAGUCUUUGUAAAUGGAUUAGUAAUAUGCCCCACUAUUAUCACAAUAUAAAGUGAUGGGGCAUGUUCAUGUUUGGAACAACUUCCAAAUUAUGCAAGAACUUCCUUAGCAAAACUGCUUCUUUUGCUGCUUCACAAGUAGCAAUAUACUCAACUUUCAUAAUAGAGUGUGUAAUGAUGCGUGGCUCAGGCUGCUUGAUCAUGCCAGGACAUGCUUCUUGCAUGUCCCAAGCCUAAAUAACCUCUUUCGCUCAAAACACACGCUCAUCUCACCUUGUCAUUCUGGCAAUCAACCCACCCUUGGCCUUGCCUAGAAAUAUGAUUUUUCUACCAGAAACUUAACUCGACUUUGAAGCUUAAAUCAAUAAGAUUCCUUCUACAAACUUACUUAGAAUGUCUUCACUAGCUUACCACAAAGUGUCACUACCAAAUUCCAAGUAUUGAGUUAUGUAGCUCCAAAAUACUCUACAUUGUUCAAGUUUUUUUUUUUUUUUUUUUGAAAAUGACCUUUGAGUCUUUCUUCACUUCAAUGCCUUUCUUCCUGGUAGCCUUUCUCCUGAUACUACACUCAAUUUAGGAGAUUUUCGAAGUAGAGUUACCCAAUUAACACAAGUUGAUUGUUAACAUAAUUCAUCCAAAGUUGUACAUAUAGUGAUCCUUGCAUGCUCUUUGGUUGACACUUUUAUUCUCACCUCUUACGCCUAUACUUGCCACUUUCCACCUCAUGCAAGACACUUAUUUGGCAAAACUUAGGUAUCUUGUAUGUAGUCCACUUGUACUCUACCGCACAUCUUACCUCAUAUUGCUUAAGUCAUCCUUGGACGCAUAUCCCUUUUUCUAUGAGGGUUCUUUAGUAAAUUCUUACUGCCAAGAAUGCCUAAGACUUUUUUUUUCUCGCCUAAUCUCCCAAACAUCCCUCAAUGCCUUCAACAAACCAUGCCAUCCUGACUAGCAUUUGGUUGAAUUGCCCCAUUGGCCGCAUGGCCUAUGUCCACAUAGCCCACCUCUUUGUUGCAUGACAUUCCUUAUCCACGUUCUAACUUCUUUAGAGUUUCUUGACAUUUCUUAGAUGCUUAGCUUCCUUGCCUAGCGCAUACCCUUGGUCAUAUAGCCUUGUCUUAUAGAGGUUGUCUUGACACCUUUCGGCCAUACCACAUCUCAACCUUUGGCCACCCAACAUGUCUCUUUAGAGGUUCGCUUGACACUUUUGGCCGCCUAGAGUAUGCAACAUGCCCUAGCCAACACUUAGCCAUAUUUUCAAACACCCUUUAGGCCUUUCUUUGUUACGAUGACACUUUUCUUUUGUCAUCUUAAACAAUAUUAACACAUCUUCCAUAACACUUCAACUAAACUAUUUAAUCUUAAACCAUCUUUCUCCUAACAUCAACCCCUAAUGUCCUAUUGAGUUCUUUAGAUGAAUUAAGGAUUAUUGAGUAUCGGGGUUUACACGCGAGAUGUAAGUCUUCCUCCUUGGAAUUACGUAUAGUAGUGUGCGGAGGGAGAGGAAUGUGAUGCAGGUCUUCCUCCUCAACCCUAAGGAAUUUUUCUUCGCUAACAAUGCCCUUUUGAUCGGGUAAGGGCUUGUUCGGUCAGGUCGUGAGGUGAAGGAUGUUGUUAUAAUGAUGGGGGAUUUGGUGGUGAGAGGAUAAUAGACAUGCGAGAGGACUUGGGUAAGAUUGAUGAGGGGGAGGUUCAAUUUUUGGAUGAGGACUGGAAUUGAAGGAUUUGGAUUUUGGAGGAGGCGAUGAGAGAGUUAAGGGUCAGAUUGCAAGAGCUUUAGGGUCGAUGACCAAGAUGUUUAUUAAUAACAUGUGUUUGAUACAUAAUUACAACACUUUGACCAAACAACCAAUGCUUAACUAUUUUCAAAACGUCUGGUCAUCUCGCUGCAAAUCCUUCAACCUUCUUCUCUACUUGGCCUAAACACCUCAUCUUGGAAGAUGAAUUUUUGAAAGAAUGUCUAAAAGACUAAGGUUUUAUGAAAUCCUUUUCGCAAUACCUUUUCAUAAACAUCAUUUCGCAUAAACAACAUCAAAUAAUUUUAUCUCGCAUAAACCUUUCUUUAUCCUUAACAUACUCAUAACAUAACAAUUUCACAUAAACACACAUUAGUUAACAUUCAUUCCUUUCACCAAAGAUUUUGAAUUGUUCUCUACACUUUGAUGUAGAACAUCUCCCUUCUUGAUGUUUCUUGAGUUUUAUCCUAGAGGAGGGGUUUGAAUUACCAUUUUUGUAGUUUAGGAUUAGUUAUUUGAAUUACCAAUUUUGUAUCUUGAGUUAGUUAUAACUAACUCAACUCCAAGUUAAACUAACUCAACCCCAAGUUAGUUUAACAACUCUUGUAAUCUCCAGCCUAUAAAAAAGCUUCUCAUUUUCAUUAAUAAGACAUAAAAAAAAGAGGCAUUAUACAUAAAGAUUUCUAGCUUUGCAAUUACUGCAUCAAUUGGUAUCAGAGCAUGAUCCUAGCUCACUCUUCCCUAAAAAAACUUGGAUCCUACCACUCUUAUCCAUGGACGCGGAAGCCUCCUUCAACCAACGCUUGCAGUUGGUAGAACAAGCUAUUGAAGAACUUCGAAAAGGGCAGUCGGAUAUACAACAAUCGUUAGUAGAAUUAACAAACCUUUUUACCCGAUUUCAUGUCCAACCUUUAGAAGAAGCAAUUUAGCCCCCAAGAAACCCAAUUGCAGGAAACCAAGAAAGACAAGAAAGACCAAUAAACUCUGUUGUAAACCAAGAACUACUAAGAAAUCAACCUAUUCACAUCCACAAUAAUCGAUUGUAUGGAAACAACGUACCUGGAAAUUUCUUAAGCGAUUCUGACUCUUCCGAUGAAGACAACUUGCUGAACAUUCAUCAAGAACCUCAACAAAGGCUUGGACUUCGACCAUACUUUCAAGAAGAUCAAGAAAUACGUAUGAAAGUGGAUCUCCCUACCUUCAAUGGUCGAAUUGACGUGGAGAAGUUUCUUGAUUGGAUCAAGAACGUAGAAAAUUUUUUCGACUAUGCCAAUACACCCAAACACAAGAAGGUUCGAUUAGUUGCUCUCAAACUUUAAGGUGGCGCAAGCGCUUGGUGGGAUCAAUUACAAAACAAUAGACGAUUAUUCGGUAAACAAUCUAAAGAUUAGCUGAAUAUCUUAUAAAAAGAUGUUGCCGUAGGCUUAGUGGUGACAGGUGAGAAAGUAAGCUGUGUCUUUUAUGACUCUUAAACGUUGAAGUCAAUCAAUGAGUUCCAAAUGCAAUAUUGGAAGUUUUCUUAAAUAUUUUGAUGCUUUUGCAUGUUAUGAAAGAACUUGGUUAGAUGUGAGAAAGGGGUUUAUGAGAUUAGUUACUUACUAUUCCCUUUUUCACUGUCAUUGCUACUCAGUAGACAUGCUAUGGGCUCGUGUUUCUGUAGAAUAUAAUUCAGAUGCUCUUUCUCUAGAUUAUAAUUUAUAUGUUCUCUCUACAAAUUUGAAGUAAUUUCUACUGCUUUUGCUAAUAUUCUCUAAAGCUUAUUCAAAAUGUAGUUGUUUAAUAACUGUUCAGAUUUAAAAUAUAUUAUAGAGUUAAAUUUAACACAGUUAAUCAGCUUAAGCAUUUGACUCUGGUGUUCUUAAGAUAUAAAUUCAAAUCCCUAUAAUUUUAUCAUGUGGAUCUUUUCAAUCUUCUCACAUACUGUCUUCAUUUCAUAAUCUUGCCUACUAGCUGCGUAUCAUCAAUGAAAUUACCAUAGGAGUCCACAUGUGGUAAUUAUGGAUCUAGCACGAUAUACUGCGUAUCAUGUUGUUGGAGAUCAUUUUAAAUGAUUAACCAGUCUAUUGGUGGUUUGAGUCUUUCCUUUUGAAUCUAUAGGUUGUUCAAUGGUCUAAUAUUAACUGUGUUUAGAUUUAUGGUAAUUUUCAUUCUUUUACAGCCUUAAUAACCAAGAAAAGGUGUGCUUUGAUAAUCUUUUCUUUCUCUUCGGCAGGUUGGUAAUGUAGAAAGGAUACAUGUAUACUAUGCCCAUGGACUAGAUAGCCCAACCUUUGUUCGCCGAUGUUAUUGGCUCCUAGAUAAGUAUGUUAUGGUUGAAAGAAAAUUGUUAAAUUUCUUGCUACCAGUUGUUUCAGUGGGGUCUAUCCCCAUCAUGCCACAAGCAAAGAAAAAUGAAAUUAAACAGUGGAAGUAUAUCGUGUUCUACUUAUAUAAUUUAUGACUUGCUUCUGCUUUUUGUUCAGGACCUUUGAACACAUUGUCCUUGUUUAUUACCGUGAAACACAAGAGGUUAGGUUCAGCACAAUGCAUCUGCAGUUACUGAAAUAUUAUCUUGAGACAAACUUUUAUCAUUGGACUACUACAUCUAUUUAAGAUUUGCUAAUUUUUCCUCCAUGGUUGCAAUAUUAGAACUUCAUCCAAAAUAAUGUUGUCAUGUGUGUCUUUAAAUUUUUACUGGCAGUCUGGCACCAUAUAGAUCUAGUAGUUGUGCAUGCAUGUCUUCCUCUCUAUCCUCCAUUGAAAAACUCGAUAAUUAUCUGUUUGUGUUUUAUUUUGAUGAUUUAAUCCAACAUUUAUUAUGGAUAAAGUCAGCCAUAAAAUACAUAUGUUUACUACUGCUCUUUGUACAUUUUAAAUACUAGAUUUCUUGAUGAUUGUUGUCUUUAAGUUGCUCUUAAUGUUGUUGCAUAUCGAGAAAUGCACUGUAAUUUCUGUACCAAUUUUAUCACUGCUUUUAACUAAAUCUUCAAAAAUCAAGGCACCACCUGGAUGUAGAGUGCUAUAUGGUGAUUCAAGUGUUGAGAGUUCUCUUUCUUCUGCUAUCCAUAAAUUUAUGGAAUGGAAAGGCAAUGAUCAUGACACUAUUUUUUGUCAGAUAAACACUGGUUUCAUAUGCUUCAACUCUGUGGUGCUUCACAGCACACGGAUAAAACUUCCAAACAUUCUGCACCCAAUAUUACCAUAAUGCAUUUGGACAUUUCAUUAACAACUUCUUACAAUUAGCCUUUCUAUAUUGAAAAUAAUUCGUUGUCUUAACUUCCUGUUGCUCCUAGUUUCAGAAUUUUCCAUCCACAUCGUUGAACUCAAAUUCUGGUUCUGUCUCUAACCCAUCAACUCCGUGGCUUUUAUCGGAGGAACUUGAUUCCAAGGCUACUCAUGUUUAUUCUCUUGGUGAAAAUGAAUUGUCAGGUGAUACUGGCCGAACCUGUCAAAAAUAAAUGAGUCAUAGUUUGUUUGAUCAUUCAUUUUCUAAUCUUUCUUCUUUAUAUUUAAUUAGUUGUUUAAUUUCUUAAAAAAGAAUUCUGGUUUAUUUAUAGUAUAUUUGGUAGUAUGCAUGCCUCAGCUCCUUUAAUGCAUGUCUCUUACAGUAUAUUUGGUAGUCUUUUAUAAUGUUACACCCUUUUUUUUAAUUCCUAAAACCUUUUAACUUUCCAAAUUUUCAUUCAUUCUUUUAGAAAAUUAUUUUCAUUAUUUUUUUAUGGUUACAAAACCAUCCAUUAACUACAUUAAUUAGACAAUUCACUCCAAUAAUAAAUAAAUAACUUUUUUGGAUCUAAGGUCUUUUCUCAUUCUACAAAUUUAAUUUACUAUAUAAAGGUUAUUAUGCUAAUUGAAAAAUAUAUUUCUCUCAAGUAUGCAAUGACAGAAAAUUAGGUUAUAACUAUAUAAAAAAUAUAUUUUUAGGUAUUAUAAUUUUUUUAAAAAAAUUAUAUUUUAAAUUUUUAAUAAAACCUUGCAUUUGGGGAUUCACAUGUUGUUACUUGUCGAACCAAAAAAGAUAAAUUCGUGGUGAAAACUCUUUAAAAGCCCAAUUCGUGGAAGGAAAAAUUGAACUGUGGCGUUGAGUUAUUUUGUUGUUGAAGAAGAUCGGUAAAAAACCCACAGCAUUAAAACUUCUUUUUGUUUCUUUAAGUAUAUUUUAGAUUGCAGCGUAUUUUCUAUUUGGGUUUAGUUAGGGUUUCUCUUGUUUAUUCCAAGAUAUGCAUGGAUAAUUCAUGUUCGACUAUUUGGAAAGAGGGAUUUAUGUAGCACGGGUAUUAUAUUAUGGUUUUGGAAGUGUCGAGAUAAAUUAAGGACUUUUUUAAUCUUCUUCAAACAAACCUAUACGAAGGCGAAGAAUAAUUUGUGCUUGUAUUUUAGUCGGAAUAAGAAGAAACAUGAAGAGAAUGCCCACGAGGAAAAUGACCAUGAGAAAAAGUUGUGUAUUCCUCCAUCCAUAACUGAGCUCUCUAAUGUGUAUUCCUCCCUCCAUAACUGGCUUACUUUGGACUGUUUGGAUAGAAAGAAACAAUAGAAUUUUUAAGGAUAAAUCAAGGUUUAUUGUUAACUUGUGGGAAGACAUAUGUAACUUGAUCGGAGUUUGGUCUAGGCGUCAUUCAUCUUGUAACCAAUAUGAUGUUAAUUACUACCAACUCUUAACUUUAAGCUUUGUUAGAUUAGGUUGUUCCGGGCUUCCCUCUAGCCUUCAACCUUGUAACUUUAACUCAAUUUGAAAAACGUCAAGAAUGUUUAUAUAUUCAACAUUCUUCAAAAUUUUCAAACGUCAAGUAAUAUGUACUUUUACUUGAGAUUUUAAAAACGUCAAGAAAUAUCUUAAAAAUUCUUUAUGUUUUAAAACGUCAAGAAUUUUUAUAAAAAGCCGGAGAAGAGUUAUUUUUUAAAUAUCUUGAUGUUUUUUAGACGUCAAGUAAGAUCGUUUUUCUUGACGUUUUAAAAACGUCAAGUGUUAUUACUAUAUAUUAUAUAUAUAUAUAUAUAUAUAUAUAAAAGAAAAUAUUGGGUUGAAUCCUUCGAAGCCCUAGACUUGUCUCUACCGCAUUCGAAAAUGCCAAGUUCUCUCAGAGGAUCUCUCACUUCUGCCGUGUUCACCGUCCGUCCGUCCGCGUUCACCACGCCCUCUCCGAAAAUGCGUACUAGAUCCUUCGCUUUCAGUCGUUCACCAUCCACUGAGUACGAGAUCCCUAAGACUUCCGCCAUCUGCCAUCUCUAAUACUCUGAAAUCGUCGUCCGUUGUCCCUCAAAGUUGUCGUCCUUCUCUACGAAAAUGUCGUCCUUCUUUCGAGUCUUCAUUCCCCUUUAUGUCGUCCUUCUGUAUUUAGAGGUUAUACUUCAUUCCCCUAAAACUUCCAUUGGUUUCCAUAUUUCAAGAAUUUGAAAUUUUUAUAGGAUAUUGCUAGUGGAAAUUAAGUCAAUUCUGUUUGCUCCCAACUACCUCCUGAUUAUGCUGUCUGGUUGGGAGAAAUAAAGUCUUUGUCAUAUUUUAAGGUAGUGUAUGUUAACCAACACUUAGUGCAUUUUCGUGUUUAUGAGCUUAUUUUAGUUAAUAUGUUUUUGUAGGAAAAAUAUGAUGUCAAUAUGGCAUAUUAUACGAUGAAAUUGUAGUCGUUUAACACAAAAUUUUGAGGUUCUUUUUCAACUAAUUAUGCUUUAUCUAAUAUAUUUUUCCAAAUCUUAAAAAAGAACUUUUGAUUUCAUUGGAGUUUAUCAUUAGAGGCAUUACUAUAUUGGCUGCCUCUCAGUGGGCUAUAGGUUUUCCAAUGGUCAUUUGAGACUGAUUGAUAAUAGCAAAAGUUAGAGCUUAAGAAGAAGGAGCGAAGAAAGUAGUGAAGACAAAAGAAGAAAGAAAGCUGAGUGAAAAACGAAAAUUGACAAGGUAGAGAUGUGACAUGAAAAUGAUGAUGAGAAGUGAAGGAGGCACGACACAAUACUGGUACACAAUGACAAAGCCUUGAUAAUUAAAAAAAGGAUGGUGCCAAGAAAAUUUAAAUACAAAAAAAUGAAGGUUCUUGCAAGUGUAUUGAGUGAAUGGGAGAAAGAAUGGAUAAAAAAGGUAGAAAGAGAGAAAGAGAAGUCAAGGUAGAGAUACAUAGCUUUGUAUAUAGAAAUUUUAUGUUUAUACUCCAUUAUACGUUGUGGAGAAUAUAACAUCCUUAUAUGUUUGAUUCAAUUUGAAUGAUGCAAUUAUUUAUUUUUCUCCAAUAAUUCUACUUUUAGAAACUAAAUUUUGAAAGCCUACUAAUUUUGCAGAAUUAAUUCGAGACCCCACUUUUGCUCCCCUUCCUACCUACGGUUACUUUUUGCUUAAACUUUAAAAGUUGUUUGAAAAUUUUUGCUGAAACUUGUAAAAUUUGUUUGAAGUUCGUAUAUCUCUCACAUAUUGCAAGGUUUCUUAAUUAUUUUAUUGAAUUUCCUCUAGAAAUGCAUUCAAACAUGAGUUGACAUUAUUGGAAAAGAUUCGUCACCCUAAUGUAGUUCAGUUUUUUGGUGUCGUUACCCAGAAUUUGCCUAUGAUGAUUGUUUCUGAAUACCAUCCGAAGGUAUGGAUAUAUUUUCUUACCCUUUAUUUUAUUCUAAUGAAAAUUAUUUCAUCAUGUUUCAUUCCAAGCAUUUCAUUACAUAUUUUGUUCAUAUAUGAUGAAUGGUGAUUAGUUUUUGUAUCAACUUAUUCCCUCUUUCAUGUAUAUUUCAUCUUCCAGGGUGAUAUAUAUCAAUUUAUUCCCUCUUCAAUUGAUUCUUGUUUUUACUCUUGGCUUAUAGGUUGCUACAUGAUCGUAUAUUAGGAGCAAAAUUGUGCAAUUAGUUUAUAGUUAGGGAGAUUUCAAUAGUAAAAAGCAAAGAGAGUAAAUGGUAACAAAAUCAUAUUGUUCACAUGAAAUGAUAAAAUAAUCAUUACACAUUUACAAGAACAAUAAAUAAAUUAUGUGAUUUUCGUGAGAAAAAUGAAGAAGAAAUAACUUCUAACAAAAGUGAAUAUAAAUUAAAGGAGAAUAUAAAAUUGUUGAAAAUAUUUAUUUUCAAUAAUUUGGAAGUUCUUUGGCUAUAUAUAAUGAAAGAGAGCCUUUCCAAGGUGUGAUGCCUGGCGUCAACAAUGACGCGCUUAGCACAGAUACGGAACCGGACACCAUCUUCUUGGUGUUUGUCUGUGCAAAAGCCUCGAGUGGCUAUGGUCUUCUUCUUCUCUGUGAGGGAAAUGGUUGAAGUUGCUAGACUAUUUCAAUUACUAUGUGAGAGGUGGCUGAAUUUUAUUGGACCUCUCUUCUUGGGCUUACUUUUUACAAUUGUUUAACAAUCUCUCUCCGAAUAUACCUUCGUCCCCUUAGCUGCUUUCCACUUUGGUAAAAUCGCCAAAGCUUUAUGUGUACAUUGCAAGAGACAGAGGAGCAAGGCAAAAUAAGGUUAUUGGAACAAGGCGAAAGUUAUCAUUGCUAGCUGCAACUUUCCUCAUUCUUCUCACCCUCCUUCAAACCAUAUUGUCUGCUAUGUAUGCAUUUCCUAGCUAGCCUUCCCCGGCAUAUUCUAUUUUAGCUUUUUUCCUCUCCAGUUUCUGUUAUGUAUUUUUACUGAAUAUUGAUCUCCUUUUUGCUAUCAAGAUAGUAUACCAUACAUGCAUGUGUAGGACUUUAAUUUUAUCCCUUAUAUUUUAUAAUUUGUCUUACUACUGUUAUUGACUGAUAUACCAAUAUACAUGUGUAAAGUAUUGAUCAUAUAAUUAAUAUUAAAUUUAUUACAUUCACUCAUCAAUUUAAGUUUUUUAGUCAAUGUAUGUUCAUGAUGUACCAUGGUCAUAUCAUAAUAGAAUAGAUCCAAGAUUAUAUAUGUUCAAACCAACUGGUGAUUUAAUUAUCAAAGAUAUUAUGAUUUUGUCCAGUUUUUUUUCAGUCACUACUAGAAAAAUGGAUUUUAAUCAAGACAUUGUGUCGUUGAAAAUAAAAGAAAAAAGAGGUGGGAUGAGGUACAUUGUGUUGUUGAAAAUAAAAAUAUGGAUUAUUUCUUAAAACAAUUCUAUUGAUACAAUUUAAUUUAUUUCAACACAAUUUUUGCGUCAUUAAUUAACGACAAUUUUUUUGUCAUUAAAAACAUUUUCAAAUGAAAAAACCUCAAAUUUCAAAAUUUUAUAAUUUCCCUCUCUCACGCACUUACAACAAAGUAAAAACCUCAAAUUUUCUCUUAAGCAAAAACGAUGUCGUCGAAUGAAGUCUUAAUGCAAUUUUUUUCUCACUCUACCAAAAAUGCAAAAAAAUUCUCGUCGAACGAAGUGGGCUACCGAGUCGUUAUGAAGAACCCUUGCCUUCCAAUUUUUUGCCACUUGCCGUCGUCGAUUCCACACUCCAACCACUGUUGUCGUUGCUGCCACAACAAGCCUUCGCCGUCGAACCCACCAAUCUAGCCACUUUCGUCGAAUAAAUUUAUUUAGAAAUAUAAGUUUUAAUGACACUUGAAAUCAAGAAAAAGGGAUAUGAGGGAAUAAAAUGUGUCGUUAAAAAUAAAAAUACAAAAUUUUUCGUGACACAAAUUGAGUUUUCAUCCCACAUCGUCGUUGUCUUUCUCUUUCGCAAAUGCUCUCUGGCGACGUUCCCCCCUCUCUAUCAAUUACUCUUCACGACUUUUCCUCUCUCUCAAAAUUAAGCUCUCCGCCCACCGUUUGAAGGAACUCACCAAAUUUGCAAGUAAUUGAAGAAUUUGUGGUCCAUGAGAUCGAUUAAGUCCAUUUAUGAGUUAGUUUGAUUAGAUUAUGUCACAUAUACAUGUAUUACAAUUAAGGGACACUUGCGAAAAUGGCAAAAUAAGUUAUAAUAAUUAAGUCCAUCGAACACAUACUUUAUUAUUUGAGAAAGUGACAAGAACAAAGACCAGCUCACACAUCAAGAGGUAAAAUGUCACAAAUGCCCUCGUUAUUGAUGUACAUUUGAUACACCUUAUACACGUUUGAUACACCUAAUACCCCUUGAUACACUUGAUACUUCUUGCUGAUACACUUGAUACAUUUGAUAGUUAUAAUUCAUGCACUCGGUAUUCAUUGAUACACUCGAUACUUUUUGAUACACACCUGAAACAUCUUCAUACACAUAAUACUUCUCGUUACACUUGAUUCUUCUUGAUACACUUGAUACCCCUGAGGCCUUGAUACACUUGAUUAGUUUGAUACACUUAAAGACUUCACUUAUAAGUUUGAUACGCUUGAUACACCACUAAUAAACUUCUUAUACUUCAUUGGUACACUUAACAAAUUUGAUAUGUUUGAUGUACAUGCACUACAAGAAAUUUACCCUUUCUCGAUGACAAAUAUCGUCAGUAAAUCUUCAAAAACUCAUCGACUUUUCUUUUGCCAACGAAAUUAAGCUGUCAACACACACCGUCACGUAGGUCUGUCCGAAGAUCCUCUAUCGAUGGCAAAAAAUAAACUGUCAGCAAAAAUAGGAACUAUCAAUGAAAUUGAACCAUCAGUGUGCGUGUGUGUGUGCGCCCCGUGUGCGCAUGUCCACAUGUGCUUGGGUGUGUGUAUGCGCACAUACAUGUGUACGUGAGUAGGUGUGUGCGUGUUUGCAUGUGCAUUUGUGUGCGUGCAGUUUGGUGUACGUGUGCAUGUGUGCGUUUGUGUGUGUGUGCCUACGUUUGUGUGUGUGUGCGUGUGUACACGCGUGUGUGUGUGCGUGUAUGGGUGCACGCGCGUGCAAGUGUAUGUAUGUGUGUGCGCGUGUGAUUGUGUGUGAAUAAGUUGAUAUUUUUUAAUGUUGAGUUUCUCCCAAUUUUAAAACAAUAAUUUAAUUAUCUUGAUAUUCAAGCCAUUAAUAUUAUUGUGAGAUAAAGAGAGUGAAUAAGUUGAUAUUUUUAAAUUUUGAAAUUCAAUUAAAGUUAUUUUGAUACAAAAUCUAUUGUUGAGAUUAUCAAAUUCUGAAAAAUAAUAAUUUUGUUAUGUUGAAAUUCAAUUUGGUUAUUUUGAAAUUCAAAUUCAAUUAGGUUAUUUUGAAAUUAGUAAGAUUAAAUAAAGUUAAAGUCUUGAAUCCAUUAGUUGAGUCCCGAGAUAUUAAGAAAAAAGUAUGAUAUGAGUUGAUGUAUCUUUUUCAGGUAAAAAAUAAUUAAAAGCUGAUAAAUGCAUAAUAUAAAUUAAUUACAACAUAGAAACAAAAUAAUUUUAGUUGGAGAAUGUGGAUAUUUUGGUAUUUUAUAAAAUAUUAUGCACGUGCAAAAAAUGUUAUUUGCUAAAAUUAAAAAAAAAUAGUUUUGCCUUUUUUCAAAAUGACCCAUAAAAAUGUUGCUAUAUCUCUUAUGACAGAGUGUAUAUCUACUGGUUCAUAUUCGACCUGUUUGUUGCUAAUAUAAUUGGAUAAAAUCGCAUUAUAUUGAAAUAAUUACACGAAUGACACUUUUAAGCCAAUAUUGAUAGAAAUUAUAGUUCAUUUAAUGUUAUUAAGUCAAAUGAACAUUGUUUAAAAGUCCUUCUAAACACAAUUAAUGUAGUUGUUUUUUAAUUUUAACUCAUUUAUACAUCUUUAUGCAUGCAUGUGUGUGUACGUGUGCGCGUGUAGGUAGGUGUGCAUUUGUGUAUGUGCGUGCGUUCGUGCGAGUGUCGUGUGCAUGUGUGUGUGGGUGUGUGCAUGUUUGUAUGUGUUUGUGCGUGCGUGUGUGCUUGGGUGUGUGGGUGUGCUCGCGCGUGCGUGUUUGUGCACGUGUGCGUAUGUGUUUACGUGUGUGCGUAUGUGUCUACGCGUGUGUGCGUUUGUGCAUGUGUGUGUGCUUGUGCGCCUGUGGAUAGGUGUGUGUGUGCAUGCGUGCGCGUGUGCAUGUGUGUGUGCGUGCGUUCGUGCGUCUGUGGGUGUCUAUGUGUAGGUGUGCGUGUGCGCCUGUGUGUGUAAGUGUGCAUGUGUACGUGUGUGCACAGUGCUUCUGUGCUUGUGUGCGAACAAGUUAAUAUUUUUUAAUGUUGAGUUUCUUCCAAUUUUAAAAUAAUAAUUUAAUUAUCAUGAUAUUCAAGGCAUUAAUGUUAUUUUGAGAUAAAGAUAGUGAACAGGUUGAUAUUUUUUAAUUUUGAAAUUCAAUUAUUAAGGUUAUUUUAAUACAAAAUCUAUCGUUGAGACUCUCAAAUUCGAAAAAUAAUAAAUUUAAUAAUUUUGUUUUGAAAUUCAAUUUUGUUAUUUUGAAAUUCAAAUUUAAUUAGGUUAUUUUGAAAUUAGUAUGAUUGAAUAAAGUUAUUAAUAUGUUGAAUUAAUUAGUUGAGUCUCGAGAUAUUAAGAAAAAUAUUAUGAUAUGAGUUGAUGUAUCUAUUUCAAGUAAAUGAUAAUUAAAAGUUGAUAAAUGCAUAACAUAAAUUAAUUACAAUGUAGAAGCGAAAUAAUUACAGUUGAAGAAUGUUGAUAUUUUGGUAUUUUAUAAAACACCAUGCACGUGCAAAAAAUGCUAGUUACUAAAAUUCAAAGGAAAAAGUAGUUUUGUCAUUUUUUAAAAUGACCCCUAAAAACGUUGUUAUGUCUCUUAUGACAAAGAGUGUAGAUCUACUGAUCCAUAUUCGAUUUGUUUUUUGUUGGAAAAAUUGGAUAAGACCGCAUUAUAUUGAAAUAAUUACACGAAUGACACUUUUAAGCCAAUAUUGAUAGAAAUUAUAAUUUAAUCAAUGUUAUUAAGUCAAAUGAACAUGGUUUAAAACUCUUUCUGAACAUAAUUAAUGUAUUUGUUUUUUAACUUUAAUUAAUUUACACUUCUUUGUGCGUGUGUGCAUAUGUGCGCGUGCGUGUGCGUGUGUGGAUGGGUGUGUGUGCGUGCGUUGUGCACGUGUGCUUGUGUGCAUGUGUGCGAACAAGUUGAUAUUUGUUAAUGUAAAAUUUCUCCCAAUUUUAAAAUAAUAAUUCAAUUAUCUUGAUAUUCAAGCCAUUAAUGUUAUUUUGAGAUAAAGAUAGUGUACAAGUUGAUAUUUUUUAAUUUUGAAAUUCAAUUAAAGUUAUUUUGAUACAAAAUCUAUCGUUGAGAUUCUCAAAUUUCGAAAAACAAUAAUUUUGUUAUUUUGAAAUUGAAAUUUAAUUAGGUUAUUUUGAAAUUAGUAAGAUUGAAUAAAAUUAAAAUCUUGAAUCAAUUAGUUGAGUCCCGAGAUAUUAAGAAAAAAGUUAUGAUAUGGGUUGAUGUAUCUUUUUCAGGUAAAAAAUAAUUAAAAGCUAAUAAAUGCAUAACAUAAAUUAAUUACAACGUAGAAAUGAAAUAAUUAUUGUUUGAGAUGGUGAAUAUUUUGGUAUUUUAUAAAAUAUCAUGCACACGUGCAAAAAAUUCUAUUUGCUAAAAUUUAAAAGAAAAAGUAGUUUUGUCAUUUUUCAAAAUGACCCAUAAAAACGUUGCUAUAUCUCUUAUGACAAAGAGUGUGCAUCUACUGGUACAUAUUCGACUUGUUUUUUGUUCGUAAAAUUGGAUAAGACUGCAUUAUAUUGAAAUAAUUACACUAAUGACACUUUUAAACCAAUAUUGAUAGAAAUUAUAAUUUAACUAACGUUAUUAAGUCAAAUGAACAUGGUUUAAAAGUCUUUCUAAACACAAUUAUUGUAGUUAUUUUUUAAUUUUAAUUCAUUUAUACAUCUUUGUGCAUAUGUGCGUGUGUGCGUGCGUGUGCGCGACUGCGUAUGCGCGUGUCCACGUGUGCGUGGGUGUGUGUGUCUACGUGUGCGUGGGUGUGAGUGUCCACAUGUGCGCGUUUGUGCGUGUGCGUGUGGGUGUGUGUGCGUAUACGCGCGUGCGUGUGUACGUGAGUAGGCGUGUGCGCUUUUUGUGUUUUUCUUCCAAUUUUAAAAUAAUAAUUUAAUUAUCUUGAUAUUCAAGUCAUUAAAAUUAUUUUGAGAUAAGGUUAUUUAAAUAUAAAAUCUAUCGUUGAGAUUCUCAAAUUCUAAAAAAUAAUAAUUUUGUACUUUUGAAAUUCAAUUUGGUUAUUUUGAAAUUCAAAUUCAAUUAGGUUAUUUUGAAAUUAGUAAGAUUGAAUAAUGUUAUUAAAAUGUUGAAUCAAUUAGUUGAGUCCCGAGAUUUUAAGAGAAAAGUUAUGAUAUGAGUUGAUGUAUCUAUUUCAAGUAAAAAUUAAUUAAAAGUUGAUUAAUACAUAACAUAAAUUAAUUAUAACGUAAAAACAAAAUAAUUAUAGUUGGAGAAGGUGAAUAUUUUGGUAUUUUAUAAAAUACCAUGCACGUGCAAAAAAUGUUGUUUGCUAAAAUUGAAAAGAAAAAGUAGUUUUGCCAUUUUUCAAAUUGACCCCUAAAAACGUUGGAUUUUUGUGUAUUCCCUUGGGCUUUCUUGUUCAAUAUUUAGUCAAAUUGCAGUAUACAUAAAAUUUGUGUUUGUUACGUCACAAGAUUUCAUUCACUAAUUGUGUGUAUUAUUUUAUAUUUUAUACAGGAGACUCCGUUUGAGUGUUGAGCUAGUAAUGGGAGGGACUACCGUUGACCCCAAAAUUACAAGGUUUCAUGUUGCUUACUGGAUCAUUAAUGAUUCGUCUCUAUCUUUGGCUCAUCGAGUGGUGGAGUUGGAACCCCCUGAAAGUGUAGAUUUAGACUCUCUACCGUUGUCAAGAGCUGUUAAGUAUGCAAAAAUGGCCUUGAGAAAUCCUAUAAACUCUCUGAACAGGAGACAUUCUAGUGUAAGAUGAAAUGCUCAAGUCCUUGAAGAAAUUGAGGACACAACUCCAAUUCCUAGCAUGCUUUCUCCCUAAGACUAUGCUGGUCCUAGCCGGAGAGUGGCAUUUACAUCCCAGAAAGACACACAUGUAUCACCUCGUGUUGGCACUUCCAUUGCAAUGCACAACUCUGACAUAUAUAGUGCUGACAUUUCCUUCCUUAAGCUUGAAAAAAUGUGAUUUGAUGUCCAUAAAAAGUUAACUGAGCAGUUAGAUAUUUUCUAAUACGUAUCUCACGUAAUUUGAUGCUCAUUGAUACUGCAUUACUGUGUCAGGAACGUGUUGAUGUAAAAUCUUUCAGCUUUGAUGGAUCUUAUUACAAGCUUUCAACUCUUCUUAGCACGACUUCUGACAGAACAAAGGUUUGAUAUAUCUUUACACGAUCGCAUAUCACAUAUGAACGAUCGCAUAUCCCAUUUGAAAUAUCGAUCACCCUUCGUAAAACAACCGUUUAGAUAUUCUACACGAUUGUUUGCUUAAGGAUACACGAUCAUUUUGUAACUAUUUUUUUAUUAUCCAUUUUUCUUUCUAUACUAGAAUCAGAAUCAAUUGUUUGAUGAUAUUAACAACAUGUAUGAUGAUCUUCGUGAUGAUUCUAGUCAUCACAAUCUGGACAAGAAUGAUGACCAUCAAAAUAACAAACAUGUGAUCAUCCAUGAGAAUCCAUCUGUUCAAGAGUCACAUCUUCAAGAAUCUACUGUAGAGACUCAACAGUUAGUGUUUAAUUCAUUAGUUACUGCUUUAUAUUGUUUAAAAUUGCUUAGAUUAUAAAUAAACAACAAUAAUUUUUUUUCUUUUCUGUGUAGGGAACAAAAAUGAACAACGCCUCAACAUCAAGACCAGUCAGGCAGUGAUAUUAGCAUAGAUGGCAGAGAUGCACAUUUGAUAUUAACUAUAAGUAAUAUAGCAGAAAAUAUGGAAGGUCAUACUCAAACAGAAAAGGGACUGCUAGAAAUGAUUGAAAAUCUUUCGUUGGUAAGCCAACCACUUCCACUUUGUGAGAUGCUACCGUUAACUACUGUCAAAGGUCUUGCAUUAGUUUAAUUGGUAUGUGUGCCCUAAAGGGAUAAAAGCUCUUGGCAGUGAAAGACUUUACAAAACCAUUCAUCAAUUUUAAUUUGAAAAUUCCAAAAUACCAGUACAUUGACAAUAUUUAGAAUCAAAGUUCUAAAUAAAGAACUAAAUAUGCUUUUAAAUUAAAAGAUACAUAGAACUUACUCUUGUUGACGUCUCUGAAUCUAUAAUCCACCGAAUUGGGGACACCACCCGUUGGAGACCUUCCUAUCUUCGAAUACUAAAUGUUAAAUAAUAAUAAUAUAUAAUAAUAAUAGAAUUAAUGUUAUUAUUAAUUUAAAAUAUCAAUUCUUUAUUGAUUCACGUGCAACCCCAUCUCUUUCUCCUUCACUCUUCCUCUUCCCCGUGCCCACCGCCGCCUGCCUCCCUUAGCCAUUUUAUAUUACUCUUGGACGUCAGCCGGCCACGCCGUCACCGAUCGCUUUGUCUCCAUUGAAGCUAAAACACCGUUCGUCGUGAGUUCGAACUCUCGGCAUCGCGUCUCACCUCUGUUUUCCAGCCAAGCUGUGAUUCAUUCGCGCGUAGCUCCUUCGACGUUCGCACCACCACAUUAUGCUUCAGGUGACGAGGAACGUUACCGAUUGACCUAUCAUCUCACCGGUGUUGUUACUUAGUUGAAGCAGUCGUUGACCAGACCUGAGCCCGUCGCGUCUGUCGAAGUGCCGUCACGCGGCUCUUCACCUCCAGCCAUGGGUUGUAAGCUGAAGUUUGUUUUUCGUUUGUUGAUUAGAUCUGAUCUAUUACACGCGUCGAUUCUAGUUAUUCGAAGUUGUUGCCCCCAUUUUACUCUAAUUUUUGGGAUUUUUGUGGUAAGUUGUAUUGGUGAGUGUGGUGGUUUUACAUUGUAAUUAUCCUUGGGUUGUAGUUUUGGAUAAUUAGUUAAAUUGUUAAUUGAUUCUUGAAGUUAGCGUUUGAGUUCUUUGGAUUCACAACUAAAUUGUAGAUUUGUUGGAGUUCGAUUCGCCAAUACUUUGAUAAGCUAGAAUUUACAUUGAGGAAAUUAAAUGAAAGAAAGUAUUGUGAAAGUAAUUGAGUUCCAUAUUCUUAGUAUUAGGUUUCCUUCGUUUGAGAAAUUUGAGUAACAUUAAAGUAAGGGGUUUCUAUUACUGGACUCUUUGAAAGUUUUGAAAUGUGUUGACUGUUUGGAUCUCUGGACUUAGUAUGGUUUACUAAUAUAUGUAGAAGUAGAUAUGAUGACAAAUGUAUUGUAACGCCCCAAACUCGAAGGUAAUUUAUUUUAAGAAAAUUAUUCAAUUUGUACAAGAUUUAUUUUUUGAAGAAAAUAUGUUGAAGGGGGAAAAAGAAGAUUUGAAAAUGUGAUAAUAUAAUUAUAUAUAUAUUUAUUUAUAUUUUAGUUUUAUUAUUUAAUUUAAAUAAAAGAAAAUAAGAAAAAUUUUCCUUUCUUCUUCCUCCCGCGCGCAACUCCCCUUUCCCCCUUCAUUUUCUUUUUCUAUUUUCUCCUUCACCAUGCCCUACCUCCAGCCGCACCCUCCAACCGACCACCAUCGCUCUCCUCCUUCUUUUCUUCUCCGAUCCACGGCCGCCGCCCCUAUUCUUCUUCAAUUUCUCUUUCUUUUCUACCAUACCCAGCCGCCGCUGCAACCGUCGGCCGCCAUCUCUGUUCGUGAAGCAAGCCGUACGCGUCGCCUUGCAGUUGUCAUCCAGAUAUGUGUCACCGUGCCUCGUCCUAAUCGCCUCUGUCUCCGUUGAAGCCAAGCCCAGCCGCCGCCCAUUCCUUUCCUCUCCGUUCGUGAAGCCCGGUCGCCGCGUCAGAUCGUCGAUCGAUUUUGAGGCAGCGCGCACGUCUCCUUCCAGUCGCGUGUUUCCUCUUCUUCCAGCAGCGUGUUCUUCUUCCAGCCGCAAUUCACAACCGACGUACACUCUAAUCUGUUUGUACGAUCUUUGUUGUUAGGUUCGAUCGUUGCUGCCGCCGUUUUUGUUGUGAGUUCUCUUAUAAGUAAAAUUGAUAGUUUCUGUUUGAUGGAUUGUUAAGAUAAAAUAUCAAAUGAAACGUUUGGUUAAUACUGUUCUUGAAGGUGUUGGAAGUGACAUUGGGUCCCUCGUGUUCAUAACCGAAAUUGUGAAUUUUGGAGUUUGGCUCGCCAAUACUUCGUAUCUUUCGUGGGAUAUAGUUUGUUUAAGAAAUUGAGCAACCUUGAGGUAAGGGAUUUUCUACUGGACUCAACAACAAAAUUAAGAUAUAAUGACUAAUUAAGAUGUAUUGACUGUAUGGACCGUAUUAUAUUAUUUGAACUGAGUAGAGAUGACUGUUAUGAUGUAUGUUUGGACAUUGACUUAAAGUUUAAUGUUUGCUGUGUUUGACUGGGAGAAAUUAAUACAUAUAUGUGCAUGGGUUGAUGUGGACUGUGGUUGAGUAUAUGUUGUGACUGUCUGGUUAUGUAUGUGUACAAGGAUAAGGAUGUGGAAACGACUGAAUCUCGUAGAUGUUGCUUAUAUAAAGUGUGGAUUUGAUUAGUAGAUUGAUUGUUGUCUAGACUGAAUGUAUAAUAUCUACUCUUAUGUUGUGUGCUUGUGAACGGAAGAAACGUCGUGGUUGUGCCCUUGGUGACUGAGGAGGAGGUUAUGAUUGUUUAGCUUGUUAACUGAUGUAAUGAUAUGCUUUUUACUGACCUUGGGCUAAAUUAGAGUAAGACGACUGGUUGAGGUUAAAUAAGGAGUUUACGUGAUGAGAAUGUUUAGCUGAUUUGUGAAUGACUGUUAAGAUGUUUAGAAUGGACUGAGGGGAAAAAUUGUUAGCUUUUAUUGGGAUGUGUGCCUUGUAGGUGUCCCACGGGAUCACCAAUUAUUCUACACCUUCGGGAGCAUUAGACUGAUAUGUGUUUCUGCAGAACACUAGACUGAAAUGUACGUUCCUUGGGGCGUUAGACUGAAAUGUGCAUCCUACGGGAUCACAAGACUGCGACUGUACAGGGUGUCCCAAUAGAAUGUUAACAAUUUAUUUUCCCCUGACGGGACUAGUAGAGGGUCUCUUACUUGGUAUUUUUAUACUCACCCUCCUUAUGUUUAAUUUUCAGGCAAAGGUAAUAAAGACGGCAAACCGGAGAGGGGCAGGAAGGAAGCGUGAUUGCCAUAGGGGUUAUUUUAAAUUGCUUAUGCUAAAUGUUUUGUUUCACGUGUUUUGUUUUAGUACUUGAGAUUGUUUAGAAAUUUUUAUAGUUGAACUGUAUUCACGAAUUAGUAAAUUUUUCUUGAAAGUGUUGGUUAUUUUAAACAGGGCCCAGAUAUAAAUUUUUGUUUUCUUGAGACUUUGAAAUUGUUUGAGAUUGAGAUUUUGAGUAAACUCAGGUCUUUAUUUGAAAUUAAUGACUUCGACUUACCUAGAAAAGUUGGGUCGUUACAUGUAUAUUAUGCCAGACUGGUAUAGAAGUAGAUACAAUGGAUAAUGUAUUUGUAAACUGAGAAAUGUGUUAUGUAUAUAUAUAUAUCUUGACUGUCUGGUGUGUUGUUAUAGUAUCAACUGAUUUUGUGAUAGAUUGAAUAGAUUGAACGUAAGUGUGUUAAGUUGGAUUGAUGAUAUGAUGGAGUAGUUUGACUAUACUAGGAAUGGAUUGAUUAAAUGUUUAUAACGGACUAAGGGAAAAUUGUUAGCUUUGUCGAUUGGGUAGUGUGCCUUGCAGGUGUCCUACGGGAUCACCACCUGUUGUGCAUUCUUCGAGAGCACUAGAAUGACAUGUGCAUUCUUCGAGAGCAAUAGACUGACAUGUGCAUUCUUCGAAAGCACUAGACUUACAUGUGCUUUCUGCAGAGCACUAGACUAAUAUUUGUGUCCUUUAGGGCAUUGGACUGAUUAUGUGUAUUUCUACAUGAUCACAAGACUUUUAAAGUGCAGGGCACCUCCAAUAGGAAGUUAACAAUUUCCUCCAAUAGGGAAAUGUCCUUCAAAUUGCUUCUACUUUAUUUUUUAUUUUUAUUUUGGUUUUCUUUAGUAAUUGAGACUGUUUUGGGUUUCAUGAUUGAACGAUUUUUAUGUUCUUGAACUUUCUUUAUUAUCGAUACUUUUACACUUUCAAAAUUUUAUUUGAAAUAGAGCCCGAAUAAAAACUCUUUAAUGUUGUUAAAAAAUAUAUUUUUUUAAAUUAUAAAGUGUUAUGGUUAAAGGACGAAUCUAGUCUUAAAGUAAUAACUUCAGCUUAAUUCGAAAAAUUAGGUCGUUACAAUCUAUUUUGCAGAAAAGAAAAUCAUCGAUUUUAUUUUGGUUAAGAAAAGUUGUUUUUCUUCUACAUAUUUAUAACUCUCUUUCUUUCAUUGAGUAGGAGACGAGGUAGAAGAAAAUCAUAGGAUUCUAUUAACAUAAAAAAUAUUAAAUUAAUAGAAGUUUCAAAUCAACAAACUAAUUAACCAUUAAUCAAUUAGUUAAUAAUUAAUUAAAUCAUAUUUAAUUAAUAUUUCAUUUAAAUCUUAUUGAAUGAAUAUCUCUCCAAUACCUUAUAGUUUUAUAUUAAUUUAAUUAAAUCAAAUUUAAUUAAAUAAUAUUAAACUAAACUAUUAAUUAAUUAUUAACUAAAUUAAAUAUUUUAUAUUUAACUUAAGUUAAAUUUGAAUCAUAUUCAAAUAUAACUUUAUCUCAUAAUUAAUAAUUUUAAUAUCAAACAAAUCCACAUUAAAUUAAUAUUUGAACUCAUUCAAAUAUUUUAUCUCUCAUAAAUUAAUUUUGAACUUUAUCUAAAAUUAAAUUUAUAUAAUAAAGUUUCAUUAACAUAUAAACUUUAUAUUAUAAUGUAUCACUAUAUAUUAUACUAAUUAUACUAAUUUCCAAGGUAAAUUUGAAUAUUUCAAAUUAGAACCAAUAUAAAUAAAUCACAUUAUCAUUUUGUAUCAUCCAUUACUUUCUAUUCAGUCAUACUAAUUGGAUCAACCUAAUACAUAAAACAAAUAUAGAAAAAUUAAAAAAAAAAAAGCAUGCACAAAUAGAGACAAAUAGACAUUUGAUAGUUAUCUAUCUCUAUCUAUCUGAAACAAGCACACAUAAAUUGUUAUAUUUCUCUAUCGGAUGGACAAAAAUAGCAGUCUAUUUAUAUCUACCUGAGAUACAAACAUUCAAAGAAAAAAAAAAAAACCUUACCAAUAAAAUUCUUGACUUUUCAUGUUAUUCUAAAUGCAACACGUUCUCAGCCCAAGAAGUCAAACAACUCUUCAUUGUAAAAGUAGCUUUACUUCUUUCAUCAAACCACUUUUGCAAUACAUCUCUAAUUGAACUAAGCAUGGUAGCUACAGGUAGUUCUCUAAGAAGAAGAAGACCUUCUAAAAAAAAUCAACAGUUACAUGAGCAACUAAUGGAUGUAUAUUAGUUGCAUCUUUAGCAAAAGAUAAAUACCAAGCCACAUCAUUGUCUUUCUUUACUGGCACCACAGUUGGACCUUGCUUUUACCAAAAUCAAGUAAAACAGAUAAUUCUACUUAUCCAUCCAAUUGAAUCUGUUCACAUAUUAAAUCAAUUAGAGAAUUAAAGCUGACUCGGACAUCUACCAAAAUUUCAGCAACUAAGUAAUUCUCAUAAAUAUUACAUCCAUUCCAUUGACCUCCAUAAAAAACAACAAUAGGAAAAGACAUUAUAAUCUGUAAAAAAAAUAAAUAAAAUAAAAUUAAGUAUUUAAUUGUGAUAAAAAGAAAUAGAUAUACAUAGAUAUACAUUUAUUACUGAAUAAAAGAAUAAAAUGUACAAAAUGAUAAUACUAAACACAAUGCAAGAAUAAGUAAACGAUCGUGCAAUGAAAUAAUAUACAUUAAACGAUCCUAUUAACCGUGAUAAACGACCAUUUAACAACGGUAAAUGAUAAUAUUGAUUAAAAUAAAUUAUCGUGUUGACAUGGGUACACGAUCAUUUGAUAUUGGUGAUCGUAUUGAAUAGUGUAAACAAUCGUCCUGUUAUCGGUACACGAUCGUGUUAAUAUUUGUAACUGAUUCUAUUGAUAGUGGUAACUGAUCGUGUAAUUCCAUGUAAACUAUCAUAAAAAACUUUAAACUAUCGAUCUUUAUAAUGAAGUACAUAAUUCUUACAUUAAUACUUAAAAUUUGUUGUAACGACUCAACUUUUCUAACUAAGUUGAAGUCAUUAAUUUUGACAAAGAGACAUUGAUUGACACAAAAUAUAGUAAAAUUCACUUGAAAUCAUACGAUCAAAGAAAACAAACUUAAGUUCGGGUCUUGUUUCAAAUAACCAAAACUUUAAAAGUACUAUUUACAAAACAAUAGUUCGUAAACUCAGUUCCAUCACAAAAAAUUUAAACAACCUCAUGUACAAAGGAAAAACAAGAAACAUAAAGCAGAAGCAUUUGAAGGACAUUCCCUUAUGGCAAUCACGUCUCCUUCUUGUCCCUCGUCGGUCUACCUCCUUUGUUACCUUUGCCUGAAAUAGUUAAACAUGAAAGGAUGAGUAUAAACAUACCCAAUAAGAGACUCGCUAUUGGUCCCAUUAGGGGAAAAAGAAACUGUUAACUUCCUAUUGGGGUACCCUGCACAGUCACAAUCUUGUGAUCCCGUAGGAUACACAUAAUCAGUCUAACGCCUCAAAGGACGCAUAAAUCAGUCUAGUGUUCCGCAGAAACACAUAUCAGUAUAAUGCUCCCGAAGGAUGCACAUAUCAGUCUAGUGCUAUCGAAGGAUGCACAUAUCAGGUGGUGAUCCCGUAGGACACCUGCAAGGUAACUACCCAAUAGAAAUCUAACAAUUUUCCCCUCAAUCCAUUCUAAACAUCUUAACACUCAUUCAUAGUACAGUCCAGCUACUUCAACAUAUAAUCCUUUCACUUAACACCCUAAUAGUCAACCUAUCUUACUUUAGCCCAAUGUCCGCCAGUAACAUAUCAAUACAUCAAUCAAUCAAACUAUAUAGUCAUUUCCUUUUCAAAGUGAAUUGCAAAGAAAUUUUCUCAAAUUGAAAAGAAAGGAGAAAUAUACAAAGUCAGCCACCGCUUCUUCUCCCUUUAGUUUGCAAUUUUCGUCUCCCUCUCUUCUAUUAUUAAAAUAAAUAAAUAAAAUAUCACAACUCGACUUAACACAAACUAUUUACUCCAAUUUUUUAAACUACAAAUUUAGUUUCUCAACUUUUAAACUAUUUUAAACUUACAAAUCUACUUUAUUCAUUUCUUCAGAUUUAUAUCUAACAAAUAAAAAAAAAUCAAAAUUUAUAGACACUUAAAACAUAAAUUUGAAAGACCUAUUAAACAAUUGAAAGGUUUAAGAGGUAACUAGACAAACUUUAAAAGUUCUAAGGGAAAGAAUCUUUUGUUUAACUAUUACAGUAAUUAAUUUUGAAAAUAUGUUAUUUUAGAAAAACUACAAGUGUUUGACAACCCUUUGAAAGCUAAUGAAAUACUCUCAAAUUGUAUUUUAAGCAAUUUUAAUAAAAAGAAAGUCUACAUAAAAAAAUUACCCUUUUUAAAGGAACAUUUUUUCUCUAAUCACUCCAAUGGAACUCAAACACGUACUUCAAGUUAAUUCUGGUAUCCAAGAAUCAGUCUCAUCUAACAUAAACAAGAACAUUCAACUUGAUAGAACUUCAUUACCUCAUUUUUACAAUUCCCAAAGUUACUAAAUGAAGGACCAUUCCUAAAACAUACUUACAUCCAACUUUCUCCAUGAAUAAACUUAUCGUCUUUUAUGUACUGAUGAAUAUAGAGAUGGAGCGAUCAGAGUUUGUUUAUGUACCAAAUUAGAGUGAUAGAGUGGAUUUACACAAGGACGAAAUGGCUGGCUGCUGCUUGUUCAAAACUGAAAGUUAAGGUGACCUUGUUUCUCAUAGGGACUCAGCAAAUUGAGGGGCCUCCAAGUCUACUUCUUGUCUCAUUAUACAUGCCAUUAGCCAUUCAACGUUGAAAGUCCAUAUCCCUUUUUCUACGGCCACCAAGGCUUCCUCCACGUCUUCCUCACAAGCCACAAAGAUCGUCUUCCAUACGUUGUUUACUUUAUCUAGCUCAUGAAUCACCUAAAUUUUCAAGCAUAAUGAAUUUGCCAAGUGAGAGAAAAAAAUUAUGUAUAUACUACAAGGAAAUUGCAAGAAUUCACCCUAUCAAAAAAUAUUAAACAAAUUCUUGUUCUAGUCCCUAAAAUUUUCCAUCUUUUCCCAUCUUUCAAAAUGCUUCCAAUGAGAUAUAUUCCAAUCACAUAUAGCAGAAAUGACCGAUGAGUAUUGGAUAAAUGAAUAUUAAUUGAUAAAAUAAUUUACAAAAUACUAAAACCGUUAGUUGGCUACAUUUUGGAAGCUCGAUGACUAAAAUGGAUGUUUUGAAAGUUCUAAGGCUAAAAUGGAAUUUAAAUCAACAUAAUAGUAAGUUCAAGAUCAAAGACAAGCUAAACAAUAAAAUGUUGCGACCAGAAAACAAUCUAAUCAUAAUUAUAAACAUGGAUGUAUGUAUUUGUACACCAAAUCACAAAAAAAUAACUCCAGAUUUCGAUCUAGAGACAAUUAAAAACUUGAACAAAUUUGAUAAUUAAAGAAACACGGAGAUGGCCAUAUGACCCCUUGUGCAUAGACUUUUUACAUUACAUGCUCAAUUCCUAGGAUCAAAACAAACAUAAAUAUUAAAGACUUAAGAAGCACAUACACUCAAGUUUGGCUAGUGUAUCAAUAAACAAUAUGUAUGGAACACUCGGAGAACACGUGUUGAACACUAGUUAGUACAGUAGAUGUGUUAGACAACAAGUAUUCCAAUGCAAUAAAGGUCAAGAUUGGUCACACACACAUAUUAAACUCUUGGCUUUGAAUAAGUUUUGAGUGAAGGACAAGCUUAUUUUUAAGCAUAUAAAUACAUAAACUUAUUGACUUUGAAUUUCUAUAUAAAUAUGAGACAUACUUUUUAAAUUAUAUAUAUUAAAACUGUGUUCUAGCACUAUCCUAUAUUUUUUAGAAAAAAAUGACACGUCACCAUGUCUAUGAUUUAUUGACCCAUGUCUAAAAUUCGUAUACGUGCUUGUUGUUGGAAUUUUUUGUCCUAAAACUCGUAGUUUGUAAUCAUAUUCUAUUCAAUAAAGUUGUUAUUGAGAAAUUAAAUAUUAUAAUCUUAAAUCCAAUAAAUCAAGUUCCAAGGCUAUUUUUGAAUAAACUUGAACUUUAUGUGUAAAUAUAAACGUGGAUCAAGUUCGAGUAUAUAGCCUAAAUAGUCUAUAGUAUAUGAAAUAAAGGUUGGGCGCCUUAUUUAGAGAAACUAUGGAUGCGGCCCACUUUGUAGUACAAACGAGGUGAUCCUAAUCGUUCAUGUAGAGACAUGAAAGUGGGGGCAUCCUAUGUAAAGUGUUUACAUAAGACUGAACCAUGAAUUUGUCUUUUUUACGUUAUAACACCGUUUACUGUUUAAAACUGAGUAUCUCAAUUAUUGAUGACCUCGGUAACUUAGUCUUAAUCCUGAGUUAACUAUGAACUCUUGUUCACACGAGAUUAUCCUUAGAUCUGCAUAGGUGAGGGCAGCUCAUCUGCGUUGGCCCAAUAAGCCUCCAAUUUCAAGGGUAUGAUCGGGUGGAUAGCUGGGAACAUAGGGUACAAGAUGGAAUUCACUCCUACCCGCUUUAGGGUUAGUAGAUAGGUUGUUCUCUUAAGCACUGAAUCCAAGUCUUGAACAAGGGGCCCCACCCUCUCAUUGGCCCAAGAGGGAUUAAGUUUAUAGGUUGAACCUUAAACCAAUUGUUCAAUAGUGGAUUAGUGGGACUUAAGGAGCAAGAUGUAAUUUUUGGGGGUAAAACGGUAUUUUAACCCAGCCAAGGUUACGAGCAACCUGUGAAGGAUUAACUUACCAAUUAUGGUUUUAUCAAAUGGACACAAAUAUAUCUAUAGUGAGGGGAGUGCAACUACGGGACUUUAGUGGAAUGACCCGUUAGUUAACGAAUGUUGAUUAACUUUGUCUAAAAGAGUUUAGCUAGUUAAUCUUAAAUCGUUGGAGCCCAUGAUCUAUAGGUCCAUUAGGUUCCUCUGCUAGCUCAUAUGGAUUAAACUUAGAACAGUGUGAUGAAAUAAGUCGAAUUGUUCGAAUUGAGAGAAGAAAGAGAAACCGACAGGUAUAGUGAUAUAGUCGUCGGUCUUCUAAAUAGAAAAAGAGCUUCAUGUUUUUCAUACUAUAAGUAUGAAUGCGGAUUCAUACUAAGAAGCUCGGAAUUGAUGGAAUUGGUCAAAAAUUGUAAAAAGUUAAAAUGUUGACUUUUGCCUCUUUUAUCAUUUUCAUCAUCUCAACCAAAGAAAAAAAAGAAACCUUCUAACCCCCUUUUAUCUCCAUUACUUUCUACACCAAAAUUGGGUCCCACAACCCGGUUCUUUGUUUAGAGGAUAGCAGUUGAGUACUAGUGGUGGUCUCGGUUUGAAUUGGUAAGAAGAUAUCAAACUUUUUGAAAGCUUCAAAGGUAAUAUUUCCUAAAACCCUAAUUUGAUUAGUUUAUGGUUACAUGUUAAUUGUGGCAAUUAGAGUAGAAAUUCGAUUCUUUUUCCGCUGUGCAUGACUUAGUUCUAUCACUUGUUUGUUGAGAACUUCACGUCUUCAUUAGAUGGGAGGAUAGCCAUAUUAUAGUGGUUGUAUAUGUAAGAAAGAGAACCAAACCUAGUACUCGAGAUUUGUACAAUAACAGAGAACUUACAUUUCCACCGGCUGACUUGACUAUCAGGGAUAGAGUUUUAGGUGGUGGUUGAGCGUGAGCUGAUAUGCAAACAUCAUACCCUUCAAAUAAAGCUUCAGGACAUGCUUUUGCCCUGAGACCUGCAGCUUUUAGGCUGGCUCGAUACUUCGAUAUUUAGUCAUCAUCAUUAGUAUGUAAGGUAACUCGUCUGCAGAUCAAUAAGGAAUUAAUCAAUCACAAAAAUUAGGUAGGAUGAAAAACAUAAGUGGAAGAAAAUACAUUACACUUUGAUACUAGCAAGCCAUUCGAACUUACCAACAAAUUUGCCUUCUCGGUAGCUUUCCUUUAACCAACUGGAGGAGAAAUCCAAGCUCUGAGUAAUUUGCAAUUAACUUGCAAUUUUAGUAACAAGAUAUAGUAAAAAUUAUGAGCAAGAGCACACUGACACGCUUGAAGCCACAUGGUAAUGCAUAUGCUCGAUAAUCAUUGAGAACAUUAACAAGAGAAAAUAAAGUUAAGAACAGUAGCUUGAAGAACAAAAAACAUUCUACAACAUAAAAUCUUCAAAAACACAUUGCUUAAAAUCAAGUUUACUAAUAUAAAAGGUAAGAUAUUACGUUCCACUCUCCACACUACUGAAGUUCAACAUUUCACAUGAAAGAAAUGAAAUACUACUCUCAAAUAUAACUGAAAAAAGCAUAAAUGGGUAAAGAAAAAGCAUAGAGAAAUGCAAAAGAAUCCUUGGCUUUGAUAUAUUGAAAGGUAAAGAAUAUCAACCAUAGAUGCCCGGGAGAAGAACUCCUACAAGUACACACUUAACGCAAAUUAUCAUUCGCUAACAUGAAACCUUCUAGAGGAAUUCUGUUAGGAUACUUCCUAACAAGAACAAGAUCUUAAUUUAUUAUAAUGAACUAUAAGAAAAUACAAGAUAAAACCAAGUAUAAGGCACUUGGAACCUCACUCUUGAGUACUCUCACCCAAGCCCUAAAUCACUCCCCAGAAUUCUCCCCUUACUUACCCUCCCUCCAUUUAUAAUAAGAUGUAACUACACUUACAUAAUAACUACUAGUAACUUUCUAAAUAUCUAAUUACCCUUAUACCCCUAACCUUAUACUAAUCUAGGUAUCUAACAUUACCCGAUCCUUCAAAACACCUUGUCCUCAAGGUGAGCUUACAAACAUGAUCAAGGCCCCCUUUUCUUUUUUUCUCUUUUUAAUUGCAAACAAUCCCCAACAUUCUGCUCUUCAAUGUUGAAAAAGAAAUCCUCCCCUUCGGCUUUGAAAAACUCUCGAUUCCAAUAAGGUCCAUUGACUUCAGCCCACAAAGCAGCCCAAUGUACUUGAAUUUUCCUUUUCCAAAACACAUUGUCUUAGUUAACCCUUUGCAUAUCACCAACAAGUGUUUAAUUUUCAAACUCUUCAUCUCUAGUGGGCUAGGCCAUAAUCAAAGUGUUGCGUCAAGACCAAAAUCAUACUGUCGCCGGUUUCAUUCCUAGGACCCACCUACAUACACGUUUUUCUUCCCUCCUAUUUUUGGAACUCUCCAUCCACUUCAUCUACAAAAUGAUGUGCCCCCAAUGUUUUAUUUAGAAUAAGUUGAAGCUCAUUUAGAGUAAGUUGAAGCCCACUUGAAAUAGUAAAACCCAAGAUUGUUCCUUUUGUCCUAAUCCUCUUUCCUACAAAUUUCUACCACGUGAUUGGCACCAUCAGGUGUUCAGCAACUUCUUCCUCGUCACGUGAUUCACCCCUAUUCCAGAUCACCUUCUCGAGCCUCUAUAGACCGGUAACUGUUGGCUUCUUCUUUCUCCAUUGCAACCAGCCAUUUUGUGUUUCUUUGAGCAACAAGUUUUUCUUCACUCGAGUCUUCAUUUCGAGCCUCACAGGUAAUCCUCGUCGACCUUCCUCUAUAGUUUCUUCUUGGUCACUCUUUGCCAUCCUCUUCACCUUCGUUGUAUACCCGUUGCAAUCGCGUUUUCCUCAAUUCUUCUAUGGAUUCAGCAACUUCUUGGAAUCCAUCGAUUUAUGGACCUGAAGAUUCCAAUCCGUUCUAAAUAAACACAAUCCAGAUCAGUGCCACUAAACACAGGCAUUUCAACCUUCUUGAAUUUGCUAUGAUCGUUCGAGUUUUCAUCCCUUUCAAACUUGUUUGUUUUACCUUCUACCUUGAUUUCCUUCAAUGUCUUACCUCCACCUUCGAUGAUACUCUCAAUCGUUGAUCCUUUGCUCGACAAUCCUUCCAUUCUUCUGAAGAUUGUCGAAUUAUCCUUCUGCUAUUCCUUCGAUGCAUUUAGCAACCGUUCUUGUUUUUCCAACUAGAUGACCAGUCUUUCGAUGCUUUUUGGCAACCAUGACAAGUUUUCUUCAAUUGCCAACAACUUGUAUAACUCCACUUGUAUCCCCGAGAUUUCCUUAUCAUAGGUCUCCAACUUCUCUUCGAUCCGUUUUUGUGCUGCUCUAUCGUUCUCCCAAGUAAAAACGCUCUGAUACCAAAUUGUUAAGAUACUGUAAAUAUACGGCAAGUGUAUCUUACUUUAUUGAAUUACCUCAAUGAAUUAUAGUAUAGAGAAUAAAAAAUCACUCACAUCUACUUCCUAAAGGCACACUCCAGUGAGGAUCACAACAAAGAACAAGAAAAACUAAGAACAAACCGCAACCAUGAAAAUGACCAAAACAAAUAAUAAAAAGAACUUGACUUGGACCCUCUACUUCUCCCAAGCACGAAAGACGGCAGCCUCUACUUCUUUGGAAUAUUUUGUCCCCUUUCUCCCUCCUCUUUCCUCCCUUUUAUUUUGCUUUACUAACAAACUAAUGGGAAAGAUCUCCUCCGAUAUUCUCUCCUCCUAUAAUCUCUCCUAUAUUCUCGUGUGGGUCAAUAUUACCCUUUUUAAUUCUUCUACUGUAUUUAAAUAAUAUUGGAGACAUAUACUUCCUAACAAUAACAAGAUCAGAAUUUAUUAUAAUGUAACUAUAAGAAAAUACAAGAUAAAACCAAGUAUAAAGCACUUGGAACCCUCCCUCUUGAGUACUCUCACCCAAGCCUUAUAUCACUCCCCAGAAUUCUCCCCACUUACCCUCCCUCCAUUUAUAAUAACAUGUAACCACCCUAGUUACCCACUUACAUAAUAACUACUAGUAACUUCCUAAAUAUCUAAUUACCCUUAUACCCCAACCCUAUACUAAUCUAGGUAUCUAACAAAUUCCAUAACAUAAUGUAUUAGCGGAAGAAGGAAAUCGAGGAUAAAAACACUAGCUAGCCAACAAAUAUCUUUCAUUAGUGAGCUUGAGCCAUUUUACACGUAAAAUGGGAAAAGUAAGCCUGCAACCCAAAGUAGCCUAAUGGUUGUCUUAACAACCACUACCCACCAUCACGAUAGAAACAACUGAAAAGGAAGUGCAUGAUACAAUCCAACUCAAACAUAAGAAUUGAUUUUGAUGUUUAACUAAAAGUAAACAGGCAGUAGAAUAAGAAACUAUGCCCUUUUAGAUCUAGAAGGUUCACAACAAUUUCCAGCCUAAGCACAACUACGAGGCAAUGGAAGAAUAACGGCAAAGGCCUUGUGUGCAUGGAAUCGCUAACUUUGGUGCAAAUGAGACGAUUAUCGGUAUUCAAAGGCCAAAAGGACACAUAGAAGAGUGUUCGUCUAAGAUUGCAAGACUAACCCUGAAAAGAGAUCAAUACAAAAAUUUAGAGUUUUCCGCACUUUUCCUGUAAUGACAUCAGUGCUUGUACUCCCAUCAGCAGUGAGAGAACCACCAAGCUCCUCAAUCAUCUGAAUCAGAAAACAACUGCACAUUAGAGCAGUCACAAUUUGGAAUAAUAGAACUUUUUAUUGUUUGAAUCUUAGAAUAUUUAUGAAAAGUUUAUGGGAAUAUUUUUCUUAAUUCCUAAAUAUUUUCCUUUUUUAUUCCUCUGUAUAUUCUAUUUAUUCUCCCUUGUAUCUAUUAUAUUUUUAAUCAGAAAAUAAUAAGAAGAAAAAUAUAGUGCUUUUUUUCCUGGUACACAUGUUUCCACGUAAAGUUGUGUGUUUGUUUGUCUCCCUUUCAAAAUGGUAUCCGAGCAAGUGGUCCAAGAAGGUCUUGUGUUCAAGCCUCGCAUUGUCGUUUCCUCCCCAAUUAAAAUCCAUUUCCAGUUGUUGGGCCUUUCAAAUAUUUGAAGCCCACAAGUGAGGAGAGUGUUGGUGAUAUAUAAUUGUAAUGGAGAAGUAUGUUAGGAUUCUAACAAUAAAACACAAAAUAUCCUAACCAAAUGGCUAAACAGAGGCAACACUCUAUAAUUCUUUACUUAUGUAAAAGCCAAAACACAUUCAACAGUAGUAGAUAUGAAAAAUAAAGGAAGAACAACAUAGAAAACUUACCCAGCUCCUUUAUACGGGGCUGGAUACCCUCAGGCUACAGCAACCUUUACUCUCCUUGAAAUAACCAAAAAGACCUAGCCUCCCCGACCCCAACAUUACAUAUUUAUACCUCUCUCUCUCAUCCCUCCUGACGGGCCCCACCUGCACGAUCCUCUCCCAUUAUUCUCUCAUCAUUGGUUGCUAAGGAAUUUCCCUUUCUACCCUUCCUUUUAUAGGUAUAGAUAAUAGGAGGUCUUACAAAGUAAUACCUGGCCUGACUUUCUUUAAUCUUUCUGCGAGAACCUUUCCAAACAACUUAUAAGCCACACUGUAAUGACCUUCCUUCUCUUUACCAAACUUCAAUAAUCGACAACUUGUAUUUAUCCACAUAAUCAACAAAACUCUUAAUCUGCCACUAGCUUCAAACAAAGACCCAGCCAAUUCCUUUUGAACUCCAUAGUGCCUUUACAAUACAACUGGCAAUCUCUUCUCUUUUGGUCUCCUGAAUGGCCUAGAAAGGAACGACCAGACUUAGAACGGGUUCGGAGGCCUCGAAAGUUCACAUCUAGCUACUAGGUGGUCCGAUUCUGAGUGAUCUCGAAGUUUCUUUCCCACGAAAGCCGAACGGUGAUGCCCCAGACUCGGUUUUUCGAUUCCGUCCCGAACCGCCAAAGAAAGGCAUAAUGGCCUAGAACGGAACGAUCGGGCUUAAAACGGGGUCGGACGCCUCGAAAGUUCACAUCUAGCUACUGGGUGCUCCGAUUCUGAGUGAUCUCGAAGUUUCUUGCCCAUGAAAGCCGAACGGUGAUGCCCCAGACUCGGUUUCUCCGUUCCAUCCCAAAACGCCGAAGAAAGGCAGAAUGGCCUAGAAAGGAACGACGGGACAUAGAACGGGGUCACAGGCCUCGAAAGUGCACAUCUAGCUACUGGAUGGUCCGUUUCUUAGUGAUCACGAAGUUUCUUGAACACGAACGCCGAACGGUGAUGCCCCAGACUCGGUUUCUCGGUUUCAUCCCAUAACGCCAAACAAAGGCACAAUGGCCUAGAAAGGAACGACCGGACUUAGAAAGGGCUCGGAGGCCUCAAAAAAUCACAUCUAGCUACUGGGUGGUUUGAUUCUGAGUUAUCUCGAAGUUUCUUGCCCACGAAAGCCGAACGGGGAUGCCCCAGACUCGGUUUCUUGGUUCAAUCCCAAAACGUCGAAGAAAGGCACAAUGGUCUAGAAAAGAACGACUGGACUUAGAACGGGGUCGGAGGCCUCAAAAGUUGACAUCUAGCUACUAGGUUGUCCGAUUCUGAGUGAUCUCAAAGUUUCUUGCCCACGAAAGCCGAACGUUGAUGUCCCAGACUCGGUUUCUCGGUUCCGUCCCAAAACGCCGAACAAAGGCACAUUGGCCUAGAAAAGAACGACCGACUUAGAACGGGGCCGGAGGCCUUGAAAGUUCACAUCUAGCUACUGGUGAUCUGAUUCUGAGUGAUCUCGAAGUUUCUUUCCCACGACAGCCGAACGGUGAUGCCUAGACUCCGUUUCUCGGUUUCAUCCAAAAACGCCGCAGAAAGGCACAAUGGCCUAGAAAGGAACGACCAGACUUAGAACAGGGUCGGAGGCUUCGAAAGUUCACAUCUAGCUACUGGGUGGUCUGGUUCUGAGUGAUCUCGAAGUUUCUUGCCCACGAAAGACGAAUGGUGAUGCCCAGACUCGGUUUCUCAGUUCCGUCCCAAAACGCCGAACAAAGGCACAAUGGCCUAGAAAAGAACGACCGGACUUAGAAGGGGGCCGGAGGCCUCGAAAGUUCACAUAUAGCUACUGGGUGAUCUGAUUCUGAGUGAUCUCAAAGUUUCUUUCCCACGAAAGCCGAACGAUGAUGCCCAGACUCGGUUUCUCGGUUUCAUCCAAAAACGCCGCAGAAAGGCACAAUGGCCUAGAAAGGAAUGACCAGACUUAGAACGGGGUCGGAGGUUUUGAAAGUUCACAUCUAGCUACUGGGUGGUCCGGUUCUGAGUGAUCUCGAAAUUUCUUGCCCACGAAAGACAAACGGUGAUGCCCCAGAUUCGGUUUCUCGGUUAUGUCCCAAAACGCCGAAAGAAAGGCACAAUGGCCUAGAAAGGAACGACCGGACUUAGAACGGGGUUGGAGGCCUCACAAGUUCACAUCUAGCUACUGGGUGGUCCGAUUCUGAGUGUUCUCGAAGUUUCUUGCCCACAUAAGCCGAACAACGUUGCCCCAGACUCGGUUUCUCAGUUCCGUCCCAAAGCGCCGAAGAAAUACACAAUGGCCUAGAAAGGAACGAUCGGACUCAGAACGGGGUCAAAGGCCUCGAAAGUUCACAUCUAACCAUUGUUUGGUCUGAUUAUGAGUGAUCUCGAAGUUUCUUGCCCACAAAAGCCGAACGGUAAUGCCCGAGACUCGGUUUCUUUGUUCCGUUACAAAACGCCGAAGACAGGCACAAUGGCCUAGAAAGGAACGACUAGACUGAGAACGGGGGAGGAGGCUUUAAAAGUUCACAUCUAACCACUGGGCGGUCCAAUUCUGAGUGAUCUCGAAGUUUCUUGCCCACAAAAGGCGAACGGUGAUGCCCCAUACUCCGUUUCUUGGUUCCAUCCCAAAACGCCGAAGAAAGGCAUAAUGGCCUAGAAAAGAACGACCGGACUCAGAACGGGGUCGGAGGCCUCGAAAGUUUACAUCUAACCACUAGUCGGUCCGAUUCUGAGUGAUCUCAAAGUUUCUUUCCCACAAAAGCAGAACGAUGGUGCCCAGACUCGGUUUCUUGGUUCCGUCCCAAAACGCCGAAGAAAGGCACAAUGGCCUACAAAAGAACGACCGGACUCAGAACGUGGUCGGAGGCCUCGAAAGUUCACAUCUAGCUACUGGGUGGUCCAAUUCUGAGUGAUCUCAAAGUUUGUUGCCCACGAAAGCCGAACAGUGAUGCCCCAGACUCGGUUUCUCGGUUCCGUCCUAAAACACUGAAGAAAGGCAAAAUGAACUAGAAAGGAACGAUUUGACUCAAAACGGGGUCCGAGGCUUCGAAGCUUCACAUCUAACCACUGGACGGUCUGAUUCUGAGUGAUCUCGAAGUUUCUUGCCCACAAAAGCCGAACAGUGAUGCCCUAGACUCGAUUUCUUGGUUCCGUCCCAAAACGCCGAAGAAAUUCACAAUAGCCUAGAAAGGAACGACCGAACUCAGAAUGGGUCGGAGGCCUCAAAAGAUCACAUCUAACCACUGGGCGGUCCGAUUCUGAGUGAUCUCGAAGUUUCUUGCUCACAAAUGCCGAACGGUGAGGUCCCAGACUCGGUUUCUUGUUUUCGUCCCAAAACGCCGAAGAAAGCAACAAUGGCCUAAAAAGGAACGACCGGACUUAGAACGGGAUUGGAGGCCUCGACAGAAACGACCGGACUUAGAAUAUGGUCGGAGGCCUCGAAAGUUCACAUCUAGCUACUGGGUGGUCCAAUUCUAAGUGAUCUAGAAGUUUCUUGGCCACGAAAGCCGAACGGUGAUGCCCCAGACUCGAUUUCUUGGUUCCGUCCCGAAACGCCGAAAAAAAGGCACAAUGGCCUAGAAAGAAACAACCGGACUCAGAACGGGGUUGGAGGCCUCGAAAGUUCACAUCUAACAACUGGUCGAUCUGAUUCUGAGUGAUCUCGAAGUUUCUUGCCCACCAAAGCCGAACGGUGAUGCCCCAGACUUGGUUUCUUGUUUCCGUCCCAAAACCCCGAAGAAAGGCACAAUGGCCUAGAAAUGAACGACCGGACUGAAAACGGGGUCAAAGGCCUUGAAAGUUCACAUCUAACAACUGGGCGAUCCGAUUCUGAGUGAUCUCAAAGUUUCUUGCCCACAAAAGCCGAAUGGUGAUGCCCCAAACUCGGUUUCUAGGUUCCGUCCCAAAACGCCGAAGAAAGGCACAAUGGCCAAGAAAUGAACGACCGGACUGAAAACGGUAUCAAAGGCCUCAAAAGUUCACAUCUAACCACUGGGCGGUCUGAUUCUGAGUGAUCUCGAAGUUUCUUGCGAACAAAAGCCGAACGGUGAUGCCCCUGACUCGAUUUCUAGGUUCCAUUCCAAAACCCCGAAGAAAGGCACAAUUGCCUAGAAAGGAAGGACCCAACUCAAUACGGGGUCGGAGGCCUCGAAAGUUCACAUCUAACCACUGGACGGUCCGAUUCUGAGUGAUCUCAAAGUUUCUUGCCCACAAAAGCCGAACAGUGAUGCUCCAGACUCGAUUUCUUGGUAUCGUCCCAAAACGCCGAAUAAAUUCACAACGACCUAGAAAGGAACGACCAGACUCAGCACGGGGUCGGAUGCCUCGAAAGUUCACAUCUAACCACUGGUCGGUCCGAUUCUGAGUGAUCUCGAAGUUUCUUGCUCACAAAAGCCGAACGGUGAUGCCCUAGACUCGGUUUCUUGGUUCCGUCCCAAAACGCCGACGAAAGGCACAAUGGCCUAGAAUUGAACGACCAGACACAAAACGGGGUUCGAGGACUCAAAAGUUCACAUCUAACCACUGGGCGGUCCGAUUCUGAGUGAUCUCGAAGUUUCUUGCCCACAAAAGCCAAAUGAAGAUGCCCAAGACUCGGUUUCUUUGUUCCGUCCCAAAACGCCGAAGAAAGGUACAAUGGCCUAGAAAAGAACGACCGGACUGAGAACAGGGUCAACGGCGUCGAAAGUUCACAUCUAACCACUGGGCGGUUCGAUUCUGAGUGAUCUCGAAGUUUCUUGGCCACAAAAGCCGAACAGUGAUGCCCAGACUCGGUAUCUUGGUUCCGUCCCAAAACGCCGAAAAAAGACACAAUGGCCUAGAAAGGAACGACCAGACUCAGAACGGGGUCGGAGGCCUCGAAAGUUCACAUCUAAACAUUGUUCGGUCCUAUUUUGAAUGAUCUCGAAGUUUCUUGCCAACAAAAGCCGAACGGUGAUGCCCCAGACUCGUAUUCUUGGUUCCGUCCGAAAACGCCGAAGAAAGGCACAAUGGCCUAGAAAAGAACGACCGGACUCAGAAAGGGGUCGGAGGCCUCGAAAGUUCACAUCUAACCACUGGGCGGUCCAAUUCUGAGUGAUCUCGAAGUUUCUUGCCCACAAAAGCCGAACGGUGAUGCCCCAGACUCGGUUUCUUGGUUCCGUCCGAAAACGCCGAAGAAAGGCACAAUGGCCUCGAAAGGAACGACCAGACUCAGAACGGGGUCGGAGGCCUCGAAAAUUCACAUCUAACCACUGGUCGGUCCGAUUCUGAGUGAUCUCGAAGUUUCUUGCCCACAAAAUCGGAACGGUGAUGCCCCAGACUUGGUUUCUUUGUUCCGUCCCAAAACGCCGAAGAAAGGCACAAUGGCCUAGAAAGGAACGACCGGACUCAUAACGGUGUCGGAGGCCUCGAAAGUUCACAUCUAACCUUUGUUCGGUCCUAUUAUGAAUGAUCUCGAAGUUUCUUGCCAACAAAAGCCGAACGGUGAUGCCCCAGACUCGUAUUCUUGGUUCCGUCCCAAAAUGCCGAAGAAAGACACAAUGGCCUAGAAAAGAACGACCGGACUCAGAACGUGGUCCGAGGCCUCAAAAGUUCAUAUCUUACCACUAGACGGUUUGAUUCUGAGUGAUCUCGAAGAUUCAUGCCUACAAAAGCCGAACGGUGAUGCCCCAUACUCGGUUUCUUGGUUCCGUCCAAAAACGUCGAAGAAAGGCACAAUGGCCUAGAAAGGAACGACCGGACUCAUAACGGGGUCGGAGGCCUAGAAAGUUCACAUCUAACCACUGGGCGGUUCGAUUCUGAGUGAUCUCGAAGUUUCUUGGCCACAAAAGCCGAACAGUGAUGCCCAGACUCAGUAUCUUGGUUCCGUCCCAAAACGCCGAAAAAAGACACAAUGGCCUAGAAAGGAACGACCAGACUUAGAACGGGGUCGGAGGCCUCGAAAGUUCACAUCUAAACAUUGUUCGGUCCUAUUUUGAAUGAUCUCGAAGUUUCUUGCCAACAAAAGCCGAACGAUGAUGCCCCAGACUCGUAUUCUUGGUUCCGUCCGAAAACGCCGAAGAAAGGCACAAUGGCCUAGAAAAGAACGACCGGACUCAGAAAGGGGUCGGAGGCCUCGAAAGUUCACAUCUAACCACUGGGCGGUCCAAUUCUGAGUGAUCUCGAAGUUUCUUGCCCACAAAAGCCGAACGGUGAUGCCCCAGACUCGGUUUCUUGGUUCCGUCCGAAAACGCCGAAGAAAGGCACAAUGGCCUCGAAAGGAACGACCGGACACAGAACGGGGUCGGAGGCCUCGAAAAUUCACAUCUAACCACUAGUCGGUCCGAUUCUGUGUGAUCUCGAAGUUUCUUGCCCACAAAAUCCGAACGGUGAUGCCCUAGACUUGGUUUCUUUGUUCCGUCCCAAAACGCCGAACAAAGGCACAAUGGCCUAGAAAGGAACGACCGGACUCAUAACAGUGUCGGAGGCCUCGAAAGUUCACAUCUAACCUUUGUUCGGUCCUAUUAUGAAUGAUCUCGAAGUUUCUUGCAAACAAAAGCCGAACGGUGAUGCCUCAGACUCGUAUUUUUGGUUCCGUCCCAAAAUGCCGAAGAAAGACACAAUGGCCUAGAAAAGAACGACCGGACUCAGAACGUGGUCCGAGGCCUCAAAAGUUCAUAUCUUACCACUAGACGGUUUGAUUCUGAGUGAUCUCGAAGAUUCAUGCCUACAAAAGCCGAACGGUGAUGCCCCAUACUCGGUUUCUUGGUUCCGUCCAAAAACGCCGAGGAAAGGCACAAUGGCCUAGAAAGGAACGACCGGACUCAUAACGGGGUCGGAGGCCUCGAAAGUUCACAUCUAACCACUGGGCGGUUCGAUUCUGAGUGAUCUCGAAGUUUCUUGGCCACAAAAGCCGAACAGUGAUGCCCAGACUCGGUAUCUUGGUUCCGUCCCAAAACACCGAAAAAAGACACAAUGGCCUAGAAAGGAACGACCAAACUCAGAACGGGGUCGGAGGCCUCGAAAGUUCACAUCUAAACAUUGUUCGGUCCUAUUUUGAAUGAUCUCGAAGUUUCUUGCCAACAAAAGCCGAACGGUGAUGCCCCAGACUCGUAUUCUUGGUUCCGUCUGAAAACGCCGAAGAAAGGCACAAUGGCCUAGAAAAGAACGACCGGACUCAGAAAAGGGUCGGAGGCCUCGAAAGUUCACAUCUAACCACUGGGCGGUCCAAUUCUGAGUGAUCUCGAAGUUUCUUGCCCACAAAAGCCGAACGGUGAUGCCCCAGACUCGGUUUCUUGGUUCCGUCCGAAAACGCCGAAGAAAGGCACAAUGGCCUCGAAAGGAACGACCGGACUCAGAACGGGGUCGGAGGCCUCGAAAAUUCACAUCUAACCACUGGUCGGUCCGAUUCUGAGUGAUCUCGAAGUUUCUUGCCCACAAAAUCCGAACGGUGAUGCCCCAGACUUGGUUUCUUUGUUCCGUCCCAAAACGCCGAAGAAAGGCACAAUGGCCUAGAAAGGAACGACCGGACUCAUAACGGUAUCGGAGGCCUCGAAAGUUCACAUCUAACCUUUCUCGGUCCUAUUAUGAAUGAUCUCGAAGUUUCUUGCCAACAAAAGCCGAACGGUGAUGCCCCAGACUCGUUUCUUGGUUCCGUCCCAAAAUGCCGAAGAAAGACACAAUGGCCUAGAAAGAACGACCGGACUCAGAACGUGGUCCGAGGCCUCAAAGUUCACAUAUCUUACGACUAGACGGUUUGAUUCUGAGUGAUCUCGAAGUUUCUGCCUACAAAAGCCAAACGGUGAUGCCCCAUACUCGGUUUCUUGGUUUCGUCCAAAAACGCCGAGGAAAGGCACAAUGGCCUAGAAAGGAACGACCGGACUCAUAACGGGGUCGGAGGCCUCGAAAGUUCACAUCUAACGACUGGGCGGUUCGAUUCUGAGUGAUCUCGAAGUUUCUUGGCCACAAAAGCCGAACAGUGAUGCCAGACUCGGUAUUCUUGGUUCCGUCCCAAAACGCCGAAAAAAGACACAAUGGCCUAGAAAGGAAACACCAGACUCAGAACGGGGUCGGAGGCCUCGAAAGUUCACAUCUAAACAUUGUUCGGUCCUAUUUUGAGUGAUCUCGAAGUUUCUUGCCAACAAAAGCCGAACGGUGAUGCCCCAGACUCGUUUCUUGGUUCCGUCCGAAAACGCCGAAGAAAGGCACAAUGGCCUAGAAAAGAACAACCGGACUCAGAAAGGGGUCGGAGGCCUCGAAAGUUCACAUCUAACCACUGGGCGGUCCGAUUCUGAGUGAUCUCGAAGUUUCUUGCCAACAAAAGGCGAACGAUGGUGCCCAGACUCGGUUUCUUGGUUCCGUCCCAAAACGCCGAAAAAAGGCACAAUGGCCUAGAAAGGAAUGACCGGACUCAGAAUGGGAUCGGAGGCCUAGAAAGUUCACAUCUAACCACUGGGCUGUACAUUCUGAGUGAUCUCGAAGUUUCGUGCCCACAAAAGCCGAACGGUGAUGCCCAGACUCGGUUUCUUUUUUCCGUCCCAAAACGUCGAAGAAAGGCACAAUGGCCUAGAAAGGAACGACCGGACUCAGAAAUUGGUCCGAGGCGUCGAAAGUUCACAUCUAACCACUGGCGGUCCGAUUCUGAGUGAUCUCGAAGUUUCUUGCCCACAAAAGCCGAACGGUGAUGCCCAGACUCGGUUUCUUAGGUCCGUCCCAAAACGCUGAAGAAACGCAUAAUGGCCUACAAAGGAACGACCGGACUCAGAACGGGGUCGGAGGCCUAAAAGUUCACAUCUAACCACUGGGCUGUCCAAUUCUGAGUGAUCUCGAAGUUUCUUGCCCACAAAAGAGGAACGGUCAUGCCCCAGACUCGGUUUCUUCGUUCCGUCCUAAAACGCUGAAGAAAGGCACAAUGGCCUAGAAAGGAACGACCGGACUCAGAACGGGGUCGGAGGCCUAGAAAGUUCACAUCUAACCACUGGGUUGUCCAAUUCUGAGUGAUCUCGAAGUUUCUUGCCCACAAAAGCCGAACGGUGAUGCCCCAGACUCGGUUUCUUUUUUCCGUCCCAAAACGUCGAAGAAAGGCACAAUGGCCUAGAAAGGAACGACCGGACUCAGAAAUUGGUCCGAGGCGUCGAAAGUUCACAUCUAACCACUGGGCGGUCCAAUUCUGAGUGAUCUCGAAGUUUCUUGCCCACAAAAGCCGAACGAUGAUUCCCUAGACUCGGUUUCUUGGUUCUGUCCCAAAAGCCGAAGAAAGGCACAAUGGCGUCGAAAGGAACGGCCGGACUCAGAACGAGGUCCGAGGUUUCAAAAGUUCACAUCUAUCCACUGGGAGGUCCGAUUCUGAGUGAUCUCGAAGUUUCUUGCCCACAAAAGCCGAACGGUGAUGCCCUAGACUCGGUUUCUUGGUUCCGUCCCAAAACGCCAAAGAAAGGCACAAUGGCCUAGAAAGGAACGACCGGACUCAGAACGGGUCGGAGGCCUUGAAAGUUCACAUCUAACCACUGGGCGGUCCGAUUCUGAGUGAUCUCGAAGUUUCUUGCCCACAAAAGCCGAACGGUGAUGCCCAGACUCGGUUUCUUGGUUCCGUCCCAAAACGCCGAAGAAAGGCACAAUGGCCUAGAAAGGAACGACCGGACUCAGAACGGGUCGGAGGCCUCGAAAGUUCACAUCUGGCUACUGGGUGGUCCGAUUCUGAGUGAUCUCGAAGUUUCUUGCCCACAAAAGCCGAACGGUGAUGGCCUAGACUCGGUUUCUUGGUUCCGUCCCAAAACGUCGAAAGAAAGGCACAAUGGCCUAGAAAGGAACGACCGACUCAGAACGCGGUCAGAGGCCUCGAAAAGUUCACAUCUGGCUACUGGGUGGUCCGAUUCUGAGUGAUCUCGAAGUUUCUUGCCACAAAAGCCGAACGGUGAUGCCCAGACUCGGUUUCUUGGUUCUGUCCCAAAACGCCGAAAGAAAGGCACAAUGGCCUAGAAAGGAACGACCGGACUUAGAACGGGGUCGGAGGCCUCGAAAGUUCACGUCUGGCUACUGGGUGUCCGAUUCUGAGUGAUCUCGAAGUUUCUUGCCCACAAAAGCCGAACGGUGAUGCCCCAGACUCGGUUUCUUGGUUCCGUCCCAAAACACCGAAAGAAAGGCACAAUGGCCUAGAAAGGAACGACCAGACUGAGAACGAGGUCGGAGGCCUCGAAAGUUGACAUCUAACUACUGGGCGGUCCGAUUCUGAGUGAUCUUGAAGUUUCUUGCCCAAAAAGCCAACGGUGAUGCCCAGACUCGGUUUCUUGGUUCCGUCCCAAAACGCCGAAGAAAGGCACAAUGGCCUAGAAAGGAACGACCAGACUCAGAACGGGGUCGGAGGCCUCGAAAGUUCACAUCUAACUACUAGGCGGUCCGAUUCUGAGUGAUCUUGAAGUUUCUUGCCCACAAAAGCCGAACGGUGAUGCCCUAGACUCGGUUUCUUGGUUCCGUCCCAAAACGCCGAAGAAAGGCACAAUGGCCUAGAAAGGAACGACCAGACUCAUAACGGGGUCGAAGUUCUCGAAAGUUCACAUCUAACCACUGAGCGGUCCGACUCUGAGUGAUCUCGAAGUUUCUUGCCCACAAAAGCUGAACGGUGAUGCCCAGACUCGGUUUCUUCGUUUUGUCUCAAAAUGUCGAAGAAAGGCACAAUGGUAUAGAAAGGAACGAUCGGACUAAGAACGGGGUCGUAGGCCUCGAAAGUUUACAUCUAACCACUGGGCGGGGUGUGUGUGUCUACGUGUGCGUGGGUGUAAGUGUCCACGUGUGCGCGUUUCUGCGUGUGCGUGUGCGUGUGCGUGUGUGUGCGUAUACGCACGCGUGCGUGUGUACGUGAGUAGGCGUGUGCGGUUUUUGUGCUUUUCUUCCAAUUUUAAAAUAAUAAUUUAAUUAUCUUGAUAUUCAAAUCAUUAAAAUUAUUUUGAGAUAAGGUUAUUUUAAUAUAAAAUCUAUCGUUCAGAUUCUAAAAUGCUAAAAAAUAAUAAUUUUGUAAUUUUGAAAUUAAAUUUGGUUAUUUUGAAAUUCAAAUUCACUUAGGUUAUUUUGAAAUUAGUAAGAUUGAAUAAUGUUAGUAAAAUGUUGAAUCAAUUAGUUGAGUCCCGAGAUUUUAAGAGAAAAGUUAUGAUAUGAGUUGAUGUAUCUAUUUCAAGUAAAAAUUAAUUAAAAGUUGAUAAAUACAUAACAUAAAUUAAUUAUAACGUAAAAACAAAAUAAUUAUAGUUGGAGAAGGUGAAUAUUUUGGUGUUUUAUAAAAUACCAUGCACGUGCAAAAAAUGUUGUUUGCUAAAAUUGAAAAGAAAAAGUAGUUUUGCCAUUUUUCAAAUUGACCCCUAAAAACAUUGGAUAUUUGUGCAUUCCCUUGGGCUUUCUUGUUCAAUAUUUAGUCAAAUUGCAGUAUACAUAAAAUUUGUGUUUGUUACGUCACAAGAUUUCAUUCACUAUUUGUGUCUGUAUUAUUUUAUAUUUGAUACAGGAGACUCCGUUUGAGUGUUGAGCUAGUAAUGGGAGGGACUACCGUUGACCCCAAAAUUACAAGGUUUCAUGUUGCUUAAUGGAUCAUUAAUGAUUCGUCUCUAUCUUUGGCUCAUCGAGUGGUGGAGUUGGAACCCCUUGAAAGUGUAGAUUUAGACUCUCUACCGUUGUCAAGAGCUGUUAAGUAUGCAAAACUGGUCUUGUAUUAGUUUAAUUGGUAUGUGUGCGCUAAAGGGAUAAAAGCUCUUGGCAGUGAAAGACUUUACAAAACCAUUCAUCAAUUUUAAUUUGAAAAUUCCAAAAUACCAGUACAUUGACAAUAUUUAGAAUCAAAGUUCUAAAUAAAGAACUAAAUAUGCUUUUAAAUUAAAAGAUACAUAGAACUUACUCUUGUUGACGUCUCUGAAUCUAUAAUCCACCGAAUUGGGGACACCACCCGUUGGAGACCUUCCUAUCUUCGAAGAUGAGAUUGGUUUGUGGAAAACAAUUGGAAUGAAAAAAAAAUUAGAGAGAAACUAUGUAACACCCCAAUAUCAAGGUAUUUCUCUCAAGCUAAAUUUUUUAAAUUUUAUUAAGAUUUUAAGGAAUUUGGUUGUGGUGUGGAUUUAGCAGGAAGUGAAGGGGGCUUUUAUGAAAAAAAAUAUACUAAUACUAAAGGUUAAAUAAUAAUAAUAGAAUUAAUGUUAUUAUUAAUUUAAAAUAUAAAUUCUUUAUUGAUUCACGUGCAACCCCAUCUCUUUCUCCUUCACUCUUCCUCUUCCCCGUGCCCACCGCCGCCUGCCUCCCUUAGCCAUUUUAUAUUACUCUUGGACGUCAGCCGGCCACGCCGUCACCGAUCGCUUCAUCUCCGUUGAAGCCGAAUCACCGUUCGUCGUGAGUUCAAACUCUCGGCAUCGCGUCUCACCUCUGUUUUCCAGCCAAUCUGUGAUUCAUUCGCGCGUAGCUCCUUCGACGUUCGCGCCACCACAUUAUGCUCCAGGUGACGAGGAACGUCACCGAUUGACCUAUCAUCUCACCGGUGUUGUUACUUAGUUGAAGCAGUCGUCGACCAGACCUAAGCCCGUCGCGUCUGUCGAAGUGCCGUCGCGCGGCUCUUCACCUUCCAGCCAUGGGUUGUAAGUUGAAGUUUGUUUUUCGUUUGUUGAUUAGAUCUGAUCUAUUACACGCGUCGAUUCCAGUUAUUCGAAGUUGUUGCCCCCAUUUUACUCUAAUUUUUGGGAUUUUUUUGGUAAGUUGUAUUGGUGAGUAUGGUGGUUUUACAUUGUAAUUAUCCUUGGGUUGUAGUUUUGGAUAAUUAGUUAAAUUGUUAAUUGAUUCUUGAAGGUAGCAUUUGAGUUCUUUGGAUUCACAACUAAAUUGUAGAUUUGUUGGAGUUCGAUUCGCCAAUACUCGGUAAGCUAGAAUUUACAUUGAGGAAAUUAAAUGAAAGAAAGUAUUGUGAAAGUAAUUGAGUUCCAUAUUCUUAUUAUUAGGUUUCCUUCGUUUGAGAAAUUUGAGUAACAUUACAGUAAGGGGUUUCUAUUACUGGACUCUUUGAAAGUUUUGAAAUGUGUUGACUGUUUGGAUCUCUGGACUUAGUAUGGUUUACCAAUAUAUGUAGAAGUAGAUAUGAUGACAAAUGUAUAUUAUGCCAGACUGGUAUAGAAGUAGAUACGAUGGAUAAUGUAUUUGUAAACUGAGAAAGGUGUUAUGUAUAUAUAUAUAUAUCUUGACUGUCUGGUGUGUUGUUAUAGUAUCAACUGAUUUUGUGAUAGAUUGAAUAGAUUGAACGUGAAGUGUGUUAAGUUGGAUUGAUGAUAUGAUGGAGUAGUUUGACUAUACUAGGAAUGGAUUGAUUAAAUGUUUAUAACGAACUAAGGGAAAAUUGUUAGCUUUGUCGAUUGGGUAGUGUGCCUUGAAGGUGUCCUACGGGAUCACCACCUGUUGUGCAUUCUUCGAGAGCACUAGAAUGACAUGUGCAUUCUUUGAGAGCAAUAGACUGACAUGUGCAUUCUUCGAGAGCACUAGACUGACAUGUGCUUUCUGCAGAGCACUAGACUAAUAUUUGUGUCCUUUAGGGCAUUGGACUGAUUAUGUGUAUUCCUACAUGAUCACAAGACUUUUAAAGUGCAGGGCACCUCCAAUAGGAAGUUAACAAUUUUAUUUUUCUUCUAACAGGAUCAGUAGUGGGUCUCUUACUGGGUAUGUUUAUACUCACCCUUUUAUGUUUAAUCUUUUUCCGCGAAACUGCCAUAGGGAAAUGUCCUUCAAAUUGCUUCUACUUUAUAUUUUUUUUAUUUUGGUUUUCUUUAGUAAUUGAGACUGUUUUGGGUUUCAUGAUUGAACGACUUUUAUGUUCUUGAACUUUCUUUAUUAUCGAUACUUUUACACUUUCAAAAUUUUAUUUGAAAUAGAGCCCGAAUAAAAACUCUUUAAUGUUGUUAAAAAAUAUAUUUUUUAAAUUAUAAAGUCUUAUGGUUAAAGGACGAAUCUAGUCUUAAAGUAAUAACUUCAGCUUAAUUCGAAAAAUUAGGUCGUUACAAUCUAUUUUGCAGAAAAGAAAAUCAUCGAUUUUAUUUUGGUUAAGAAAAGCUGUUUUUCUUCUACAUAUUUAUAACUCUCUUUCUUUCAUUGAGUAGGAGACGGGGUAGGAGAAAAUCAUAGGAUUCUAUUAACUUAAAAAUUAUUAAAUUAAUAGAAGUUUCAAAUCAACUAACUAAUUAACCAUUAAUCAAUUAGUUAAUAAUUAAUUAAAUCAUAUUUAAUUAAUAUUUCAUUUAAAUCUUAUUGAAUGAAUCUCUCCAAUACCUUAUAUUUUAUAUUAAUUUAAUUAAAUAAUAUUAAACUAAACUAUUAAUUAAUUAAUAACUAAAUUAAAUAUUUUAUAUUUAACUUAAGUUAAAUUUGAAUCAUAUUCAAAUAUAACUUUAUCUCAUAAUUAAUAAUUUUAAUAUGAAACAAAUCCACAUUAAAUUAAUAUUUGAACUCAUUCAAAUAUUUUAUCUCUCAUAAAUUAAUUUUGAACUUUAUCUAAAAUUAAAUUUAUAUAAUAAAGUUUCAUUAACAUAUAAACUUUAUAUUAUAAUGUAUCACUAUAUAUUAUACUAAUUAUACUAAUUUCCAAAGUAAAUUUGAAUAUUUCAAAUUAGAACCAGCAUAAAUAAAUCACAUUAUCAUUUUGUAUCAUCCAUUACUUUGUAUUCAAUCAUACUAAUUGGAUCAACCUAAUACAUAAAACAAAUAUAGAAUUUUUUUAAAAAAAAGCAUGCACAAAUAGAGACAAAUAGACAUUGAUAGCUAUCUAUCUCCAUCUAUCUGAAACAAGCACACAUAAAUUGUUAUAUUUCUCUAUCGGAUGGACAAAAAUAGCAGUCUAUUUAUAUCUACCUGAGAUACAAACAUUAAAAAAAAAAAAAAACCUUACCAAUAAAAUUCUUGACUUUUCAUGUUAUUCUAAAUGCAACACGUUCUCAGCCCAAGAAGUCAAACAACUCUUCAUUGUAAAAGUAGCUUUACUUCUUUCAUCAAACCACUUUUGCAAUACAUCUCUAAUUGAACUAAGCAUGGUAGUACAGGUAGUUCUCUAAGAAGAAGAAGACCUUCUAAAAAAAUCAACAGUUACAUGAGCAACUAAUGGAUGUAUAUUAGUUGCAUCUUUAGCAAAAGAUAAAUACCAAGCCACAUCAUUGUCUUUCUUUACUGGCACCACAGUUGGACCUUGCUUUUACCAAAAUCAAGUAAAACAGAUAAUUCUACUUAUCCAUCCAAUUGAAUCUGUUCACAUAUUAAAUCAACUAGAGAAUUAAAGCUGACUCGGACAUCUACCAAAAUUUCAGCAACUAAGUAAUUCUCAUAAAUAUUACAUCCAUUCCAUUGACCUCCAUAAAAAACAACAAUAGGAAAAGACAUUAUAAUCUGUAAAAAAAAAAAAUUAAGUAUUUAAUUGUGAUAGAAAGAAAUAGAUAGACAUAGAUAUACAUUUAUUACUGAAUAAAAGAAUAAAAUGUACAAAAUGAUAAUACUAAACACAAUGCAAGAAUAAGUAAACCAUCGUGCAAUGAAAUAAUAUACAUUAAACGAUCCUAUUAACCGUGAUAAACGACCAUUUAACAACGGUAAAUGAUAAUAUUGAUUAAAAAAAAUUAUCAUGUUGACAUGGGUACACGAUCAUAUGAUAUUGGUGAUCGUAUUGAAUAGUGUAAACAAUCGUCUUGUUAUCGGUACACGAUUGUGUUAAUAUUUGUAAGUGAUUCUAUUGAUAGUGGUAACUGAUCAUGUAAUUCCAUGUAAAUUAUCGUCAAAAACUUUAAACUAUCGAUCUUUAUAAUGAAGUACAUAAUUCUUACAUUAAUACUUAAAAUUUGUUGUAACGACCCAACUUUUCUAACUAAGUUGAAGUCAUUAAUUUUGACAAAGAGACCUUGAUUGACACAAAAUAUAAUAAAAUUCACUUGAAAUCAUACGAUCAAAGAAAACAAACUUAAGUUCGGGCCCUAUUUCAAAUAUCCAAAACUUUAAAAGUACUAUUUACAAAACAACAGUUCGUAAACUCAGUUCCAUCACAAAAUUUUUAAACAACCUCAUGUACAAAGGAAAAACAAGAAACAUAAAGCGAAGCAUUUGAAGGACAUUCCCUUAUGGCAAUCACGUCUCCUUCUUGUCCCUCGUCAGUCUACCUCCUUUGUUACCUUUGCCUGAAAUAGUUAAACAUGAAAGGAUGAGUAUAAACAUACCCAAUAAGAGACCGCUAUUGGUCCCGUUAGGGGAAAAAGAAACUGUUAACUUUCUAUUGGGGUACCCUGCACAGUCACAGUCUUGUGAUCCCGUAGGAUACACAUAAUCAGUCUAACGCCUCAAAGGACGCAUAAAUCAGUCUAGUGUUCCGCAGAAACACAUAUCAGUCUAAUGCUCCCGAAGGAUGCACAUAUCAGUCUAGUGCUAUCGAAGGAUGCACAUAUCAGGUGGUGAUCCUGUAGGACACCUGCAAGGUAACUACCCAAUAGAAAUCUAACAAUUUUCCCCUCAAUCCAUUCUAAACAUCUUAAAACUCAUUCAUAGUACAGUCCAACUACUUCAACAUAUAAUCCUUUCACUGAACACCCUAAUAGUCAACUUAUCUCACUUUAGCCCAAUGUCCGCCAGUAACAUAUCAAUACAUCAGUCAAUCAAACUAUAUAGUCAUAACACCCCUCAAUUCACCAGUACACAACCAUACUUUAGUAUAACAUACACCCAAUCUAAACGACAAUCACAAGUUCACAUCCACAUUCCAUACAAACACAAUCUACAAUUGUCGUCCUGUCUACAUCCAUACAUAUUUAUAUAUAUAUAUUCCCAGACAAUCACAAUAUGCAUUCAACAUCAAGUCUACAUUCAUACGUAUAUAUAUCGUUUCGACAUCUUUACUCAAUCGGAGGUAACUAUACAGACAGCACAAUUCAAAACUAUAGGUGAGUCCAGUAGUAGAGAAUCCCUUAGCUUAUAACCUUACUUAAGCUUCUUUUUCAAACUAAAGUGCAACGAACCGACCUAAACAUAAUUGAAGAGAAAUCAAUCACUUCCACAAACAAUUUAAUCCAUUCAAUUCACUCUAUAUGUAAAUUCCAUAACUUACCCAAAUUGUGGAGAAUCAAAUUCUAACGGAGACGGAUCGGUGCAACAAAUAACCAAACAAUUCAAAUCUAAACAUACAUGGCGUGACGGAACCGGAGUGACUCGGGCUAACGGUGAUGCGACGAUACGACAAAAUUUGCUUGACGUUCGAUGUAGGUGGAAGACGGUGGUGAAGUUGAUUGGAGAAUGAAAAAGAAGGAAGAAAAGAGACGGUGGUGUGGCCGUAGGUUGAAGAGGAAGAGAAAGGAAGAAGAUGAAUAGGAAAAGAGAAAAAAUAAGAUUAAAUAUUAUAAAUAUAUAUAUAUAUAUGAAAUACAAAAAUAAAAGUAGAAUAACGAUGAAAUUUUGAAAAAUGAAAAUUUGGAUAAAGUAAAAUUUGAAAAUAAAGAUUUGAUAUAAAUCCAAUAUUUGGAGGAAAAAAAAGUGUGUUAAGAUAAUGUAGGAGAAAAUCAAUAUUUAUGCUAAAAUUUUGCAUAUUUCAAAAUUAGUUACAGUUUAACUAAAAAGCAGGCGAGGAGAUUUUAGGGUUAAUGAAAAUUCAAAACACAUGAAAUGCUCGUGUUUGCUAUUCUUCUAAUAAAAUUUUGCUAUUUUCUCAAAUGAGUGUAAUCCAACAAAAUGAAGUUGUGUGUGUGUGAACAAAAAUGAGGUAAAUAGCUUUGAUGAUGAUGGCAAAUGGGUAAAGAAAAUCUUAUCUUAUUCUUCACUUUUCAUUUAAUUGACAAAAAGUAACCAACCAUAUGAAGGGAAAAACAAAAUGCUCUCUCAGUUACUUUACUCAUUUCUUUGUUCUUUGUGUGGGAGAUAUUUGAAAUGGAGAUGAAUAUCAAAAUGAAAGAGAGAUUAUGCAUACACUGUGAGAAGCACACAGAAAAAUUGAAAAUAAAUUGAAAAGAAGAGAGAGAUAAGUCUGAGGGAGAAAUAUUCAUUUCCUUUUCAAAGUGAAUUGCAAAGAAAUUUUCUCAAAUUGAAAAGAAAGGAGAAAUAUACAAAGUCAGCCACCGCUUCUUCUCCCUUCAGUCUGCAGUUUUCGUCUCCCUCUCUUCUAUUAUUAAAAUAAAUAAAUAAAAUAUCACAACCCGACUUAACACAAACUAUUUACUCCAACUUUUUAAACUACAAAUUUAAUUUCUCAACUUUUAAACUAUUUUAAACUUACAAAUCUACUUUAUUCAUUUCUUCAGAUUUAUAUCUAACAAAUAAAAAAAAAUCAAAAUUUAUAGACACUUAAAACAUAAAAUUGAAAGACCUAUUAAACAAUUGAAAGGUUUAAGAGGUAACUAGACAAACUUUAAAAUUUCGAAGGGAAAGAAUCUUUUGUUUAACUAUUACAGUAAUUAAUUUUGAAAAUAUGUUAUUUUAGAAAAACUACAAGUGUUUGACAACUCUUUGAAAGCUAUUGAAAUACUCUCAAAUUGUAUUUUAAGCAAUUUUAAUAAAAAGAAAGUCUACAUAAAAAAAUUACCCUUUUUAAAGGAACAUCUUUUCUCUAAUCACUCCAAUGGAACUCAAACACGUACUUCAAGUUAAUUCUGGUAUCCAAGAAUCAGUCUCAUCUAACAUAAACAAGAACAUUCAACUUGAUAGAACUUCAUUACCUCAUUUUUACAAUUCCCAAAGUUACUAAAUGAAGGACCAUUCCUAAAACAUACUUACAUCCAACUUUCUCCAUGAAUAAACUUAUCGUCUUUUAUGUACUGAUGAAUAUAGAGAUGGAGCGAUCAGAGUUUGUUUAUGUACCAAAUUAGAGUGAGUUGAGAAAAGAGUGGAUUUACACAAGGACGAAAUGGCUGGCUGCUGCUUCAAAACUGAAAGUUAGGGUGACCUUGUUUCUCAUAGGGACUCAGCAAAUUAAGGGGCCUCCAAGUCUACUUCUUGUCUCAUUAUACAUGCCAUUAACCAUUCAACGUUGAAAGUCCAUAUCCCUUUUUCUACGGCCACCAAGGCUUCCUCCACGUCUUCCUCACAAGCCACAAAGAUCAUCUUCCAUACGUUGUUUACUUUAUCUAGCUCAUGAAUCACCUAAAUUUUCAAGCAUAAUGAAUUUGCCAAAUGAGAGAAAAAAUUAUGUAUAUACGACAAGGAAAUUGCAAGAAUUCACCCUAUCAAAAAAUAUUAAACAAAUUCUUGUUCUAGUCCCUAAAAUUUUCCAUCUUUUCCCAACUUUCAAAAUGCUUCCUAUGAGAUAUAUUCCAAUCACAUAUAGCAGAAAUGACCGAUGAGUAUUGGAUAAAUGAAUAUUAAUUGAUAAAAUAAUUUACAAAAUACUAAAACCGUUAGUUGGCUACGUUUUGGAAGCUCGAUGACUAAAAUGGAUGUUUUGAAAGUUCUAAGGCUAAAAUGGAAUUUAAAUCAACAUAAUAGUAAGUUCAAGAUCAAAGACAAGCUAAACAAUAAAAUGUUGCGAGCAGAAAACAAUCUAAUCAUAAUUAGAAACAUGGAUGUAUGUAUUUGUACACCAAAUCACAAAAAAUAACUCCAGAUUUUGAUCUAGAGACAAUUAAAAACUUGAACAAAUUUGAUAAUUAAAGAAACACGGAGAUGGCCAUAUGACCCCUUGUGCAUAGACUUUUUACAUUACAUGCUCAAUUCCUAGGAUCAAAACAAACAUAAAUAUUAAAGACUUAAGAAGCACAUACACACAAGUUUGGCUAGUGUAUCAAUAAACAAUAUGUAUGGAACACUCGGAGAACACAUGUUGAACACUAGUUAGUACAGUAGAUGUGUUAGACAACAAGUAUUCCAAUGCAAUAAAGGUCAAGAUUGGUCACACACACAUAUUAAACUCUUGGCUUUGAAUAAGUUUUGAGUGAAGGACAAGCUUAUUUUUAAGCAUAUAAAUACAUAAACUUAUUGACUUUGAAUUUCUAUAUAAAUAUGAUACAUACUUUUUAAAUUAUAUAUAUUAAAACUGUGUUCUAGCACUAUCCUAUAUUUUUAAGAAAAAAAUGACACGUCACCAUGUCUAUGAUUUAUUGACCCAUGUCUAGAAUUCGUAUACGUGCUUGUUUGUUGAGAACUUCACGUCUUCAUUAGAUGGGAGGAUAGCCAUAUUAUAGUGGUUGUAUAUGUAAUAUAGAGAACCAAACCUAGUACUCGAGAUUUGUACAAUAACAGAGAAAUUACAUUUCCACCGGCUGACUUGACUAUCAGGGAUAGAGUUUUAGGUGGUGGUUGAGCGUGAGCUGAUAUGCAAACAUCAUACCCUUCAAAUAAAGCUCAAGAACAUGCUUUUGCCCUGAGAACUGCAGCUUUUAGGCUGGCUCGAUACUUCGAUAUGUAGUCAUCAUCAUUUAGUAUGUAAGGCAACUCGUCUGCAGAUCCAUAAGGAAUUAAUCAAUCACAAAAAUUAGGUAGGAUGAAAAACAUAAGUGGAAGAAAAUACAUUACGCUUUGAUACUAGCAAGCCAUUCGAACUUACCAACAAAUCUGCCUUCCCGGUAGCUUUCCUUUAACCAACUGGAGGAGACAAUCCAAGCUCUGAGUAAUUUGCAAUUAUGAGCAAGAGCACACUGACACGCUUGAAGGCACAUGGUAAUGCAUAUGCUCGAUAAUCAUUGAGAACAUUAACAGGAGAAAAUAAAGUUAAGAACAGUAGCUUGAAGAACAAAAAACAUUCUACAACAUAAAAUCUUCAAAAACACAUUGCUUAAAAUCAAGUUUACUAAUAUAAAAGGUAAGAUAUUACGUUCCACUCUCCACACUACUGAAGUUCAACAUUUCACAUGAAAGAAAUGAAAUACUAUUCUCAAAUAUAACUAAAAAAAAGCAUAAAUCGUAAAGAAAAAGCAUAGAGAAAUGCAAAAGAAUCCUUGGCUUUGAUAUAUUGAAAGGUAAAGAAUAUCAACCAUAGAUGCCCGGAGAAGAACUCCUACAAAUACACACUUAACGCAGAUUAUCAUUCGCUAACAUGAGACCUUCUAGAGUUAUUCUGUUAGGAUACUUCCUAACAAGAACAAGAUCUUAAUUUAUUAUAAUGAACUAUAAGAAAAUACAAGAUAAAACCAAGUAUAAAGCACUUGGAACCUCCCUCUUGAGUACUCUCACCCAAGCCCUAAAUCACUCCCCAGAAUUCUCCCCUCACUUACCCUCCCUCCAUUUAUAAUAAGAUGUAACCACACUUACAUAAUAAUUACUAGUAACUUUCUAAAUAUCUAAUUACCCUUAUACCCCUAACCUUAUACUAAUCUAUCUAACAUUACCCGAUCCUUCAAAACACCUUGUCCUCAAGGUGUGCUUACAAACAUGAAAUAGUAAAACCCAAGAUUGUUCCUUUUGUCCUAAUCCUCUUUCCUACCAAUUUCUACCACGUCAUUGGAACCAUCAUGUGUGCAGCAACUUCUUCCUCGUCACGUGAUUCACCCCUAUUUCAGACCACCUUCUCGAGCCUCUGUAGAUCGGUAACUGUCGGCUUCUUCUUUCUCCAUUGCAACCAGCCAUUUUGUGUUUCUUUGAGCAACAAAUUUUUCUUCACUCGAGUCUUCAUUUGAGCCUCACAAGUAAUCCUUAUCGACCUUCCUCUAUAGUUUCUUCUUGGUCACUCUUUGCCAUCCUCUUCACCUUCAUUGUAUAACCGUUGCAAUCGCGUUUUCCUCGAUUCUUCUAUGGAUUCAGCAACUUCUUAGAGUCCAUCGAUUUAUGGACCUGAAGAUUCCAAUCCGUUCUAAAUAAACACAAUCCAGAUCAGUGCCACUGAACACAGCAUUUCAACCUUCUUGAAUUUGCUAUGAUCGUUCGAGUUUUUAUCCCUUUCAAACUUGUUUGUUUUACCUUCUACCUUGAUUUCCUUCAAUGUCUUACCUCCACCUUCGAUGAUACUCUCAAUCAUUGGUCCUUUGCUCGACGAUCCUUCCAUUCUUCCGGAGAUUGUCGAAUAAAAAGAACUUGACUUGGACCCUCUACUUCUCCCGAGCACGAAAGACGGCAGCCUCUACUUCUUUGGAAUAUUUUGUCCCUUUCUCCCUCCUCUUUCCUCCCUUUUAUUUUGCUUUACUAACAAACUAAUGGGAAAGAUCUCCUCCGAUAUUCUCUCCUCCUAUAAUCUCUCCUAUAUUCUCGUGUGGGUCAAUAUUACCCUUUUUAAUUCUUCUACUGUAUUUAAAUAAUAUUGGAGACAUAUACUUCCUAACAAGAACAAGAUCUGAAUUUAUUAUAAUGUAACUAUAAGAAAAUACAAGAUAAAACCAAGUAUAAAGCACUUGGAACCCUCCCUCUUGAGUACUCUCACCCAAGCCUUAUAUCACUCCCCAGAAUUCUCCCAACUUACCCUCCCUCCAUUUAUAAUAACAUGUAACCACCCUAGUUACCACACUUACAUAAUAACUACUAGUAACCACACUUACACAAUAACUACUAGUAACUUUCUAAAUAUCUAAUUACCCUUAUACCCAACCCUAUACUAAUCUAGGUAUCUAACAAAUUCCAUAACAUAAUGUAUUAGGGGAAGAAGGAAAUCGAGGAUAAAAACACUAGCUAGCCAACAAAUAUCUUUCAUUAGUGAGCUUGAGCCAUUUUACACGUAAAAUGAGAAAAGUAAGCCUGAAACCCAAAUUAGCCUAAUGGUUGUCUUAACAACCACUACCCACCAUCACGAUAGAAACAACUGAAAAGGAAGAGCAUGAUACAAUCCAACUCAAACAUAAGAAUUGAUUUUGAUGUUUAACUAAAAGUAAACAGGCAGUAGAAUAAGAAACUAUACCCUUUUAGAUCUAGAAGGUUCACAACAAUUUCUAGCCUAAGCACAACUACGAGGCAAUGGAAGAAUAACGGCAAAGGCCUUGUGUGCAUGGAAUCGCUAACUUUUGUGCAAAUGAGAUAAUUAUCGGUAUUCAAAGGCCAAAAGGACACAUAGAAGAGUGUUCGUCUAAGGCUGCAAGACUAACCCUAAAAAGAGAGCAAUACAAAAAUUUAGAGUUUUUCGCACUUUUCCUGUAAUGACAUGAGUGCUUGUACUCCCAUCAGCAGUGAGAGAACCACCAAGCUCCUCAAUCAUCUGAAUUAGAAAACAACUGCACAUUAGAGCAGUCACAAUUUGGAAUAAAUAGAACUUUUAAUUGUUAGAAUCUUAGAAUAUUUAUGAAAAGUUUAUGGGAAUAUUUUUCUUAAUUCCUAAAUAUUUUCCUUUUUUAUUCCUCUGUAUAUUCUAUUUAUUCUCCCUUGUACCUAUUGUAUUUUUCAUCAGAAAAUAAUAAGAAAAAAAAUAUAGUGGUUUUUCUCCUGGUACACAGGUUUCCACGUAAAGUUGUGUGUUUGUUUGUCUCCCUUUCAAUAUGGUAUCCGAGCAGGUGGUCCAAGAAGGUCUUGUGUUCAAGCCUCGCAUUGUCGUUUCCUCCCCAAUUAAAAUCCAUUUCCAGUUGUUGGGCCUUUCAAAUAUUUCAAGCCCACAAGUGAGGAGAGUGUUGGUGAUAUAUAAUUGAAUUUUCUUUCUUUUUUUAAAAAAGGAUACGAGUCUCACUAUUAUUAAUAUAAAGAAAGAGACAAAGCUCAAUAUACAUGAGGAAUAUACAAAGAGCAAAAAGGGAGAGGGAAGAUCAACAGCGCAUCCGGGCAUCUCAAACUAGGUUGACACCCCCUUAGUGCCCUCAAAACAUCCAAAAAGCGACAACACAAGAUCAAAACAAAAAGCCACAAAAACAGAGACAAACAAAAUGAUAAAAAGAAUCUUUCCAAAGCAAAAUCAUAAUCAAAGGCAGCAUGCUGAGAACAAAGAAGAAUAAGCCUUGAUUGGUUGAGCAAAAACUGUUUGAAGCAGAGGGCUGAUCCGAAAGUCCUGAUCAUCAAAGACUUCAAAGUGGGGAUGCUGUAAAGGCUGGCCAAUAUAACACAAUAUCCUACGUCGAAGAUCUUCUUUUGCAUUACAUUUUCUAAAAUUUCCAAUCCACUCUGUUAAAGGCCUUUUCAAGGUCUAAUUUAAUGAUCCAUCUUUUCUUUUUUCGGAUACUAUAGACCUCCACAGUUUCUUUUGCUAUUAAAAUAGGAUCCAAGAUUUGGCACUCUUCCAGAAAGCCACAUUGUAAUGGAGAAGUAUGUUAGAUUCUAACAAUAAAACACAAAAUAUCCUAACAAAUGGCUAAACAGAGGCAGCACUCUGUAAUUCUUUAUUUAUGUAAAAGCCAAAACACAUUCAACAGUAGUAGAUAUGAAAAAUAAAGGAAGAACAACAUAGAAAACUUACCCAACUCCUUUAUACGGGGCUGGAUACCCUCAGGCUACAACAACCUUUACUCUCCUUGAAAUAACAAAAAAAGACCUAGCCUCCCCUACCCCAACAUUACAUAUUUAUACCUCUCUCUCUCUUCCCUCCUGGCGGGCCCCACCUACACGAUCCUCUCCCAUUAUUCUCUCAUAAUUGGUUGCUAAGGAAUUUCCCUUUCUACCCUUCCUUUUAUAGGUAUAGAUAAUAGGAGGUCUUACAAAGUAAUACCUGGCCUGACUUUCUUUAAUCUUUCUGCGAGAACCUUUCCAAACAACUUAUAAAUUAAUGUUGAAACAACUUAUAAGCCACACUGUAAUGACCUUCCUUCUCUUGACCGAACUUCAAUAAUCGACAACUUAUAUUUAUCCAUAGUGCCUUUAUAAUACAACUGGCAAUCUCUUCUCUUUUGGUCUCCGGAAUCAAUGCUCUAUCUGGAUUAGCUUUCUUCAAAAGAUUUUUAAUAGCCAAUUUGUUUCGAAUGGCCCAUGGAAUCCUCUAGUGUUCCAAUGAUAUAAUCUCCAUCUUUGCUACCUCUGCCCUUAUAUCAAUUCAAUUUCACAUGCUGCCAAGAAAGGAACCAACUCUUGAGGGGGAAGGAUACUUGCUGACCUGCACAAAAUUUCUUUUUAUGGGGAGGAAAACAAUUUAAUAAAAUCUGGACCGAGAGAGUCACUGUCUGUUUUCUGUCUCUGAUUGAAUUAUUUCUUCCUCAACUGGUUCAAAUUCUGCACUACUUACACUGGUGACUGAUUCAACUUCCUUGAAUUCAUCUUCUAGGUUCUCAACUUUUUUUAGAUAAGAAGUAUCUUGCACAAAAUUAAAGAAUGAACCAGAAAGUUUGGAGGAGGAUUGAGAAAAUUUAUUACUUAAGGAGGAAGGCAGUACUGACCUUUUGCCAACUGAAUUUUGAAUUUGUAUCUUCACACAACUUUCCUCUAAUAAAUCAGAAUUAGUUAAGCUCAUCCAAAUGUUGCGAAAAGUUCUCCCUUUGGUAUAGGUCUUGAGGUGCUUAGAAAAAUUUAUGGCAUGAAAUGGAAUAGCUUUCAUUGCAGAGGAUAUUUUAGUCUUGGGAGAGGCUGGUAAUUUUGGUUGAGAACUGAAAACAGGAGAUGGCCCGCAAGUGAAGUUCCUUGAUGGAGGAGAGGACUCUGAUUCUUCCUCCAAUUCGUCAGAAUACCAAAAGCCAUUGGAAUUCUGUUUAAUAGAAUUCUUGGGGCCUACCAUCUGUGUGUCAGCUUUAAAAAUGUCUGCAAAUACAUUAAGUUUGAAAAAAUUUGGUUGGGGAGGGCUAGGUGAGCUGUUUUUUAGAUAAUAAAAUGCCGACUGGCUGCCUUUUCUUCUUUCGAGGUCUGUUUUUCUCUCUUUUCUGUUGAAGUCUUUUCCCCUUCUAAGUACAUGGAGAUGCCAGCUAUACCCAAAUUUGAAUUUUGCCUUCUGAAAUUAUUUUUUUUCGGCGAGGAUUCAAGGGCUGAAACUCUUUCCGGUCGAACAAGGUUUUCUUCUUCAUCACCCAACUUCCUAAGUGCUUCGAAAGGAUUUCUUGAGAUGGAUAAGCCAUUCUGUUUGAGAAAAUUAAGGUAUCUGGGAGACCAUCACUUUGGAGCCCUUCAUCUAAAAUCACUGAAUUUAUUCUACAUAAAUCAAUAGGAUUGGAAAAAUCACUUUGAAAUAGAUCAUAUUGGAUUAUUACAGGAGCUUCUAAGGGUUCAAAAUCCCCAAAAUUAAGGGAAAAUUUUUUCCGAACUUUAAUUCUUGCUUCAAAGAACUUGAUCAGAUUGAGUGUUUCUAAGAUUAUACUUUCUAGUCCACCAAAGUAGCUUAAGCUUAAGGCUAUAAUUGAAUUUUCUUUCAACCAUCAGCUUAAAAUUUUUGGUGAAUCGGUGGUUUAAUAUUUAUAUUAAUAUUUUAUAAAAAAGUAUACAGCUAAUGCCAUAUAAAAUAAAUAAAGAAAUACUAUAAAAUCUACAUCCAUAAAAUAUGCAUGUGAACACAUAUCAGAAGAUGGAUAUUCGUAAGUUAGAAAGACCGAUAACAAAAUGUCAUAAUUAAACAACACAUUAAUAUUAUAGGUAGUUUCAAGCUUCAUUUGUCUAUUUAGGUAGGGAUAUUGAAUAACUCUUAAAAAUAAUAUAAAGAUUGAAUCCCUAAACUUCAUGUGCUUGCUAGUAUACAACCUAAAAGUUCAAUAGUUAAAGAAACUGAUUAAUCAUUUUUGGCAGGAUGUCAGAUUCGCCUUUCGAAAUCCUACAUGAGUAGAGCUAGCCAAAUAAGCCAAGCAAGAUAUGCCUCUUAAGGAAUAUGGAGAAAAUGGCUGGGUAUGUAUAUGAUAAGCCUUAACCUCAAUUUUAUUUAUCAAUAAUGGAGGGAAGGAAUCAGAAGCUUCUCUAGCUCUCCCAAUUAUUCUAAGAAACCUGAUACAAGCUAUGCCAAAACAUACCCUCCCCAAACAAUCAUAAUAGUAUUUAUAUGAAAGCAUAAAAGACUCAUGGCCCCCUUAACUAGCAGCAUUCAACCAACAAAACAACUUCCCAUCCUCCUCUCCUGAAUCCUUUCUUGUGCCUACGGGUGUACACCUUCACUACCAUGGGCCUAUCAGUAUGUAGAGAUCGUAGAGGCUGUAUGAGCUAAGGAGCUGGAAGAGUAGGAUUAGGGAAGUGUGGAGUUUUCCGCUCUUUGUUUGGCCAAAAGUGUUUGUGGACUCCCGACAAGAAAAUUUAAAUUUUAUGCCUUAUUGACUUCGUAUGUCCUAGGCCCUAAGAGUUCAAAACUUUCUAGAUUUCACAACUUCUUGGACCACUCCUUGUGCCAAACACCCCUUUAUAGAAUACUAAGCCAAGGAUAUAAAACUUCAAUACUAUCAAUAGAAAAUCUCAUAAAAGAAACAUGAAUGAUGAAUAUUUUAGAAGACUAUAAAUUGGUACCGUACCUUCAUGAGCUGAGUUUUCUUAGUUUCGUCUGCAAUGUUCAUCAGCAUAAUUUUAAAUGGUUUUCCUAAUGUGUUCUCUUCAGAAUUGAGGUCCUCUAAUGCCACAUUUACACUUCCAAAUUCUUGACAGAAAUUUUGUGUACACUGAUUGGUUGGAUUUUUAGGAUAAAUACUUGAUAAAAUCUCAUGCUUUGAAUUGGCUAAAGAGCAUCCUUGAGAGCAGGUAUCGUAUACAUCACUUUCAGGAUCAAGAUUUUUGUUAGAGUGAGAAUGAAAAUGGUCCAGAUUGACUCCUUUUACUUUCUUUGACUUCAAGGAAGAAAGUGAUGCUUCCCAAACUCUCUUUGCGCUAUGUUUAGAGCAAGAACAAUGUGUCUCAUCCAAAUUACCAAGAGUAUUGGAUAAUUCUACAAUACUAGCUGUCGUGUUGUUCUCUAUUUCUGCAAAAGAAACCGGACCGUUGCUAUCAUGCACUGCAUCCUGGUUUUAAAUAAACCGUUAUGAGAUAAUUAAGCAACAUAUGGAGAAUAAUUUAAAUUGUACUAUCUUGUGGAACAAAACCUGAAUUACAUAUACCCUGAAUUUCAUUUUCUUCUCCAAGGGGCACUAAAGUUACAAACUCGUCAUGUUGAAAAUUCAAAUUUUGAAUGGUAUGCUGAUCAGUUGAAUUUGAAACGUUGCAACCUCGAUUGGCAACACUGAUUCUUGCAGCAUACGGGGCUUCAGGCUUUUAUAGAGAAAGUAACUUUGGAAAGUCAGUCGAACACAUUGAAAUUCCCUGAAUGUGCGAAAUCCAUGGAUUUUAUUACACAUCCCAAAGGUUAUAAUCAAUUAGUUCUCGAAGUACGCCACCUUCAUCCCCAUUACAAAACUAUGUUCUGUCGAGCUGAUAGCACACUUGUUCUUUAAGAAUGUCUUGAAGUGAUGGGAGUUCCAUCAAGCAUUGUGAGUGACAGGGAUGGUAGAUUCAUUGGUACUCUCCGGACCGAACUAUUCGCCUUCUUGGGGACACGCCUAAAUAUAUCCUUAAGCUGCCAUCCUCAGACGAAUGGCCAAACUGAAGGAUUCAAUUGUAUGCUUAAGGAAUAUCUACGACAUUUUGUUGUUUUGACAAAAGAAUUGGGCCUAGUUGAUGGAUGUGGCUCAAUUUUGUUUUAAUGCACAAACUAGUCUAUCCACAAGAACGAGUCCUUUCGAAAUCUUGAGUGGAAGACAACCUAUACUGCCUCAUAUUGUUGAUCAUCCUUAUGCAGGAAAAAAUCCUCAAGCUCAUAACUUUACGAAAAAGUGGGAGAAGACUACGAACAUCACUCGAGCAUACUAAGAGAAAGUCUCGAAGCGUAUGAUAAGAAGCAUCAUCCUCUCAAGUUUUGAGCUGAAGACCAACUCUUCAUAGAGUUUAAAGCAAAGAAAAUUUGAUUUAGAGGACAUCAACAUCAGCAUCUCAUAGAAAAUACGAAGGGCCUGUUGAAGUUCUGAAGAAAAUUGGAAAUGCAUCCUAUGGGUAUCGUUGCCUGCAUGGAUAAAAAAUCAUCUAGUAGCUCAUGUGAGCAACUUGAAACCUUACCAUCAAUAUCAGAUGACCAGUAGUGCAACAAUGGUGUAUGGUCAUCUAGUGACCUAAAGCAGAAAGACGAUAAAGAAAUGGAAGAAAUCCUUCCUAAGAGAGUGAGGAAGGGUAUACCCAUGAAGAGGAUACAUGAAUUCCUACUGAAGUGAAAGAACCUCCAUGUGGAAGAAACACGUUAGGAAUGUGCUGAAGACCUUGAAGCGUGAAAUAAGAAGAUCGAGGAAUUCUAGCUUCGCCAGUCGACAGGGACAUCAAUUGUUUAAGUGGGGGAGAAUGUAACAAGCAUGCUUGUCCAGGGCGCUGUUUGCUUAUGGCCGCAUGCCCAAACACCCCAAUUUACAUUGUUUUAAUGUUUUGUAUUUAGUUUUACUUUUUGCUUUCCUUUUUAUUUCAUAAACCUUGGGUGUGACUUGGCUUUUUCUUAUGCAAGCCUACCAGAACUAAAAAAGUCUAAAAUGUACUAUAGAUGGGACAUAGUAGUUGAAUCCCUGCCCAAGCCUUGUUGCACUCUUCGCAAUCAAAGUUUUUCUUUGCAAUUGACAGUCUUCAAUGCUUGCUUUAACGAUAUUUUCAUUGAAUUUCUUUCUCCUCACGUUUUAUAAAACAUUUUCUCAAGAACGUGAAGAGAGGCUACAUCGUAUCAUGUGUUUGUCCGUGGUUUUUAGAUUUUGAUCAGCUAACUUGUUGUCUACGUAAAACAAGUGCAACAUAAUCGCUCCUCUCGUGUUUCAAAGCUCGCGAUUGUGACACAAGAAAUGCACUAGCCAAGAAUGCACACGAGGAGGGCUACACAAAAUGCCAAGCACGCAACCAAGUGAGGUUCACAAUGUGCUUGUGUGUGAGGUUAGCACGCAGGCAUGCCCAACGCGUGUGAAAAGCCUCUUGUGAGAUUCACACACAGUAGCCAGCGCCCAACCAAGGCCCUGCCGCCCAUCCAUUCGUGCCAGGCAAUGUCAUAUUGCGUGUUGAGCUAUUUUUGGUAAUUUUUUGAGUUUUUUAAGUAUACUUUUGAUAUUUUCUUGGCAAAAGAUAAUUAAUUGUACUAUUUUACCAUUAUUUCAGGACAUGAGAAGAUCGUAAAAAUUUAUAAACCAAGGAUUUGAGCUUGUAUCUGUGAGUGGAAAAUGUUUUAUUUAAAGUGAUUUCAAGCAUGUUCUUAAGUCAUGAUUUAUGAUAAAAUGUUUAAGUUAUGUUAUAAAAAGUCUUUCAAGCGUGUUAUUGUUUAAAGGUAUUUAUUCAAGCAUAUUGUUUACUCUUCAAAAUGCAUAAUAUUCAAAAUGUUUUCCCACUUUCUAGGUAGAGAUCGUGUCCUCUAAGCCUAACUUGCUGCUACCUGUCUACUAAAGGAAUUCAUUUGUUAUCGUAUGUGCCCUGUUAUUUUGCACUAAUGAUAAAUUAGAGUCUUUUGUGCUAUCAGACUUAGGCUUUUGGGAAGGUUUUAUAAGGUUUUGUUCUAGAUAAAUAAGAUUACGUUUUGUCUAUGUAAAACUUGUCUAAGGUUGUUAAAUGAAAAAAGGUUUAGCCCAAUUGGUUUUAGUAAAAUUUAUGUGUUAUGUUUCCGCUGUUAUUUAGAGUUUAAAGGUUCAGGCUAAGGGUCAGAUGGUGUCGUUCUUGACGUGGGUGUGAUAGCCUAAGUUGGCUUAUUAACAGUUAAAAUGUAAACAUGUCCAUAACAAAAUAGUCGGGCAAGGCCUAUGUGGACCGACUGGUAAAGGUUGAAGAUCAAAUGCUCUACCUAAUGAAAGUUCCUAACUCAAUUCGCUUCUUGGAAACCCGCCUUGAAGAAAUUUUUUAGAAAGCUGAUGCUAUUAAUUAAACCACCACCCAAAAUCUUAAGGUAGUGAUUAAAAGUAAAUUUAAUUAUAUAUCACUAACAAUCCCCCACUUAUGGGUUCGAAAUAUCUAAAAGGUCCAACAAGUGAAAAUCAAUUUUAAUUGGGCCUGAAACACCAAUACAGGGACUUGAACAUAGGACCUUUUGGACCACCUGCUCUAAUACCAUAUUAAACCCCAAAUUCACCCAAAAGCUUAAGCUAGUGAUUGAAGGUAAAUUUAAUUAUAUAUUACCAAAGUAUGAGGUUUCAUCACAAUACCAAUUGGCAAUGAGAGGAGUAGCUCAUCUAUUUUAUAAGGAGUCUAAGUUUCCUUGGUUUUUCAAUUGUGGGAACAUGCCCCUUCAAGAUGGUGCCUCUUUGGUUUCACCUAUCUUGAACCAAAUAUCCGUUUAGGCUUAAUGAGCUCUAAUACCAUAUUGAAAGCAAUAUAUACGAAACCAAAGCUUACGUGAAAACGCAAGAAUCGAAAGAAAAGCAUUGUGUUUGUAGUUUUAUUAUUUUUAUGAUAAUUACAGAGGUACAGUUGGUGGUUUAAUAUAUAUCACUAACACUAUUGCUGCAAUGAUCGAUCAUCUCGAUGGAUUACCCAUUUAAGAGUUGUUGACAAGAGUUGACACUCUAGAAUCAAAAGUUGUAAGAACUAGAUUUGUAAUUUAUGUCCUAAAACUCGUUGUAAUCAUAAUCUAUUCAAUAAAGUCGUUAUUGAUACUAUAAUCUUAAACCUGUCAUUUGCAAACCUGUCAAAGCUCAAAAAGUCUAAACUGUACUAUAGGAGAGAGCCAAUAGUUGAAUCCCCAACCAUGUCUUAUCGUAUUCUUUAUAAUCAAAUUUUUAUUUUGCAAUUGAAAGUCUUCAACGCUUUCUUUAAUGAUGUUUUUAAUGAUAUUCUCUCUCACAUUUUAUAAAACAAUUUUUUCAAGAACGGGAAGGGAGGUUAUAUCAUAUCGUGAGUUUGUUCGUGAUUUUUGAAUUUUACAUGACUGACUUAUUGACUGAGCAAAACAAGUGUUCUUCAAUUGUCCAUUCCAUGUUUGAAAGAUUUCGAUUGUGGCACGCAGAGUGUCACAAGUGGGCUUGUCCAAGGCAUUAUUUGCCUAUGGCCGCAUGUUCGAAUAUCCUCAAACCACUUUAUCUUUAUGCUUUGUACUUAGUUUAGUCAACUGCUUUCCUUUUGUUGUCACCGACCUAAGGUGCGUCGUUUCGCAAUUUUCAUAUGCAAGGUUGUCAAAGCUAAAAAAGUUUAAGAUGUAUUGUAGGGGAGCAUGGUAGUUGAAUCCCCAACUAAGGCCUAUUGUGAUUUUUGCAAAUCUAAGCUUUCUUUGCAAUUGACAAUAUUCAAUUUUUUUCUUUAAGGAUGUUAUCAAUGUUUUCUUUAUCUCUCACGUUUUAUAAAACCAAUUUCACAAGUUUGUCCGCAACUUUCAAAUUUCACAAGUUGCCUUGUUCAUCAAUUUAGAACAAGUGUUGCACAAUCGCCCGUCCCGUAUUUGAAAAGUUGCAUUUGUGACAAGUGUAUUAAAGCUUUGUUAGCUCCUUCGCUAAGCGAGAUGCAAUUAUGUCGACAAUGAAACAACUAUCAAAGUUGCAAUCUAAGCGACUGACUGAGAUUGAAGAGGAAUUCUUGGAUAUGAAAGAAUUGCCAAAGAAGUAAGAUUUCUCCAGACCCGGCUUGAGAUGUUUAAAGAAAAAGUCAGAGAAAUAGACGCAUUGAAUGCCUAAAUAGACAAACUACCCAUAAAUGAAUUGCGCUGAGGGUUAUUCGUUAGAACAUAAAACCACCAAAGUAGGUAGUUUUGAACGUGGAAGUAGCCUUCAAGUUCUAUCGCACAAAUGGAAGAGCGUGUCGAAGAGUUUUGGCUUUUGACAAAAUCCAACAUAAUCAGUUAUAUUUCAAGAAAGAGAAAAGUGUUUUUGCUAAAUAGCGUAUAAAUUUUCUAGGUCACAUCAUCGAAUGAUUUGAAUGGACGAACAUAAGUUGUGAGCUAUUAAGGAGUGGAGAGCGCCCACUUCCGUGAAAGAGUUACGUUUCAUCCUUCAAUAUAUUCUAAAAUAGGGUUCACCUACUAUCCUCUAGAUUCAGUACCGGGAGAAAGAAAUAGAUGGAAAAAGAAAUGGGCUUGGUAAUUUUUUUUUCUAUGUAAAUAAGAAAAAGAAAUCCAAUUUGGUACAAAGCCCAAAUUCAAUAGCCAGCCCAUCAAAUGAGGUCAACGACCCUAUUUAAUAAGGAUUUUCCAUACAAAAUUGCAUGUCCAUGGAAUACUAAAGUCCAACAACUCAAAGAUCUAUUUCUAAUAUGAAAUUCGAUGGCUAUAACACAUAUACUUGUCAGUUUCUCUCUCUUCUCCCAAUUCGAACAAUUCGACUUAUUCCAUCACACUGUUUUUAAGUUUAUUCCAUAUGAGCUAGCAAGGGAACUAAUGGACUAUAUAUCAUGGACUCCAAUGAUUCAAGAUUAAUUGACUAAAUUCUUAUAGACUGAGUUAAUCAACAUUCGUUAACUAACGGGUCAUUCAUGAAUUUACUGGAACGAUUCAGGAUCACCUCAUUUGUACUAACUACAAAGCGGACGACAUCCACAGUUUCUCUGAAAAAAUCUGGGUUACUACAACAUCACCACGAUGUAAAAUUUUUCCUGAUAAGAUGGUACUUACGUUCGAUAUGUUUUCCCCGUUUACGACUUUUAUGUUCUCUUGAAUUUGCAACUGCACCACUUUGUGACAGUAUAAAGUGAUUGAUAGAUGCAUAUUUGGAACGACUUCCAGAUCUGUCAAGAAUUUUCUUAGCCAUAAUGCUUCUGUUGUUUUCAAAAGUUGCUACGUAUUCUACCUCCAUUGUGGAAUCAACUAUACAAGUUUGUUUUAUGCUUCUCCAAACUACUACUCUUCUAUUUAGAGUGAAUACUAAUCCUGAUGUAGACUUUCUAGCAUCUUUAUCAGUUUGAAAAUCAUAAUGAGUGUAUCCAGUAAGGAUCAAAUCUUUUGUACCAUACACGAGAAUGUAGUGUUUUGUUCUUCAAAGAUAUUUUAGAAGAUUCUUAACGGUUGUCCAAUGAUCACGUCCAAGAUUGGACUGAUACCUACUGACCAUCCCUACUAAGUAGCAAAUGUCAAUCUAGUACACAACAUUGCAUAUAUCAAACUUCCAACAGCGGAAGCAUAGGAAAUUUUCUCAUAUCCUCAAUUUCUUGAGGUGUCUUAGGACAUUGUUCCUUUGACAAAUGAAUUCGUAGAUGUAUAAUAGCAUACCCUUUUUGGAAUUCUACAUUUUAUAUCUAGACAACAUUUUGUCUAUAUAAGAUGCUUGAGACAUGGCUAGUGUUUUGUUCUUGCAGUUCUGUACAAUUUGGAUCUUAAGAACGUAUUGUGCAUUUCCCAGAACUUUCAUUUGAAAUUGCAUAGCUAGCCAUUUCUUGAUAUUAGUAUGAAAUCCUAUGUCCUUUUCCAAUAAGUAGAAUAUCAUCUACAUACAAGACUAAGAAUACUACAAUGGAAUUGACGACCUUUUUUGUAAACAUAAGGUUCGUCAACCUUUUGUAUCAAAGCCAUAAGAUUUGAUCAUAGUAUCAAAUCUUAUAUUCCAGGAUCUAGAUGUUUGUUUUAAUCCAUAAAUGGAUUUUUGAAUCUUACAAACCUUUUGUUCUUGAUCUUGAUCUAUAAACCCUCUAAUUGAGUAAUAUAGAUACUCUCUUCAAGAUUGUCAUUCAAAAAAAGUUGUCUUGACAUCCAUCUGCCAAAUUUCAUAAUCAUAAAACGUGGCGAUGCAUAAGACUAUUCUAAUUGACUUUAGCAUGGCAACGAUAGAGAAAGUUUCUUCAUAGUCUAUGUUAGAAAGAGACAUGCGCAGUGGAAAAAUGGAAUACAAAAUUACCCUAAUUGCACCUAUUUAACUUGCAACCCUAAAUUAAAAGAAUUAGGGUUUAGGAAAUAUUAUACCUUUGUAUCUAUUCGAAUAUGAACGUCUAUACCUCUCACAAAAUUCCAAAAGUUUUUGAAACCAAAAUGUAACACCUUAAACUUAGGAUUUGGAAUUCGUAUCUCCAGCAUUCUCUGCAUCCCCUGCGACCUGGCAGCAUCAUCCUUACUAUUCUUAAAAACUUAUUAGAAUGAAAUUCCUCUUCACAAACCAACACGAAAUCUUUCAGCAUGCUUUUCCUCACUCACAUGCAUCCUAGGAAAAUUUCCAAGAGGUCACCCAACAUAGAAUUUCUUCAAGCUAAGCACGCUUAACUCUGAAGUCCCUAUAAUCGAGCCACCGAAAAAAAAAGGUUCACAUUGUUGGUAUAGGUAUUAAGUUUUAAUUCUUUUCAGUCUUUCUUAACAUGACUUUCAUGUCCUCAAGGUGCACCUUGUCGGUAUACUUGUCGAUUUCUCUCUUUUCUCAAUUCAAACAAUUCGACUUAUUCCAUCACAAUGUUCUAAGUUUAUUCCAUAUGAACUAGCAGGGAAACCUAAUGGACUUAUAUAUCAUGAGCUCCAACGAUUCAAGAUUAACUGGUUAAACUCUUUUAGACCGAGUUAAUCAACAUUCGUAAACUAACGGGUCAUUCCACUAAAGUCUCGCAGUUGCACUCCCCUCACUAUAGAUAUAUUCUUGUCCAUUUAAUAUAACCAUGAUCAAUAAGUUAAUCCUUCACAUGUUAUUCGUAACCUCGAAUGGAUGAAAUUACUGUUUUAUCCUUGAGACUACAUCUUAUUUCUUAAGUUUCAUUGAUCCACUAUUGAACAAUUGGUUUAAGGUCCAACCUAUAAACUUAAUCCCUCUCGGCUAAUGUGAGGGUGGGGCCCCUUGUUCAAGACUUGGAUUCAGUGCUUAAGAGAACAACCUAUCUACUAACCCUAAAACAGGUAGAAAUGAAUUUUGUCUUGCAUCCUAUGUUCCCAGCCAUUCAUCUGAUCUUACCCUUGAAAUAGGAGGCUUAUUGGAGAACGUUGAUGAGAUACCCUCACCUAUGCAGAUGUAACCCUAAAACAAGUAGAAGUGAAUUCAGUCUUAUGUAAGUACUUUACAGUGCUUAAGAGAACAACCUAUCUACUAACCCUAAAACAGGUAGAAGUGAAUUCUGUCUUGCAUCCUAUGUUCCCAGCCAUUCAUCCGAUCUUACCCUUGAAAUGAGAGGCUUAUUGGGAGAACGUUGAUGAGAUACCCUCACCUAUGCAAAUGUAAGGAUAAUCUCAUGUGAACAGGAGUUCAUAGUUAGCUUAGGAUUAAGAUUAAGCUACCUAAGUCAUCAAUAAACGAAAUAGUCAGUUCUAAACAGUAAACGGUGUUAUAACGUAAAAGUGACUAUUUCAUGGAUCAGUCUUAUGUAAGUACUUUACAUAGGAUGCCCCCACUUUCAUGUCUCUACAUGAACAAUUUAGGAUCACCUCGUUUGUACUAAUUACAAAGCGGGUCACAUCCGUAGUUUCUCUAAAUAAGGCACUAUAGACUAUUUAGGCUAUACACUCGAACUUGAUCCACGUUUAUGUCUCGACAUAAAGUUCAAAUGUAUUAAAAAGCAUUAAGACUUAGUUUAUUGGAUUUAAGAUUAUAAUUUUAAAUUUUUCAAUAACGAUUUUAUUGAACUGAAUAUGAUAACAAACUACGAGUUUUAGGACAUAAAAUCCCAACAUAUGUAUUUUUGCCUCUAAUAAUAAUGUUGAAAGAUGUUUGUUGUCAUUUCAUAUGGGUGAUAUCUCUUCUGGUUGGACAUAGUCAGGUUUUGUAAUGGGUGACUUUAACGCUAUCAAAAUGCAUUUUGAGGCUUUUGAUAGGUCUUCUGUUCCUAUGGAUAUGGAGGAGUUCGAUAUGGCUAUUUGCGAGGCUUAUUUAGUUGAACCUACAGUACAGGGUAACUGGUUCACCUGGACUAGAAAGGUUCAUGGGUCUGGUUUGAUAAAACGGUUUAAUCGUAUUCUGGUUAAUGGUGUUGGAUUACCGCAUGCCUUCGGGUAUUUCUGAUCACUCCCCUUUUAUUUUAUCCCAACUUUUAGCAGAGACAGUGGGUAGUUUCUUUUUGUUUCUUCAACCAUUGGGUUGAGGAUUCUUUGUUUAUUGAUGUUGUCUCUUCGAUUUGGAGUCACCAUGUAGGAGUUUCUCUGAUUGUGAGUUUCGUGAGAAAUUUACAUAACCACAAGCCUACCCUCCAUAGACAGUUUGGUAAGCACAUUUAGAGCCUAAGUGAGGAGGUUCGUAUUGCUAAAGAGUCCAUGGAUAAACCAGAGAAAGGUUGGGCAAAAUCCUAUGUCUGAUGUUUUGAGUCGCCAAGCAGGUCUUGCCAUUGAGGCCUUUUGGACGGCUGUUAGAUUGGAGGAAGCCUUCAUGUGUUAGAAGUCCAAGAGGUUUGUGAUUUGCCUUAGAACUUGUGUUACCUCCUCGAUGUUCUCCAUUAUGAUUAAUGGCUCUUUCAAGGGUUUUUUAAUGGGAGGAAAGGUUUGCGGUAGGGUGAUCCUUUAUCUCCUUUCCUUUUUAUCAUGGUGAUGGAGGUCCUCUCUCGUAUGUUCAAUCGGCCUCCUCCGAGCUAUCAGUUUCACAGGCAUUGUGAGAAGGUUAGCUUAACUCAUCUGACCUUUGCUAAUGAUCUUAUGAUUUUUUGUACUGCUGAUGAUUCCUCUCUGAGUUUUAUUAACGAGACUAUUCGAAAGUUUGGUGAUCUCUCGGGCUAUUUACUAAUCUUAGUAAAAUUUCUAUGUUUGUUGUAGGGGUUAAUAGUGAUGAUGUUUAUCGUUUGACUACCAGUUUGGGUUUUGUCCUCAGGCAUCUCCCUGUUCGUUAUCUUGGGCUUCCUUUACUUUCUGGGAGGUUACGACCUACUGAUUGUGCUCUCUUAUUCAACGUAUUACUAGUCAGAUUCAUUCUUGGUUUGCUAGAGUUUUAUCAUUUGCAGGUAGAUUGCAACUGGUUCGAUAUGUGCUUGAUAAUCUUCAGGUUUACUAGGCUAACGUGUUUGUGUGCCUGUGAGUGUGCAUCAUGAGGUUGAUAAAAUCUUGAGGUCUUAUCUUUGGAGGGGUAAGGAGGAAGGUAGAGGAGGUGUUAAGGUGGCGUGGGCUGAGGUGUGUUCCUUUUGAGGAGGGUGGUCUUGCUAUUCUUGAUGGGCUUCUUAGAAUGUUGUGAGUACUAUGAAGAAUCUUUGGUUGUUGCUGACUAGUUCGAGUUUUCUAUGGGUUGCUUGGGUGGAGGCUUAUAUUCAUAAAGGAAGGUCAUUGUUCAGGUCGAUUCUUGUGUUGGUCGGUCUUGGUGUCUUUGCGCUAUCAUGUGUAAACGAGAUAGUCUAAAAGAGCAUGUUCAGAUGGAGGUUGGGGAUGGUAGGCAUUGUAAACUGUGCCUGGAUCCGUGGUUGCAGGGUGGUCAUAUCCUUCAACAAGUUGGUGAGAGAGCGCUUUAUAAUGUAACGAGUAGAUAGGAGGCUAGGCUCUCUAAGUUUAUUGGUUCGAAAGGGGAGUGGAGGUGGUCGAGGGUAUCUUUGGAUUUGAUUAAUUUAUCGGAUAGGGUUCAAGUUGUAAGUUCGUGUCCUAAUGUUGGUGAUAGGUGGGUUUGGGUUCUUGGUCGUCAUAGUGGUUUUUGAUUGCUAGUGCAUGGGAUACUAUUCAUCCUCGUAGUGUUAAGGUUCGUUGGAGGUUUCUUGUGGGGUGGGGAUUGAGAGUCUCGUUAUCAUUUGUUUUUUCAUGUCCUUUUGGGUGUGAUAUUUAGUCUCGGGUCCUUUAGGUUAUGGCUUCCUCUCACAGGAUUGGGUAUUGGGGGGUUGAGUUGUUUGGGUUUGUCAUUAGAGUAUUGGUAAGGGUGUGAGAAGGAAGUUGUGGUAUGUUCUCUGGUGUGCUACGAUUUAUUUUAUGUGAAAGGAGCAUAAUCAUUGUCUCCAUGGUGGUCAAGCUCGUGAGCUCAUUGUUCUGUUUCAGCUUAUUCCAUAUUGUAUCAGUGCUCGUGUUGUUUAUUUGCGUGAGGAUGCUCAUGGUAUUAUUUAGCUUGUUUUCUUUUGAUUUUUGUUUUAUCUGCUUGUUCUCGGGCUGUGGGGUUGUUUGGACUUUUUAUGUUUUUGUUGCUCUUAAUUUUGUUGGGUUUAUUAUUGUUCUUUCUUUUGAUACUUUGGAUUCUUCCUGUUUUUGUGAGCAUUGUCCGCUCUUGUGAGGUCAUCCUUGUUGUAUUAUGAUAUUAACUUUUCAAAAAAAAAAAAGAUAAUGCAAUUCAACUUUAGAUAGAAACAUGAUUCGAAUUUUCAUUUCAAGAAAAUACAAGGGGACAGAACUCAAGGAUUAUGUGGAUCACAAAACUUGAAUUACUAGAAUCUAAAUUUCCAUAUGUUAGAUAUCAUUAGAAGCAGUUAGACCAAAAGUUAAUUAUCAAUAUGUUAGUUCACAGGAACUGCAUAAUCAAGCACAUAAACAUCCACAUUGUCAUUCAUUGUAGGCAGCUUUGAUACACAAAAAAUAUGGAUAUUUUCAGAAGUUCAAGCAUACACAAAAAACAUAUCCUUGUCAGAAAAUAGCCAACUAAGAAAGAGAAGUUCAAGAUUUAUAUACAAAGUGCAGCUGCAAAAGGACAAGCAAGAUGCCAGAAUCUAUAUAUUAUGCAGUCGGAUAUUAAUUGGCAAGUACUAACAGCAAAGGUACCAAAAUAAAACUGUAUCAAUUUAUCUUGUCUAAAACUAAACAGUAUAUGUAAAUCUUGCAAACAAACAAGUUUUUUGAAUCAAAACUGUCAAAAGAUUUUGAUUCAAGUGAUAUGUGGAUUGUGAUCUUUUGUGUCACCCAUCCAUUCCUCCUGUUUUAACCAUUUAAAUCAAUAAAUAAUUUUAUGUUCAAACAUAAGUUGGACAACCUUUGUUAAAGAACUGCUUCCCACAAAAAUAGCAUUAACCACCCUUUUUUAAUUCAACAUGGGAAUAGAGAUCGAAUCUCUGAUUUUUUGGUCUAAGGUACCUUUCCUAAACUUGUCGAAUUCCAUUUUCUACACCAACUUUAGAACGAGUAUAUAUACAUCAAGUAAUUUCAUGUUCAACUCAAAAUUGGACAACCAUAGUAUUACUCCAAAGCAAACAAUACUAAUUGUUCCAUUAAAUGUUUUUUUAUAGCUCUUGAUUGUCUCACUUUUUUGUAUUUUGAAUUUACAAGCCUCUUUUUUCUUUCUUUGGUAUGAAAGGUGGCAACUAGGCCUUGCUAGAACGAGUGGGGUAACCUUUCUAUGGUUCUACACUUAGUUUCGAAGUUCGAAGUUUUCCUCCUACAGUGGAUCAUCGCUAUUGAUUCUUCUACUGUUAAUUCGACCUCCCACGAAUUCUCUUCUUCUAAGGAUUCACUUUUCUCUAAGGCUAUGCACUUACUAAAAAGCCUUGAUCUUCUUCCCCCAAUGUUUUCAUAAACUUCUUAAGACAGACCCUGACCUUGGUUAGGCUCGGAUCUCCUUGGAUUAUCACCUUCUUCCCCUGAUAUGUAAAUGUUAACAUCAUAUUCUUCCAAUCCACUCCAGUCGUUCCCAAGGAAUACAAUCACUGCAUUCCAAGUAUGGCAACUACCCCUCCCAACUUCAAGGGUAAAAACUCAUUCACUACCUUCUAGUCUCCCAGCAUUAACUCAACAUCUUCACAAAUUACCUUCCCUUUGACUACAGUGCCCGAGCCCAAAAUAACUCCAUAAUUCGACGUUUCUCUUAUACUCAGUUGCAACUCUUUCACUAUUUUUUUCUGAAAUGAAAUUGCGUGUGACUCCACAAUCAAUUAGUACUAUAGGCACCUUCCCUUGUAUCAUCUCUUUUACCUUCAUUUUCCCUAGGUUGGAUAAUCCCACCACAUAAUUAAUGGAUAAUUCCACACUUGACUCUCCUCUACGAUCUCAGGGGCAUUCAAUUCUUUCUGAUCAAUUCCUCCUUCUUCAAUAAUUUCAUACUCCUCGCCUUCUUCCUUCACAACAAUCAUUCGCAAUUCCCUUUGCUCUUUCAUCUUGCAUUUGUGGUCAUGAGAAUAUUUCUCAUUACAGCGAAAGAAAUCCCUUCUUUCUAGAUUGAAAUUCAGCAUCAAAUAAGUGCUUCGCUGUCCCUCUUUCCGUACUUCCUCUUUUGUUGUUCCUCGUAGAGUAAUAGUUCUCAUCGGCCAAUUCAUUCCUCCUUUACUUUCUUCUGUAUUCGCAAUGGUAUUAGGCUUGGUGCUAUUAUGGGAGUUUAUCACCUUUUCUCCAGAAUAUCUAGAAAGAUUUGCUUCCUGACAUAUAUCUUCCUUGUUCUCUACCUUUUGCGCGAUUCGUAUCAUUUGUUUUUUUCUUGUCAUUUUGGGUGGGAGAUUUGGUCGAGGAUCCUUUUGCUUAUGUCAUCUUCUCAUAGAAUCGGUUAUUGGGGGUUGAGUUAUCUUGGAUUUAUAAUCAGGGUAUUGGGAAGAGUGUGAGGAGAAAACUGUGGCGCCUUCUCUGGUGUGCUACAAUUUAUUUCAUUUGGCAGGAGCGAAAUCAUCGUCUUCAUGAAGGUGCUAUUUGGGAGCCUAUGGUUGUAUUCCAGCUCAUUUGGUCGUGUAUUAAAGCGCGUGCUGCUUCUUGGUCGGAUGGUGUUCAUGGUCUUAUUUAAUGUUCUUUUCGUUUGCUUGUCCCCGGGUUAUGGGGUUUCUCUUCUCUUUAUUAACUUUGUUGUCUUUCUCUCUUCUUCUUGUCCUUUUAAUGUUUGGAACACUAGUUGGUUUCUUUUGGUUUUAGUUCUUGUUCCCAAGAUGUGGGGUUGUUUUGGGUACUUAUGGGUUGUUUUGUCUAACUACUUGUUCUGUGAGUGUUGUUCACUCUUUUGUCUUGACCUCAGGAUGUGAGGUCCACCUUGUUGUUGUAUAAUAUUAUCAUUACCUUUUCAAAAAAAAAAUCAAACUCAAUGCUAAGUUUGACUGCUCCCUUCGAAGUGACAACAAGCCUCAUUUUCGCCCUACUGUGGAUCGAGGAGGAUUCCUCCUCUUUUCAAAGCCCUCAAUCAAACUUGACGUUAUGUUUAAAACACUAUGGUCUAGUUUUGGUUAGGCCAAAAGCGAUGUUUUCCCCCAAAAGCUCUAAUAGCUAGGGAACUCAACAUGUUCUACUUGACCUAACCAACUUGACUCUAUUUUUUAUGAGCUUUUUUUAAUGCAUAUUGCAUAUGUUUUUUUUAUAAUUGUUGAUUGUCUCACUUUUUUAUGGUCUGCAUUUACGAGCCUCUUUUCUUUCUUUGUUAUGAACUGCGGUAACUAGGCAUUGCUAGAACCGAUGGGGUAACAUUUCUAUGGUUCUACACUUAGUUUCUAAGUGUGAUUGCUCACCUCUAAUUUCAAAACACUUAAUUUCUAAGCACAUACAAUGUUCACCUAGAAAAAAAUGAAAAUUGUUGUACUUAAGAUCAAAACUAAAUAGUUAUGAAAUAAGACAUAAGAGAUUUGAUUUUAACAACCUUCUCGUUGUACUUGGGAUCCACUCUGGCUUUGUGCUGGAAAAUUGGUUUGGAGCUGAUCAUAAGCUUUCGGUUGCUCUUCUGUAACCUUUAGAUACUCUUCAAAGCUAUAAGCUUUGCUUCCUGACGAAGAAUCUUCUACUAUUACAAUACAUAAGAAAAUUCUAUUUCAUAAACCAUGUAUCAUAAUUGAGGCUGAUAGAAUGAUUAUUCUAUAACCCUACCGAUAGUUUCAUUCUUAACAUUCAUAGACACGAUGCAUGGCAGCUAUCCAAUUCUAUUUCAUAUUCUCGAGAAUGGCUCGGUUUAACAAUAAUGUUAAUUUUUGUUUUCUAUUUUAAAAUAAUAACGCUGCUUACUAAUCUUUUUUUUCCAUUUGGCAUUCUACUUUUUCUACUCAGCUUUCUUUCCCUAGUGAUAACAAAUAAUACGGGUGAUAAAAAACUUAAUCACUCACUUGUUUCAGCCACCGAAAGCCCUUCUGCUUUAGAAAUAGAAAUACGGGUGAUACGGGUGUGCUGUUCAUUGAACUCUCAAUUUCAUCAAGACCAAUUUCUCACUCAAACAUGGUCUUGCAUUCUCUAGAAACGUCCUACAAACAAAAAUGAAGAAAAAAAACUACAAUAAGGUCUAUGAAAAAAUUACAAAGGAAAAUCUCAAAAACUGAUAUGUAAGUCAUAACAACCUUAAGUCCUCUUAUCAUGGGUUAAAAUGCACGUAAGGUUUUUCCAAGAGUCCGAGCAACCAGCAUGUAAAUAAGUUAAGUCAACUAAAUUUGCUAUAAAUUUACUCGUAUUAACAUUAUCAUUGUUAUAGACUUGACAACUUCAAAUUUAUCAAUAUAAAAUAUGCUUUAACAAAACGUACCUUGAGGUUCCUCAAACCUUAUUAAAAAAGCAAAUAAUACAACAAUUUAACAAAUUUAUAGUGCAUAUUAUGUAUAUCAAUUGAUCACAACAAAAUAAGAUCGAACAAAUACCCAUGAGUAAUAUUUAGCCACCAAAUGAAUAAUGAUGAAAACCUGAAAACAAAAUCGAGAAAAAAAAGGGAACAAUUCAUCAACAAAACAAAUUUAGGGGACUAAAAAAUUGCUUACCUUAUUACACACUUCAAAAUAUUAAGAAAAGUGGAGGGAAAAAACCAACCAAUAAUCAACAAAUAAACUUCAACACAAAUAGCCAUAAAUUUUCUUCUUUAAAGGUAUCACAAAUAAGUCCAUCAGUAAUACCAAAAUAAAAAAGGGCAACGUGCAAUUGAAUUCUGCAGUCGUAAAGCUAUGCUAAAGGCAGUAUGAAAUCAAACUUGAGCACUAACAAGAAAAUUUGCAAAACAAAAAUUACUAGACAUCAUUAACUAAAGUACCAGCACAACAAUGAAUGUGUAACCUCCGCAAGAGCAAACCCGAAUGGAGAAGAACAUGAAGAAAUAUAUAAAUAGAAGAAACAUAAAAGACAAACAUGAAACACAUGGAAAUAUACAAAGGGGAUAAAUAAAAGUACAAUUAUAAAGUGAUGAAGCACAAAUAUAGGUAUCAACAGAACCAGAAUACAAGUCUUACCCUAUCUCGACUGUCGAGGAGUGUUAACCAACCGUCGGAAGGUUGGUUUUAUUUUUUAGAAAAAGUUAAUGUUGUCUGAACUCUUUUCCAAGCCACUAACCACCCCUCCUUAUCUAUGAUCGACGAUCAACUCCUCAACCUCUAAUUACAUUUAAAAGAGUGAUGCGAACAUUGUGUGAAAUCCCAAACCUUUGAUGGAUCCCACCAUCACUCUCUUUCUAUCCCUUCAAAACCUCAUUAUUUUCAAGAGAGGCCUCAAAGCUUUCUUCCAAUUAACAUAAAAGAAGAAUGAAAGAGAAGGAGAGAAAGGGAAAGUGGUUCAAAAGCUAUGGAAAAAAAAGUAAAAGAAAAUGGUCUACUCAUUGGCACAUCUUACACAGAUGAUAAUGUUAGGGCAGAGAGCAAUGAGAGACAGAAUGCUUUUGGAGCCUUCUCCUCUACUUUCGAAGAUUUUAACAAACUAAAAUAUGCAAAUGUUACAAGAAAGAUCUUUGGAGAUUUGAAAUAAUCCAAAAUAAAGAAAAAGGAAAACCCCAAUAUGUACAAAUUUCAAAAUCUAAAACUUGAAAAGUGAUUGAAUGAUGAGAUAUGUUUGUACAAUCAAUUAUAGAGACAGUGAAAUAUUAAAACAAAAAUGAAACGUACCAAGAUAAAAAGAAUAGCAACUAGUAUUAUGACCUUUGUAUGUCUUCAAAAUACAAACAUCAAAAUGAAUCAAGAGAUCUACCACACAAAUAAUGGUAUCAACACAAAUAAAGCAAUUGUUUUAGUAACAAUAUUUGAGCAUGCCUAUUUUCCUUGACAAAUUUACAUUCUUCUAAUCGAACAAAAUCUGACCUUUAAAUAGUGAUAGAAACUGAAGAUGAAAGCAAGUUUAGCUACAACUUCAGACCGUGAUAUAUAUGACGGAAUCUAUAAAAAAAAGAAGAGUACCUAACUAUAUAUACACAGAGGAGAUCUGAUGCUUACUAGCACAUCAGAGGCUCAAUCGAUUUAUAUUUAAUUGAAAAACAAUCCCUAUAUUUUAAUGCAUACACAUUGAAUAGCCCCUGUUUCAAUCCAAUUUACAAAACUACCUCCAUAAAAUUACAUAAUGGGGGAAGUUCGACCGGAUGCACUGUGCUUUACCAGAACCACAUGAAAUUAUUGGAACAUAGUUCAUUCAAUUAACUUUCUAUUCAAUAAUUGAAACAAAUGGAAAGAGGACAUAUGAAUAUUAAAUAAAGAUGGAAUUAAUUGGGAACUCACGGAGUAAUGCGAUUUGUUCGGGGGCUCACUACUGGAGUUGGAAGAGAGACAAGGAUUAGAAAGGAAAGGAAGAGGAGCGUCUGAUAAUCCAGCGGAUUCUUUGAUGAGUGGAGUACUAGUAGUAGUAGUGGAGGUUCCAAGGACAUUGAAGUCAAUCCGGUGAGAGUGAGGGAAUCCAGAAGGUUGAGGUUGAAGAGAGUAGAAAUUGCAACCAAAAUCGGUGACGAUGGUGGAAUCGAAAUUGCGAGGGAAGAAGAAAAGAGCAUCACAGGUCGAAGUAGAGGAGGAAUCAACACUGGAGAAAGGAGGAAGAUGAGGAGAACCUGCCAUUAAUGGAAGAGGGAGGAAGUGAGAGAGAAAGGAGAGGGAAUUAAUUAAUUAAAGAGAAUUAGGGUUUGAGAAGAGAAAGGGAAAAUGGAGUGUACGAACAAAGAAGAAGAAGAAGAAAUGGAAAGGACGCGCUAAGAGAAGAAGAUGGAUCGGUGAAAUGGGUAUGAUAGGGUUUCUUCCUUAAAGAAACGGAAAUUCAGAGAUAGGCCUUAGGAUUUUGAGAAGAGAAAGGAAAACUGGAGUGUACGAAGAAAUGGAAAGGACGCACUAAGAGAAGAAGAUGGAGAUUGGAUCCGCAACUAAGAGAAGAAGAUGGAGAUGGAUCCGCGAAAUGGGUAUGAUAGGGUUUCUUCCUUACAGAAACGGAAAUUGAGAGAUAGGCCAAAGAAGACAAGAGAGCAAGAGAGAAUGGGGGAGGGAGGAGAGGGAGACUUGGCCGUUAGAGAAGAGGAUAAAGAAAUUUUAAAUGAGAGAGACUGUACAUGUAGGGUUUUUAUUAGAAUUUUUUUUUUUGAAAUCUUGCUUAAUUGGAUUUAGAGAAUUUUGUGUAUUCGGUUCACUGACUCGUAUUAGCUGUCCAUUGGUCCAUUGUUUUGUCAUUUUUUUUCAACAAACUAAAUGUUUUAAUCCAUUUACAAAUUAGAUUUCGAUAAAUCGAUAAUCAUAUUUUUUUACAAUAUAGGACUAAAAAAGACAACAUUGUGCGUCGGGAGUUCCUCUCCCGAUACAUUUUUCCCGACUUGUGUUCCAACGUAUAUUAGUAUGUCGAAAAGCCUUUUCUGAUGCUUUUUAUAUAUCUCCCAAUGAUUUUAUGCAUCGAGAGAGCCCUCAUUUCUUGUAGUGUUAGACAAAGAGCUUCAAUGUGGUAGGGGAAAGGCAUGACACCUUUAGGUGCUUUCAUCAAAGGGAGGAUUGAGGUUCUGAUUAUGGCGCUAAGGUUAACUGCCAUCUUCUUCUUAAUGCAAUAAAUCAUCAUUGUGCACUCUAGUGGGAUGGUGUUGUUGUCAACUAGGCAGGCGAUUUUGUUUUCAAGUCUUAGUUCUUAAUCCUUAACAACCUUUAGUAUUGAUGCUCUACCCCAACCCUCAUCUAAAACGAUAACUAACACAAUGGUUUGGAAGUUUUUGUGAAACAUCAUCUAUACUUUUUCUUUAAUGGUCGAUGAAAAAAAAGUCAGGAAAAUGGUAUUUCUGACCAUUUUAAGUGUUACCAAAAUAUCACAUUUGGUGUAGUAUGGUAUUGUUUUGAAUAUUUUGUAAAAUAGUGGAUCAAGAAGUUUUACUAAGAUAAAGUUUCAUGUUGGACAAGAGGAUAGUGGAUGGGAAUUAAGUUGAAUGGUCCACUUUUUUUUUAAAUCCUUUAAGGUUUUAUGAAAACCUUUCACAAUACCUUUUCAUAAUCAUUUUGUAAAAAUAAUAUCAAAUCAUUUAAAUAUACCGAAAAAUUAUUUCAUUUCGAAUAAACCUUUCUUUAUGCUUAAAAAAUCAUUUCAUUUUGUCAAGGAUCCCGAAUCAUUCUCUACGCUUGGUGUCAUUACCUCGUUUAGACUACUGUAUCAACAGCAUCUGAGAACAUACAAAUUCGUCUUUGUUGCUCAUACCGCUAAGCUUUAUACGCUCAUUUCAAUGCAUAAGUCAGCUUCUUAUUACCAUGUAGUUCGUACACUCCAUAGUUGCCUUCACUCUUUAUGUGCAUACAAAAGUUAGCAUCAUCUCAAAGAAACAUAAUAUUGAAAUCAUAGUCAUCAAAUCAAGCUUUAACAUUAUCAAUAAUGCUUGAACACAUAACUUUUCAUAGAAAUCUUUCUGAAACAUUCUCAUCUGAAUUCUUCUUUCAAAUCAGUAAAGAGAAAUCGUAAUAAAGUUUCUUAACAUAAAUUCUUUUGACUGAAAAGCACUCACCAAAAUUUACUAAAGAAGUCCUUCUCACAACCAUCUUUUCGCGAGGCUAAACCAACAACACUUUAACAUUUCAACAAAACUCUCGUCAUCCCCUCCUUAGUUACCUAAAUUCUCCUAUUUUAUAGAUCCCUUAUACUAACUUAGUCAUGCAAAUCCUUAAUAUUUAACCUAGUCAUGCUCAAAUCCUUAAUCUUACAUGUUAACCCAUGUCAAAUCAGAUUUGACAUUUUCUUUACAAACCUUGCUCCCCGCCUAACCCAAACCGUGAAUAAAUUCAACCACUUAACAUUUCUCGUGAAUAACCUUAUCGCUUGAUUAUAUUUUUAUUAUAAGAAACGUUCCACGUGAACUAACCAACUUUUACUCGCAUAAAACUCUUAUCACGAACUUAAACUCCAAGGCUUCCUCGUAGACUUCUUCUCCACGAAACACUUGGUUCUUCUCACGAAGACCACCCAAAACUCCUAGUCUAACACUCAAAACUUUCAUUUCCUAACUUACGCAAAGACUUUUUCGCUUCUUAUCGCACAACUUCUUUCGCGAACUACCCACUUAUCGCAAAAAAGUAUACUUAACCGUAAAAGAUCUUAUCACUUAAUCUUUCCAUGGAUUUAUUUGAACACCAACUUCUUAAUUCUUAGCCGAAUUUUACUUCCUUACUCGAAUUAGAAAUGGGUCGCACAACUUCCUUCGCGAACUACCCACUGAAUCGCAAUAACGUAUACUUAACCAUAAAUUUUUUUAUCGCUUAAUCCUUUUCGUGGAUUUAUUUAAAUGCCAAAUUCUUAAUACCUAGCCAAAUUUUACUUCAUUACUCAAAUUAGAAAUGGGUCUCAAAUUUAGAGCCUAUCGCUUCUUUAAGAUACAUGAUCUUACCGAUUCAGAGAAAUUAACCACAAGCGUUAUUAGUUUUGAUGAUCUGGCAUUGGAUUGGUACCAAGCACAAGAAGAGUUGGAAGUUUUUAAGAAUUGGGCUGACCUGAAAGAACGAAUGCUUGUACAGUUUCGAUCAAUUCGAGAAGGAACUUUGGUUGGAAGAUUUUUCUCAAUCAAACAGAAAAUGAUUGUAGAAGAAUACCGCAACCGAUUUGAUCGAUAUUUAGCUCUGGUAGCAUUUCUUCAAACGUAGUGUUAGAGGAGACUUUGAUGAUUGGGCUUAGCCCAUGAAUAAAAAUGGAAGUGGAAACCGUGGAACCGAUUGGGUUGGCCGAGAUGAUGAAAUUUGCGUUGAAGAUUGAGAAUAAGGAACUAGUGAGAAAAGAGUGUGGGUUGAGCAGAGCAUUUCAUGUAAAACUGCAACUCACCCUAUCUAUUGUGGAAAACAACAAUAUAAUGAUGACUAAGGAAGAAACCAGUAAUGGAAAGUCUGCUGAUGAGAGUUAUCACCCUGAAGGGAGUUACUGAUAGAACUAAGACAUGCACAACAGAAAAAGAAUCGAAAUUCUACCCUAAUUGGGCUUAAUUAACGAGACUAAACCAAAAAAUAAGGUUUUUAGAAUACUUACAUUUGAAGUUGCGUUUUAUUCGAACAACCACUAAGUUUGACUUAGUACUUCUAGACUCAUAAUCGAGUUGUGGGACUCGUUGGAUGAAAGAACCGGACGAAAGAAAUAGAUGAAAAAAAAUGGGCGUGGUAAAUUUUCUUUUUUUUUUCUUUAAGUAAAUAAGAAAAAGAAAUUCCAUUUGGUAUGAAAGCCCAAAUUCAAUAGCCAACCCAUCAAAUGAGUUAAAAGGCCCAUUUAUAAGGAUUUUUCAUUCAAAAUUGUAUGUCCAUGCAAUACUAAAGUCAAAGUCCAACAACUCAAAGUCCACUUUCUCUAUCAAGGACUUGAUAAAAAAAGAGAAUAUGAGUUAAUAGGAAAAUGAAAGGGAAUUCCUUGGAAAGUUGGUUUGUGUGUCAUUAAAAGUCAAGGUGGAAAACAAAGUACAACAUAUGGCUAAAUGUGAGAGUAGGCGUGCAAGUAUAAUAAAUACCUACCAAGAUGUUUAUUAAUAACAUGUGUUUGAUACAUAAUUACAACACUUUGACCAAACAACCAAUGCUUAACUAUUUUCAAAACGUCUGGUCAUCUCGCUGCAAAUCCUUCAACCUUCUUCUCUACUUGGCCUAAACACCUCAUCUUGGAAGAUGAAUUUUUGAAAGAAUGUCUAAAAGACUAAGGUUUUAUGAAAUCCUUUUCGCAAUACCUUUUCAUAAACAUCAUUUCGCAUAAACAACAUCAAAUAAUUUUAUCUCGCAUAAACCUUUCUUUAUCCUUAACAUACUCAUCAUUGAACAAUUUCACAUAAACACACAUUAGUUAACAUUCAUUUCUUUCACCAAGGAUUUUGAAUCGUUCUCUACACUUUGAUGUAGAACAUCUCCCUUCUUGAUGUUUCUUGAGUUUUAUCCUAGAGGAGGGGUUUGAAUUACCAUUUUUAUAGUUUAGGAUUAGUUAUUUGAAUUACCAAUUUUGUAUCUUGAGUUAGUUAUAACUAACUCAACUCCAAGUUGAACUAACUCAACCCCAAGUUAGUUUAACAACUCUUAUAAUCUCCAGCCUAUAAAAAAGCUUCUCAUUUUCAUUAAUAAGACAUAAAAAAAAAGAGGCAUUAUACAUAAAGAUUUCUAGCUUUGCAAUUACUGAAUCAAUUGGUAUCAGAGCGUGAUCCUAGCUCACUCUUCCCUAAAAAAACUUGGAUCCUACCACUCUUAUCCAUGGACGCGGAAGCCUCCUUCAACCAACGCUUGCAGUUGGUAGAACAAGCUAUUGAAGAACUUCGAAAAGGGCAGUCAGAUAUACAGCAAUCGUUAGUAGAAUUAACAAACCUUUUUACCCGAUUUCAUGUCCAACCUUUAGAAGAAGCAAUUCAGCCCCCAAGAAACCCAAUGGCAGCAAACCAAGAAAGACAAGAAAGACCAAGAAACCCAAUUGCAGCAAACCAAGAAAGACAAGAAAGACCAAUAAACCCUGUUGUAAACUAAGAACUACUAAGAAAUCAACCUAUUCACAUCCACAAUAAUCGAUUGUAUGGAAACAACGUACCUGAAAAUUUCUUAAAUGAUUCUGACUCUUCGAUGAAGACAACUUGCUGAACAUUCAUCAAGAACCUCAAAGAGGCUUGGACUUCGACCAUACUUUCAAGAAGAUCAUGAAAUACGUAUGAAAGUGGAUCUCCCUACCUUCAAUGGUCGAAUGGACGUGGAGAAGUUUCUUGAUUGGAUCAAGAACGUAGAAAAUUUUUUCGACUAUGCCAAUACACCGAACACAAGAAGGUUCGAUUAGUUGCUCUCAACUUCAAGGUGGCGCAAGCGCUUGGUGGGAUCAAUUACAAAACAAUAGACGAUUAUUUGGUAACCAAUCUAAAGAUUAGCUGAAUAUCUUAUAAAAAGAUGUUGCCGUAGGCUUAGUGGUGACAGGUGAGAAAGUAAGUUGUGUCUUUUAUGACUCUUAAACGUUGAAGUCAAUCAAUGAGUUCCAAAUGCAAUAUUGGAAGUUUUCUUAAAUAUUUUGAUGCUUUUGCAUGUCGUGAAAGAACUUGGUUAGAUGUGAGAAAGGGGUUUAUGAGAUUAGUUACUUACUAUUCCCUUUUUCACUGUCAUUGCUACUCAGUAGACAUGCUAUGGGCUCGUGUUUCUGUAGAAUAUAAUUUAUAUGUUCUCUCUACAAAUUUGAAGUAAUUUCUACUGUUUUUGCUAAUAUUCUCUAAAGCUUAUUCAAAAUGUAGUUGUUUAAUGACUGUUCAGAUUUAAAAUAUAUGAUAGAGUUAAAUUUAACACAGUUAAUCAGCUUAAGCAUUUGACUCUGGUGUUCUUAAGAUAUAAAUUCAAAUCCCUAUAAUUUUAUCAUGUUGAUCUUUUCAAUCUUCUCACAUACCGUCUUCAUUUCAUAAUCUUACCUACUAGCUGCGUAUCAUCAAUGAAAUUACCAUAGGAGUCCACAUGUGGUAAUUAUGGAUCUAGCACGAUAUACUGCGUAUCAUGUUGUUGGAGAUCAUUUUAAAUGAUUAACCAGUCUAUUGGUGGUUUGAGUCUUUCCUUUUGAAUCUAUAGGUUGUUCAAUGGUCUAAUAUUAACUGUGUUCAGAUUUAUGGUAAUUUUCAUUCUUUUACAGCCUUAAUAACCAAGAAAAGGUGUGCUUUGAUAAUCUUUUCUUUCUCUUCGGCAGGUUGGUAAUGUAGAAAGGAUACAUGUAUACUAUGCCCAUGGACUAGAUAGCCCAACCUUUGUUCGCCGGUGUUAUUGGCUCCUAGAUAAGUAUGUUAUGGUUGAAAGAAAGUUGUUAAAUUGCUUGCUACCAGUUGUUUCAGUGGGUCUAUCCCCAUCAUGCCACAAGCAAAGAAAAAUGAAAUUAGAUAGUGGCAGUAUAUCGUGUUCUACUUAUAUAAUUUAUGACUUGCUUCUGCUUUUUGUUCAGGACCUUUGAACACAUUGUCCUUGUUCAUUACCGUGAAACACAAGAGGUUAGGUUCAACACAAUGCAUUUGCAGUUAUUGAAAUAUUAUCUUGAGACAAACUUUUAUCAUUUGGACUACUACAUCUAUUUAAGAUUUGCUGAUUUUUCCUCCAUGGUUGCAAUAUUAGAACUUCACCAAAAUAAUGUUGUCAUGUGUGUCUUUAAAUUUUUACUGGCAGUAUGGCACCAUAUAGAUCUAGUAGUUGUGCAUGCAUGUCUUCCUCUCUAUCCUCCAUUGAAAAACUCGAUAAUUAUCUGUUUGUGUUUUAUUUUGAUGAUUUAAUCCAACAUUUAUUAUGGAUAAAGUCAGCCAUAAAAUACAUAUGUUUACUACUGCUCUUUGUACAUUUUAAAUACUAGAUUUCUUGAUGACUGUUGUCUUUAAGUUGCUCUUAAUGUUGUUGCAUAUCGAGAAAUGCACUGUAAUUUAUGUACCAAUUUUAUCACUGCUUUUAACUAAAUCUUCAAAAAUCAAGGCACCACCCGGAUGUAGACUGCUAUAUGGUGAUUCAAGUGUUGAGAGUUCUCUUUCUUCUGCUAUCCAUAAAUUUAUGGAAUGGAAAGGCAAUGAUUAUGACACUAUUUUUUGUCAGAUAAACACUGGUUUCAUAUGCUUCAACUCUGUGGUGCUUCACAGCACACGGAUAAAACUACCAAACAUUCUGCACCCAAUAUUACCAUAAUGCAUUUGGACACUUCAUUAACAACUUCUUACAAUUACCCUUUCUAUAUUAAAAAUAAUUUGUUGUCUUAACUUCCUGUUGCUCCUAGUUUCAGAAUUUUCCAUCCACAUCGUUGAACUCAAAUUCUGGUUCUGUCUCUAACCCAUUAACUCCGUGGCUUUUAUCGGAGGAACUUGAUUCCAAGGCUACUCAUGUUUAUUUUCUUGGUGAAAAUGAAUUGUCAGGUGAUACUGGCCGAACCUGUCAAAAAUAAAUGAGUCAUAGUUUGUUUGAUCAUUCAUUUUCUAAUCUUUCUUCUUUAUAUUUAAUUAGUUGUUUAAUUUCUUAAAAAAGAAUUAUGGUUUAUUUAUAGUAUAUUUGGUAGUAUGCAUGCCUCAUGUCACGUGGUUAGGAUCUGAAGCUAACCAUACGUGCGCACUUGGCUAACUACAAUGCCCACGUAGCCAAGUAAGCCUUUCCCGGAAGGGGUAGUGCGCCAAGCACUACGACAACGGGUUGCAGCGGAAGUACUAAGGUUGGUUGCAAGACACGAGAGAGGUUGGAAGGAUGAGGGAGUUUGGAUGGAUACGUCUUUGGAAUGAUACAUUGCAUUCCAACAAUAGAUGAAUACAUAUUUGGGUACAAAUAUGCUGUCUUCUUGUCAUGGGGAUACCAUGGGCAAGGAGACUUUGGGUGGCAAGGUGACCUUGCUUGGCUAAGACAUGCCAAGAUGCAAGGUUGCAAGGCUUGAUACAAAUGAGGCCCUCCCCAAGUAUUUAUAGACCAUCCCCACCGACCUUGGGCCUUAGAAGGUCGGCCAAGGGAGAUUCUAGAGAUUACAAGUUCAUUUGGUACAUAACAAGGAAGCCUAGAACAUUCUAGAGAGGACUAGACCUUUCAUGACACUCGCUGACCGUCAUAAUAGCCUUCUAGAGUGUUCCAGCACGUUCCAGCAUCAUCCAGCACGUUCCGGGGCCUUCUCGGGAGCCUCCCGCGCAUUCCAGCACAUUCUGGCACUGUCUCGAACGUUCUAGAGGCUUCUGGGGUUGUCUAGACUGAGCAUGGGCGGGGCAGCACGCACAUGGGCGUGUCUGGAGCCUUCUGGAAGCAUCUGGGGGCGUCGGGCGCCGUGCGUGGGCCUUCUAGAGCCUUCCGCGCGCGGCGCGUUGGGGCGCGCCUUCCCGAUUCUUCUGGAAGCUUCUCGAGGUUCUGGGGUGUCUGGACGUUGGGCGGACACGGGCGCGCGCGCUGGGUCCGAUGGUGGGCGCUGGUGCCGGGCGCCUAUGGCCGUGUCAACGGCAUCUGGGCGUGCUAUGGGCUGUGUCGUGGGCUGACACUCGGCUGUCAUGGGCACUCGUCGUGGCACGCGUGCGGGGCUUGUGAGCUGUCCUCGAGAGGUGCAUGCCAAUGCCGUAGGCACAUGUCGUGGUCGCCCUUAGGCUGUCUUAGGACCACGUUGGGCUGCUCCUGGGCCUUGCUGAAGGAGUCGUGGCAUGAAUUAGCGCAAUUUUGGGGGUGAUUUUUGGGUCAAAAUUUCACACGUGACACUCAGCUCCUUUAAUGCAUGUCUCUUACAGUAUAUUUGGUAGUCUUUUAUAAUGUUACACCCUUUUUUUUAAUUCCUAAAACCUUUUAACUUUCCAAAUUUUCAUUCAUUCUUUUAGAAAAUUAUUUUCAUUAUUUUUUUAUGGUUACAAAACCAUCCAUUAACUACAUUAAUUAUACAAUUCACUCCAAUAAUAAAUAAAUAACUUUUUUGGAUCUAAGGUCUUUUCUCAUUCUACAAAUUUAAUUUACUAUAUAAAGGUUAUUAUGCUAAUUGAAAAAUAUAUUUCUCUCAAGUAUGCAAUGACAGAAAAUUAGGUUAUAAAUAUAAAAAAAAUUAUAUUUUUAGGUAUUAUAAUUUUUUUAAAAAAUUUAUAUUUUUAAUUUUUAAUAAAACCUUGCAUUUGGGGAUUCACAUGUUGUUACUUGUCGAACCAAAAAAAAUUAUUCGCGGUGAAAACUCUUUAAAAACCCAAUUCGUGGAAGGAAAAAUUGAACUGUGGCGUUGAGUUAUUUUGUUGUUGAAGAAGAUCAGUAAAAAACCCACAGCAUUAAAACUUCUUUUUGUUUCUUUAACUAUAUUUUAGAUUGCAACGUAUUUUCUAUUUGCGUUUAGUUAGGGUUUCUCUUGUUUAUUCCAAGAUAUGCAUGGAUAGUUCAUGUUCGACUAUUUGGAAAGAGGGAUUUAUGUAGCACGGGUAUUAUAUUCUGGUUUUGGAAGUGUCGAGAUAAAUUAAGGACUUUUUUAAUCUUCUUCAAACAAACCUAUACGAAGGCGAAGAAUAAUUUGUGCUUGUAUUUUAGUCGGAAUAAGAAGAAACAUGAAGAGAAUGCCCACGAGGAAAAUGACCACGAGAAAAAGUUGUGUAUUCCUCCAUCCAUAAUUGAGCUCUCUAAUGUGUAUUCCUCCCUCCAUAACUGGCUUACUUUGGAUUGUUUGGAUAGAAAGAAACAAUAGAAUUUUUAAGGAUAAAUCAAGGUUUAUUGUUAACUUGUGGGAAGACACAUGUAACUUGAUCGAAGUUUGGUCUAGACGUCAUUCAUCUUGUAACAACAGUAAAGCAACAAAACCAUUUUAAUUCAUUAUAUAUAUAUAUAUAUAUAUAUAUAUAUAUAUAUAUAUAUAUAUAUAUAUAUUAUAUUUAUUUAUUUAUUUAUGUAUGUAUAUAUAUAUAUUUAUGUAUGUCAUUUACUACAAAAAAGGCCUUUCUUGACGUUUGUUGUUUUUCUUUUUGACAUUUUUUUUCAAAAAACGUCAAGAAAGGGGUAGUUCCAAAGAUAAAACGUCAAGAAUUUUUACGAAAAGGCGAGGGUAGGUCAAUUUCAGAUUUCUUGACGUUUAUUAAACAUCAACUAAUAUGUAUUUUUUCUUAACGUUUUAAAACGUCAAGAAUGUUUAUAUAUUCAACAUUCUUCAAAAUUUUCAAACGUCAAGUAAUAUGUACUUUUACUUGACAUUUUAAAACGUCAAGAAAUAUCUUAAAAAUUCUUUAUGUUUUAAAACGUCAAGAAUUUUUAUAAAAAACCGGAGAAGAGUUAUUUUUAAAUUUCUUGAUGUUUUUUAGACGUCAAGUAAAAUCGUUUUCUUUACGUUUUCAAAACGUCAAGUGUUAUUAAAUAUAUAUAUAUAUAAAAGAAAAUAUUGGGUUGAAUCCUUCGAAGACCUAGACUUGUCUCUACCGCAUUCGAAAAUGCCAAGUUCUUUAUGAGGAUCUCUCACUUCUGCCGUGUUCACCGUCCGUCCAUCCGCGUUCACCACGCCCUCUCCAAAAAUGCGUACUAGGUCCUUCGCUUUCAGUCGUUCACCAUCCACUGAGUACGAGAUCCCUAAGACUUUCGCCAUCUACCAUCCCUAAUACUCUGAAAUCGUCGUCCGUUGUCCCUCAAAAUUGUCGUCCUUCUCUACGAAAACGUCGUCCUUCUUUCGAGUCUUCAUUCCCCUUUAUGUCGUCCUUCUGUAUUUAGAGGUUAUACUUCAUUCCCCUAAGACUUCCAUUGGUUUCCAUAUUUCAAGAAUUUAAAAUUUUUAUAGGAUAUUGCUAGUGGAAAUUAAGUCAAUUCUGUUUGCUCCCAAACUACCUCCUGAUUAUGCUGUCUGUUGGGAGAAAUAAAGUCUUCAUCAUAUUUCAAGGUAGUGUAUGUUAACCAACACUUAGUGCAUUUUCGUGUUUAUGAGCUUAUUUUAGUUAAUAUGUUUUUGUAGGAAAAAUAUGCUGUCAAUAUGGCAUAUUCUACGAUGAAAUUUAGUCGUUUAACACAAAAUUUUAAGGUUCUUUUUCAACUAAUUAUGCUUUAUCUAAUAUAUUUUUCCAAAUCUCAAAGAAGAACUUUUGAUUUCAUUGGAGUUUAUCAUUAGAGGCAUUACUAUAUUGGCUGCCUCUCAGUGGGCUAUAGGUUUUCCAAUGGUCAUUUGAGACUGGUUAAUAAUAGCAAAAGUUAGAGCUUGAGAAGAAGGAGCGAAGAGAGUAGUGAAGACAAAUGAAGAAAGAAAGCUGAGUGAAAAACGAAAAUUGACAAGGUAGAGAUGUGACAUGAAAAUGAUGAUGAGAAGUGAAGGAGGCACGACACAAUACAGGUACACAAUAACAAAGCCUUGAUAAUUAAAAAAAGGAUGGUGCCAAGAAAAUUUAAAUACAAAAAAAAUGAAGGUUCUUGCAAGUGUAUUGAGUGAAUGGGAGAAAGAAAGGAUAAAAAAGGUAGAAAGAGAGAAAGAGAAGUCAAGGGUAGAGAUACAUAGCUUUGUAUAUAGAAACUUUAUGUCAACAACGACGCGCUUAGCACAGGUACGAAACCGGACACCAUCUUCUUGGUGUUUGUAUGUGCAAAAGCCUCGAGUGGCUAUGGUCUUCUUCUUCUCUGUGAGGGAAAUGGUUGAAAUUGCUAGACUAUUUCAAUUACUAUAUGAGAGGUGGCUGAAUUUUAUUGGACCUCUCUUCUUGGGCUUACUUUUUACAAUUGUUUAACAAUCUCUCUCCGAAUAUACCUUCGUCCCCUUAGCUGCUUCCCACUUUGGUAUGGAUACAUUUGUCACUACUGGAAAAAUGGAUUUUAAUCAAGACAAUGUGUCGUUGAAAAUAAAAGAAAAAAGAGGUGGGAUGAGGUACACUGUGUUGUUGAAAAUAAAAAUAUGGAUUAUUUCUUAAAACAAUUCUAUUGACACAAUUUAAUUUAUUUCCACACAAUUUUUGGGUCAUUAAUUAACGACAAUUUUUUUGUCAUUAAAAAAAUUUCAAAUGAAAAAACCUCAAAUUUCAAAAUUUUUUAAUUUCCCUCUCUCACGCAAUUACAACUAAGUAAAAACAUCAAAUUUUCUCUUAAGCAAAAACGAUGUCGUCGAAUGAAGUCUUAAUGCAAUUUUUUUUCUCACUCUACCAAAAAUGCAAAAAAAAUCUCGUCGAACGAAGUGGGCUACUGAGCGUUAUGAAGAACCCUUGCCUUCCAAUUUUUGCCACUUGUCGUCGUCGAUUCCACACUCCAACCACUGUUGUCGUUGCUGCCACAACAAGCCUUCGCCGUCGAACCCACCAAUCUAGCCACUUUCGUCGAAUAAAUUUAUUUAGAAAUAUAAGUUUUAAUGACACUUGAAAUCAAGAAAAAGGGACAUGAGGGAAUAAAAUGUGUCGUUAAAAAUAAAAAUACAAAAUUUUUCGUGACACAAAUUGAGUUUUCUUGACAAAAUUUUCGCAUUGUUAAUUAAUGACAUAAAUUAUGUGUCAUUAAAAAUUACCCUAAUAAAAAAUAAAUGUUUUCCUUCAAUCAUUACGCCUUUUGAUUUAAAACAAAUAAUUCGAAGCUUUCAUCCCACUUGUGAACAACGACCGAAAAAAACCUUACUUCAUCCCACAUCGUCGCUGUCUUUAGCUCUCUCGCAAAUGCUCUCUGGCGACGUUCCCCCCUCUCUCGCAAAUACUCUUCACGACUUUUCCUCUCUCUCAAAAUUAAGCUCUUCGCCCACCGUUUGAAGGAACUCACCAAAUUUGCAAGUAAUUGAAGAAUUCGUGGUCCAUGAGAUCGAUUAAGUCCAUUUAUGAGUUAGUUUGAUUAGAUUAUGUCACAUAUACAUGUAUUACAAUUAAGGGACACUUGAAAAUGGCAAAAUAAGUUAUAAUAAUUAAGUCCAUAGAACACAUACUUUAUUAUUUGAGAAAGUGACAAAAACAAAGACCAGCUCACACAUCAAGAGGUAAAAUGUCACAAAUGCCCUCGUUAUUGAUGUACAUUUGAUACACCUUAUACACGUCUGAUACACCUAAUACCUCUUGAUACAUUAAGUCCAUUUAUGGGUUAGUUUGAUUAGAUUAUGUCACAUAUACAUGUAUUACAAUUAAGGGACACUUGCGAAAAUGGCAAAAUAACACUACUACAAAAACAGGCUCUCUUGACGUUUUUAAACUGUCAAGAGACGGCUCUCUUGACGGUUUUAAAAACGUCGUUGAAGCCAGCGUCAAGAAAGGCAAAGUUCUUGACGGUUGAUUAAACGUCAAGAAUAGUGAACGUUGACGUUUUAUAAACGUCAAAUAUACUUAUGUUCAUGACGUUUUAGAACCGUCAAGACUGGUAUUGUUUAUGACAUUUUAAAGCCGUCAAGGAUGAACUGGUUUAUGACAUUUUAAACCCGUCAAGAAUUUUACUAUUCAUGACAUUUUAAAACUGUCAAGAAUGUAAUUGUUCUUGACAUUUGUCAACCGUCAAAAAUGCAAUUGUUCAUGACAGUUUAAAACCGUCAAGCUUGCAAUUGUUCGUGACAUUUUAAAACCGUCAAGCAUUUUUUAAUUUUUUUUAAAAAAAGAAAUUGUAAUUGAAUUAUAUGCUGUAAUGGAAAGAAAUAUAUUCUGAUUGUCCUGUAAUUGUCCAGCAACAGUUUCAUAGAUAUUUGAUAUUCAUCAAAUAUAGUUUCAAAUCUCAAACAUAUAUAAAUAAAACCAUUCACCAUAUAUAUUCAAUUCCAAGACUUUACAUAUAACAUAAUAAAAUAGGCUUUACAUUAGAUUUGCAUAUGGCAUUACAUUGCCAUGAAUCCAAAUCAACUUAAAAAGUCACAAAACAUGCUAGGCUAUAACAAUAAUAAAAAUAUAUACGAAUGAACCCCCCCUCCCCCCUUCCUCCAUAUGAACAAUUCAAAAGAAUUAUCGCUAAAGUUUCUAUACAUAAAGUUUAGGGUCAUAAAGAAGCGACACAACAAAAAAUUUCCUACUUCAGAAUCACAAAUAUUGGUCAUAAUCAUAUGUAAGAACCCAAAAGUCAGCCUAACUCAACUCGCAACCUCGUGUAGUUUCCUUCGAACCAAGACAGAUGAAUAUAAGUACCUACAAAAUAUUAUAAACUUGUAAACGAGAUACAUAAAUUUAGAUCUAAGAGAAUGAAAUUGAUACUUACGUCAUAUAGGCCACCAAUGUAAAUGUUUUUGACCUCAUUCAUGUUACAAAGAUCAAUGAUGUCCUCUCGGAGAACAGAAGUCUUUCGACUAAUACCAAAAAUGCCAACAGGUAGUGGAAUAGUGAUACUAGAAUCUUUCUCCAUUAUCUUCUCAACGUAUAUGAGAAUCAACUUCAUUCCCAUUGGCAAAACUGACGUCGAUUCACAGACAACCUCUUUUUCCUUAGUCAUUUUUAUUAAGGCUCUCUCCUAAUUCAAGAAAACAUUCGCUUUCAAUAUGAUAUGAAUAUUAAGAAUUUGAGUUUAUUAGAGGAUCGAUCACAUACCUUAAAGAUGUCCAACUCUACUUUGUCGUCAUUUACAUUGAUCUCCUCCACCUCUUUCCCUUCGAUUUUAUCAUCAACUUACUCUUCCCUUUGAUUAUUUUCAUCGAGUCACUCUCUCUCUAAGAUAUUUGGCUUCGAACAGCUACCAUGUCCAGAUAAUGGUCUAGACAAGUUUGAGUGGUUAUGUGCUUCUAAUUCGCUUACACGCCUUCGAAGUUCUUUAUUCUCAAGUGUAAUCUCAUCCUCACGUUUAGAUGUCUUUUUUACAUAAUGAAAGUAAUUGGUAGGAGUAACAUAUUCUGAUAGGGCAAGCUCUGGUCGAAGUUUUAGAUCAACUAAAUCGCGUCUAGCAUUCAAUCCAUCCUUACUUUUUCCAGGAAUAUCAAGAAAUGUACCUAAGAUAUUCAUGCAAACAUUUUUUUCAAUGUGCAUCACAUCUAAACAAUGUCUAACAUGAAGAUCCUUCCAGUAUGGCAACUCAAAAAAGAAGAUAAUCUAUUCCAACAAAUUUGUCACUUCUGUUCAUCAACCGUUUCUUAUGGUUCUUCUUCCCUCUAGAAAAUUCAAGAUCUUUCAAUUUUAAAUACACAUCCUCCCCAGGAAGUGGCUCUGGAUUGUAUCAAGUUCUUUUUUUACCAUUGACUUUUGUCGUCGAUACACAAUGAUUUCUUGCCAAAAAACUACGAUGUCCAAGGUAUGCCAUUUUCUUCCAUACUUUAACCUUAUAGAAUUUGUAUUAUCUCCACAAAUUGGGCAUGCUUUAUACCCUUUCACACAACAUCCACUAAGAUUACCAUAUGCAGGAAAAUCAUUGAUUGUCCACAACAAAACUGACCUUAAGUUGAAUGGUUCUUCUCGAUAAGCAUCAUAACAUUCAACACCACUUUCCCAUAAAAGUUUUAAAUCUUCAAUUAGUGGUGCUAAGUAUAUGCCUAUUGUCAUCCCCUGGUUGUUUUGGUCCUGAAAUUAGCAUUGAUAGCAUCAUGUACUUUCUUUUCAUACACAACCAUGGUGGAAGAUUGUAAAUAACCAUCACUACCGGCCACAACUGUAUUUAGAACUCAUGUCACCAUGAGGAUUUACUCCAUCGGCUGACAAUGCUAAACGAAGAUUUAUGGGUUCAGAACCAAAGUCUUGCCAUUUCAUGUCUACUAACUUCCAUGCUGGAGAGUCUGGCUGGAUGUCGUAACUUACCAUCAUUAAUUCUUUCAGUAGAAUGCCAAGUCAAGUUUUCAGCACAUUCAAUGCUUCUGAAUAGCCUUUUAAAUCGUGAAUGAUUGAAAGUACCAUAUCACUUUAGAGGGAAUUUGCUUUCUCCUUUCAUUUGUAUCCUUGACGUUUUUCCACCUUGAUUGACAACAUUCAUGACAUUCAAUUGCAUUAGCAAUUCUUUCUAUAGAGACAAACAAUUAUUCGGCAUGCAUGAAUCUUUUCAUAUUCCACCUAAUGCACCUAAUGUUUUCUUUGCUUCAUACAAUGAAUUCGGGAGCUCAUUGGUAUUAGGCAAAAUUUUCCUUCAAAGUUUCAAGUAAUUCUGAAAAACUAGUAUCACUCUAUCCAUACCUAACUUUUAAAUUAUACAAUUUGACUAGAGUAGACAACUUUGUGUACUUUUUGCAUCCUUCGUACAAUGGUUUUUCAGCAUCAAUAAGCAACUUCUCAAAUCCAGUUGGGUCUUUUGAAUACUCCUCAUGAGCAACUUCAAUCAUUUCUUUUACACUUCCAACAUCCUGAUCUUCACAUGUAUGGGUGUCAAACUUUGAAGAUUCAUCAUAGAAGGAUGAGUUAGGAAGUUCUUCCCCAUGCCAAAACCAAAAUUUAUAACUUUCAUCAAUACCAUUAACAUACAAGUGAUCUCUAACACCCUUUCUACUAUGUUUUUCACAAUUCCCACAUUUCAAACAAGGACAACGAAUAUAGGAGCUAGUUGUAUUAGAAAAUCCAAAUUUGAUGAAGUUUUCCACACCCAACUCAUAAUCUUUAGACAAUCUACUCUUGUGCAUCCAAGAUUUAUCCAUCAUUGUAAAUCUAAUGAGAAAUAAAGUUAUUGUCACUAUUGAUAAUUAAAGUGGAAGGACAAUGAUAAGUAAUGCCCUGUAUAACCAAUGUUGAGAAUGUGAAUCCAAUCUAUACAAAUCUUCUACAAUUAUGGUCUUCAGUUUCUACUGCUAAGAGAUUUUCAUGCAUUACAAAUGAAACUUAAGAAAAUUAAAAGAACUAACUAAACUCAUUUCUUUUUUAAAGUGAUCAUAAAAAGCUUCACUAAACAAAGAUUCCAAUCAUGAAGAUCGUAAUCAACCAUACAACAGAAUACCUGAGGAAGACAAGGCAAUUACAACACCAAGUCUUUCAAUGGAUAAUACAACAUAAUCAUUCAAAUAAGAGUGGUUUUACUUUUACCUUAAAAUGAAAUCUAUAACCAAGAUCAAGGUUAUGGUUCCAUAGGAAACAAUUAAUUAUAUUUAGCUUAAAAAAAGUCAAAACAGAAUUCACCCAAUAGAAAAAAGUAAAAACACACAAUUGAAUUAAAAAUCUCAAGCUGCACACAAAAGCAACUAUGGCAAAAAGAGGGUGAAUGAAAAAAUUAGUUAAAACACCUCCAAAUUAUUAAGGAAGAAGGCAAAACCUUGGACAACAUAAGGUAACAAACAAAGAGAAUACAUGAUCUUUUUUUCUUUUUCUUUUCACGAAGGGAGAAGAAUUGACUCAUCCUCCAAAGCUCUCAAUUAGUAGUAUUGUUAUAUGAGAUCUUCAAAAUUACUGAAAGAGGGAAGUUGAUUAUAUGACAUGCACUCCCAAAAAUUUGUUCAUACAUUCAUUUGUUUUCUUUAAAUCCUAAUAAAAUUUGAUGGUGAAGAAAAACUACAGUACUUUAAAGAUUGAAUAAAAGUAUACGAAUUUCAAUCAAUUCGAAGUUUACACCUCCAUCCUUCCUAUCUAUUAUUGCCAAUCAUGCCAUCUGAGUUUAUAUAAUGAAGAAUAAUGAAAUUGUUAUAUGUUUUAGGGAAAUAAAAGCCUAACCUCAACUUAGUGGAUGAUGGAUUUUGAAGCAACGAACGUGAGGCACUCGUUGGUGAAGUCGAAAUGACGGGCACGCAGUAGCGUGAGGCACUGAGGGAUUUUGGAAAGAUGGAAUGCAGCGGACGAAGGACUUUGAAACGACGGACGUGAGGCAUUCGAAGAGGUGGAACUCGACGGUGAAAUCGAACGGACAGACGUUGAAGGCGAACGGAUAGGCGUUGAAAGCGAACGACGACUGCUGAACACACUUUUUUCGAAUGGGAAGGAUUUCUGGAGAGGGAAAGGGGAACACGCGUGUUUUGAGUAGAAAGGGGUAGGGCUUUUUAAAAAAUAAUAUUUGCACAAUAAUUUUUUCUAUAUAUAUUUAAAGUGAUUCUGAACAAAUAAUAUUAGUACAAUAUUUUUUUCUAUAUAUAUUUAAAGAAAUUUUUAUUAUUGUAUCUAUAUAUUUAAAGAGAUUUUUUUAUUGUAUCUAUAUAUUUAAAGAGAUUUUAAAGAAAUAAAAUUAGCCCAAUAUAUUUUUCUAUAUUUAUUUAAUAACACUUGACAUUUUUAAAAUGUAAAAAAAAAAUGAUCUUACUUAACGUUUAAAAAAUGUCAACAAAUUCAAAAAAUGACUCCUCGAAUACUCAGUCGUGAAGAAGAAAAAAGUAGAUUAGGAAAAAUGUUAGAGCUGAAAAUUAAAAUUCGAUACCUUCUCAGUGUAAUUUAAAAAUAUUCUUGAAUAUUUUAUGAAUUUCUUGACGUUUUUAAAACGUCGAGUAAAAUUUUAAAUUCUUGACGUUUAAGAAACGUCAAGCAUGUCGAAUUCAUACGCUUCUUGACGUUUUAAGAACGUCAAAAAAUUAAUAGAUAUUUCUUGAUGUUUUAAAAACGUCAAAGAAAAAUUUAUUUUACUUGACAUUUAAUAAACGUCAAGAAUGAUUUUCAAAAAAUUUCUUGACGUUUUUUAUUAAAAAUGAAAUCUUUCUUGACGUUUUUCGAAAAAAACGUCAAGAAAGGAAAACUGCAAACGUCAAGAGAGCCUGUUUUGUAGUAGUGUAAGUUAUAAUAAUUAAGUUCAUAGAACACAUACUUUAUUAUUUGAGAAAAUGACAAAAACAAAGACCAACUCACACAUCAAGAGGUAAAAUGUCACAAAUGCCCUCGUUAUUGAUGUACAUUUGAUACACCUUAUACACGUCCGAUACACCUAAUAUCGCUUGAUACACUUGAUAUUUCUUACUGAUACACUUGAUACAUUUGAUAGAUACAAUUCAUGCACUCGGUACUCAUUGAUACACUCGAUACUUUUUGAUACACACCUGAAACAUCUUCAUACACAUAAUACUUCUCGUUACACUUGAUUCUUCUUGAUACACUUGAUACCCCUGAGGCCUUGAUACACUUGAUUAGUUUGAUACACUUAAAGACUUCACUUAUAAGUUUGAUACACUUAAUACACCACUAAUAAACUUGUUAUACUUCAUUGGUACACUUAACAAAUUUGAUAUGUUUGUUGUACAUGCACUACAAGAAAUUUACCCUUUGUCGAUGACAAAUAUCGUCAGUAAAUCUUCAAAAACUAAUCGACUUUUCUUUUGCCAACGAAAUUAAGCUGUCAACACACACCGUCACGCAGGUCUGUCGGAAGAUCCUCUAUCGAUGGCAAAAAAUAAACUGUCAGCAAAAUAGGAACAAUCGAUGAAAUUGAACCAUUAGUGUGCGUGUGUGUGCGCUCGCGUGUGCGCAUGUCCACGUGUGCUUGGGUGUGUGUAUGCGCACAUACAUGUGUACGUGUUUGUGUGUGCAUUUGUGUGCGUGCGGUUUGGUGUGCGUGUGCAUGUGUGCGUUUGUGUGUGUGUGCCUACGUUCGUGUGUGUGUGUGUGCGUGUGUGCACGCGUGUGUGUGUGCGUGUAUGGGUGCACGCGUGUGCAAGUGUAUGUAUGUGUGUGCGCGUGUGAUUGUGUGUGAAUAAGUUGAUAUUUUUUAAUGUUGAGUUUCUCCCAAUUUUAAAACAAUAUUUUAAUUAUCUUGAUAUUCAAGCCAUUAAUAUUAUUGUGAGAUAAAGAUAGUGAAUAAGUUGAUAUUUUUUAAUUUUGAAAUUCAAUUAAAGUUAUUUUGAUACAAAAUCUAUUGCUGAGAUUAUCAAAUUCUGAAAAAUAAUAAUUUUGUUAUGUUGAAAUUCAAUUUGGUUAUUUUGAAAUUCAAAUUCAAUUAGGUUAUUUUGAAAUUAGUAAGAUUAAAUAAAGUUAAAGUCUUGAAUCCAUUAGUUGAGUCCCGAGAUAUUAAGAAAAAAAGUAUAAUAUGAGUUUAUGUAUCUUUUUCAGGUAAAAAAUAAUUAAAGUUGAUAAAUGCAUAAUAUAAAUUAAUUACAACAUAGAAACAAAAUAAUUUUAGUUGGAGAAUGUGGAUAUUUUGGUAUUUUAUAAAAUAUUAUGCACGUGCAAAAAAUGUUAUUUGCUAAAAUUUAAAAAAAAAAUAGUUUUGCCAUUUUUCAAAAUGACCCAUAAAAAUGUUCCUAUAUCUCUUAUGACAUAGUGUAUAUCUACUGGUUCAUAUUCGACCUGUUUGUUGCAAAUAGAAUUGGAUAAAAUCGCAUUAUAUUGAAAUAAUUACACGAAUGACACUUUUAAGCCAAUAUUGAUAGAAAUUAUAGUUUAAUUAAUGUUAUUAAGUCAAAUGAACAUGGUUUAAAAGUCCUUCUAAACACAAUUAAUGUAGAUUUUUUUUUAAUUUUAACUCAUUUAUACAUCUUUAUGCAUAUGUGUGUGUGUACGUGUGCGCGUGUAGGUAGGUGUGCGUAUGUGUAUGUGCGUGCGUUUGUGCGAGUGUCCGUGUGCAUAUAUGUGUGGGUGUGUGCAUGUUUGUAUGUGUUUGUGCGUGCGUGUGUGUGCGCAGGCUAUUGCGUGUGUGCUUGGGUGUGUGGGUGUGCUCGCGCGUGCGUGUUUGUGCGCGUGUGCGUACGUGUUUACGUCUGUGCGUUUGUGCGUACGCGUGUGUGCGUUUGUGCAUGUGUGUGUGCUUGUGCGCGUGUGGAUAGGUGUGUGUGUGCAUGCGUGCGCGUGUGCAUGUGUAUGUGCGUGCGUUCGUGUGUCUGUGGGUGUCUGUGUGUAGAUGUGUGUGUGUGCGCGUGUGUGUAAGUGUGCAUGUGUACGUGUGUGCGCAGUGCUUCUAUGCUUGUGUGCGAACAAGUUAAUAUUUUUUAAUGUUGAGUUUCUUCCAAUUUUAAAAUAAUAAUUUAAUUAUCUUGAUAUUCAAGGCAUUAAUGUUAUUUUGAGAUAAAGAUAGUGAACAUGUUGAUAUUUUUUAAUUUUGAAAUUCAAUUAAGGUUAUUUUAAUACAAAAUCUAUCGUUGAGACUCUCAAAUUCCGAAAAAUAAUAAUUUUGUUAUUUUGAAAUUGAUAUUUAAUUAGGUUAUUUUGAAAUUAGUAAGAUUGAAUAAAAUUAAAAUCUUGAAUCAAUUAGUUGAGUCCCGAGAUAUUAAGAAAAAAGUUAUGAUAUGGGUUGAUGUAUCUUUUUCAGGUAAAAAAUAAUUAAAAGCUAAUAAAUGCAUAACAUAAAUUAAUUACAACGUAGAAACGAAAUAAUUACUGUUUGAGAAGGUGAAUAUUUUGGUAUUUUAUAAAAUAUCAUGCACACGUGCAAAAAAUUCUAUUUGCUAAAAUUUAAAAGAAAAAGUAGUUUUGUCAUUUUUCAAAAUGACCCAUAAAAAUGUUGCUAUAUCUCUUAUGACAAAGAGUGUGCAUCUACUGGUACAUAUUCGACUUGUUUUUUGUUCGUAAAAUUGGAUAAGACUGCAUUAUAUUGAAAUAAUUACACUAAUGACACUUUUAAACCAAUAUUGAUAGAAAUUAUAAUUUAAUUAACGUUAUUAAGUCAAAUGAACAUGGUUUAAAAGUCUUUCUAAACACAAUUAUUGUAGUUAUUUUUUAAUUUUAAUUCAUUUAUACAUCUUCGUGCAUAUGUGCGUGUGUGCAUGCGUGUGCGCGAGUGCGUACGUAUGUGCGUAUGCACGUGUCCACGUGUGCGUGGGUGUGUGUGUCUACGUGUGCGUGGGUGUGAGUGUCCACGUGUGCGCGUUUGUGCGUGUGCGUGUGGGUGUGUGUGCGUAUACGCGCGCGUGCGUGUGUACGUGAGUGGGCGUGUGAGCUUUUUGUGCUUUUCUUCCAAUUUUAAAAUAAUAAUUUAAUUAUCUUGAUAUUCAAUUCAUUAAAAUUAUUUUGAGAUAAGGUUAUUUUAAUAUAUAAAUCUAUCGUUGAGAUUCUCAAAUUCUAAAAAAUAAUAAUUUUGUAAUUUUGAAAUUCAAUUUGGUUAUUUUGAAAUUCAAAUUCAAUUAGGUUAUUUUGAAAUUAGUAAGAUUGAAUAAUGUUAUUAAAAUGUUGAAUCAAUUAGUUGAGUCCCGAGAUUUUAAGAGAAAAGUUAUGAUAUGAGUUGAUGUAUCUAUUUCAAGUAAAAAUUAAUUAAAAGUUGAUACAUACAUAACAUAAAUUAAUUAUAACGUAAAAACAAAAUAAUUAUAGUUGGGGAAGGUGAAUAUUUUGGUAUUUUAUAAAAUACCAUGCACGUGCAAAAAAUGUUGUUUGCUAAAAUUGAAAAGAAAAAGUAAUUUUGCCAUUUUUCAAAUUGACCCCUAAAAACGUUGGAUUUUUUUGCAUUCCCUUGGGCUUUCUUGUUCAAUAUUUAGUCAAAUUGCAGUAUACAUAAAAUUUGCAUUUGUUACGUCAUAAGAUUUCAUUCACUAUUUGUGUCUGAUUAUUUUAUAUUUUAUACAGGAGACUCCGUUUGAGUGUUGAGCUAGUAAUGGGAGGGACUACCGUUGACCCCAAAAUUACAAGGUUUCAUGUUGCUUACUGGAUCAUUAAUGAUUUGUCUCUAUCUUUGGCUCAUCGAGUGGUGGAGUUGGAACCCCCUGAAAGUGUAGAUUUAACUCUCUACCGUUGUCAAGAGCUGUUAAGUAUGCAAAAAUGGCCUUGAGAAAUCCUAUAAACUCUCUAAACAGGAGACAUUCUAGUGUAAGAAGAAAUGCUCAAGUCCUUGAAGAAAUUGAGGACACAACUCCAAUUCCUAGCAUGCUUUCUCCCUAAGACUAUGCUGGUCCUAGUCGGGGAGUGGCAUUUACAUCCCAGAAAGACACACAUGUAUCACCUCGUGUUGGCACUUCCAUUGCAAUGCACAACUCUGACAUAUAUAGUGCCGACAUUUCCUUCCUUAAGCUUGAAAAAAGGUGAUUUGAUGUCCAUAAAAAAUUAACAGAGCAGUUAGAUAUUUUCUAAUACGUAUCUCACGUAAUUUGAUGCUCAUUGAUACUGCAUUACUGUGUCAGGAACGUGUUGAUGUAAAAUCUUUCAGUUUUGAUGGAUCUUAUUACAAGUUUUCAACUCUUCUUAGCACGACUUCUGACAGAACAAAGGUUUUAUAUAUCUUUACACGAUCGCAUAUCACAUAUGAACGAUCGCAUAUCCCAUCUGAAAUAUCGAUCACCCCUGGUAAAAUAACCGUUUAGAUAUUCUACACGAUUGUUUGCUUAAGGAUACACGACAUUUUGUAACUAUUUUUUUUAUUAUCCUUUUUUCUUUCUAUACUAGAAUCAGAAUCAAUUGUUUGAUGAUAUUAACAACAUGUAUGAUGAUCUUCGUGAUGAUUCUAGUCAUCACAAUCUGGACAAGAAUGAUGACCAUCAAAAUAACAAACAUGUGAUCAUCCAUGAGAAUCCAUCUGUUCAAGAGUCACAUCUUCAAGAAUCUACUGUAGAGACUCAACAGUUAGUGUUUAAUUCAUUAGUUACUGCUUUAUAUUGUUUAAAAUUGCUUAGAUUAUAAAUAAACAACAAUAAUUUUUUUUCUUUUCUGUGUAGGGAAAAAAAGGAACAACGCCUCAACAACAAGAGCAGUCAGGCAGUGAUAUUAGCAUAGAUGGCAGAGAUGCACAUUUGAUAUUAACUAUAAGUAAUAUAGUAGAAAAUAUGGAAGGUCAUACUCAAACAGAAAAGGGACUGCUAGAAAUGAUUGAAAAUCUUUCGUUGGUAAGCCAACCACUUCCACUUUGUGAGAUGCUACAUUUAACUACUGUCAAAGGUCUUGCAUUAGUUUAAUUGGUAUGUGUGCCCUAAAGGGAUAAAAGCUCUUGGCAGUGAAAGACUUUACAAAACCAUUCAUCAGUUUUAAUUUGAAAAUUCCAAAAUACCAGUACAUUGACAAUAUUUAGAAUCAAAGUUCGAAAUAAAGAACUAAAUAUGCUUUUAAAUUAAAAGAUUCAUAGAACUUACUCUUGUUGACGUCUCUGAAUCUAUAAUCCACCGAAUUGGGAACCUCUGUUUUCCAGCCAAGCUGUGAUUCAUUCGCGCGUAGCUCCUUCGACGUUCGCGCCACCACAUUCUGCUCCAGGUGACGAGGAACGUCACCGAUUGACCUAUCAUCUCACCGACGUUGUUACUUAGUUGAAGCAGUCGUCGACCAAACCUGAGCCCGUCGCAUCUAUCGAAGUGCCGUCGCGUAUAUCGAAGUGUCGUCGCGCAACUCUUCACCUUCCAGCCAUGGGUUGUAAGCUGAAGUUUGUUUUUCAUUUAUUGAUUAGAUAUGAUCUAUUACACGUCGAUUCCAGUUAUUCGAAGUUGUUGCCCCAUUUUACUCUAAUUUUUGGGAUUUUUGUGGUAAGUUGUAUUGGUGAGUGUGGUGGUUUUACACUGUAAUUAUCCUUGGUUGUAGUUUUGGAUAAUUAGUUAAAUUGUUAAUUGAUUCUUGAAGGUAGCGUUUGAGUUCUUGGAUUCACAACUAAAUUGUAGAUUUGUUGGAGUUCGAUUCGCCAAUACUUUGGUAAGCUAGAAUUUACAUUGAGGAAAUUAAAUGAAAGAAAGUAUUGUGAAAGUAAUUGAGUUCCAUAUUCUUAUUAUUAGGUUUCCUUCGUUCGAGAAAUUUGAGUAACAUUAAAGUAAGGGGUUUCUAUUACUGGACUCUUUGAAAGUUUUGAAAUGUGUUGACUGUUUGGAUCUCUGGACUUAGUAUGGUUUACCAAUAUAUGUAGAAGUAGAUAUGAUGACAAAUGUAUAUUAUGCCAGACUGGUAUAGAAGUAGAUACGAUGGAUAAUGUAUUUGUAAACUGAGAAAGGUGUUAUGUAUAUAUAUAUAUCUUGACUGUCUGGUGUGUUGUUAUAGUAUCAACUGAUUUUGUGAUAGAUUGAAUAGAUUGAACGUAAGUGUGUUAAGUUGGAUUGAUGAUAUGAUGGAGUAGUUUGACUAUACUAGGAAUGGAUUGAUUAAAUGUUUAUAACGGACUAAGGGAAAAUUGUUAGCUUUGUCGAUUGGGUAGUGUGCCUUGAGGUGUCCUACGGGAUCACCACCUGUUGUGCAUUCUUCGAGAGCACUAGAAUGACAUGUGCAUUCUUCGAGAGCAAUAGACUGACAUGUGCAUUCUUCGAGAGCACUAGACUGACAUGUGCUUUCUGCAGAGCACUAGACUAAUAUUUGUGUCCUUUAGGGCAUUGGACUGAUUAUGUGUAUUCCUACAUGAUCACAAGACUUUUAAAGUGCAGGGCACCUCCAAUAGGAAGUUAACAAUUUUAUUUUUCUUCUAACAGGAUCAGUAGUGGGUCUCUUACUGGGUAUGUUUAUACUCACCCUUUUAUGUUUAAUCUUUUUCCGCGAAACUGCCAUAGGGAAAUGUCCUUCAAAUUGCUUCUACUUUAUAUUUUUUUUAUUUUGGUUUUCUUUAGUAAUUGAGACUGUUUUGGGUUUCAUGAUUGAACGACUUUUAUUAUCGAUACUUUUACACUUUCAAAAUUUUAUUUGAAAUAGAGCCCGAAUAAAAACUCUUUAAUGUUGUUAAAAAAUAUUUUUUUUAAAUUAUAAAGUCUUAUGGUUAAAGGAUGAAUCUAGUCUUAAAGUAAUAACUUCAGCUUAAUUAAAAAAAUUAGGUCGUUACAAUCUAUUUUGCAGAAAAGAAAAUCAUCGAUUUUAUUUUGGUUAAGAAAAGCUGUUUUUCUUCUACAUAUUUAUAACUCUCUUUCUUUCAUUGAGUAGGAGACGGGGUAGGAGAAAAUCAUAGGAUUCUAUUAACUUAAAAAAUAUUAAAUUAAUAGAAGUUUCAAUCAACUAACUAAUUAACCAUUAAUCAAUUAGUUAAUAAUUAAUUAAAUCAUAUUUAAUUAAUAUUUCAUUUAAAUCUUAUUGAAUGAAUAUCUCUCCAAUACCUUAUAGUUUCAUAUUAAUUUAAUUAAAUAAUAUUAAACUAAUUAAUUAAUAACUAAAUUAAAUAUUUUAUAUUUAACUUAAGUUAAAUUUGAAUCAUAUUCAAAUAUAACUUUAUCUCAUAAUUAAUAAUUUUAAUAUGAAACAAAUCCACAUUAAAUUAAUAUUUGAACUCAUUCAAAUAUUUUAUCUCAUAAAUUAAUUUUGAACUUUAUCUAAAAUUAAAUUUAUAUAAUAAAGUUUCAUUAACAUAUAAACUUUAUAUUAUAAUGUAUCACUAUAUAUUAUACUAAUUAAACUAAUUUCCAAAGUAAAUUUGAAUAUUUCAAAUUAGAACCAAUAUAAAUAAAUCACAUUACAUUUUGUAUCAUCCAUUAUUUUGUAUUCAGUCAUACUAAUAUCAUAAUAAAAAUAUAGAAAAAUUAAAAAAAAAGCAUGCACAAAUAGAGACAAAUAGACAUUGAUAGCUAUCUAUCUCUAUCUAUCUGAAACAAGCACACAUAAAUUUUAUAUUUCUCUAUCGGAUGGACAAAAAUAGCAGUCUAUUUAUAUCUACCUAAGAUACAAACAUUAAAAAAAAAAAAAAACCUUACCAAUAAAAUUCUUGACUUUUCAUGUUAUUCUAAAUGCAACACGUUCUCAGCCCAAGAAGUCAAACAACUCUUCAUUGUAAAAGUAGCUUUACUUCUUUCAUCAAACCACUUUUGCAAUACAUCUCUAAUUGAACUAAGCAUGGUAGCUACAGGUAGUUCUCUAAGAUCUUUAAAAACUAAAUUUACACUGUCUACACAAUUUGAUGUCAUCAUUCUAUAUAUGAAACUCAUUAUACCUGAGAUAGAUUCAACCAAUUUAUCAAAGAACCUUGGAAUCAACAUGUAUGAUUUAACUGUGUCACCUUUUAAUAUCUUUACUAUGUGUUCUUUUGCCCUCCAAGCUUUCUGCUAACUUAUAUUAACUCCAAGAUUUGUACAUGCCUUAUGCACAAUUGCUUUUGGAAUGAAACGAUCAGUAGACAUGAACCUGAACUCAUCUAUCAAGCAACUGUCAAUUACUGUUGAAGAAGCUUGCAUGUGACAACUAGUAUUCAAUGAACAGUCAUGUUCAUAAAUGUAUUUUCAUAGCAUCCACAACUCGCUCUUCUUAUCGUGUAAUUGAUAAUGGUAACUGAUCGUGUAAUUCCAUGUAAAUUAUCGUCAAAAACUUUAAACUAUCGAUCUUUAUAAUGAAGUACAUAAUUCUUACAUUAAUACUUAAAUUUUGUCGUAACGACCCAACUUUUCUAACUAAGUUGAAGUCAUUAAUUUUGACAAAGAGACCGUGAUUGACACAAAAUAUAGUAAAAUUCACUUGAAAUCAUACGAUCAAAGAAAACAAACUUAAGUUCGGGCCCUACUUCAAAUAACCAAAACUUUAAAAGUACUAUUUACAAAACAACAGUUCGUAAACUCAGUUCCAUCACAAAAUUUUUAAACAACCUCAUGUACAAAGGAAAAACAAAAAACAUAAAGCGAAAGCAUUUGAAGGACAUUCCCUUAUAACAAAAAACUAGUAUUCAAUGAACAGUCAUGUUCAUAAAUGUAUUUUCAUAGCAUCCACAACUCGCGCUUCUUAUAACGAGAUGUCCUAAUAAACCAUUUGCACUCUUCUAGUAGGCAUCUAAAUUCAAGAGACCUCAAAUUUGAUAUUGUAGUUCUAAAUUGAAAGUUGUUAUUCACUUCUAUUAUGCCAAAACACUUUGAAAGCACAUGCUAUUCAUGUGCACGUGAUAUUUUUUUUUUAAUUUCUUUGUCCCUCUUCCGCUGUACAGAUGUAAUAUAGGGGUCUAUCAGAUUCCUCCUCUUUUCAAAGCCUCCAAUCAAACUCAAUGCUAAGUUUGACUGCUUCCUUCAGAGUGACGACCCUCAUUUUCCCCUUCCGUGGUUUGGGGAGGAUUCCUCCUCUUUUUAAAGCCCUCAAUCAAACUUGAUGCUAUGUUUAGAACGCUAAGAAUAGGUGGUCUAGUUUUGGUUAGGCCAAAAGUGAAAAUUUCCCCCAAAAGCACUAAUAGUUAGGGAACUCAACACAUUCUACUUGACUUAAUCGACUUGACUCUCUAAUUUUUAUGUGCUUUUUUCAAUGCAUAUUGCAUAUGUUUUUUUUAUAGUUGUUGAUUGUCUCACAUUUUUAUGGUUUGCAUUUACAAGCCUUUUUUUUCUUUCUUUGGUAUGAAAUAUGGUAAUAGGCCUUGCUAGAACCGGUGGGGUAAUCUCCUUAUGGUUCUACACUUAGUUUCAAAGUUUGAUUACUCCCUUCGAAGUGACAACAAGCCUCGUUUUCCCCUAUUGUGGAUCAGAGAGGAUUCCUCCUCUUUUCAAACCCCUCAAUCAAACUCAAUGCUAAGUUUAACUGCUCCCUUCGAAGUGAGAACAAGCCUCGUUUUCCCCUAUUGUGGAUCAAAGAGGAUUCCUCCUCUUUUCAAAGCCCUCAAUCAAACUCAAUUAGAGUAAAAAGGAAAAAAUUUCAUCUCGGGUGCGUGUCCCUCACACGUGUCUCUCUAGGAUUUCCAAGUUCUCUCACUCGGCUGGUGAAGGAGGCGAACGGCUGGUGAGUGCUGCGGUCAGCAAGGGAUCAAAUUCGAAGGUAAUUCGUUCGGUUUUGGCAGAUUGAAUGUGAAAACUAAUGUCAUUUGGUAUCCAUUUCGAAAUUUAUUACAAUUGAUCAAUUGAACCAUUACGAAUGAUAUUCGUUUUGAUUCGGGAGAAUUAACGUCUGUCCAGAAAUUGUUUAAAUCGGUUUCCAAGCUGAAUUGAUUUGAACUAUCUUGAAAGUAUUGCGUGUGGUACGAAUCGAUUUAUUGGCUAUCAGUUUUGGGUUUGAAGACCGUGAUUUAAUUCACUCGCUGGAGGGAUCUCACAUGAAUCUCCUCAGUUGAAUUUCAAUUCUUUUUGAGUUCAUUCGUGUUCCCAGAUUGGGCCGAAAAGAUCAUCACGGGUGUUGGGUUGAUGUCCUAAGCAUGAAACGAUGAAGAAAUUCUCCAGUGACGUUGAGGAGGUGAAGAAACGCGUGAUGUCAAGCCUUCAACGCGUACAUGAUAUGGCGACGAACGACCGAAGGGCGACGACUGCAAAGGCUGACCUAAUUUCUGUGAGGAAGAAAUGGUCGGACAUGAGUGGACCCGAACUGGUUUACGUGAAUCGUGAAACAUAUAAAAACGAAAUACAGGAAAUUGACCGAGCGAGAUGGUCCCAUGAAGAUUGUUGGGUUGAAACAUAUAAAAACAAGUGGUCUCUUUUCGUUUCUUUAACCAUUGGGUUGAAGAAGCGUCCUUUAUGGAUGUUGUGUCCUCUGCUUGGACCAAAGAUACUAGAGUUUCUCCAAUUGUGAAUAUUGUGAGGAACUUAAGAAAUCUCAAGUCGAUUCUUCGCAGGCAUUUUGGUAGGCAUAUCCGGACCAUCAGUGAGGAUGCUCAUCUUGCCAAUGAUACCAUGGACUGAGCUCAAAGAGAGAUGGAGACGAAGUCUCUGUCGGAGGAGGCGAGUAAUCACGCGAGCUUAGCCAGGGUAAACUUUUGGAAAGCGGUUAGAGUGGAGGAAGCCGCUAUGUGCCAGAAAUCGCGAGUCAGAUGGUUGAAGCUAGAUGACCAGAAUACUGCCUUUUUUCAUCGAUCUGUUCGAUCAAGGCAGAGCAGCAAUGCUUUGAAAUCAGUUAUUGACCCAGAUGGAAAUCGAUUGACUAACCAUGAUCAGGUGACUCAGGUGGUAGUUAAUUAUUUCAAAGAUAGUCUGGGUUCUCAGAAUAUUAGCUACAGAGAGCUCUCUACUUGUAUUGAGGAGAUUGUUCAGUUUAGAUGGACUGAGGAGUGUUGCCAGGCCCUCCAGUCGCCUAUUGGCAGGAGGAAGUGAGACGUGUUCUGUUCUCCAUGGAUGGUGGAAAGGCUCCAGGCCCUGAUGGGUAUUCAGUUGGCUUCUUCAAAGGAGCUUGGACGGUGGUUGGAGAGGGUUUCUGUGAUGUCGUCUUACACUUCUUUGAGACCAAUUACUUCCCUCAAGGGGUGAAUACGACUGCUAUUACACUUAUUCCUAAAGGAAGCCCUAUCCCGUUAUACGAUACUUACGAGAUGAAACUCUAGGCAUCAAUUGUGCCCUAUCUCGUUAUAACUACAAUGAGAUGGAAAACUAGGCAUUCGUACAGGCUCUCGUCCCUUGAGAUGGGAAACUAAGCAUCUUUAGAAGUCUUCAUCUCUUAUCUAAUACCAAUGAUGGAAAGCUAGGUAUUUACUGAAUAUCCAAAUCAAAUGACCUCUAUGCACAAGAAAAUCUCUCCGAAGGGUUGCUAUAUAUCUUAGAAUAUUUUAGGUAUAGACUAAAACAUGCUAAUAUUAUUUUCAAGCUUAAACAUUUUGAAAACUUAGCACAAUCAUAAUUGCUUAUAAUUUUCAUUAGUAAAUUCAUCAAUAAAAACAUGUUUACCAAAAUGUUUCUAAAUUCAUGCUUUGGAAAUACUUUAUAUGUCAGUAUCCUCAAAUAUUCAAACAUCAAAGCAUGCUUGAAACAUUUGAUAGUAAAUUCAUGUUUAGAAAUCAACUUUAAACUCAUUUUUGUCACUUAUAGAGAGUAGCUUGGACCCUUGUCUUAUAAACUUGUUCGAUCUCCUUCAGAUCUAAAAUAAUGAAAAAUAAUGGGAAAUAAUUCCAUUUAAUUCCCGUUGAUCAUAAAAAUAUCAAAACUUUGCUUAAAAUUUCCAAAAACCACAAAAACAGCCCAAAGACAUUAGCUUGCGUACAAAAUAUUGUGGCAGAAGUUGGCAGGCGCGCGUAGGGCUUGCCUUGCCAUGUCUCGUUCUAACCUCAUGUGCAGCGUGUCACACUCACAACUUUUCAAACACGGAACAGACUAUUGUGCGGCACUUGUUGUAACUCGAUGAACACGUCAGUUGUAUGAAAUUCGAUACGAUGUAGCCUCCCUACAGGUUUUAAGAGAAAUUGGUUUUAUUAAACAUGAGAGAGAAAGGAAAGCAUUGGAAACAUCGUUAAAAAAAACUUUGAAGACUGUCCAUUGCAAAGAGAGCUUAAAUUGCAAAGAGUACCUCUGUGAUGAGAUUGGUUUGUGGAACCAAUUGGGAUGGGAAAAAGUUUAGAGAUAUUUGAGAGAAACUCUUUUCUUUUUGCAAACAGCAAUAGCGUUAGCCUUAUUUUUUCUUUUUUUAUUAAUUCAUUUUUUUAAGAAAAUUGUUUUCUUCUAGAUAUUAUAACUCUCUUUCCUUCUAGGAAUAGAAAAUGAAGUAGAAGAGAACCAUGAGAUUCUAUUAAUUUACAAAUAAUUAAAUUAAUAUAUAUUUCAAAUCUACUGAUUAAUUAAACAUUAAUCAAUUAGUUAAUAAUUAAUGAAAUCGAAUUUAAUUAAAUAAUAUUAAACUAAACUAUUAAUUAAUUCUCCAAUUAACUAAUAACACUAAAUUAUUUAUCUUAUAUUUAACUUAAAUUAAUUUUGAAUCAUAUUCAAAUAUAAGUUUCUCUCAAUAAUUUUAAUAUGAAUCCAAUUCACAUUAAAUUAAUAUUUGAACUCAUUCAAAUAUUUUAUCUCUCAUAAAUUAAUUUUGAAUCAUCCCCAAAGUUAAAUUUAUAUAGUAAAGUUUGAUAAACUUUAUAUUAUAAUGUAUCACUAUACAUUAUACUAAUUCCCAAGUUAAAUUUAAACAUUUUAAAUUACAACCAAUAUAAAUAAAUCUCAUCACCCUUUACGAGCUAGGAAAGGGACCUAAUGGACCUACAGAUUAGAAGCUACAACGAUCUAAGAUUAAUUGGCUAAACUCAUUAACCACAUUAAUCAAUAUUCGUUAGUUGUGUGUACACUCCACUAAAGACUCACAACUGAACUCUUCUCACUAAAAAUAUAUUUCUGUGUCCACGGAUAUAGACCAAUAAUAGUAAGUUAGUCCUUCACGAGUGUUUGUAACACCAGUUGGAUCAAUUUACCGCUUUACCCCUAUGUUACCUCUAAUCCUUAAAAACCAGUGCUCCUCUAAUGAACAACUUGUUUAUGGUCCUACUAAUAAACAAAAACCCCUCUCAUGUCAUAGAGAGGGUACGUGCCCUUUGUUCAAGUUUUGGAGACACCAUUUAAGCUAACAUUCAUCUACUUACCCUAAAGUAGGAAAUGAGUGAAUUCCAUUUUGUGCAAUUAUAAUCCCAACUCCCCACUCAGUCUUGUCCCCAAAAUCACUACUACAAAAAUAGGCUCUCUUGACGGUUGUAGUUUUCCUUUCUUGAUGUUUUUGAGAAAAAACGUCAAGAAAGAUGUGAUUUCAAAAAAAAAACGUCAAGAAUUUUUAUGAAAGGCCAAUUUUCAACUUUCUUGACGUUUUUCUUGACGUUUUUUGUGCAAUUAAACGUCAAGUAAGAUGUAUUUUUUCUUGACGUUUUUUAAACAUCAAGAAAUAUCUAAUAAUUUUUUGACGUUUAAAAAACGUCAAGAAUGUUCAUGAAUUCAACAUAAACGUCAAUAAUAUAUAGUUUUCCUCGACGUUUUAACAAAUUCUUAACAUUUUUAAAAUGUCGAGAUAAUUCUAAAAAGUUCUUGACAUUUUUAAAAACGUCAAGAAAUUUAUAAAAAAUUCUUGACGUUUUUAAAACGUCAAGAUAAUUCUAAAAAAUCAUUGAGAGAAAUUUUAAUUUGUUUUUGACGUUUUAAAAACGUCAAGAAAUUUCUAAAAAAUUAUUGUGUUAAUAUUCUUUUACAAAACACAACGUUUCAAUUUGAUCACUUCCCCUUUUCUUAAUUAAACCUAAUUCGCCGCGACUUUGUCCCUUCUCCACCCGAAAUCAAAAGCGUCGUUCACCUAACCUUCCCUUCGCGUUCAUCUGUGCAUUCAUCUGCGUUCAUCGCCGAAAAAGACUUCCCUUCGCGUUCAUAAGCAUUCACCUUCAUUCAUUUGCGUUCAUCGUCGUCACCCCGUCCUUUGCGUUCCCUUCACUCUUCGUUGAUUUGCGUCCGUCUGUUCACCGUUCGGAAUGCGUAAACACAUUCUCUGUUCGAAAACGAGUAAACACGUUCACCAUCCUUCUGUCGCAUUCCACUUUCGCUAAACCUCUAUUCGUUUCCAAAUCCUUCAUGGUUACUCAUUCAUUUUCUUCCCUUUCUAAAGGUAAUAAUUUUCCUUUUUUCCUUUGUGAUUAAAAUUUGUAAUUUGUAAUUUAAAAUUGGAAUGCAAAAUUAAAGAAGAGGAAAUAUGCCUUAGAGAAUGGAAGAAAGGUUUUGCAUUUUAGGCUUGAAAAGGGGGGAUACAAGUUAUUAUAAUUGUAAUAUAUAAUAUUUUGAACAAGGCUACCAAGCGUGCGAAUAUGAUUCAUUGGUUAGUUUAGGGAUUGGAAAGAGAAGGAUUGUGGAGUUUGUGAUAAUAUUUUGGUACACUGGAGCUGGAAACAGAGAAUAUUAAAAAACACAUACUGUUAUACACAGUAUUAUAAUAAUACGAAUCACUAGCUUUUCUUUCUUCUCCUUGAAUUUUUGUUAUGGGUAUUAUAUUGAGUUUUGUGUUUUAGAUUGUGAAGUAUGGGGUAGCUAAACUCUUAAUCCUAGGGAUAGAUGUAGACAAAGUUUAUGAAUUAUUCUUUGUAAUGCAUCUGAUUAUUUGCUCUUAAUCUUUUCAUGUUUUUAUGUGAAUAGCGUUCAUAAUAUCUUAAUCACAGAUUAAUUGUUGAUUGGCCAUGAACCUUAAUCUUUGCAUGACUAGAGUGGUUAUGAACUUGGAUAGAGAUAAUUAAGGAUCCUUGAGGAGGUUGUUGAAAGAAGUGGACCUAAAAACUUUUGUUUGUUAAUAAAAAGAAAAAUGAACAGAGAUUCAUCUUCGUCAGGGUCUUGAUGUUUAAUUUAAUUUAAAUUGUGUAUGAAUUUUAAUUACGAGAAUUUUAAUAUGUUGCAAGAGCACUAUAGCCAAGGUAUAGAGUGAGGGAGAUAAGGUUUAUAUGUCUUAGAGAAUGGAAAGAUGGAAUUUGUGCUAAAAUCAUUAGUGUUCCAAAUACAAUUAUGAAUUGGGUAUAGUUGCAUUCCCCCUUCUGGAUUGCAUAGCACAUAAAUAUACUCUCAUGGAUUGCAUAGCACAUAAAUAUAUGUCAAAAACAAUAACAUAAAACACAAACUUGAUUUAGUUUCAUUCACACUUGUACACCAACAUGUUUCAAGGAAUGAUCAUAUAUUAAAAAUCAUUUUCAAAUUUGGUAAUAUAAAAUGGAAGUGAGACCUUGAGGUUUUGACCACCAAUACUAUCUAACUGAUGAGUUUAUGAUUUUUGUUUCUACUGUGUUCUUUCCUUAAGCUUUAACUUGCUUUAGGGGCAAGAUGGUGAAGGUCUAGUCCACAACCUUUCCCAAGAAUUUAAUGAUGUUUGGGUUGACCCAAUUAUUGUUACACACGUUUUAUGGUAAUUGGUUGUUAUGGUUUUUAAGUGUGUUUUGAUAUCUUGUGUUAAAAAAUAAAAAAGUCGGAAAAGUUUGUUAAAGAUUAGGUGUUUUUAAGUUUGUCAUUCCACUUUAAUUCUCACCAGUACUUGCUGAAUGGAAGCCUCUUGUCUAAGACAAUUCGAGUGGAAUAACUCUCGUGACUACCACAACAUUUGGGAACUCACCAAAUGUAAGACUAUUCCUUUAUCCUAGCAUUUGAUCUCUCUCUAUAAUUUGGUUUGCUAUCGUAAGUUUGAUUAAAAUAAAUGUUGAUAAUUUCCUCUCCAUAUUUUCUUCUCUCAUUCAGAGUCAGUUAGAAUCAAUUCUAUCUUGUCUCCAUAAUUUGGAUUCAAAGAUUCAUCACAAUAAUCUUCUCAAACAACAUCUUUGAAAAGGUAUUGAAUUUUCAACUGUGUGACCUUUAUACACAAAUUUCUUCAAAGAAAUUUACAUUCUUUAGAGUUUAGAGCUUUGAAUUCUAGUACAACUUAUAAAGCUUUUGAUACUUGUUAGACUUUUUUGCUUGGUGCGGAUAAAACCUUAUUUACAUUCUUUCUUUCCUGCAUGUUCUCUUUUGAUAUUUGUUAGACUUUUUUGCUUGGUUGUCCUUAGUGUUUUCCUCUUUAGCUGAAAUUUCUCAAUCUUGAAAAAAAUAGAGCUUUAAAAUUCAACUUUAACUUUAUUUGAUACUAUCUUAGUCCAUACUUAUUUUGGUAUUUCUUUCCUUUCUCACAAACACAUCUAAGAGGUUGCCUUCACAAUAUGGCCAAAUUAACAAUAUGGCAACCCUUUUCAUUGCAAAACAUAUUAGACGUUGGUUACUUAGUUAGCCUUAUUGGGUAAAUAAUUGACAUUUAGGUACUUUUUAGUUUGUAUAUUUAUAGAUGCCAAAUCGAUAUGUGAAUUUUAAUUGUUGCUUAUUUGAAACAUUGCAACCAUUUGAUAAAAUGUUGCUAUGUGAAUCCAUCUUAACUUGAUAUAUUAUUUUAUUUUGGUUUAGGUUGUGGAAUCCAAGUUUGUAUUUGAAGUCAAAUUCAUCCAAGAUCAUUGAGUUCAUAAUACACUCAAGAUUAAGACUAAGUUAUCUAGGUCAUCCUAGUGAAAUAGAAACCUAACUAGUUAAUGUAGUAACACCAAGUGGUUACUAUUUCACAGUCUAGUCUAUUGCAAUCUCAUUGCAUAGGAUACCUUCACUCGCAUGUCAACUACAUGAACACAUUGGAUCAUUGUAUUUGUAUCAAAUACAAAGUGAGUCGUAUUCAUAAUGUUACCAGGAUAAAGGUACCCAGUCUUAUCCGUAUACUAUAGACCCUUUAAGCUGAUCUCGAACAUUGAUCCUUGUAUGUCUCUACAUACUAUUCAAUACUUAUUAAACAGUUUAGGAUGUUAGUUUAUUGGAUUUGAGUUAUUAAGACAAAACUAAUAAUAUAAUCAAUAACAAUUAUUACAAUAAUAACACUUUAUUAACAAUGGUCAAUGGAUUAAAACUUGAUUCCAAGGCUACUCAUGUUUAUUCUCUUGGUGAAAAUGAAUUGUCAGGUGAUACUGGCUGAACCUAUCAAAAAUAAAUGAGUCAUAGUUUGUUUGAUCAUUCAUUUUCUAAUCUUUCUUCUUUAUAUUUAAUUAGUUGUUUAAUUUCUUAAAAAAGAAUUCUGGUUUAUUUAUAGUAUAUUUGGUAGUAUGCAUGCCUCAGCUCCUUUAAUGCAUGUCUCUUACAGUAUAUUUGGUAGUCUUUUAUAAUGUUACACCCUUUUUUUUAAUUCCUAAAACCUUUUAACUUUCCAAAUUUUCAUUCAUUCUUUUUAGAAAAUUAUUUUUCAUUAUUUUUUUAUGGUUACAAAACCAUCCAUUAACUACAUUAAUUAGACAAUUCACUCCAAUAAUAAAUAAAUAACUUUUUUGGAUCUAAGGUCUUUUCUCAUUCUACAAAUUUAAUUUACUAUAUAAAGGUUAUUAUGCUAAUUGAAAAAUAUAUUUCUCUCAAGUAUGUAAUGACAGAAAAUUAGGUUAUAAAUAUAAAAAAAUAUAUUUUUAGGUAUUAUAAUUUUUUUUAAAAAAAUUUAUUUUAAAUUUUUAAUAAAACCUUGCAUUUGGGGAUUCACAUGUUGUUACUUGUCGAACCAAAAAGAUAAAUUCGCGGUGAAAACUCUUUAAACCCAAUUUGUGGAAGGAAAAAUUGAACUGUGGCGUUGAGUUAUUUUGUUGUUGAAGAAGAUCAGUAAAAAACCCACAACAUUAAAACUUCUUUUUGUUUCUUUAAGUAUAUUUUAGAUUGCAGCGUAUUUUCUAUUUGGGUUUAGUUAGGGUUUCUCUUGUUUAUUCCAAGAUAUGCAUGGAUAGUUCAUGUUCGACUAUUUGGAAAGAGGGAUUUAUGUAGCACGGGUAUUAUAUUCUGGUUUUGGAAGUGUCGAGAUAAAUUAAGGACUUUUUUAAUCUUCUUCAAACAAACCUAUACGAAGGCGAAGAAUAAUUUAUGCUUGUAUUUUAGUCGGAAUAAGAAGAAACAUGAAGAGAAUGCCCACGAGGAAAAUGACCACGAGAAAAAGUUGUGUAUUCCUCCAUCCUUAACUGAGCUCUCUAAUGUGUAUUCCUCCCUCCAUAACUGGCUUACUUUGGAUUGUUUGGAUAGAAAGAAACAAUAGAAUUUUAAGGAUAAAUCAAGGUUUAUUGUUAACUUGUGGGAAGACAUAUGUAACUUGAUCGGAGUUUGGUCUAGGCCUCAUUCAUCUUGUAACCAAUAUGAUGUUACUACCAACUCUUAACUUUAAGCUUUGUUAGAUUAGGUUGCUUCGGGCUUCCCUCUAGCCUUCAACCUUGUAACUUUAACUCUAUGUUAAUAGGUAAUGACUCUUAUCCUAGGUUUAUCCUAGUUUGAAGGAUUCGGUUUCUUCUUCUUAAAACAAGUUGUAUUUCGACUACUAUUUUGGAGGAAAAUGUGCUUAACUAACUAAAAAUCUAAUGACACUUCCAAAACCAGUCAUUUCGAAAGAUGUUUCCUCAAUAAUAUAUUUAUAAUGCUCUUCCUUUAUAGAGUAAAACAGUAAAGCAACAAAACCAUUUUAAUUCAUUAUAUAUAUAUAUAUAUAUAUAUAUUUAUUUAUUUAUGUAUGUAUGUAUAUGUAUAUAUAUUUACGUAUGUCAUUACUACAAAAAAGGCCUUUCUUGACGUUUGUUGUUUUUCUUUCUUGACAUUUUUUUCAAAAAACGUCAAGAAAGGGGUAGUUCCAAAGAUAAAACGUCAAGAAUUUUUACAAAAUGGCGUGGGUAGGUCAAUUUUCAGAUUUCUUGACGUUUAUUAAACAUCAACUGAUAUGUAUUUUUUCUUGACGUUUUAAAAAUGUCAAGAAAUAUCUAUAAAAAUUUUGACGUUUUUAAAACGUCAAGAAUGUUUAUAUAUUCAACAUUCUUCAAAUUUUCAAACGUCAAGUAAUAUGUACUUUUACUUGACAUUUUAAAACCGUCAAGAAAUAUCUUAAAAAUUCUUUAUGUUUUAAAACGUCAAGAAUUUUUAUAAAAAGCAGGAGAAGAGUUAUUUUUAAAAUUUCUUGAUGUUUUUUAGACGUCAAGUAAGAUCGUUUUUCUUGACGUUUUAAAAACGUCAAGUGUUAUUAAAUAUAUAUUUAUAUAUAUAUAUAUAUAUAAAGAAAAUAUUUGGGUUGAAUCCUUCGAAGCCCUAGACUUGUCUCUGCCGCAUUCGAAAAUGCCAAGUUCUCUGUGAGGAUCUCUCACUUCUGCCGUGUUCCCCGUCCGUCCGUCCACAUUCACCACGCCCUCUCCGAAAAUGCGUACUAGAUCCUUCGCUUUCAGUCGUUCACCAUCCACUGAGUACGAGAUCCCUAAGACUUCCGCCAUCUGCCAUCCUUAAUACUCUGAAAUCGUCAUUCGUUGUUCCUCAAAAUUGUCGUCCUUCUGUACGAAAAAGUCGUCCUUCUUUUGAGUCUUCAUUCCCCUUUAUGUCGUCCUUCUGUAUUUAGAGGUUAUACUUCAUUCCCCUAAAACUUCCACUGGUUUCCAUAUUUCAAGAAUUUGAAAUUUUUAUAGGAUAUUGCUAGUGGAAAUUAAGUCAAUUCUGUUUGCUCCCAAACUACCUCCUAAUUAUGUUGUCUGGUUGGGAGAAAUAAAGUCUUUGUUAUAUUUCAAGGUAGUGUAUGUUAACCAACACUUAGUGCAUUUUCGUGUUUAUGAGCUUAUUUUAGUUAAUAUGUUUUUGUAGGAAAAUAUGAUGUCAAUAUGGCAUAUUAUAUGAUGAAAUUGUAGUCGUUUAACACAAAAUUUUGAGGUACUUUUUCAACUAAUUAUGCUUUAUCUAAUAUAUUUUUCCAAAUCUUAAAGAAGAACUUUUGAUUUCAUUGGAGUUUAUCAUUAGAGGCAUUACAAUAUUGGCUGCCUCUCAAUGGGCUAUAGGUUUUCCAAUGGUCAUUUGAGACUGGUUGAUAAUAGCAAAAGUUAGAGCUUGAGAAGAAGGAGCGAAGAAAGUAGUGAAGACAAAAGAAGAAAGAAAGCUGAGUGAAAAACGAAAAUUGACAAGGUAGAGAUGUGACAUGAAAAUGAUGAUGAGAAGUGAAGGAGGCACGACACAAUACUGGUACACAAUAACAAAGCCUUGAUAAUUAAAAAAAGGAUGGUGCCAAGAAAAUUUAAAUACAAAAAAAAUGAAGGUUCUUGCAAGUGUAUUGAGUGAAUGGGAGAAAGAAAGGAUAAAAAAGGUAGAAAGAGAGAAAGAGAAGUCAAGGGUAGAGAUACAUAGCUUUGUAUAUAGAAACUUUUGCAAUUAUUUAUUUUUCUACAAUAAUUCUACUUCUAGAACCUAAAUUUUGAAAGCCUACUAAUUUUUCAGAAUUAAUUCGAGACCCCACUUUUGCUCCCCUUCCUACCUACGGUUACUUUUUGCUUAAACUUUAAAAGUUGUUUGAAAAUUUUUGCUGAAACUUGUAAAAUUGUUUGAAGUUCGUAUAUCUCUCACAUAUUGCAAGGUUUCUUAAUUAUUUUAUUGAAUUUCCUACAUAAAUGCAUUCAAACAUGAGUUGACAUUAUUGGAAAAGAUCCGUCAUCCUAAAGUAGUUCAGUUUUUUGGUGUCGUUACUCAGAAUUUGCCUAUGAUGAUUGUUUCUGAAUACCAUCCGAAGGUAUGGAUACAUUUUCUUACCCUUUAUUUUAUUCUAAUGAAAAUUAUUUCAUCAUGUUUCAUUCCAAGCAUUUCAUUACAUAUUUUGUUCAUAUAUGAUGAAUGGUGAUUAGUUUUUGUAUCAACUUAUUCCCUCUUUCAUGUAUAUUUCAUCUUCGAGGGUGAUAUAUAUCAAUUUAUUCCCUCUUCAAUUGAUUCUUGUUUUUACUCUUAGCUUAUAGGUUGCUACAUGAUCGUAUAUUAGGAGCAAAAUUGUGCAAUUAGUUUAUAGUUAGGGAGAUUUCAAUAGUAAAAAGCAAAGAGAGUAAAUGGUAACAAAAUCAUAUUGUUCACAUGAAAUGAUAAAAUAAUCAUUACACAUUUACAAGAACAGUAAAUAAAUUAUGUGAUUUUCGUGAGAAAAAUGAAGAAGAAAUAGCUUCUAACAAAAGUGAAUAUAAAUUAAAGGAGAAUAUAAAAUUGUUUAAAAUAUUUAUUUUCAAUAAUUCGGAAGUUCUUUGGCUAUAUAUAAUGGAAGAGAGCCUUUCCAAGGUGUGAUGUCUGGCGUCAACAACGACGCGCUUAGCACAGAUACGGAACCAGACACCAUCUUCUUGGUGUUUGUCUAUGCAAAAGCCUCGAGUGGCUAUGGUCUUCUUCUUCUCUGUGAGGGAAAUGGUUGAAGUUGCUAGACUAUUUCAAUUACUAUGUGAGAGGUGGCUGAAUUUUAUUGGACCUCUCUUCUUGGGCUUACUUUUUACAAUUGUUUAACAAUCUCUCUCCGAAUAUACCUUCGUCCCCUUAGCUGCUUUCCACUUUGGUAAAAUCGCCAAAGCUUUAUGUGUACAUUGCAAGAGACAGAGGAGCAAGGCAAAAUAAGGUUAUUGGAACAAGGCGAAAGUUAUCAUUGCUAGCUGCAACUUUCCUCAUUCUUCUCACCCUCCUUCAAACCAUAUUUUCUGCUAUGUAUGCAUUUCCUAGCUAGCCUUCCCCCCGCAUAUUCUAUUUUAGCUUUUUUCCUCUCCAGUUUCUGUUAUGUAUUUUUACUGAAUAUUGAUCUCCUUUUUGCUAUCAAGAUACUAUACCAUACAUGCAUGUGUAGGACUUUUAUCCCUUAUAUUUUAUAAUUUGUCUUACUACUGUUAUUGACUGAUAUACCAAUAUACAUGUGUAAAGUAUUGAUCAUAUAAUUAAUAUUAAAUUUAUUACAUUCACUCAUCAAUUUAAGUUUUUUAGUCAAUGUAUGUUCAUGAUUUAAAACAAAUAAUUCGAAGAUUUCAUCCCACUUGUGAACAACGACCGAAAAAAACCUUACUUCAUCCCACAUCGUCGCUGUCUUUCUCUCUCGCAAAUGCUCUCUGGCGUUCCCCCUCUCUAGCAAAUACUCUUCAUGACUUUUCCUCUCUCUUAGAAUUAAGCUCUUCGCCCACCGUUUGAAGGAACUCACCAAAUUUGCAAGUAAUUGAAGAAUUUGUGGUCCAUGAGAUCGAUUAAGUCCAUUUAUGAGUUAGUUUGAUUAGAUUAUGUCACAUAUACAUGUAUUACAAUUAAGGGACACUUGCGAAAAUGGCAAAAUAAGUUAUAAUAAUUAAGUCCAUAGAACACAUACUUUAUUAUUUGAGAAAGUGACAAAAACAAAGACCAACUCACACAUCAAGAGGUAAAAUGUCACAAAUGCCCUCGUUAUUGAUGUACAUUUGAUACACCUUAUACACGUCUGAUACACCUAAUACCCCUUGAUACACUUGAUACUUUUUACUGAUACACUUGAUACAUUUGAUAGAUACAAUUCAUGCACUCGGUACUCAUUGAUACACUCGAUACUUUUUGAUACACACCUGAAACAUCUUCAUACACAUAAUACUUCUCGUUCCACAUAAUACUUCUCGUUACACUUGAUUCUUCUUGAUACACUUAAAGACUUCACUUAUAAGUUUGAUACACUUGAUACACCACUAAUAAACUUGUUAUACUUCAUUGGUACACUUAACAAAUUUGAUAUGUUUGAUGUACAUGCACUACAAGAAAUUUACCCUUUGUCGAUGACAAAUAUCGUCAGUAAAUCUUCAGAAACUAAUCGACUUUUCUUUUGCCAACGAAAUUAAGCUGUCAACACACACCGUCACAUAGGUCUGUCGGAAGAUCCUCUAUCGAUGGCAAAAAAUAAUGUAAUGCCCCAAAGGUAUAUAUAUAUAUAUAUAUAUUUUGUUUUUAUUUUAUAUAUAUAUAUAUAUUUAUUUAUUUAUAUUUAAUUUAAAUAAAAAGAAAAGAAAAAGAAAUAUAUAUAUUUUGUUUUUCUUCUCCUUUUCUUUUCUUUUUCCUUUUCUUUUCUUUUCCAUAUUUCCUUCUUCCUCCCGUGCGCUGCGACCCCCAUCCAUCUUCUCCUUCUUUCCGCCGAUCUCUUCCUUCCAUUUUCUCCUUCCGUUUGUAGCCCAGCAACCGCCGCGCAGCCUAGCAACCACCACCCCGAGACUUCUCUUCUUCCGUUUCUCUUUCUUUUUCACCAUACCCACCCGCCGUUGCCCGGAUCCGUUCGCCCCAGCCCAUCACCGGUUCUGUCUCCGUGCCGAUCUACCAUCUCCAUCUCUGGUUCCCGCGUGCUGAUCUGCCGAACCCAACCGCCACCCUCUCUUUUCCCCUUCGGAUCGAAAACCGCCGCGCCCAUCCACCUGUAACUACCGCGUGACCUCCGCUCACAAACGUCGUCCAGAUCUGCAUCACAACCGCCGUCGCUCGUGCUUCACCCUUGUAGUUCGCAAUAACCUAGAUCCGCCGCUCGUAACCAUCGACCGGUUCGUGAAGCCAGCCGCGCAACCUUCGUUCCAACCGCUGCACUUUCGCGCGAUUCUCCGACCACGUUUUCUUUAGCCGACCGCUGACCGACACACACUUAGGAUUUUUCUGCGAGUUCGACAGUCGUGCGUUGAGGUGUUGGGAGUAACCUUGGGGGGAUUAAAUUCACAACCAAUUUGUGAAUUGUUGAGGGUUCAGUUCGCCAGUAUUUCGGUAAGUUGUGGAAUUUACAUAUGGAGUAAUUUGAAAGGUUGAAACUAUUUAGAACGAUGUUGAUUUUAUGAUUGAUUAUGUUUAGGAUUUGAUUCAUUGGAUUUAGUAGAUUGAAGAAUUUGCAUAGAAAUCGAGGUAAGGGAUUUUCUACUUGACUCAAUUGUGAUUGUGAACUGUAUGUGUGUUGAAUGUAUACUGUGGGUUGACUGAAAAUAUAUAUGAAUGUAUAUGAAUUGAAGUAGACUUGACGUCGAAUGUAUGUCGUGAUUGUCAUGGAAUCUAUAUAUAAAUGUGUGUAUGUGGAUAGGACGGAGAUUGUAGAUUGUGUUUGUAUGAGAUGCAGAUGUGAAUCUUGAGAUUCUCGUUUAGAUUGGGUGUAUGAUUACGCUAAAGUAUGACUGUGUGCUGGUGAACUGAGGGGUGCAUUGACUGUAUAGUUGAUUGAAUGAUGUAUUAGCAUAUUAUUGACAGACAUAUGACUAUAGUAAAAUAAGUUGACUGUUAGGAUGUUGAAAGAAAGAACUUUGUGACUUGAAGUAACUGAAAGAUGGGUAGAAUGGAAUGAGGGGAAAAUUGUUAGAUUGUAUUGGGAUGUUUACCUUGUAGGUGUCCCACGGGAUCACCAAUUUAUUGUGCACCUUUGGGAGCAUUAGACUGAUAUGUGUUUCUGCAGAACACUAGACUGAUAUGUACGGCCCUCGGGGCGUUAGACUGAUAUGUACGUACCUCGGGGCGUUAGACUGAGAUGUGUAUCCUACGGGAUCACAAGACUGCGACUGUACAGGGUGUCCCAAUAGAACUUUAACAAUUUAUUUUCCCCUGACGGGACCAGUAGAGGGUCUCUUACUGAGUAUUUAAAAUACUCACCCUUCUUAUGUUUAAUUUUCAAGCAAAGUUAAUAAAGGCGGCAAACCGGAGAGGGGCAGGAAGGAAGCGUGAUGCCAUAGGAAACGUGUAAUUGCUUCCGCUUAUGGGUUUUGAGAGAUUUAAGAUUGAUUUGAAAUUUAGUUUACAAACGUUUGUUGUAAAUAGUAUUAUUUUAUGUUUUCUUGAAUGUUUAAAAAUCAGGCCUGACUUGAAGAUGUUUUUUUUUUAAAUUGCUUACGUUUUGUUUUAUAUUAAUCAAAGUCUUUUAUUUGUUAAAAAUUAACGAUCUCGACUUACCUAGAAAAGUUGGGUCGUUACAAAUAAACUGUCAGCAAAAAUAGGAACUAUUGAUGAAAUUGAACCAUCAGUGUGCGUGUGUGUGUGCGCUCGCGUGUGCGCAUGUCCACGUGUGCUUGGGUGUGUGUAUGCGCACAUACAUGUAUACGUGAGUAGGUGUGUGCGUGUUUGCGUGUGCAUUUGUGUGCGUGUUGUUUGGUGUGUGUGUGUGCAUGUGUGCGUUUGUGUGUGUGUGCGUACGUUCGUGUGUGUGUGCUUGUGUGCACGCGUGUGUGUGUGCGUGUAUGGGUGCAUGCGCAUGCAAGUGUAUGUGUGUGUGCGCGUGUGAUUGUGUGUGAAUAAGUUGAUAUUUUUUAAUGUUGAGUUUCUCCCAAUUUUAAAACAAUAAUUUAAUUAUCUUGAUAUUCAAGCCAUUAAUAUUAUUGUGAGAUAAAGAUAGUGAAUAAGUUGAUAUUUUUUAAUUUUGAAAUUCAAUUAAAGUUAUUUUGAUACAAAAUCUAUUGCUGAGAUUAUCAAAUUCUGAAAAAUAAUAAUUUUGUUAUUUUGAAAUUCAAUUUGGUUAUUUUGAAAUUCAAAUUCAAUUAGGUUAUUUUGAAAUUAGUAAGAUUAAAUAAAGUUAAAGUCUUGAAUCCAUUAGUUGAGUCCCGAGAUAUUAAGAAAAAAGUACGAUAUGAGUUUAUGUAUCUUUUUCAGGUAAAAAAUAAUUAAAAGCUGAUAAAUGCAUAAUAUAAAUUAAUUACAACAUAGAAACAAAAUAAUUUUAGUUGGAGAAUGUGGAUAUUUUGGUAUUUUAUAAAAUAUUAUGCACGUGCAAAAAAUGUUAUUUGCUAAAAUUAAAAAAAAAAUAGUUUUGCCAUUUUUCAAAAUGACCCAUAAAAAGGUUGCUAUAUCUCUUAUGACAGAGUGUAUAUCUACUGGUUCAUAUUCGACCUGUUUGUUGCUAAUAGAAUUGGAUAAAAUCGCAUUAUAUUGAAAUAAUUACACGAAUGACACUUUUAAGCCAAUAUUGAUAGAAAUUAUAGUUUAAUUAAUGUUAUUAAGUCAAAUGAACAUAGUUUAAAAGUCCUUCUAAACACAGUUAAUGUAGUUGUUUUUAAAUUUUAACUCAUUUAUACAUCUUUAUGCAUAUGUGCGUGUGUACGUGUGCGCGUGUAGGUAGGUGUACGUAUGUGUAUGUGCAUGCGUUCGUGCGAGUGUCCGUGUGCAUGUGUGUGUGGGUGUGUGCAUGUUUGUAUGUGUUUGUGCGUGCGUGUGUGUGCGGGCUAUUGCGUGUGUGCUUGGGUGUGUGGGUGUGCUCGGUGUGCAUGUUUGUGCGCGUGUGCGUAUGUGUUUACGUGUGUGCGUUUGUGCAUGUGUGUGUGCUUGUGCGCGUGUGGAUAGGUGUGUUUGUGUGCAUUUGUGCGCGUUUGUGCGUGUGUGCGUUUGAAAUUAGUAUGAUUGAAUAAAGUUAUUAAUAUGUUGAAUUAAUUAGUUGAGUCUCGAGAUAUUAAGAAAAAUAUUAUGAUAUGAGUUGAUGUAUCUAUUUCAAGUAAAAGAUAAUUAAAAGCUGAUAAAUGCAUAACAUAAAUUAAUUACAAUGUAGAAACGAAAUAAUUACAGUUGAAGAAUGUUGAUAUUUUGGUAUUUUAUAAAAUACCAUGCACGUGCAAAAAAUGCUAGUUGCUAAAAUUCAAAGGAAAAAGUAGUUUUGUCAUUUUUCAAAAUGACCCCUAAAAACGUUGUUAUGUCUCUUAUGACAAAGAGUGUAGAUCUACUGAUCCAUAUUCGAUUUGUUUUUUGUUGGUAAAAUUGGAUAAGACCGCAUUAUAUUGAAAUAAUUACACGAAUGACACUUUUAAGCCAAUAUUGAUAGAAAUUAUAAUUUAAUCAAUGUUAUUAAGUCAAAUGAACAUGGUUUAAAACUCUUUGUAAACACAAUUAUUGUAGUUAUUUUUUAAUUUUAAUUCAUUUAUACAUCUUUGUGCAUAUGUGCGUGUGUGCGUGCGUGUGCGCGAGUGCGUACGUGUGUGCGUAUGCGCGUGUCCACGUGUGCAUGGGUGUGUGUGUCUACGUGUGCGUGGUGUGAGUGUUCACGUGUGCGCGUUUGUGCGUGUGUGUGUGGGUGUGUGUGCGUAUACACGCGUGUGCGUGUGUACCUGAGUGGGCGUGUGCGCUUUUUAUGCUUUUCUUCCAAUUUUAAAAUAAUAAUUUAAUUAUCUUGAUAUUCAAGUCAUUAAAAUUAUUUUGAGAGAAGAUUAUUUUGAUAUAAAAUCUAUCGUUGAGAUUCUCAAAUUCUAAAAAAUAAUAAUUUUGUAAUUUUGAAAUUCAAUUUGGUUAUUUUGAAAUUCAAACUCAAUUAGGUUAUUUUGAAAUUAGUAAGAUUGAAUAAUGUUAUUAAAAUGUUGAAUCAAUUAGUUGAGUCCCGAGAUUUUAAGAGAAAAGUUAUGAUAUGAGUUGAUGUAUCUAUUUCAAGUAAAAAUUAAUUAAAAGUUGAUAAAUACAUAACAUAAAUUAAUUAUAACGUAAAAACAAAAUAAUUAUAGUUGGAGAAGGUGAAUAUUUUGGUAUUUUAUAAAAUACCAUGCACGUGCAAAAAAUGUUGUUUGCUAAAAUUGAAAAGAAAAAGUAGUUUUGCCAUUUUUCAAAUUGACCCCUAAAAACGUUGGAUUGUUUUUUAUUCCCUUGGGCUUUCUUGUUCAAUAUUUAGUCAAAUUGCAGUAUACAUAAAAUUUAUGUUUGUUACGUCACAAGAUUUCAUUCACUAUUUGUGUCUGUAUUAUUUUAUAUUUUAUACAGGAGACUCCGUUUGAGUGUUGAGCUAGUAAUGGGAGGGACUACCGUUGACCCCAAAAUUACAAGGUUUCAUGUUGCUUACUGGAUCAUUAAUGAUUCGUCUCUAUCUUUGGCUCAGCGAGUGGUGGAGUUGGAAGCCCCUGAAAGUGUAGAUUUAGACUCUCUACCGUUGUCAAGAGCUGUUAAGUAUGCAAAAAUGGCCUUGAGAAAUCCUAUAAACUCUCUGAAACAGAGACAUUCUAGUGUAAGAAGAAAUGCUCAAGUCCUUGAAGAAAUUGAGGACACAACUCCAAUUCCUAGCAUGCUUUCUCCCUAAGACUAUGCUGGUCCUAGUCGGGGAGUGGCAUUUACAUCCCAGAAAGACACACAUGUAUCACCUCGUGUUGGCACUUCCAUUGCAAUGCACAACUCUGACAUAUAUAGUGCCGACAUUUCCUUCCUUAAGCUUGAAAAAAGGUGAUUUGAUGUCCAUAAAAAAUUAACUGAGCAGUUAGAUAUUUUCUAAUACGCAUCUCACGUAAUUUGAUGCUCAUUGAUACUGCAUUACUGUGUCAGGAACGUGUUGAUGUAAAAUCUUUCAGUUUUGAUGGAUCUUAUUACAAGUUUUCAACUCUUCUUAGCACGACUUCUGACAGAACAAAGGUUUUAUAUAUAUUUACACGAUCGCAUAUCACAUAUGAACGAUUGCAUAUCCCAUCUGAAAUAUCGAUCACCCCUGGUAAAACAACCGUUUAGAUAUUCUACACGAUUGUUUGCUUAAGGAUACACGAUCAUUUUGUAACUAUUUUUUUUUAUUAUCCUUUUUUCUUUCUAUACUAGAAUCAGAAUCAAUUGUUUGAUGAUAUUAACAACAUGUAUGAUGAUCUUCGUGAUGAUUCUAGUCAUCACAAUCUGGACAAGAAUGAUGACCAUCAAAAUAACAAACAUGUGAUCAUCCAUGAGAAUUCAUCUGUUCAAGAGCCACAUCUUCAAGAAUCUACUGUAGAAACUCAACUGUUAGUGUUUAAUUCAUUAGUUACUGCUUUAUAUUGUUUAAAAUUGCUUAGAUUAUAAAUAAACAACAAUAAUUUUUUUUCUUUUCUGUGUAGGGAACAAAAAUGAACAACGCCUCAACAUCAAGAGCAGUCAGGCAGUGAUAUUAGCAUAUAUGGCAGAGAUGCACAUUUGAUAUUAGCUAUAAGUAAUAUAGCAGAAAAUAUGGAAGGUCAUACUCAAACAGAAAAGGACUGCUAGAAAUGAUUGAAAAUCUUCCGUUGGUAAGCCAACCACUUCCACUUUGUGAGAUGCUACCAUUAACUACUGUCAAAGGUCUUGCAUUAGUUUAAUUGGUAUGUGUGCCCUAAAGGGAUAAAAGCUCUUGGCAGUGAAAGACUUUACAAAACCAUUCAUCAAUUUUAAUUUGAAAAUUCCAAAAUACAAGUACAUUGACAAUAUUUAGAAUCAAAGUUCUAAAUAAAGAACUAAAUAUGCUUUUAAAUUAAAAGAUACAUAGAACUUACUCUUGUUGACGUCUCUGAAUCUAUAAUCCACCGAAUUGGGGACACCACCCGUUAGAGACCUUCCUAUCUUCGAAGAUGAGAUUGGUUUGUGGAAAACAAUUGGAAUGAAAAAAAAAUUUAGAGAGAAACUAUGUAACACCCCCAAUAUCAAGGUAUUUCUCUCAAGCUAAAUUUUUUAAAUUUUAUUAAGAUUUUAAGGAAUUUGGUUGUGGUGUGGAUUUAGCAGGAAGUGAAGGGGGCUUUUAUGAAAAAAUAUACUAAUACUAAAGGUUAAAUAAUAAUAAUAUAUAAUAAUAAUAGAAUUAAUGUUAUUAUUAAUUUAAAAUAUCAAUUCUUUAUUGAUUCACGUGCAACCCCAUCUCUUUCUCCUUCACUCUUCCUCUUCCCCGUGCCCACUGCCGCUUGCCUCCCUUAGCCAUUUUAUAUUACUCUUGGACGUCAACCGGCCACGCCGUCAUUGAUCGCUUCGUCUCCGUUGAAGCUGAAGCACCGUUCGUCGUGAGUUCGAACUCUCGGCAUCGCGUCUCACCUAUGUUUUCCAGCCAAGUUGUGAUUCAUUCGCGCGUAGCUCCUUCGACGUUCGCGCCACCACAUUCUGCUCCAGGUGAUGAGUAACGUCACCGAUUGACCUAUCAUCUCACCGGCGUUGUUACUUAGUUGAAGCAGCCGUCGACCAGACCUGAGCCCGUCGCGUCUGUUGAAGUGCCAUCGCGCGCUCUUCACCUUCCAGCCAUGGGUUGUAAGCUGAAGUUUGUUUUUCGUUUGUUGAUUAGAUCUGAUCUAUUACACGCGUCGAUUCUAGUUAUUCGAAGUUGUUGCCCCCAUUUUACUCUAAUUUUUGGGAUUUUUGUGGUAAGUUGUAUUGGUGAGUGUGGUGGUUUUACAUUGUAAUUAUCCUUGGGUUGUAGUUUUGGAUAAUUAGUUCAAUUGUUAAUUGAUUCUUGAAGGUAGCAUUUGAGUUCUUUGGAUUCACAACUAAAUUGUAGAUUUGUUGGAGUUCGAUUCGCCAAUACUUUGGUAAGCUAGAAUUUACAUUGAGGAAAUUAAAUGAAAGAAAGUAUUGUGAAAGUAAUUGAGUUCCAUAUUCUUAUUAUUAGGUUUCCUUCGUUCGAGAAAUUUGAGUAACAUUAAAGUAAGGGGUUUCUAUUACUGGACUCUUUGAAAGUUUUGAAAUGUGUUGACUGUUUGGAUCUCUGGACUUAGUAUGGUUUACCAAUAUAUGUAGAAGUAGAUAUGAUGACAAAUGUAUAUUAUGCCAGACUGGUAUAGAAGUAGAUACGAUGGAUAAUGUAUUUGUAAACUGAGAAAGGUGUUAUGUAUAUAUAUAUCUUGACUGUCUGGUGUGUUGUUAUAGUAUCAACUGAUUUUGUGAUAGAUUGAAUAGAUUGAACGUAAGUGUGUUAAGUUGGAUUGAUGAUAUGAUGGAGUAGUUUGAUUAUACUAGGAAUGGAUUGAUUAAAUGUUUAUAACAGACUAAGGGAAAAUUGUUAGCUUUGUCGAUUGGGUAGUGUGCCUUGAAGGUGUCCUACGGGAUCACCACCUGUUGUGUAUUCUUCGAGAGCACUAGAAUGACAUGUGCAUUCUUCGAGAGCAAUAGACUGACAUGUGCAUUCUUCGAGAGCACUAGACUGACAUGUGCUUUCUGCAGAGCACUAGACUAAUAUUUGUGUCCUUUAGGGCAUUGGACUGAUUAUGUGUAUUCCUACAUGAUCACAAGACUUUUAAAGUGCAGGGCACCUCCAAUAGGAAGUUAACAAUUUUAUUUUUCUUCUAACAGGAUCAGUAGUGAGUCUCUUAGUGGGUAUGUUUAUACUCACCCUUUUAUGUUUAAUCUUUUUCCGCGAAACUGCCAUAAGGAAAUGUCCUUCAAAUUGCUUCUACUUUAUAUUUUUUUUAUUUUGGUUUUCUUUAGUAAUUGACACUGUUUUGGGUUUCAUGAUUGAACGACUUUUAUGUUCUUGAACUUUCUUUAUUAUCGAUACUUUUACACUUUCAAAAUUUUAUUUGAAAUAGAGCCCGAAUAAAAACUCUUUAAUGUUGUUAAAAAAUAUAUUUUUUUAAAUUAUAAAGUCUUAUGGUUAAAGGACGAAUCUAGUCUUAAAGUAAUAACUUCAGCUUAAUUCGAAAAAUUAGGUCGUUACAAUCUAUUUUGCAGAAAAGAAAAUCAUCGAUUUUAUUUUGGUUAAGAAAAGAUGUUUUUCUUCUACAUAUUUAUAACUCUCUUUCUUUCAUUGAGUAGGAGACGGGUAGGAGAAAAUCAUAGGAUUCUAUUAACUUAAAAAUUAUUAAAUUAAUAGAAGUUUCAAAUCAACUAACUAAUUAACCAUUAAUCAAUUAGUUAAUAAUUAAUUAAAUCAUAUUUAAUUAAUAUUUCAUUUAAAUCUUAUUGAAUGAAUAUCUCUCCAAUACCUUAUAGUUUUAUAUUAAUUUAAUUAAAUCAAAUUUAAUUAAAUAAUAUUAAACUAAACUAUUAAUUAAUUCUUCAAUUAAUUAAUAACUAAAUUAAAUAUUUUAUAUUUAACUUAAGUUAAAUUUGAAUCAUAUUCAAAUAUAACUUUAUCUCAUAAUUAAUAAUUUUAAUAUGAAACAAAUCCACAUUAAAUUAAUAUUUGAACUCAUUCAAAUAUUUUAUCUCUCAUAAAUUAAUUUUGAACUUUAUCUAAAAUUAAAUUUAUAUAAUAAAGUUUCAUUAACAUAUAAACUUUAUAUUAUAAUAUAUCACUAUAUAUUAUACUAAUUAUACUAAUUUCCAAAGUAAAUUUGAAUAUUUCAAAUUAGAACCAAUAUAAAUAAAUCACAUUAUCAUUUUGUAUCAUCCAUUACUUUGUAUUCAGUCAUACUAAUUGGAUCAACCUAAUACAUAAAACAAAUAUAGAAAAAUUAAAAAAAAAAAGCAUGCACAAAUAGAGACAAAUAGACAUUGAUGAUAGUUAUCUAUCUCUAUCUAUCUGAAACAAGCACACAUAAAUUGUUAUAUUUCUCUAUCGGAUGGACAAAAAUAGCAGUCUAUUUAUAUCUACCUGAGAUACAAACAUUAAAAAAAAAAAAAAAACCUUACCAAUAAAAUUCUUGACUUUUCAUGUUAUUCUAAAUGCAACGCGUUCUCAGCCCAAGAAGUCAAACAACUCUUCAUUGUAAAAGUAGCUUUACUUCUUUCAUCAAACCACUUUUGCAAUACAUCUCUAAUUGAACUAAGCAUGGUAGCUACAGGUGGUUCUCUAAGAUCUUUAAAAACUAAAUUUACACUGUCUACACAAUUUGAUGUCAUCAUUCUAUAUAUGAAACUCAUUAUACCUGAGAUAGAUUCAACCAAUUUAUCAAAGAACCUUGGAAUCAACAUGUAUGAUUUAACCGUGUCACCUUUUAAUAUCUUUACUAUGUGUUCUUUCGCCCUCCAAGCUUUCUGCUAACUUAUAUUAACUCCAAGAUUUGUACAUGCCUUAUGCACAAUUGCUUUUGGAAUGAAACGAUCAGUAGACAUGAACCUGAACUCAUCUAUCAAGCAACUGUCAAUUACUGUUGAAGAAGCUUGCAUGUGACAACUAGUAUUCAAUGAACAGUCAUGUUCAUAAAUGUAUUUUCAUAGCAUCCACAACUCGCUCUUCUUAUAACGAGAUGUCCUAAUAAACCAUUUGCACUCUUCUAGUAGGCAUCUAAAUUCAAGAGACCUCAAAUUUGAUAUUGUAGUUCUAAAUUGAAAGUUGUUAUUCACUUCUAUUAUGCCAAAACACUUUGAAAGCAUCUCUUUACUUUCAAAUAAACUAUUUUCCUUCAAAUCACCAUGAUAUGAGAUGUCUCUUAUAAUUUCAUCAUUUGAAACAUAAGAAGAAGAACCUACAUUCAAUGCAUAUCAACAUUCUAUCGUACACUACUAGAAGAAGAAGACCUUCUAAAAAAAUCAACAGUUACAUGGGCAACUAAUGGAUGUAUAUUAGUUGCAUCUUUAGCAAAAGAUAAAUACCAAGCCACAUCAUUGUCUUUUUUUACUGGCACCACAGUUGGACCUUGCUUUUACCAAAAUCAAGUAAAACAGAUAAUUCUACUUAUCCAUCCAAUUGAAUCUGUUCACAUAUUAAAUCAACUAGAGAAUUAAAGCUCACUCGGACAUCUACCAAAAUUUCAGCAACUAAGUAAUUCUCAUAAAUAUUACAUCCAUUCCAUUGACCUCCAUAAAAAACAACAAUAGGAAAAGACAUUAUAAUCUGUAAAAAAAAAUAAUAAUAAAAUUAAGUAUUUAAUUGUGAUAGAAAGAAAUAGAUAGACAUAGAUAUACAUUUAUUACUGAAUAAAAUAAUAAAAUGUACAAAAUGAUAAUACUAAACAUAAUGCAAGAAUAAGUAAACGAUCGUGCGAUGAAAUAAUAUACAUUAAACGAUCCUAUUAACCGUGAUAAACGACCAUUUAACAACGGUAAAUGAUAAUAUUGAUUAAAAUAAAUUAUCGUGUUGACAUGGGUACACGAUCAUAUGAUAUUGGUGAUCGUAUUGAAUAGUGUAAACAAUCGUCUUGUUAUCGGUACACGAUCGUGUUAAUAUUUGUAAGUGAUUCUAUUGAUAGUGGUAACUGAUCGUGUAAUUCCAUGUAAAUUAUCGUCAAAAACUUUAAUAUUUGAAAAUAUGUUAUUUUAGAAAAACUACAAGUGUUUGACAACUCUUUGAAAGCUAUUGAAAUACUCUCAAAUUGUAUUUUAAGGAAUUUUAAUAAAAAGAAAGUCUACAUAAAAAAAUUACCCUUUUUAAAGGAACAUUUUUUCUCUAAUCACUCCAAUGGAACUCAAACACGUACUUCAAGUUAAUUCUGGUAUCCAAGAAUCAGUCUCAUCUAACAUAAACAAGAACAUUCAACUUGAUAGAACUUCAUUACCUCAUUUUUACAAUUCCCAAAGUUACUAAAUGAAGGACCAUUCCUAAAACAUACUUACAUCCAACUUUCUCCAUGAAUAAACUUAUCGUCUUUUAUGUACUGAUGAAUAUAGAGAUGGAGCGAUCAGAGUUUGUUUAUGUACCAAAUUAGAGUGAGUUGAGAAAAGAGUGGAUUUACACAAGGACGAAAUGGCUGGCUGCUGCUUGUUCAAAACUGAAAGUUAGGGUGACCUUGUUUCUCAUAGGGACUCAGCAAAUUGAAGGGCCUCCAAGUCUACUUCUUGUCUCAUUAUACAUGCCAUUAGCCAUUCAACGUUGAAAGUCCAUAUCCCUUUUUCUACGGCCACCAAGGCUUCCUCCACGUCUUCCUCACAAGCCACAAAGAUCGUCUUUCAUACAUUGUUUACUUUAUCUAGCUCAUGAAUCACCUAAAUUUUCAAGCAUAAUGAAUUUGCCAAAUGAGAGAAAAAAUUAUGUAUAUACUACAAGGAAAUUGCAAGAAUUCACCCUAUAAAAAAAUAUUAAACAAAUUCUUGUUCUAGUCCCUAAAAUUUUCCAUCUUUUUUCAACUUUCAAAAUGCUUCCUAUGAGAUAUAUUCCAAUCACAUAUAGCAGAAAUGACCGAUGAGUAUUGAAUAAAUGAAUAUUAAUUGAUAAAAUAAUUUACAAAAUACUAAAACCGUUAGUUGGCUACGUUUUGGAAGCUCGAUGACUAAAAUGGAUGUUUUGAAAGUUCUAAGGCUAAAAUGGAAUUUAAAUCAACAUAAUAGUAAGUUCAAGAUCAAAGACAAGCUAAACAAUAAAAUGUUGCGACCAGAAAACAAUCUAAUCAUAAUUAGAAACAUGGAUGUAUGUAUUUGUACACCAAAUCACAAAAAAAUAACUCCAGAUUUCGAUCUAGAGACAAUUAAAAACUUGAACAAAUUUGAUAAUUAAAGAAACACGGAGAUGGCCAUAUGACCCCUUGUGCAUAGACUUUUUACAUUACAUGCUCAAUUCCUAGGAUCAAAACAAACAUAAAUAUUAAAGACUUAAGAAGCACAUACACUCAAGUUUGGCUAGUGUAUCAAUAAACAAUAUGUAUGGAACACUCGGAGAACACGUGUUGAACACUAGUUAGUACAAUAGAUGUGUUAGACAACAAGUAUUCCAAUGCAAUAAAGGUCAAGAUUGGUUACACACACAUAUUAAACUCUUGGCUUUGAAUAAGUUUUGAGUGAAGGAUGAGCUUAUUUUUAAGCAUAUAAAUACAUAAACUUAUUGACUUUGAAUUUCUAUAUAAAUAUGAUACAUACUUUUUAAAUUAUAUAUAUUAAAACUGUGUUCUAGCACUAUCCUAUAUUUUUUAGAAAAAAAUGACACGUCACCAUGUCUAUAAUUUAUUGACCCAUGUCUAGAAUUCGUAUACGUGCUUGUUUGUUGAGAACUUCACGUCUUCAUUAGAUGGGAGGAUAGCCAUAUUAUAGUGGUUGUAUGUGUAGUAUAGAGAACCAAACCUAGUACUCGAGAUUUGUACAAUAACAGAGAACUUACAUUUCCACCGGCUGACUUGACUAUCAGGGAUAGAGUUUUAGGUGGUGGUUGAGCGUGAGCUGAUAUGCAAACAUCAUACCCUUCAAAUAAAGCUCAAAAACAUGCUUUUGCCUUGAGAACUGCAGCUUUUAGGCUGGCUCGAUACUUCGAUAUGUAGUCAUCAUCAUUUAGUAUGUAAGGCAACUCGUCUGCAGAUCAAUAAGGAAUUAAUCAAUCACAAAAAUUAGGUAGGAUGAAAAACAUAAGUGGAAGAAAAUACAUUACGCUUUGAUACUAGCAAGCCAUUCGAACUUACCAACAAAUCUGCCUUCCCGGUAGCUUUCCUUUAACCAACUGGAGGAGACAAUCCAAGCUCUGAGUAAUUUGCAAUUAACUUGCAAUUUUAGUAACAAGAUAUAGUAAAAAUUAUGAGCAAGAGCACACUGACACGCUUGAAGCCACAUGGUAAUGCAUAUGCUCGAUAAUCAUUGAGAACAAUAACAGGAGAAAAUAAAGUUAAGAACAGUAGCUUGAAGAACAAAAAACAAUCUACAACAUAAAAUCUUCAAAAACACAUUGCUUAAAAUCAAGUUUACUAAUAUAAAAGGUAAGAUAUUACGUUCCACUCUCCACACUACUGAAGUUCAACAUUUCACAUGAAAGAAAUGAAAUACUACUCCCAAAUAUAACUGAAAAAAGCAUAAUUGGGUAAAGAAAAAGCAUAGAGAAAUGCAAAAGAAUCCUUGGCUUUGAUAUAUUGAAAGGUAAAAAAUAUCAACCAUAGAUGUCCGGGAGAAGAACUCCUACAAAUACACACUUAACGCAGAAUUAUCAUUCGCUAACAUGAGACCUUCUAGAGGAAUUCUGUUAGGAUACUUCCUAACAAGAACAAGAUCUUAAUUUAUUAUAAUGAACUAUAAGAAAAUACAAGAUAAAACCAAGUAUAAGGCACUUGGAACCUCCCUCUUGAGUACUCUCACCCAAGCCCUAGAUCACUUCCCAGAAUUCUCCCCUCACUUACCCUCCCUCCAUUUAUAAUAAGAUGUAACCACACUUACAUAAUAACUACUAGUAACUUUCUAAAUAUCUAAUUACCCUUAUACCCCUAACCUUAUACUAAUCUAGGUAUCUAACAUUACCCGAUGCUUCAAAACACCUUGUCCUCAAGGUGUGCUUGCAAACAUGAUCAAGGCCCCUUUCUCUUUUUUUCUCUUUUUAAUUGCAAAGAAUCCCCAGCAUUCUGCUCUUCAAUGUUGAAAAAGAAAUCUUCCCCCUCGGCUUUGAAAAACUCUCGAUUCCAAUAAGGUCCAUUGACUUCAGCCCACAAAGCAGCCCAAUGUACUUGAAUUUUCCUUUUCCAAAACACAUUGUCUUAGUUAACCCUUUGCAUAUCACCAACAAGUGUUUAAUUUUCAAACUCUUCAUCUCUAGUGGGCUAGGCCAUAAUCAAAGUGUUGCGUCAAGACCAAAAUCAUACUGCCGCGGUUUCAUUCCUAGGACCCACCUAUAUACAAGUUUUUCUUCCCUCCUAUUUUUUGGAACUCUCCACCCACUUCAUCUACAAAAUGAUGUGCCCCCAAUGUUUUAUUUAGAAUAAGUUGAAGCUCAUUUAGAGUAAGUUGAAGCCCACUUGAAAUAGUAAAACCCAAGAUUGUUCCUUUUGUCCUAAUCCUCUGUCCUACCAAUUUCUACCACGCCAUUGGCACCAUCAUGUGUGCAACAACUUCUUCCUCGUCACGUGAUUCACCCCUAUUCCAGACCACCUUCUCGAGCCUCUGUAGACCGAUAACUAUCGGCUUCUUCUUUCUCCAUUGCAACCAGCCAUUUUGUGUUUCUUUUAGCAACAAAUUUUUCUUCACUCGAGUCUUCAUUUCGAGCCUCACAGGUAAUCCUCGUCGACCUUCCUCUAUAGUUUCUUCUUGGUCACUCUUUGCCAUCCUCUUCACCUUCGUUGUAUAACCGUUGCAAUCACGUUUUCCUCGAUUCUUCUAUGGAUUCAGAUCCUUCUUGAAAUCCAUCAAUUUAUGGACCUGAAGAUUCCAAUCCGUUCUAAAUAAACACAAUCAAGAUCAGUGCCACUGAACACAGGCAUUUCAACCUUCUUGAAUUUGCUAUGAUCGUUCGAGUUUUCAUCCCUUUCAAACUUGUUUGUUUUACCUUCUACCUUGAUUUCCUUCAAUGUCUUACCUCCACCUUCGAUUAUACUCUCAAUCGUUGGUCCUUUGCUCGACGAUCCUUCCAUUCUUUCGGAGAUCGUCAAAUUAUCCUUCUGCUAUUCCUUCGAUGCAUUUAGCAACCGUUCUUGUUUUUCCAACUAGAUGACCAGUCUUUCGAUGCUUUUUGGCAAGCAUAACAAGUUUUCUUCAAUUGCCAGCAACUUGUGUAACUCCACUAGUAUCCCCGAGAUUUCCUUAUCAGAGGUCUCCAACUUCUCUUUGAUCCGUUUUUGUGCUGCUCUAUCAUUCUCCCAAGUAAAAACGCUCUGAUACCAAUUUGUUAAGAUACUGUAAAUAUACGGCAAGUGUAUCUUACUUUAUUGAAUUACCUCAAUGAAUUACAGUAUAGAGAAUAAAAAAUCACUCACAUCUACUUCCUAAAGGCACACUCCAGUGAGGAUCACAACAAAGAACAAGAAAAACUAAGAACAAACCGCAACCAUGAAAAUGACCAAAACAAACAAUAAAAAGAACUUGACUUGGACCCUCUACUUCUCCCGAGCACGAAAGACGGCAGCCUCUACUUCUUUGGAAUAUUUUGUCCCCUUUCUCCCUCCUCUUUCCUCCAUUUUAUUUUGCUUUACUAACAAACUAAUGGGAAAGAUCUCCUCCGAUAUUCUCUCCUCCUAUAAUCUCUCAUAUAUUCUUGUGUGGGUCAAUAUUACCCUUUUUAAUUCUCCUACUGUACUUAAAUAAUAUUGGAGACAUAUACUUCCUAACAAGAACAAGAUCUGAAUUUAUUAUAAUGUAACUAUAAGAAAAUACAAGAUAAAACCAAGUAUAAAGCACUUGGAACCCUCCCUCUUGAGUACUCUCACCUAAACCUUAUAUCCCUCCCUCGUACUCUCACCCAGUCCUUAUAUCACUCCCUAGAAUUCUCCCCACUUACCCUCCCUCCAUUUAUAAUAACAUGUAACCACCCUAGUUACCACACUUACAUAAUAACUACUAGUAACCACACUUACACAAUAACUACUAGUAACUUCCUAAAUAUCUAAUUACCCUUAUACCCCAACCCUAUACUAAUCUAGGUAUCUAACAAAUUCCAUAACAUAAUGUAUUAAGGGAAGAAGGAAAUCGAGGAUAAAAACACUAGCUAGCCAACAAAUAUCUUUCAUUAGUGAGCUUGAGCCAUUUUACACGUAAAAUGGGAAAAGUAAGCCUGAAACCCAAAUUAGCCUAAUGGUUGUCUUAACAACCACUACCCACCAUCACGAUAGAAACAACUAAUAAGGAAGAGCAUGAUACAAUCCAACUCAAACAUAAGAAUUGAUUUUGAUGUUUAACUAAAAGUAAAUAGGCAGUAGACUAAGAAACUAUGCCCUUUUAGAUCUAGAAGGUUCACAGCAAUUUCCAGCCUAAGCACAACUACGAGGCAAUGGAAGAAUAACGGCAAAGGCCUUGUCUGCAUGGAAUCGUUAACUUUGGUGCCAAUGAGAUGAUUAUCGGUAUUCAAAGGCCAAAAGGACACAUAAAAGAGUGUUCGUCUAAGGUUGCAAGAGAGCAAUACAAAAGUUUAGAGUUUUCCGCACUUUUCCUGUAAUGGCAUGAGCGCUUGUACUCCCAUCAGCAGUGAGAGAACCACCAAGUUCCUCAAUCAUCUAAAUCAGAAAACAACUGCACAUUAGAGCAGUCACAAUUUGGAAUAAAAAGAACUUUUUAUUGUUAGAAUCUUAGAAUAUUUAUGAAAAGUUUAUGGGAAUAUUUUUCUUAAUUCCUAAAUAUUUUCCUUUUUUAUUCCUCUGUAUAUUCUAUUUAUUCUCCCUUGUACCUAUUGUAUUUUUCAUCAGAAAAUAAUAAGAAGAAAAAUAUAGUGGUUUUUCUCCUGGUACACAGGUUUCCACGUAAAGUUGUGUGUUUGUUUGUCUCCCUUUCAAUAUGGUAUCCGAGCAGGUGGUCCAAGAAGGUCUCGUGUUCAAGCCUCGUAUUUUCGUUUCCUCCCCAUUAUUAAAAUCCAUUUCCAAUUGUUGGGCCUUUCAAAUAUUUCAAGCCCACAAGUGAGGAGAGUGUUGGUGAUAUAUAAUUGAAUUUUCUUUCUUUUUUUAAAGAAGGAUACGAGUCUCACUAUUAUUAAUAUAAAGAAAGAGACAAAGCUCAAUGUACAUGAGGAUUAUACAAAGAGCAAAAGGGGAGAGGGAAGAUUAACAGGCGCAUCCGAGCAUCACAAACUAGGUUGACACCCCCUUAGUGCCCUCAAAACAUCCAAAAAGCGACAACACAAGAUCAAAACAAAAAGCCACAAAAACAAAGACAAACAAAAUGAUAAAAAGAAUCUUUCCAAAGCAAAAUCAUAAUCAAAGGCAGCAUGCUGAGAACAAAGAAGAAUAAGCCUUGAUUGGUUGAGCAUAAACUGUUUGAAGCAGAGGGCUGAUCCGAAAGUCCUGAUCAUCAAAUGCAUGAUCCUCUCUCUCUCAUUACAUGUUUAUACCCCAACAUUACAUGUUUAUACCCCAACAUUACAUGUUUAUACCUCUCUCUCUCAUCCCUCUUAGUGGGCCCCACCUGCAUGAUCCUCUCCCAUUAUUCUCUCAUCAUUGGUUGCUAAGGAAUUUCCCUUUCUACCCUUUCUUUUAUAGGUAUAGAUAAUAGGAGGUCUUACAAAGUAAUACCUGGCCUGGCUUUCUUUAAUCUUUCUGCGAGAACCUUUCCAAAACAACUUAUAAAUUAAUGUUGAAACAACUUAUAAGCCACACUGUAAUGACCUUCCUUCUCUUGACCGAACUUCAAUAAUCGACAACUUAUAUUUAUCCACAUAAUCAGCAAAACUCUUAAUCUGCCACUAGCUUCAAACAAAGACCCAGCCAAUUCCUUUUGAACUCCAUAGUGCCUUUAUAAUACAACUGGCAAUCUCUUCUCUUUUGGUCCCCGGAAUCAAUGCUCUAUCUGGAUUAGCUUUCUUCAAGAGAUUUUUAAUAGCCAAUUGUUUCGAAUGGCCCAUGAAUCCUCUAGUGUUCCAUGAUAUAAUCUUCAUCUUUGCAACCUCUGCCUUAUAUCAAUUCAAUUUCACAUGCUGCCAAGAAAGGAACCAACUCUUGAGGGGGAAGGAUACUUGCUGACCUGCACAAAAUUUCUUUUUAUGGGGAGGAAAACAAUUUAAUAAAAUCUGGACCGAGAGAGUCACUGUCCUCUUGUUUCUCUGUCUCUAAUUGAAUUAUUUCUUCCUCAACUGGUUCAAAUUCUGUACUACUUACACUGGUGACUGAUUAAACUUCCAUGAAUUCAUCUUCUAGGCUCUCAACUUUUUUGAGACAAGAAGUAUCUUGCACAAAAAUUAAAGAAUGAACCAGAAAGUUUGGAGGAGGAUUGAGAAAAUUUUAUUACUUAAGGAGGAAGGCAGUACUGACCUUUUGCCAACUGAAUUUGGAAUUUGUAUCUUCACACAACUUUCCUCUAAUAAAUCAGAAUUAGCCAAGCUCAUCCAAAUGUUGCGAAAAGAAGUUCUCCCUUUGGUAUAGGUCUUGAGGUGCUUAGAAAAAUUUAUGGCAUGAAAUGGAAUAGCUUUCAUUGCAGAUGAUAUUUUAGUCUUGGGAGAGGCUGGUAAUUUUGGUUGAGAGCUGAAAACAGGAGAUGGCCCACAAGUGAAGUUCGUUUAUGGAGGAGAGGACUCUGAUUCUUCCUCCAAUUCGUCAGAAUACCAAAAGCCAUUGGAAUUCUGAUUAAUAAAAUUAUUGGGGCCUACCAUCUGUGUGUCAGCUUUUAAAAUGUCUGCAAAUACAUUAAGUUUGAAAAAACCUGGUUGGGGAGGGCUAGGUGAGCUGUUUUUUGAGAUAAUAAAAUGUCGGUUGGCUGCCUUUUCUUCUUUUGAGGUAUGUUUUUCUCUCUUUUCUAUUGAAGUCUUUUCCCCUUUUAAGUACGUGGAGAUCCCAGCUAUACCCAAAUUUGAAUUUUUCCUUCUGAAAAUUAUUUUUUUCGGCGAGGAUUCAAGGGCUAAAACUCUUUCCGGUCGAACAAGGUUUUCUUCUUCAUCACCCAACUUCCUAAGUCCUUCGAAAGGAUUUCUUGAGAUGGAUGGGGCAUUCUGUUUGAGAAAAUUUAGGUAUCUGGGAGACCAUCACUUUGGAGCCCUUCAUCUAAAAUCACUGAAUUUAUUCUACAUAAAUCAAUAGGAUUGGAAAAAUCACUUUGAAAUAGAUCAGAUUGGAUUAUUACAGGAGCUUAAUAAGGGUUCAAAAUCCCCAAAAUUAAGGGAAAAAAUUUCCUCAGUUCUCACUCUUUAAUUCUAUAGUUGCUGGUAAGAAUCCGCAAAGAUUUUUUCGAACUUUAAUUCUUGCUUUAGAGAACUUGAUCAGAUUGAGUGUUUCUAAGAUUAUACUCUCUAGUCCACCAAAAGUAGCUUAAGCUUAAGGCUAUAAUUGAAUUUUCUUUCAACCACCAGCUUAAACUUUUUGGUGAAUCGGUGGUUUAAUAUUUAUAUUAAUAUUUUAUAAAAAAAUGUACACAGCUAAUGCCAUAUAAAAUAAAUAAAGAAAUACUAUAAAAUCUACAUCCAUAAAAUAUGCAUGUGAACACAUAUCAGAAGAUGGAUAUUUGUAAGUUAGAAAGACCGAUAACAAAAUGUCAUAAUUAAACAACAGCAUUAAUAUUAUGGGUAGUUUCAAGCUUCAUUUGUCUAUUCUAGGUAGGGAUAUUGAAUAACUUUAAAAAAUAAUAUAAAGAUUGAAUCCCUAAACUUCAUGUGCUUGCUAGUAUACAACCUAAAAGUUCAACAGUUAAAGAAACUGAUUAAUCAUUUUUGGCAGGAUGUCAGAUUCGCCUUUCGAAAUCCUACAUAGUAGAGCCAGCCAAAUAAGCCAAGCAAGAUAUGCCUCUUAAGGAAUAUGGAGAAGUUCAAUGACUGGGUAUGUAUAUGAUAAGCCUUAACCUCAAUUUUAUUUAUCAAUGAUGGAGGGAAGGAAUCAGAAGCUUCUCUAGCUCUCCCUAUUAUUCUAAGAAACCUGAUACAAGCUAUGCCAAAACAUACCCUCCCCAAACAAUCAUAAUAGCAUUUAAUAUGAAAGCAUAAAAGACUCAUGGCUCCCUUAUACUAGGAACAUUCAGACCAACAAAUACAGCUUCCCAUCCUCCUCACCUGAAUCCUUUCUUGUGCCUACGGGUGUACACCUUCACUACCAUGGGCCUAUCAGUAUUUAGAGAUCGUAGAGGCUGUAUGAGCCAAGGAGUUGGAAGAGUAGGAUUAGGGAAGUGUGGAGUUUUCCGCUCUUUGUUUGGCCAAAAGUGUUUGUGGACUCCCGACAAGAAAAUUUCAAUUUUAUGCCUUAUUGACUUCGUAUGUCCUAGGCCCUAAGAGUUCAAAACUUUCUAGAUUUCACAACUUCUUGGACCACUCCUUCUGUCAAACACCCCUUUAAAGAAUACUAAGCCAAGGAUAUAAAACUUCAAUACCAUCAAUAGAAAAUCUCAUAAAAGAAACAUGAUUGAUGAAUAUUUUAGAAGACUAUAAAUUGGUACCGUACUUUCAUGAGCUGAGUUUUCUUUGUUUCGUUUGCAAUGUUCAUCAACAUAAUUUUAAAUGAUUUUCCUAAUGUGUUCUCUUCAGAAUUGAGGUCCUCUGAUGCCACAUUUACACUUCCAAAUUCUUGAUAGAAAUUUUGUGUACACUGAUUGGUUGGAUUUUUAGGAUAAAUACUUGAUAAAAUCUCAUGCUUUGAAUUGGCUAAAGAGCAUCCUUGAGAGCAGGUAUCGUAUACAUCACUUUUAGCUGUCAUACUAGCUGUCAUGUUGUUCUCUAUUUCUGCAAAAGAAACCGGACCGUUGCUGUCAUGCACUGCAUCCUGGUUUAAAUAAACCGUUCUGAGAUAAUUAAGCAACAUAUGGAGAAUAAUUUAAAUUGUACUAUCUUGUGGAACAAAACCUGAAUUACACAUACCCUGAAUUUCAUUUUCUUCUCCAAGGGGCACUAAAGUUACAAACUCGUCAUGUUGAAAAUUCAAAUUUUGAAUGGUAUGUUGAUCAGUUGCAUUUGAAACGUUGCAACCUCGAUUGGCAACACUAAUUCUUGCAGCAUACAGGGCUUCAGGCUUUAGUAGAGAAAGUAACUUUGGAAAGUCAGUCGAACACAUUGAAAUUCCCUGAAUGUGCGAAAUCCAUGGAUUUUAUUACACAUCCCAAAGGUGAACGACUUUGAGGCAUCUUGGUUAUAAUCAAUGUUGGAUCGGUAUGGCAACCCUAGAGGGGGGUGAAUAGGGUUUAAAUAAACUUUUUGACAAAUAAAAAGUAAAAAUCAAACUAAUUAGAUAUUUUUUAAUAUUUAAAUAAAGAACUUUGUAAACUUUGUUAAAUAACAAGAUUGAUAAAAAGAUAUGAAUGGAAAUAUGCAAUCAAACUCAACCAAUAAGAAUAUGUAACUAAAAUUAAAUUAAAAAAUAAUUAGAAAAGAGUUAGAGAAGAAGACACCGUAAUUUUAUAGUGGUUCGGUUAAACUCAACCUACAUCCACUUUCCCAAGCACCUCUUGGGAUUUUGAUUGAAAAUCUUCUUUAGACUCUUUCCACGGAUUUGAGCCGAACCGAUUCUUGCUCCUUUUUCGGGUUCAAGAGCAAACCCGAUCCUUUCCACGGGUUAGGAUCCAACCGUUACAAUAUGUUGAAGUUUUUAAAUCACACAAAAGAAAACUCUCUAAAAGAGUGAGUAUACAAUUUGAAGCUCACAAAUUUAAUCCUCACAAUACAAUAAGAAGCUCUCAAGAAUAAGAUGAAAAGAAUAAAAAUUGGAAGCUUUAAAGAGAAUAACAAUGUUGGCUUUUUGCUUGAGGAUUGUAAAGAUUUUAAUGAUCUUGUGUAAAUGUGAAGUAUUUAAAAAGAGAGGAAAGAUAAAUUCAAAAUCAUUUGGGUCAUUAGAUAUAAGUAAAAGAAAAAUGAAUGGUUGAGAUUUAAACUUAAUUAGCCGUUAGACACAAUACAAAUAAUAAUAUAAUAAUAUGUCUUUUCAAAAUACUUUGUUUAAAAAGAAAUCAAUAAAGCAACUUCACCCUCUUUUAAAAAAACUAGGCGUUAGACACAAGAAAAAAUAAUAAUAUUAAAAUCAUUUUCCUUUUAAAUUCAUUUUCUUUAUAAAAGCCAAUAAAACAUAACAAAAAGCCACAUUUGUUACUCCUUCAUUGCUCCAAGUGGCUUUCUCUAAUUGGUUCAAAUUGAAUGCUUGGUCGCCACGUCACCAUCUCGAGUAUUUUUUCGUUAAGCUUAUUUUAGCAAUAUUUUCUUCAUUUGAACUUCGAUUUGGGUGAUUCAAGAGGCGUUAGAAUCAUUUUUCCAAGCUCUACGAUAUGGUCUAUUCAAAUUAAUAAAAUUGUCAAUAAAAAAAUCAGAUUUGUUAUCAUCAAAACAUAAAUUAAUUGAAUAAUUAAAAUAAAUUAAUUUGAGAUUAAGGGCCAAAAAGCCAACAAUCUCCCCCUUUUUGAUGAUGACAAAUCAUUGAAGAAAAAUAACUUGAUGAUGACACAUGAUUAGACAUGUUAAACUUAGGCACAAUGUAGUUUUUAGAACUUGAUGGAGUAGAUGAUUCAUCAAUAUAGCCUAAACCUCUCUUAUCACCAUAAGAUUUUCCUACUUCAAUAAUUUUGUCCAAUCUUUGAGCACCUAUUGUCAACUUUUUAAUAGUUUCUUUAGCUUUAUCAAGUUCUUGUAAAACACUUAGUUCAUUUUCUUUAAGCACUUUAAUCAAGUUAUCUUUUUCACAACUAUCAUGCUCAAGAAAUCUAACUUUAUCAAGCAAAGCAUCUUUCUCAAUACAAACAUGCUUAUCACUAGAGACAUUCAAUUCUUCAAUUUGCUCAAAAUUUUCAUUCUCUUUAAAGCAAGCAAUUGUAUCAAGUAAAGACUUAUUUUCACUAAUUAAAAUAUUGUAUUUCUUCUUAAGCACAACAUACUUAGAACUAAGUUUUUCUAGGUCAUUUUGCAUGCUUUCAAAAUUUUCAAAUAAUUCAUCAAUAGAAAGAGGUUCUAGAGUUACCUUAUCAUCAUGUUCAUCAUCUUUGUCACUAUGAGCCAUGAGACCAAGAUUUGCCAUUUCUUCAACUUCACUUUCACUUUCACUACUAUCAUCCCAUGUAGCCUUCAUUGCCUUCUUCUUGGAUUUCUUAGAUGAUUUGAGGAGAGGACAAUCCGUUCUUAUAUGACCCGAUCUUUUGCAUUCAUAACAAAUCACCUCAUCCUUUUUGCUUUUCUCACCUUUUGACUCUUUUUGGGUUGAUAGGUGUUUCUUGAAAUAUUUCUUUCUUUUUAUGAAUUUUUGUACUUACGUGAGAAAUAAGCAAUGUCAUCUUCAUCAAGGCCAUCCUCAUCUUUGGGAUCAACUUCCAAGGAGAUAGUCUUUAAUGCAAUGCUCUUCUUCUUUUUGGACUCAUCCUCCAAGUGCUCCUUCAUGAUGAUCUCAUGAGUCAUGAGUGAGCCAAUAAGCUCCUCUAGUGGAAGUUUUGUGAGAUCCUUUGCUUCUUGAAUCGCCGUUACCUUAGCUUCCCAAGUCUUAGGUAGAGACCUUAGAAUUUUUCUAACAUUUUCGGAAGUUGUAUAAACUUUACCAAGACCCUUCAAAGCAUUUAUGAUGUUAGUAAAUCUAGUAAACAUAUCGGUGAUAGUCUCAUUAGCAUCCAUCUUAAACAAUUCAUAAUUAUGAACAAACAUGCUAAUUUUAGACUCUUUAACUUGAUUUGUUCCUUCAUGAGUAAUUUCAAGAGUAUUCCAAAUUUCUUGAGCGGAAGAACACAUGGAUAUUCUAUUAAACUCAUCUUUACUCAAGGCACAAUACAAACAAUUAAUAGCCUUAGCAUUAAAUGAACAUUUUUUCAUUUCAUUUUCAUCAUACUCUUCUUCUAAUUUAGGCGUAUCAACAUUAUCAACAUUUUUCAUGGGUACAUAAGGACCUUUAGCAACAAUUAACCACAAAUUAUAGUCAAUAGAUUGCAAAUAAAUUUUCGUUCUAGCUUUCCAAUAUGCAUAGUUUGAACCAUCAAAAUAAGGAGGUCUAGAAGUAGAUUGACCUUCAACAAUACCAUUUGCCAAUAGGUUUGCCAUAAUGCUCUAACAAUAAAGUUUAUCAAGAAAUUAAAAUUUCAAGAUGAGCAACCUUGCUCUGAUACCAAUUGUUGGAUCGGUAUGGCAACCCUAGAGGGGGUGAAUAGGGUUUAAAUAAACUUUUUGACAAAUAAAAAGUAAAAUCAACUAAUUAGAUAUUUUUUAAUAUUUAAAUAAAGAACUUUGUAAACUUUGUUAAAUAACAAGAUUGAUAAAAAGAUAUGAAUGGAAAUAUGCAAUCAAACUCAACCAAUAAGAAUAUGUAACUAAAAUUAAAUUAAAAAAUAAUUAGAAAAGAGUUAGAGAAGAAGACACCGUAAUUUUAUAGUGGUUCGGUUAAACUCAACCUACAUCCACUUUCCCAAGCACCUCUUGGGAUUUUGAUUGAAAAUCUUCUUUAGACUCUUUCCACGGAUUUGAGUCCGAACCGAUUCUUGCUCCUUUUUCGGGUUCAAGAGCAAACCCGAUCCUUUCCACGGGUUAGGAUCCAACCGUUACAAUAUGUUGAAGUUUUUAAAUCACACAAAAGAAAACUCUCUAAAAGAGUGAGUAUACAAUUUGAAGCUCACAAAUUUAAUCCUCACAAUACAAUAAGAAGCUCUCAAGAAUAAGAUGAAAAGAAUAAAAAUUGGAAGCUUUAGAGAGAAUAACAAUGUUGGCUUUUUGCUUGAGGAUUGUAAAGAUUUUAAUGAUCUUGUGUAAAUGUGAAGUAUUUAAAAAGAGAGGAAAGAUAAAUUCAAAAUCAUUUGGGUCAUUAGAUAUAAGUAAAAGAAAAAUGAAUGGUUGAGAUUUAAACUUAAUUAGCCGUUAGACACAAUACAAAUAAUAAUAUAAUAAUAUGUCUUUUCAAAAUACUUUGUUUAAAAAGAAAUCAAUAAAGCAACUUCACCCUCUUUUAAAAAAACUAGGCGUUAGACACAAGAAAAAAUAAUAAUAUUAAAAUCAUUUUCCUUUUAAAUUCAUUUUCUUUAUAAAAGCCAAUAAAACAUAACAAAAAGCCACAUUUGUUACUCCUUCAUUGCUCCAAGUGGCUUUCUCUAAUUGGUUCAAAUUGAAUGCUUGGUCGCCACGUCACCAUCUCGGGUAUUUUUUCGUUAAGCUUACUUUUAGCAAUAUUUUCUUCAUUUGAACUUCGAUUUGGGUGAUUCAAGAGGCGUUAGAAUCAUUUUUCCAAGCUCUACGAUAUGGUCUAUUCAAAUUAAUAAAAUUGUCAAUAAAAAAAAUCAGAUUUGUUAUCAUCAAAACAUAAAUUAAUUGAAUAAUUAAAAUAAAUUAAUUUUGAUAUUAAGGGCCAAAAAGCCAACAAUCAAUUGGUUCUCGAAGUACGCCACCUUCAUCCCCACUACAAAACUAUGUUCUGUCGAGCUGAUAGCACACUUGUUCUUUAAGAACGUCUUGAAGUUAUGGGGAGUUCCAUCAAGCAUUGUGAGUGACAGGGAUGGUAGAUUCAUUGGUACUCUCUGGACCGAACUAUUCGCCUUCUUGGGGACACGCCUAAAUAUAUCCUUAAGCUGCCAUCCUCAGACGAAUGGCCAAACUGAAGGAUUCAAUUGUAUGCUUAAGGAAUAUCUACGACAUUUUGUUGAUUCUGGACAAAAGAAUUGGGCCUAGUUGAUGGAUGUGGCUCAAUUUUGUUUUAAUGCACAAACUAGUCUAUCCACAAGAACGAGGCCUUUCGAAAUCUUGAGUGGAAGACAACCUAUACUGCCUCAUAUUGUUGAUCAUCCUUAUGCAGGAAAAAAUCCUCAAGCUCAUAACUUUACGAAAAAGUGGGAGAAGACUACGAACAUCGCUCGAGCAUACUAAGAGAAAGUCUCGAAGCGUAUGAUAAGAAGCAUCAUCCUCUCAAGUUUUGAGCGGAAGACCAACUCUUCAUAGAGUUUAAAGCAAAGCAAAUUUGAUUUAGAGGACAUCAACAUCAGCAUCUCACCAGAAAAUACGAAGGGCCUGUUGAAGUUCUGAAGAAAAUUGGAAAUGCAUCCUAUAGGGUAUCGUUGCCUGCAUGGAUAAAAAAUCAUCUAGUAGCUCAUGUGAGCAACUUGAAACCUUACCAUCAAGAUCCAGAUGACCAGUAGUGCAACAAUGGUGUAUGGUCAUCUAGUGACCUAAAGCAGAAAGACGAUAAAGAAAUGGAAGAAAUCCUUCCUAAGAGAGUGAGGAAGGGUAUACCCAUGAAGAGGAUACAUGAAUUCCUACUGAAGUGAAAGAACCUCCAUGUGGAAGAAACACGUUAGGAAUGUGCUGAAGACCUUGGAGCGUGAAAGAAGAAGAUCGAGGAAUUCUAGCUUCGCCAGUCGACAGGGAUGUCAAUUGUUUAAGUGGGGGAGAAUGUAACAAGCAUGCUUGUCCAGGGCGCUGUUUGCUUAUGGUCGCAUGCCCAAACACCCCCAAUUUACAUUGUUUUUAUGUUUUGUAUUUAGUUUUACUUUUUGCUUUCCUUUUUAUGUCAUAAACCUUGGGUGUGACUUGGCUUUUUCUUAUGCAAGCCUACCAGAACUAAAAAAGUCUAAAAUGUAUUAUAGAUGGGACAUAGUAGUUGAAUCCCUGUCCAAGCCUUGUUGCACUCUUCGCAAUCAAAGUUUUUCUUUGCAAUUGACAGUCUUCAAUGCUUGCUUUAACGAUAUUUUCAUUGAAUUUCUUUCUCCUCACGUUUUAUAAAACAUUUUCUCAAGAACGUGAAGAGAGGCUACAUCGUAUCAUGUGUUUGUCCGUGGUUUUUGGAUUUUGAUCAGCUAACUUGUUGUCUACGUAAAACAAGUGCAACAUAAUCGCUCCUCUCGUGUUUGAAAGCUCGCGAUUGUGACACAAGAAAUGCACUAGCCAAGAAUGCACACGAGGAGGGCUACACGAAAUGCCAAGCACGCAACCAAGUGAGGUUCACAAUGUGCUUGUGUGUAAGGUUAGCACGCGGGCAUGCCCAACGCGCGUGAAAAGCCUCUUGUGAGAUUCACACACAGUAGCCAGCGCCGCCCCAACCAAGGCCCUGCCGCCCACCCAUUCGUGCCAGGCAGUGUCAUAUUGCGUGUUGAGCUAUUUUUGGUAAUUUUUUAAGUUUUUUAAGUAUACUUUUGAUAUUUUCUUGGCAAAAGAUAAUUAAUUGUACUAUUUUACCAUUAUUUCAGGACAUGAGAAGAUCAUACAAAUUUAUAAACCAAGGAUUUGAGCUUGUAUCUGUGAGUGGAAAAUGUUUUAUUUAAAGUGAUUUCAAGCAUGUUCUUAAGUCAUGAUUUAUGACGGAUUUAUGAUAAAAUGUUUAAGUUAUGUUAUGAACAGUCUUUCAAGCGUGUUAUUGUUUAAAGGUAUUUAUUCAAGCAUAUUGUUUACUCUUCAAAAUGCAUAAUAUUCAAAAUGUUUUCCCACUUUCUAGGUAGAGAUCGUGUCCUCUAAGCCUAACUUGCUGCUACCUGUCUACUGAAGGAUUUCAUUUUGUUAUCGUAUGUGUCCUGUUAUUUUGUACUAAUGAUAAAUUAGUCUUUUGUGCUAUCAGACUUAGGCUUUUGGGAAGGUUUUAUAAGGUUUUGUUCUAGAUAAAUAAGAUUACGUUUUGUCUAUGUAAAACUUGUCUAAGGUUGUUAAAUGAAAAAGGUUUAGCCCAAUUGGUUUUAGUAAAAUUUAUGUGUUAUGUUUCCUCUGUUGUUUAGAGUUUAAAGGUUCAGGCUAAGGGUCAGAUGGUGUCAUCCUUGACAUGGGUGCUAUCGAUUGGCUUCACGCCAUAUCUCGAGCCACGCAAGUAGGUGCUCGUGGUGGGGUGUGAUAGCCUAAGUUGGCUUAUUAACAAUUAAAAUGUAAACAUGUCCAUAACAAAAUAGUCGGGCAAGGCCCAUGUGGACCGACUGGUAAAGGUUGAAGAGCAAAUGCUCUACCUAAUGAAAGUUCCUAACUCAAUUCGCUUCUUGGAAACCUGCCUUGAAGAAAUUAAACCCCAAAUUAAAUCCACCAGCUCUAAUACCAUAUUAAACCCCAAAUUCACCUAAAAGCUUAAGCUAGUGGUUGAAGGUAAAUUUAAUUAUAUAUAUACCAAAGUAUAAGGUUUCAUCACAAUACCAAUUGGCAAUGAGAGGAGUAGCUCAUCUAUUUUAUAAGGAGUCUAAGUUUCCUUGGUUUUUCAAUUGUGGGACUCCACAUAUCUCAACAUGCCCCUUCAAGAUGGUGCCUCUUUGGUUUCACCUAUCUUGAACCAAAUAUCCGUUUAGGCUUAAUGAGCUCUAAUACCAUAUUGAAAGCAAUGUAUACGAAACCAAAGCUUACGUGAAAACGCAAGAAUCAAAAGAAAAGCAUUGUGUUUGUAGUUUUAUUAUUUUUAUGAUAUAUUACAGAGGUACAAUUGGUGGUUUAAUAUAUAUCACUAACACUAUUGCUGCAAUGAUCGAUCAUCUCGAUGGAUUACCCAUUUAAGAGUUGUUGACAAGAGUUGACACUCUAGAAUCAAAAGUUGUAAGAACUAGAUGUUGUAAUUUAUGUCCUAAAACUCGUUGUAAUCAUAAUCUAUUCAAUAAAGUCGUUAUUGAUACUAUAAUCUUAAAGCCAAUAAACUAAGGACCCGAGGUUAUUAUUAAGUAAACUUGAACUUUAUGUAGAGACAUAAAAGUUGUGAUCAAGUUUAAGUAUAGAGCCUAAAUAGUAUAGAUUGUACGAAUAAAGUUAGGCACCUUAUUCCAGGACACAAUGAAUGCAGUUUGCUUUGUAUUUAGUAUAAACGAUGUGAUCCUAAAUCCUAGAGACAUGAAAGUGUGGACAUCCUAUGUAAAGAGUUUACAAAAGACUAGAACCAUGAAAUAGUCACUUUUAAGUUAUAACACCGUUAACUUUGAAAAACUUACUAUUUCAUUGAUAGAUAUCAAAUAUAACUUAAUCUUAAUACUGAGCUAACUAUAAGCUUCUGUUCUCACCAGCAUGCUUGUUUAAGGCGUUGUUUAUCUAUGGCCACAUGCCCAAAUACCCCCAAAUCACCUUUUCUUUAUGUCUUGUAUUUAGUUUAGUCUAUUGCUUUCCUUUUUACGUCAUAGACCUAGGGUGUGAGGUGUCACACAUUUUCAUUUGCAAACCUGUCAAAGCUCAAAAAGUCUAAACUGUACUAUAGGAGAGACCCAAUAGUUGAAUCCCCAACCAUAUCUUAUCGUAUUCUUUAUAAUCAAAUUUUUAUUUGCAAUUGAAAGUCUUCAACGCUUUCUUUAAUGAUGUUUUUAAUGAUAUUCUCUCUCACAUGUUUUAAAACAAUUUUUUCAUGAACGGGAAGGGAGGUUAUAUCAUAUCGUGAGUUUGUUCGUGAUUUUCGGAUUUUACAUGACUGACUUAUUGACUGAGCAAAACAAGUGUUCUACAAUUGUCCGUUCCAUGUUUGAAAGAUUGCGAUUGUGGCACGUAGAGUGUCACAAGUAUGCUUGUCCAAGGCAUUAUUUGCCUAUGGCCGCGUGCUCGAAUAUCCUCAAACCACUUUAUCUUUAUGCUUUGUACUUAGUUUAGUCAACUGCUUUCCUUUUGUUGUCACCGACCUAAGGUGCGUCGUUUCGCAAUUUUCAUAUGCAAGGUUGUCAAUGCUAAAAAAGUUUAAGAUGUAUUGUAGGGGAGGCAUGGUAGUUGAAUCCCCAACUAAGCCCUAUUGUGAUUUUUGCAAAUCUAAGCUUUCUUUGCAAUUGACAAUAUUCAAUUUUUUCUUCAAGGAUGUUAUCGAUGUUUUUCUUUAUCUCUCACGUUUUAUAAAACCAAUUUCUCUCAAAAGAUGAAGCGAGGCUACAUCGUACCACGAAUUUGUCCGCAACUUUCAAAUUUCACAAGGUUGCCUUGUUCAUCAAUUUAGAACAAGUGUUGCACAACCGCCUGUCCCGUAUUUGAAAAGUUGCAUUUUGUGACAAGUGGUAUUAAAGCUUUGUUAUCUCCUUGGCUAAGCGAGAUGCAAUUAUGUCGACAAUGAAACAACUAUCAAAGUUGCAAUCUGAGCGACUGACUGAGAUUGAAGAGGAAUUCUUGGAUAUGAAAGAAUUGCCAAACGAAGUAAGAUUUCUCCAGACCCAACUUGAGAUGUUUAAAGAAAAAGUAAGAGAAAUAGACGCAUUGAAUGCCUAAAUAGACAAACUACCCAUAAAUGAAUUGGCGCUGAGGGUUGAUUCGUUAGAACAUAAAACCACCAAAGUAGGUAGUUUUGAACGUGGAAGUAGCUCUUCAAGUUCUAUCGCACAAAUGGAAGAGCGUGUCGAAGAGUUUGACUUUUGACAAGCUCCAACAUAAUCAGUUAUAUUUCAAGAAAGAGAAAAGUGUUUUUGCUAAAUAGCGUAUCAAUUUUCUGGGUCACAUCAUCGAAUGUAGAAAGAUUUGAAUGGACGAACAUAAGUUGUGAGCUUUUAAGGAGUGGAGAGCCCCCACUUCCGUGAAAGAGUUACGUUUCAUCCUUCAAUAUAUUCUAAAAUAGGGUUCACCUACUAUCCUCUAGACUCAGUACCGAGAGAAAGAAAUAGAUGGAAAAAGAAAUGGGCUUGGUAAUUUUUUUUUCUAUGUAAAUAAGAAAAAGAAAUCCAAUUUGGUACAAGAGCCCAAAUUCAAUAGCCAACCCAUCAAAUGAGGUCAAUGGCCCUAUUUAUAAGGAUUUUCCAUGCAAAAUUGCAUGUCCAUGGAAUACUAAAGCCCAACAACUCAAAGCUCUAUUUCUAAUAUGAAAUUUGAUGGCUAUAACACAUAUACUUGUCAGUUUCUCUCCAUUAUCCCAAUUCGAACAAUUCGACUUAUUCCAUCACACUGUUUUAAGUUUAUUCCAUAUGAGCUAGCAAGGGAACCUAAUGGACCUAUAUAUCAUGAACUCCAAUGAUUCAAGAUUAAUUGACUAAAUUCUUAUAGACUGAGUUAAUCAACAUUCGUUAACUAACGGGUCAUUCAUGUAUGUACUGGAACGAUUCAGAAUCACCUCGUUUGUACUAACUACAAAGCGGGCGGCAUCCACAGUUUCUCUGAAAAAAUAUGGGUUACUACAACGUCACAACGAUGUACAAUUUUCCUGAUAAGAUGGUACUUACGUUCGAUAUGUUUUCCCCGUUUACGGCUUUUAGGUUCUCUUGAAUUUGCAACUGCACCACUGUUGUGACAGUAUAAAUUGAUUGAUAGAUGCAUAUUUGGAACGACUUCCAGAUCUGUCAAGAAUUUUCUUAGCCAUAAUGCUUCUGUUGUUGCUUCAAAAGUUGCUACGUAUUCUACCUCCAUUGUGGAAUCAAUUAUACAAGUUUGUUUUAUGCUUCUCCAAACUACUACCCUUCUAUUUAGAGUGAAUACUAAUCCUGAUAUAGACUUUCUAGCAUCUUUAUCAGUUUGAAAAUCAUAAUGAGUGUAUCCAGUAAGGAUUAAAUCUUUUGUACCAUACACGAGAAUGUAGUGUUUUGUUCUUCAAAGAUAUUUUAGAACAUUCUUAACGGUUGUCCAGUGAUCACGUCCAAGAUUGGACUGAUACCUACUGACCAUCCCUACUAAGUAGCAAAUGUCAGAUCUAGUACACAACAUUGCAUAUAUCAAACUUCCAACAGCGGAAGCAUAGGAAAUUUUUCUCAUAUCCUCAAUUUCUUGAGGUGUCUUAGGACAUUGUUCCUUUGACAAAUGAAUUCCAUAGAUGUAUAAUAGCAUACCCUUUUUGGAAUUCUACAUUUUAUAUCUAGACAACAUUUUGUCUAUAUAAGAUGCUUGAGACAUGGCUAGUGUUUUGUUUUUGCAGUUCUGUACAAUUUGGAUCUUAAGAACGUAUUGUGCAUUUCCCAGAACUUUCAUUUGAAAUUGCAUAGCUAGCCAUUUCUUGAUAUUAGUAUGAAAUCCUAUGUCCUUUUCCAAUAAGUAGAAUAUCAUCUACAUACAAGACUAAGAAUACUACAAUGGAAUUGACGACCUUUUUUGUAAACAUAAGGUUCGUCAACCUUUUGUAUCAAAGCCAUAAGAUUUGAUCAUAGUAUCAAAUCUUAUAUUCCAGGAUCUAGAUGUUUGUUUUAAUCCAUAAAUGGAUUUUUGAAUCUUACAAACCUUUUGUUCUUGAUCUUGAUCUAUAAACCCCUCUAAUUGAGUAAUAUAGAUACUCUCUUCAAGAUUUUCAUUCAAAAAAAUUGUCUUGACAUCCAUCUGCCAAAUUUCAUAAUCAUAAAACAUGGCGAUGCAUAAGACUAUUCUAAUUGACUUUAGCAUGGCAACGAUAGAGAAAGUUUCUUCAUAGUCUAUGUUAGAAAGAGACAUGCGCAGUGGAAAAAUGGAAUACAAAAUUACCCUAAUUGCACCUAUUUAACUUGCAACCCUAAAUUAAAAGAAUUAGGGUUUAGGAAAUAUUAUACCUUUGUAUCUAUUCGAAUAUGAACGUCUAUACCUCUCACAAAAUUCCAAAAGUUUUUGAAACCAAAAUGUAACACCUUAAACUUACACUACUACAAAAACAGGCUUUCUUGACGUUUGUAGUUUUAAUUACUUGACGUUUUUUGAAAAAAACGUCAAGAAAGCGGUGAUUUCAAAGAAAAAACGUCAAGAAUUUCUAUGAAAAGGCGGAGAUAUGCCAAUCUUCAACUUUCUUGACGUUUUUUAAACGUCAAGUAAUAUUUAUUUAUCCUUGACGUUUUAAAAACGUCAAGUAAUAUCUAUUAAAUUCUUGAAGUUUUAAAAACGUCAAGUAUUUUUAUAAAUUCGACAUUCUUGACAUUUUCUAAACAUCAAGAGAGCGGUUGUUCUUGACGUUUUAAAAACGUCAAGUUCGAUUAAAUAAAAAAAAAAAGGAAACACGCGUUAAUAAUUAGGUGAGAAUUAAUCCUUUUGCCCUAGAAAUUAAAACGCAUCUUCUUCUUCUUCACGCCUAAGCAUUUUCGAAAUCUCCACCUUCACAUUGUCGUCGCGCUUGAGUUUUUGAAAUCUCCAACUGAAAUCACCGUUCUUGAAGUUGGGGAAGCCCUAUCCCACACCCAUUCUUGACGUGAUUCGAAAUUGGUCUUCACACUCGUUCGAAAUCACCAUUCGAAAUCGCCACCGAAGAUUAAUUCCAUCUCUUCACACUCAAUCUCCGUCUGCCAUCCACCGUGCUUCAAGUCGGGCUCCUUCGAAAAUGUCAUCCAUCGUCGCUUCUCUAUACGAAAACUCCAUCCUUCUUUAUUUAGAGAUUAGAAAUUAAUUCUCAUUCACGUAUGAAGAUAUCUUGAUUUGUGAUUUGAACCUUUUGUAUUUGUAUAGAAGCGACGUAUUGCUCAUGGUGCUUUGGGUUUUUUGGGUUAGAAAUUUGAACCUCACGCAUGAAGAGGUUAGAAAUUAAUUCCUCUUCCCUCUUCACGUAUAAAGUUGGGGAAAGUCCAUAUAUCACAUGGUGCUUUGGGUUCUCCUUACAAAUCCAAUGGAGUUGAUGAUUGAUAUGAGAAGAUACAGAUUGAUAGAAGGAGAUAUGGCUUAUACGGGACCGUAUUUUCCCUACUGUCACACAGUAGGUGAGUAAUGUAACUAUUUUCCAUUAACUUUCUCUACCUUCCUAUUUCUCUUGGCUUAUACGGUUGUAUUAUGGUUGAGAAAUGGUCGUCCAUCUUACUGCUUGAUGUUGUUUGAAAACAAAAGACUAACCAUUUUAAACCAAAAUUUGUCCCGAAUAUGCACAGAUGACCGUGAGGGAUACUCUAAACUCUGCACUUGAUGAAGAAAUGUCUGUUGAUCAAAAAAAAAAAAAAUUUAUGAGAGAAGAGGUGAGGGAGAAUGAACACAAACCCAUUUAUGUUUGUAUAUUAUAUGAUUUGUCUACACUUAUGAUUAAUUUCAAACAUUUUGAUGCAGGUCGGAGAAUAUCAGGAGACUUAUAAGGUUAGGUAGGUGGAAGAGAUGAUCUCUACUUCACAUGAUAUUUGAAUUUCUUAUUCAUUUAAUUGUACAUUUUAACAAUUUUUGGCUUUUUUAUUCCCUUCAAUUAGAUAACCAAAAGGAUUUUGGAGAAAUAUGGUUCUGAGAGGGUUCUUGAUACCCCAAUCACAGAGGUUGUUUCUUAACCCAGAAACAUUGUUUUCCGUCAAUUUUAUUGAACUACAUUGUUAUUUCAUCAUUGCAGAAGCUGGUAUUUGUAUCCAAAAUUUCUCCAUUCUAUUGGAAUUUUUUUAUAUUUUUGCAAUUUAUUAUUCAAUCAAUCACUUCCCUCUUUGUUCAUGCUAAUAAAAAUCUAGCUACUUUUGAAAUUACAGGAGGUAAAAUGCAGAACAUUUGUUAACCAAGUCACUUAUUUCGGACUAAAAAAAAGGUAACAACCAAUUUGUUAACCAUGUUUGCACUUUCAAUAUUGUUUAAUUUUUUUGUGUUACACUUUCAUAUUAACUAUAGUUGCAAAAAUAGGUAACAAGAAAUUUAUUUUUUUAGAACUUAAAACAACAAUGGUUGGAUAUCCAGUUGUGAUUUAUGCAUAUUUUUUGUAUUGGCUUUUUGUUUGAUUGUGUUGAAAGAAAGUUAUAGUUCAAAGUGUUAGAGGCUUGGCCACCUUAGAUUUGCAAUUCCAUUAUGUCUUACUCUUUCGUGCAUUAUAAUUAUAAGUGUGUAGAAAAACAUGUGGUGUUUGUUUAAUUAUACAAUGUACUUACUUUCCCCUCAUGUGUGCAUUAUAAGUAUUUUCUGGCUUACUAAUAACUUCAUUGAAAUUCUAGUUAAUUUAUUUAUGAUCUAUCGCUAAACAAUUACACAAGCUGAAGUGAAUGAAUAAAUGUGCAAACACAAAAUCUACUAUGAUGUUGAGUUGAAUAGUGAUGGUUGGAUUUCUAUUAUGCUAUGUUAUAUUAAUUAUCAUCAAAUUUUUUUCAGGCUGCGAGAACCGGUGACUUAGAGCUUUUUCGUCGCGACUUGGAGCUUUCUCAAACUGUUAUUGGGAAGUUUUUGGAUAGUUUUUAGAUAAGUUAGUUAAUUUAGGAAGUUGAGUUGAACUAGGAUGUUGAGUUGAACUUAUGACAAUCUAAUGAGAUUGUUUAUAUUAUUUUUGCAACUGAUAUGAAAUAUUCAUAUAUGUAUUGUUUUGGAAAUGAUUAUAUAUAAAUAUGGUGAAGCAUUUUAUUUAUAUAUGAUUAUUUUUCUAACGCUUUGCACUAUACUAAAAAGCCUUGAUCUUCUUCCCCCCAAUGUUUUCAUAAACUUCUUAAGACAGACCCUGACCUUGGUUAGGCUCGGAUCUCCUUGGAUUAUCACCUUCUUCCCCUGAUAUGUAAAUGUUAACAUCAGAUUCUUCCAAUCCACUCCAGUCGUUCCCAAGGAAUACAAUCACUGCAUUCCAAGUAUGGCAACUACCCCUCCGAACUUCAAGGGUAAAAACUCAUUCACUACCUUCUAGUCUCCCAGCAUUAACUCAACAUCUUCACAAAUUACCUUCCCUUUGACUACAGUGCCCGAGCCCAAAAUGACUCCAUAAUUCGACGUUUCUUUUGUACUCAGUUGCAACUCUUUCACUAUUUUUUUCUGAAAUGAAAUUGCGUGUGACUCCACAAUCAAUUAGUACUAUAGCCACCUUCCCUUGUAUCAUCUCUUUUACCUUCAUUUUCCCUAGGUUGGAUAAUCCCACCACAUAAUUAAUGGAUAAUUCCACCACCACCUGACUCUUCUCUACGAUCUCAGGGGCAUUCAAUUCUUUCUGAUCAAUUCCUCCUUCAAUAAUUUCAUACUCCUCGCCUUCUUCCUUCACAACAAUCAUUCGCAAUUCCCUUUGCUCUUUCAUCUUGCAUUUGUGGUCAUGAGAAUAUUUCUCAUUACAGUGAAAGCACAAUCCCUUCUUUCUAGAUUGAAAUUCAGCAUCAAAUAAGCGCUUCGUCUGUCCCUCUUUCCGUACUUCCUCUUUUGUUGUUCCUCGUAGAGUAAUAGUUCUCAUCGGCCAAUUCAUUCCUCCUUUACUUUCUUCUGUAUUCGCAAUGGUAUUAGCCUUGGUGCUAUUGUGGGAGUUUAUCACCUUUUCUCCAGAAUAUCCAGAAAGAUUUGCUUCCUGACAUCUUCCUUGUUCUCUACCUUUUGCGCGAUUAGUAUCAUUUGUGCUAAUCCCUUCGACUCACAUAAAUCCAUCUCCGCCUAGAUCCACAGUUUCAAUCCUGACAUAAAUGUCUCUUUUACCACCUUCUCUAAUAGGUCCGACAAAGGAGCUACCCACUUAUCGAAUAAAUUUUGAUAUUCCUCUAUCGUUGUCUUUUGUUGAAUUUGCAAGAACCUUACAUACAACGAUUCCUCCCUCACGGAUCGAAAUCGCACCAAUAAUCUUUCCUUCAUAUUCACCCAAUCUACAAAGUUCUCUCGUUCUUCUUCAGAACGGUAAAAGUUCAAUGCUAGUCCCUCAAAACUAAUAGUGGAUACAGUCAUUUUCUCAAAUUCAGUAAGUUUAUGAAUGUGCAAAUACCUCUCUACGCGAAACAGCCAAGAAUCGGGAUCAUCUCCAUUGAAUAUCGACAUCUCCACCUUCUUAAACUUAUUGCAGUCAUUAUUACUUUCAUCAUCUAUUUUCUUUUCUUCCUUCCUUGUUUCGUUCUCCCAUCUUGGUCACCCUUCGCCUUCGUCCACAUUCUUCGUCGAUGAAUUGUGCAUUGUUGUCGAUUCCAUAAUUCGUAACAUCAUCUGAUUCUACCUCUCCAUAUUUUUGGAUAUUUUGGCCAACGUCUUUUCGAUCACCAGUAUCUUACUAAUCUCUUUCUUAAUGUCUUGUAUUUCCUGGUCAAACGUCUCCAUCUCUUCGAUUCGAGUAUGAACCAUUUGCAUUCUUCUUGCCCGAGAUCAAUGCUCUGAUACCAAUUUGAUGGAAACCAGUCUUGGAAUAAAAUUGCUACUAUAUUAUUAAUGAUAGAAUAGGAAUGAAAUCCUAAUUACAAUAUGAAAUCCCUCUCCUGUUAUCCUCUCUCUCAAGGAAGAAUAGAAAUUCACUUUCUCAAACAAAACCUAACUUUCCCGCCCACGAUUACUUUUUAUUUAUACUAACAAUAAGGUAACUAAACCUUCCCUUUACUAACCCUCACAUGCUAUUCAUGUGCACGUGAUAUUUUUUUUUUCAAUUUCUUUGUCCCUCUUCCGCUGUACAGAUGUAAUAUGGGGGUCUAUCAGAUUCCUCAUCUUUUCAAAACCUCCAAUCAAACUCAAUGCUAAGUUUGACUGCUCCCUUCAGAGUGACGACACUCAUUUUCCCCCUUCGGUGGUUUGGAGAGGAUUCCUUCUCUUUUUAAAGCCCUCAAUCAAACUUGAUGCUAUGUUUAGAACGCUAAGAAUAGGUGGUCUAGUUUUGGUUAGGCCAAAAGUGAAAUUUUCCCCCAAAAGCACUAAUAAUUAGGGAACUCAACACAUUCUACUUGACUUAAUCGACUUCACUCUCUAAUUUUUAUGAGCUUUUUUCAAUGCAUAUUGCAUAUGUUUUUUUUAUAGUUGUUGAUUGUGUCACAUUUUUAUGGUUUGCAUUUACAAGCCUCUUUUUUCUUUCUUUGGUAUGCAAUAUGGUAAUAGGCCCUGCUAGAAUCGGUGGGGUAAUCUCUCUAUGGUUCUACACUUAGUUUCAAAGUUUGAUUAUUCCCUUCGAAGGGUCUAUCAGAUUCCUCUUCUUUUCAAAGCCCUCAAUCAAACUCAAUUAGAGUAAAAAGGAAAAAAUUUCAUCUUGGGCGCGUGUACCUCACACGUGUCUCUCUAGGAUUUCCAAGUUCUCUCACUCGGCUGGUGAAGGAGGCGAAUGCCUGGUGAGUGUUGCGGUCAGCAAGGGAUCAAAUUCGAAGGUAAUUCAUUCGAUUUUGGCAGAUUGAAUGUGAAAACUAAUGUCAUUUGGUAUCCAUUUCGAAAUUGAUUACAAUUGAUCAAUUGAACCAUUACGAAUGAUAUUCAUUUUGAUUCGGGAGAAUUAACGUCUGUCCAGAAAUUGUUUAAAUCUAUUUCCAAGCUGAAUUGAUUUGAACUAUCUUGAAAGUAUUGUGUGUGGUACGAAUCAAUUUAUUGGCAACCACUUCUGGGUUUGAAGACCAUGAUUUAAUUCACUCACUGGAGGGAUCUCGCAUGAAUCUCCUCGGUUGAAUUUCAAUUCUUUUUGAGUUCAUUCGUGUUCCCAGAUUGGGCUGAAAAGAUCAUCACGGAUGUUGGGUUGAUGUCCUAAGCAUGAAACGAUGAAGAAAUUAUCCAGUGACGUUAAGGAGGUGAAGAAACGCAUGAUGUCAAGCCUUCAACGCGUACAUGAUAUGGCGGCGAACGACCGAAGGGCGGCGACUGCAAAGGGUGGCCUAAUUUAUGUGAGGAAGAAACGGUCGGACAUGAGUGGACCCGAACCGGUUUACGUGAACCGUGAAACAUAUAAAAAUCAAAAUACAGGAAAUGGACCGAGCGGAGAUGGUCCCAUGAAGAUUGUUGGCCCAAAGGCGUGUGGGCCGAUUGUUUUGAAUGAAAACUUGAUGAAGCCUAGUGAGCCGGUAAAUGGGCCGAAGCCGAAUGGUGUGGACACAUUUAUGAAUGGAAUUGGUCAUGGAUCUCUGGUUGAUGGGCCAUCGUUGAAUGAUGGGCCACCCAUCUCACACGAAACUGGGAUCUCACAGAAGGAGUGCUUACCUGCUGGUGCUUCAAGUGUUCAGCAUGUUGGACAAAUUGCAGCGACCGAAGGAUAUGGACCUGGGCUGGAUGCUAUUGCAAGUGCCCCAAAGAUUGGGCCUGUUGAUGGGCAUUUGAAUGAUGGGCCAGCCAUUAGAGAACCGUUUGGUACUAAUUCAAAUGGUGGGCCGCCUGUUCCUAUUCGUGGGCAUGAGGUGCAUAAAUCUAAUAAUUAUGGAGGUGUAGGUAAAAAUUCAUGGGCUUCCUUAUUUGGCUCAACAAGAGGUUUCUCUAUGACCUAUACACCUCUGACUACUGUGGGAGAGAAAAUUGUGGUGACCCCGUUUGAAGAAGUUAUUAGUCAAGGAGUUAGAGUGUGGGAGAACUCCCUCAUCAGGCAAUUAAUUGAUGCAAAAUUGUCGUAUCUAGUCAUCUAUCGUCUUAUAGAGAAGAUUUGGGGUAGAAUUGAAAUGCCAACAAUUACUCUGAUGGAGAAUGGGCUCAUCUGCUUUGAAUUCAAACAUCUGAAGUCGAUAGAGUGGAUCUUAUCCCGUGGCCCAUGGCACCUUGGAGGCAAACCUAUGCUCCUCCGCAAAUGGACUCCAGGUAUAGUUCCUGAAUCCUUUGUCUUUGAUUCAGUUCCUGUUUGGAUAAAGUUAGGGAGGAUUCCGUUGGAGCUAUAGACGGAUGUUGGUUUGACUGUGGUAGCGAGUGCAAUAGGAAAACCUUUUUCAGUUGAUCUUGCUACUAAAGAGAGGCGUCGUCUUUCUUAUUCCCGUAUAUGUGUGGAAUUGAAUGUGGACAGUAUUAUGCCUGCCGAAGUUACAGUCAACCUUAGAGGAGAGGAAUUUAUUGUAACUGUCACUUAUGAGUGGAAACGGAAAAAAUGUACCUUGUGUCGAUCUUUUGGACACUCGCAAAACACCCUUUAAAGAGGCAAUGAAAAUAGUAAAAAGGAAGCUGCAAGUAAAGAGGUUCCUGUUAAAGAGGUUGUUCCUACUAAAGAGGUGGUUCCAGAUUGUGGGGAGUAUGGAGAUGUUGUGUUGGAAUCCUUCCAACACAUGGAAGAAGGAGAAAUUAUUACCCAUAAACUGCCUGAAAAGGUGGAGGUAAAUCGGAGAGGAAUUUACCCAAUUGACAGGAAAAAUAGGGGAAUGAUCUCUAUUUGGGACAGAGGGAAAAGGGCGGAAGCGAGUAUCACUAACUCCUUUAACAACCUCAUGGAGGUGGAUAAAGGAGAUAAAUGGCCUUUAUCUAUAGUGGAUGGCUCCCCUCCUCCCUUACGAGUAGAUGACUCUUCUAUGGUCGUUUUGAGUACUACAGGUGAUGUAAUUCCUAUGGGAGAGGCGGCUCCCAUACGACCUCAUGGUUAGUUGGUGUACGUGGAACGUGCGGGGCCUUAAUAGCCCUGUAAAGUGUAGAGCGGUGAAGGACUUCUUAGCCGUGUCUAUGGUGGGUUUCUAUUGCAUCCUGGAUACUAGAGUUCGAGAGGAGAACUUUGUCUCGAUAUCUAGAAGAUUUAGUGAUUCGUAAGGGUUCAUUAGUAACUACAGCAAUAGUGGAGUAGGUCGGAUGUGGAUUAUGUGGAAACGUAACAGAUUCGUGUUCACGACUAACGAGGUUGUCGACCGGUUUAUUUCUGGUGUAAUAACAGAUUUGAUCUCUGGGGAGAAGGUAGAGGUUCUGUGUGUGUAUGCCUCUAAUAGUAAUAUCGAGAGACGUGUUUUAUGGAGGCGAAUAAUUGAGAUCUCUGCUGGUUGGAGAGGACCGGGUAUGGUCUUUGGUGAUUUUAACACCAUCAGACUCCACUCUGAAGCCUUCGGGGGUGCUCCGAACGUGGAGGAUAUGGAGGAGUUUGACAUGGCUAUUCGAGAGGCGGACCUUGUUGAACCCGCGGUCCAGGAGAACUGGUUUACUUGGACUAGUAAGAGACAUGGGUUGGGUUUGAUGAGGAGACUUGAUCGUAUCCUAGUGAAUGAUGAGGGGCUUAGUACAUGGCCUAACAUGUGGGUUAACGUCCUCCCGUGGGGUAUUUCUGAUCAUUCUUCCAUACUUGUCUAUCCCAGUAAUCAGCGAAGCCAACAAGUGGUCUCUUUUCGUUUCUUUAACCAUUGGGUUGAAGAAGCGUCCUUUAUGGAUGUUGUGUCCUCUGCUUGGACCAAAGAUACUAGAGUUUCUCCAAUUGUGAAUAGUGUAAGGAACUUAAGAAAUCUCAAGUCGAUUCUUCGCAGACAUUUUGGUAGGCAUAUUCGAACCAUCAGUGAGGAUGUUCGUCUUGCCAAUGACACCAUGGUCCGAGCUUAAAGAAAGAUGGAGACGAACUCUCUGUCGGAGGAGGCGACUAAUCACGCGAGCUUAGCCACGAUAAACUUUUGGAAAGCAGUUAGAGUGGAGGAAGCCGCUAUGCGCCAGAAGUCGCAAAUCAGAUGGUUGAAGCUAGAUGACCAGAAUACUGCCUUUUUUCAUCGAUAUGUUCGAUCAAGGCAGAGCAGCAAUGCUUUGAGAUCAGUUAUUGACCCAGAUGGAAAUUAGUUGACUAACCAUGAUCAGGUGACUCAGGUGGUUGUGAAUUAUUUCAAAGAUAGUGUGGGUUCUCAAUAUUAGCUAUAGAGAGCUCUCUACUUGUAUUGAGGAGAUUGUUCAGUUUAGAUGGACUGAGGAGUGUUGUCAGGCCCUCCAGUCGCCUAUUGGCAGGAAGGAAGUGAGACGUGUUCUGUUCUCCAUGGAUGGUGGAAAGGCUCCAGGCCGUGAUGGGUAUUUAGUUGGCUUCUUCAAAGGAGUUUGGACAGUGGUUGGAGAGGGCUUCUGUGAUGUCGUCUUACACUUCUUUGAGACCAAUUACUUCCCUCAAGGGGUGAAUACGACUGCUAUUACACUUAUUCCUAAAAGGAAUGGUGUUAAUCGAUUGGAGGAUUUCAGCCCUAUAUCUUGUUGUAGCGUUAUUUAUAAGUUCAUUUCAAGAAUCUUGGCAGAUAGGCUUCGUGUGUGGCUUCUUUCUUUUGUUAGUGGAAAUCAGCCAGCUUUCAUCCCUGGGAGGAGUAUUAUUGACAAUAUUCUUCUUUGUCAGGAGCUUGUAAGGGCAUACCAUUUGCACGAGGUAAACCUCGGUCCACUAUGAAGGUUGACCUCCAAAAAGCUUAUGAUUCUGUUAAUUGGGAUUUCCUCUUUGGCCUGCUGAUUGCCAUAGGUACGCCUUUAAGAUUUGUGAGUUGGGUUCGAGCGUGUGUGACCUCUCCGAUGUUCUCCAUUAUGAUUAAUGGAUCGUUGGAAGGUUUUUUCCAUGGGAGGAAAGGACUUAGACAAGGUGACCCUUUAUCCCCGUUCUUAUUUGUGAUGGUCAUGGAGGUGCUUUCUCGCAUGUUGAACAGCCCACCUGAGAAUUUUCAAUUCCACCAGUUUUGUGAGAAGGUCAGAUUAACUCAUCUUACUUUUAUAGAUGACUUGAUGAUCUUUUGUACUGCUGAUAAUCAUUCUAUAAGUUUCAUAAAAGAAACUAUUAAGAGGUUUGGUGAGCUUUCAGGACUGUUUGCUAAUCUUGCUAAAAGCUCAAUUUUUCUUGUGGGGGUUAAUAGUUCGAAAGCUUCUCGGCUUGCUGCUAACAUGGGUUUUUCCAUUGGUCAUCUCCCUGUUAGUUAUCUUGGGCUUCCUCUCCUCUCUGGAAGAUUGCGGAGCUCUGAUUGUGAUCCCCUUAUUCAGUGUAUUACAAGUCGUAUUCGGUCUUGGUCUGCUAGAGUGUUAUCUUUUGCAGGUAGACUUCGGCUUGUUCGCUCAGUCCUUAGGAGCCUUCAGGUUUAUUGGGCUAGUGUGUUCAUGCUUCCUAUGAAAGUCCACAGAGACGUUGAUAAGAUCUUGAGGGCUUAUCUGUGGAGAGGUAAGGAGGAGGGAAGAGGUGGUGCUAAAGUUGCCUGAGAUGAGGUUUGUCUUCCUUUUGAUGAAGGAGGUCUUGAUAUUCGUGAUGGAUCUUCUUGGAAUAUAGCUAGCACGUUGAAGAUAUUAUAGUUGCUACUUGUUAAAUCUGGUAGUUUGUGAGUUGCUUGGGUGGAAUCUUAUAUCCUUAAAGGGAGUCGCUGUGGGAGAUCGAUGCUGGGGUGGGACGAUCUUGGUGCUUUAAGGAAAUCUUGCGUAAGUGGGAUAUCCUGGCCUAGAAAGGAACGACCAGACUUAGAACGAGGUCGGAGGCCUCGAAAGUUCACAUCAAGCUAAUGGGUUGUCCGAUUCUGAGUGGUCUCGAAGUUUCUUGCCCACAAAAGCCGAACGGUGAUGCCCGAGAGUCGGUUUCUUGGUUCCGUCCCAAAACGCCGAAAGAAAGGCACAAUGGCAUAUUACGGAACGACCGGACUUAGAACGGGGUCGGAGGCCUCGAAGGUUCACAUCUGGCUACUGGGUGGUCCGAUUCUGAGUGGUCUCGAUGUUUCUUGCCCACAAAAGCCGAGGGUGAUGCCCAGACUUGGUUUCUUGGUUCCGUCCCAAAACGCCGAAAGAAAGGCACAAGGGCAUAGAAAGGAACGACCGGACUUAGAACGGGGUCGGAGGCCUCGAAGGUUCACGUCUGGCUACUGGGUGGUCCGAUUCUGAGUGGUCUCGAUGUUUCUUGCCCACAAAAGCCGAAGGGUGAUGCCCAGACUCGGUUUCUUGGUUCCGUCCCAAAACGCCGAAAGAAAGGCACAAUGGCCUAGAAAGGAACGACGGGACUUAGAACGGGGUCGGGGCCUCGACAGUUCACGUCUAGCUACUGGGUGGUCCGACUUUCAGUGGUCUCGAAGUUUCUUGCCCACAAAAGCCGAAGGUGAUGCCCCAGACUCGGUUUCUUGGUUCCGUCCCAAAACGCCGAAAGAAAGGCACAAUGGCCUAGAAAGGAACGACGGGACUUAGAACGGGGUCGGGGCCUCAACAGUUCACGUCUAGCUACUGGGUGGUCCGACUUUCAGUGGUCUCGAAGUUUCUUGCCCAAAAAAGCCGAACGGUGAUGCCCCAGACUCGGUUUCUUGGUUCCGUCCCAAAACGCCGAAAGAAAGGCACAAUGGCCUAGAAAGGAACGACGGGACUUAGAACGGGGUCAGAGGCCUCGAAGGUUCACGUGUGGCUACUGGGUAGUCCGAUUCUGAGUGGUCUCGAUGUUUCUUGCCCACAAAAGCAGAAGGGUGAUGCCAAAACUCGGUUUCUUGGUUCCGUCCCAAAACGCCGAAAGAAAGGCACAAUGGCCUAGAAAGGAACGAUCAGACUUAGAACGGGAUCGGAGGCCUCGAAAGUUCACGUCUGGCUACUGGGUGGUCCGAUUCUGAGUGGUCUCAAAGUUUCCUGCCCACAAAAGCCGAACGGUGAUGCCCCAGACUCGGUUUCUUGGAUCCGUCCCAAAACGCCAAAAGAAAGGCACAAUGGCCUAGAAAGAAACGACCGGACUUAGAACGGGGUCGGAGGCCUCCAAAGUUCACGUCUGGCUACUGGGUGGUCCGAUUCUUAGUGGUCUCGAAGUUUCUUGCCCACAAAAGCCGAACGGUGAUGCCCCAGACUCAGUUUCUUGGUUCUGUCCCAAAACGCCGAAAGAAAGGCACAAUGGCCUAGAAAGGAACGACCGGACUUAUAACGGGAUCGGAGGCCUCGAAAGUUCACGUCUGGCUACUGGGUGGUCCGAUUCUGAGUGGUCUCUAAGUUUCUUGCCCACAAAAGCCGAACGGUGAUGCCCUAAACUCGGUUGCUUGGUUCCGUCCCAAAACGUCGAAAGAUAGGCACAGUGGCCUAGAAAGGAACGACGGGACUUAGAAUGGGGUCGGCGGCCUCGAAUGUUCACGUCUAGCUACUGGGUGGUCCGAUUCUGAGUGGUCUCGAAGUUUCUUGCCAACAAAAGUCGAACGAUGAUGCCCCAGACUCGGUUUCUUGGUUCCGUCCCAAAACACCGAAAGAAUGGCACAAUGGCCUAGAAAGGAACGACCGAACUUAGAACCGGAUCGGAGGCCUCGAAAGUUCACGUCUAGCUACUGGGUGGUCUCGAAGUUUCUUGCCCACAAAAGUCGAGCGGUGAUGCCCCAGACUCUGUUUCUUGGUUCCGUCCCAAAACGCCGAAAGAAAGGCACAGUGGCCUAGAAAGGAACGACGAGACUUAGAACGGGGUCGGCGGCCUCGAAAGUUCACGUCUAGCUACUGGGUGGUCCAAUUCUGAGUGGUCUCGAAGUUUCUUACCCACAAAAGCCGAACGGUGAUGCUCCAGACUCGGUUUCUUGGUUCCGUCCCAAAACGCCGAAAGAAAGGCACAAUGGCCUAGAAAGGAACGACCGGACUUAGAACGGGGUCGGGGCCUCGACAGUUCACGUCUAGCUACUGGGUGGUCCGACUUUUAGUGGUCUCAAAGUUUCUUGCCCACAAAAGCCGAACGGUGAUGCCUCACACUCGGUUUCUUGGUUCCGUCCCAAAACGCCGAAAGAAAGGCACAGUGGCCUAGAAAGGAACGACGAGACUUAGAACGGGGUCGGCGGCCUCGAAAGUUCACGUCUAGCUACUGGGUGGUCCGAUUCUGAGUGGUCUCGAAGUUUCUUGCCCACAAAAGCCAAACGGUGAUGCCCCAGACUCGGUUUCUUGGUUCCGUCCCAAAACGCCGAAAGAAAGGCACAGUGGCCUAGAAAGGAACGACCGGACUUAGAACGGGGUCGACGGCCUCGAAAGUUCACGUCUAGCUACUGGGUGGUCCGAUUCUGAGUGGUCUCGAAGUUUCUUGCCAACAAAAGCCGAACGAUGAUGCCCCAGACUCGGUUUCUUGGUUCCGUCCCAAAACGCCGAAAGAAUGGCACAAUGGCCUAGAAAGGAACGACCGAACUUAGAACCGGGUCGGAGGCCUCGAAAGUUCACGUCUAGCUACUGGGUGAUCUCGAAGUUUCUUGCCCACAAAAGUCGAGCAGUGAUGCCCCAGACUCGGUUUCUUGGUUCCGUCCCAAAACGCCGAAAGAAAGGCAUAGUGGCCUAGAAAGGAACGACGAGACUUAGAACGGGGUCGGUGGCCUCGAAAGUUCACGUCUAGCUACUGGGUGGUCCAAUUCUGAGUGGUCUUGAAGUUUCUUGCCCCCAAAAGCCAAACGGUGAUGCCCCAGACUCGGUUUCUUGGUUCCGUCCCAAAACGCCGAAAGAAAGGCACAGUAGCCUAGAAAGGUACGACGGGACUUAGAACGGGGUCGACGUUCUCGAAAGUUCACGUCUAGCUACUGGGUGGUCCGACUCUGAGUGGUCUCGAAGUUUCUUGCCCACAAAUGCCGAACGGUGAUGCCCAGACUCGGUUUGUUGGUUCCGUCCCAAAACGCCGAAAGAAAGGCACAGUGGCCUAGAAAGGAACAACCGGACUUAGAACGGGGUCGACGUUCUCGAAAGUUCACGUCUAGCUACUGGGUGGUCCGACUCUGAGUGGUCUCGAAGUUUCUUGCCCACAAAUGCCGAACGGUGAUGCCCCAGACUCGGUUUCUUGGUUCCGUCCCAAAACGCCGAAAGAAAGGUACAGUGGCCUAGAAAGGAACAACGAGACUUAGAACGGGGUCGGCGGCCUCGAAAGUUCACGUCCAGCUAUAGAGUGGUCUAGAAAGGAACGACCGAACUUAGAACGGGGUCGGCGGCCUCGAAAGUUCACGUCUAGCUACUGGGUGAUCCGAUUCUGAGUGGUCUCGAAGUUUCUUGCUCACAAAAGCCGAACGGCGAUGCCCUAAACUCGGUUUCUUGGUUCCGUCCCAAAACGCCGAAAGAAAGGCACAGUGGCCUAGAAAGGAACAACGAGACUUAGAACGGGGUCGGCGGCCUCAAAAGUUCAGGUCUAGCUACUGGGUGGUCCAAUUCUGAGUGGUCUCGAAGUUUCUUGCUGCAAAAGCCGAACGGUGAUGCCCUAGACUCGGUUUCUUGGUUCCGUCCCAAAACACCGAAAGAAUGGCACAAUGGCCUAGAAAGGAACGACCGAACUUAGAACCGGGUCGAGGGCCUCGAAAGUUCACGUCUAGCUACUGGGUGGUCUUGAAGUUUCUUGCCCACAAAAGCCAAACGGUAAUGCCCCAGACUCGGUUUCUUGGUUCCGUCCCAAAACGCCGAAAGAAAGGCACAGUGGCCUAGAAAGGAAUGACGGGACUUAGAACGGGGUCUGCGGCCUCGAAAGUUCACGUCUAGCUAUUGGCUGGUCCGACUAUGAGUGGUCUCGAAGUUUCUUGCCCACAAAAGCCAAACGGUGAUGCCCCAGACUCGGUUUCUUGGUUCCGUCCCAAAACGCCGAAAGAAAGGCACAGUAGCCUAGAAAGGUACGACGGGACUUAGAACGGGGUCGACGUUCUCGAAAGUUCACGUCUAGCUACUGGGUGGUCCGACUCUGAGUGGUCUCGAAGUUUCUUGCCCACAAAUGCCGAACGGUGAUGCCCCAGACUCGGUUUCUUGGUUCCGUCCAGAAACGCCGAAAGAAAGGUACAGUGGCCUAGAAAGGAACAACGAGACUAAGAACGGGGUCGGCGGCCUCGAAAGUUCACGUCUAGCUACUGGGUGGUCCGACUCUGAGUGGUCUCGAAGUUUCUUGCCCACAAAAGCCGAACGGUGAUGCCCCAGACUCGGUUUGUUGGUUCCGUCCCAAAACGCCGAAAGAAAGGCAAAGUGGUCUAGAAAGGAACGACCGAACUUAGAACGGGGUCGGCGGCCUCGAAAGUUCACGUCUAGCUACUGGGUGGUCCGAUUCAUAGUGGUCUCGAAGUUUCUUGCUCACAAAAGCCGAACGGCGAUGCCCCAGACUCGGUUUCUUGGUUCCGUCCCAAAACGCCGAAAGAAAGGCACAGUGGCCAAUAAAGGAACAACGAGACUUAGAAUGGGGUCGGCGGCCUCGAAAGUUCAUGUCUAGCUACUGGGUGGUCCAAUUCUGAGUGGUCUCGAAGUUUCUUGCCGACAAAAGUCGAACGGUGAUGCCCAGACUCGGUUUGUUGGUUCCGUCCCAAAACGCCGAAAGAAAGGCACAGGGGCCUAGAAAGGAACGAACGGACUUAGAACGGGGUCGGCGGCGUGAAAGUUCACGUCUCGCUACUGGGUGGUCCGAUUCUGAGUGGUCUCGAAGUUUCUUGCCCACAAAAGCCGAACGGUGAUGCCCCAGACUAGGUUUCUUGGUUCCGUCCCAAAACGCCGAAAGAAAGGCACAAUGGCCAAUAAAGGAACAACGAGACUUAGAACGGGGUCGGCGGCCUCGAAAGUUCACGUCUAGCUACUGGGUGGUCCAAUUCUGAGUGGUCUCGAAGUUUCUUGCCGACAAAAGCCGAACGGCGAUGCCCCAGACUCGGUUUCUUGGUUCCGUCCCAAAACGCCGAAAGAAAGGCACAGUGGCCAAUAAAGGAACAACGAGACUUAGAACGGGGUCGGCGGCCUCGAAAGUUCACGUCUAGCUACUGGGUGGUCCAAUUCUGAGUGGUCUCGAAGUUUCUUGCCGACAAAAGCCGAACGGUGAUGCCCAGACUCGGUUUGUUGGUUCCGUCCCAAAACGCCGAAAGAAAGGCACAGUGGCCUAGAAAGGAACGAACGGACUUAGAACGGGGUCGGCGGCGUGAAAGUUCACGUCUCGCUACUGGGUGGUCCAAUUCUGAGUGGUCUCGAAGUUUCUUGCCGACAAAAGCCGAACGGUGAUGCCCAGACUCGGUUUGUUGGUUCCGUCCCAAAACGCCGAAAGAAAGGCACAGUGGCCUAGAAAGGAACGACGGGUCUUAGAACGGGGUCGGCGGCCUCGAAAGUUCACGUAUAGCUACUAGGUGGUCCGAUUCUGAGUGGUCUCGAAGUUUCUUGCCCACAAAAGCCGAACGGUGAUGCCCCAGACUCGGUUUCUUGGUUCCGUCCCAAAACGCCAAAAGAAAUGCACAGUGGCCUAGAAAGGAACGAUCGGACUUAGAACGGGGUCGGCAGCCUCGAAAGUUCACGUCUCGCUACUGGGUGGUCUGAUUCUGAGUGGUCUCAAAGUUUCUUGCCCACAAAAGCCGAACGGUGAUACCGUAGACUCAGUUUCUUGGUUCCGUCCCAAAACGCAGAAAGAAAGGCACAGUGGCGUAGAAAGGAACGACGGGACUUAGAACGGGGUCGGCGUCCUCGAAAGUUCACGUAUAGCUACUGGGUGGUCCGAUUCUUAGUGGUCUCGAAGUUUCUUGCCCACAAAAGCCGAACGAUGAUGCCCAAGACUCGGUUUCUUGGUUUCAUCCCAAAACGUGGAAAGAAAGGUAGAGUGGCCUAGAAAGGAACGACCAGACGUAGAACGAGGUCGGCGGCCUCGAAAGUUCACGUCUGGCUACUGGGUGGUCCGAUUCUGAGUGGUCUCAAAGUUUCUUGCCCACAAAAGCCGAACGGUGAUGCCCAAGACUCGGUUUCUUGGUUUCGUCCCAAAACGUGGAAAGAAAGGUAGAGUGGCCUAGAAAGGAACGACCGGACGUAGAACGAGGUCGGCGGCCUCGAAAGUUCACGUCUAGCUACUGGGUGGUCCGAUUCUGAGUGGUCUCGAAGUUUCUUGUCCACAAAAGCCGAACGGUGAUGCCCAGACUCGGUUUCUUGGUUCCAUCCCAAAACGCCGAAAGAAAGGCACAGUGGCCUAGAAAGGAACGACCGAACUUAGAACGGGGUCAGCAGCCUUGAAAGUUCACAUCUAGCUACAGGGUGGUCCGAUUCUGAGUUGUCUCGAUGUUUCUUGCCCAUAAAAGCCGAACAGUGAUGUCCCAGACUCGGUUUCUUGGAUUCGUCCCAAAACGCUGAAAGACAGGCACAGUGGCCUAGAAAGGAACGACCGAACUUAGAACGGGGUCGGCGGCCUCGAAUGUUCACGUCUAGCUACUGGGUGGUCUGAUUCUGAGUGGUCUCGAAGUUUCUUGCCCACAAAAGCCGAACGCUGAUGCCCUAGACCCGGUUUCUUGGUUGCGUCCCAAAACGCCGAAAGAAAGGCACAGCGGCCUAGAAAGGAACGACCGGACUUAGAACGGGGUCGGCGGCCUCGAAAGUUCACGUCUUGCUACUAGGUGGUCCGAUUCUGAGUGGUCUCGAAGUUUCUUGCCCACAAAAGCCAAACGGUGAUGCCCUAGACUCGGUUUCUUGGUUCCGUCCCGAAACGCUGAAAGAAAGGCACAGUGGCCUAGAAAGGAACGAUCGGUCUUAGAACGGGGUCUGCGGCCUUGAAAUUUCACGUCUAGCUACUGAGUGGUCCGAUUCUUAGUGGUCUCGAAGUUUCUUGCCCACAAAAGCCGAACGGUGAUGCCCUAGACUCGGUUUCUUGGUUCCGUCUCAAAACGCCGAAAGAAAGGCACAGUGGCCUAGAAAGGAACGAUCGGACUUAGAACGGGGUCGGCGGCCUCGAAAGUUCACGUCUAGGUGCUGGGUGGUCCGAUUCUGAGUGGAUCUCUGUUAGAGAAAAUGUUCUGGACAUGAUGAUGCACUUCAACAUCGCUGAAGUGAAUGGUGGUCCCAUCGAAGAGGUUAAUCAAGUUACUUUUAUCUUAGAGUCUCUUCCGAAGAGCUUCAUUCCAUUCCAAACGAAUGCGUCUUUGAACAAGAUAGAAUUUAACUUGACAACCCUUCUGAAUGAACUCCAGCGAUUCCAAAACCUUACUAUGGGUAAAGGAAAACAAGUGGAAGCAAAUGUUGCUACCACAAAAAGAAAAUUUAUAAGAGGAUCGUCCUCUAAAACCAAAGCUGGACCCUCAAAACCUAAUGCUCAAAUAAAAAAGAAGGGAAAGGGAAAGACUCCCAAACAGAACAAGGGUAAGAAAGGUGCAGAAAAAGGUAAGUGUUACCAUUGUGGCCAAAACGGGCACUGGUUAAGAAACUGCCCAAAAUACCUUGCAGAAAAAAAGGCAGAGAAGGAAACACAAGGUAAAUAUGAUUUACUAGUUGUAGAAACAUGUUUAGUGGAAUAUGAAAAUUGUACCUGGAUACUAGAUUCAGGAGCCACUAACCAUAUUUGCUUCUCAUUUCAGGAAAAUAGUUCUUGGAAAAAGCUUUCAGAAGGCGAGAUCACUCUCAAGGUUGGAACAGGAGAGAUGGUCUCAACUUCAGUAGUGGGAGAUUUAAAGUUGUUUUUUAGAGAUAGAUAUGUCAUACUUAAGAAUGUCUUAUAUGUACCUCAAAUGAAAAGAAAUUUAAUAUCUAUCUCUUGUAUUUUGGAACAAAUGUAUAGAAUAUCUUUUGAAAUUAAUGAAGCGUUCGUUUUCUAUAAAGGUAUUCUAGUUUGUUCUGCUAUACUUGAAGACAACUUAUAUAAGUUAAGACCAACCAGAGCAAAUUUUGUCUUAAAUACUGAAAUAUUCAGAACAGCUGAAACUCAGAAUAAAAGACAAAAAGUUUCUUCUAAUGCCUAUUUAUGGCACUUAAGACUUGGUCACAUAAAUCUCAAUAGGAUUGGGAGAUUAGUUAAAAGUGGGCUUCUAAGUCAGUUAGAAAAUAAUACUUUACCUCCUUGUGAAUCUUGUCUUGAAGGAAAAAUGACCAAGAGAUCUUUUACUGGAAAAGGUCUAAGAGCCAAAGGACCCUUAGAGCUCGUACAUUCGGACCUUUGUGGACCAAUGAAUGUCAAAGCUCGAGGUGGAUAUGAAUAUUUCAUUAGCUUCAUUGAUGAUUAUUCAAGGUAUGGUCAUAUUUACCUAAUACAUCAUAAGUCUAAUAGUCUUGAAAAGUUCAAAGAAUAUAAGGCUGAAGUAGAAAACGAAUUAGGUAAAACAAUAAAAAUACUUCGAUCAGAUCGAGGUGGAGAGUAUAUGGACUUACGAUUCCGAGACUAUUUAAUAGAAAAUGGAAUCCAGUCACAACUCUCUGCACCUAGUACACCUCAACAGAACGGUGUAUCAGAAAGAAGAAACCGGACCUUGUUAGACAUGGUUCGCUCUAUGAUGAGUUUUUCUCAGAUGCCAGAUUCUUUUUGGGGAUAUGCUUUAGAAACAGCUGUUUAUAUUUUGAAUAAUGUUCCCUCUAAAAGUGUUUCAGAAACACCUUAUGAGCUAUGGAAAGGGCGUAAAGGAAGUUUACGUCAUUUUAGAAUUUGGGGUUGUCCAGCACACGUGUUGGUACAAAAUCCUAAGAAAUUGGAACAUCGUUCAAAAUUAUGCUUUUUCAUAGGUUAUCCAAAAGAAUCAAGAGGUGGUUUGUUUUAUGAUCCUCAAGAAAAUAAAAUAUUUGUGUCAACAAAUGCCACAUUCUUAGAGGAAGACCACAUCAGGGAUCAUCAACCUCGUAGUAAACUAGUAUUAAAAGAAAUUUCCAAAAGUGCUAUAGAUAAACCUAGUUCAUCCACUAAGGUAGUUGAUAAGACUAGGAAAUCUGGUCAAUCACAUCCUUCUCAACAGUUGAGAGAGCCUCGACGUAGUGGGAGGGUUGUUCAUCAGCCUGAUCGCUAUUUGGGUUUAAUUGAAACUCAAGUCGUCAUACCUGACGAUGGCAUAGAGGAUCCAUUAACCUAUAAACAGGCAAUGAAAGAUGUAGAUCGUGACCAAUGGAUCAAAGCCAUGGACCUCGAAAUGGAGUCUAUGUACUUUAAUUCUGUCUGGACUCUAGUAGAUCAACCAAAUGACGUAAAACCUAUUGGUUGUAAAUGGAUCUACAAGAGAAAACGAGACCAUGCUGGUAAAGUACAGACUUUUAAGGCUCGACUUGUGGCAAAGGGUUAUACCUAGAGAGAGGGAGUAGACUAUGAGGAAACUUUCUCUCUCGUUGCCAUGUUAAAGUCAAUUAGAAUACUCUUAUCCAUCGCCACUUUUUAUGAUUAUGAAAUUUGGCAGAUGGAUGUCAAGACAGCUUUUUUGAAUGGUAAUCUUGAAGAGAGUAUCUAUAUGUCUCAACCAGAGGGGUUUAUAGAACAAGAUCAAGAACAAAAGGUUUGUAAGCUUAAAAAAUCCAUUUAUGGAUUAAAACAAGCUUCUAGAUCCUGGAAUAUAAGAUUUGAUACUGCGAUCAAAUCUUAUGGCUUUGAACAAAAUGUUGACGAGCCUUGUGUUUACAAAAAGGUCGUCAAUUCCAUUAUAGCAUUUUUAGUCUUAUAUGUAGAUGAUAUUCUACUUAUUGGAAAUGACGUAGGAUAUCUUACUGAUAUCAAGAAAUGGCUAGCUAUGCAAUUUCAAAUGAAAGAUCUGGAGAUGCACAAUACGUUCUAGGAAUCCAAAUUGUUCGAAACCGUAAGAACAAAACACUAGCCAUGUCUCAAGCAUCUUACAUAGACAAAAUGUUGUCUAGAUAUAAAAUGCAGAAUUCCAAAAAGGGUCUGCUGCCGUACAGAUAUGGAAUUCAUUUGUCAAAGGAACAAUGUCCUAAGACACCUCAAGAAGUUGAGGAUAUGAGAAAUAUUCCCUAUGCUUCCGCUGUUGGAAGUUUAAUGUAUGCAAUGUUAUGUACCAAACCUGACAUUUGCUACUCAGUAGGGAUGGUCAGUAGGUAUCAAUCCAAUCCUGGACGUGAUCACUGGACAACCGUUAAAAACAUUCUAAAAUAUCUUCGAAGAACAAAAGACUACAUGCUCAUGUAUGGUACAAAGGAUCUGAUCCUUACUGGAUACACUGAUUCAGAUUUCCAAACUGAUAAAGAUGCUAGAAAGUCUACAUCAGGAUCAGUAUUUACUCUAAAUGGAGUAGCAGUAGUUUGGAGAAGCAUAAAGCAAACUUGUAUAGCUGAUUCCACAAUGGAAGCUGAUCAUUUUACAAAAGCCCUCACGACUAAAGUGUUUGAGGGUCACCUACACAGUUUAGGUCUACGAUGUUUGUAAACUAGGACAAGUGGGAGACAUAUUGGCCAAGUGCCCUAGUUUCAUAUAUAUUCUCUCACACCACAUCUCUCAUACCACUAGGAAUUUUAGUCCAAGUGGGAGUUUGUUGGAAUUUUUUGUCCUAAAACUUGUAGUUUGUAAAUCAUAUUUUGUUCAAUAAAGUUGUUAUUGAGAAAUUAAAUAUUAUAAUCUUAAAUCCAAUAAAUCAAGUACCAAGGCUAUUUUUGAAUAAACUUGAACUUUAUGUGUAAACAUAAACGUGGAUCAAGUUCGAGUAUAUAGCCUAAAUAGUCUAUAGUAUAUGAAAUAAAGGUUGGGCGCCUUAUUUAGAGAAACUAUGGAUGCGGCCCACUUUGUAGUACAAACGAAGUGAUCCUAAUCGUUCAUGUAGAGACAUGAAUGUGGGGGCAUCCUAUGUAAAAUGUUUACAUAAGACUGAACCAUGAAUUAGUCUUUUUUACGUUAUAACACCGUUUACUGUUUAAAACUAACCAUCUCAAUUAUUGAUGACCUAGGUAACUUAGUCUUAAUCCUGAGUUAACUAUGAACUCUUGUUCACACGAGAUUAUCCUUAGAUUUGCAUAGGUGAGGGCAGCUCAUCAGCGUUGGCCCAAUAAGCCUCCCAUUUCAGGGGUAAGAUCAGGUGGAUAGCUGGGAACAUAGGGUACAAGAUGGAAUUCACUCCUACCCGCUUUAGGGUUAGUAGAUAGGUUGUUCUCUUAAGCACUGAAUCCAAGUCUUGAACAAGGGGCCCCACCCUCUCAUUGGCCCGAGAGGGAUUAAGUUUAUAGGUUGAACCUUAAACCAAUUGUUCAAUAGUGGAUUAGUGGGAUUUAAGGAGCAAGAUGUAAUCUUAGGGGUAAAACGGUAUUUUGACCCAGCCAAGGUUACGAGCAACCUAUGAAGGAUUAACUUACUGAUUAUGGUUUUAUCAAAUGGACACAAAUAUAUCUAUAGUGAGGGGAGUGCAACUACGGAACUUUAGUGGAAUGACCCGUUAGUUAACGAAUGUUGAUUAACUCGGUUUAAAAGAGUUUAGCUAGUUAAUCUUGAAUCGUUGGAGCCCAUGAUCUAUAGGUCCAUUAGGUUCCUCUACUAGCUCAUAUGGAUUAAACAUAGAACAGUGUGAUGAAAUAAGUCGAAUUGUUCGAAUUGGGGAAGAAAGGGAAACCGACAAAUAUAGUGAUAUAGCCGUCGAUCUUCUAAUUAGAAAUAGAGCUUUAUGUUUUACAUACUAUAAGUAUGAAUGCGGAUUCAUACUAAGAAGCUCGGAAUUGAUGGAAUUGGUCAAAAAAUAGUAAAAAGUCAAAAUGUUGACUAUUGACUUUGAAAAGUCAAACUUUGACCGGGCUUAUAUUCAAAUGUGAUUUGUAUUUUGGAAAAAUGAAUGCGGAUUCAUGCUCGGGAGGUUGGAAUUAGUCAAGACGGACGAAAUGGUAAAAAGUCAAAAUAUUGACUUUUGACUAAGUUUUGACUACAAAUAUCUAAUGACCAUUUUACCCUUGGUUCUAAGUUUAAUCCAUAUGAGCUAGCAGAGGAACCUAAUGGACCUAUAGAUCAUGGGCUCCAACGAUUCAAGAUUAACAAGCUAAACUCUUUUAAACCGAGUUAAUCAACAUUCGUUAACUAACGGGUCAUUCAACUAAAGUCCCGUAGUUGCACUCCCCUCACUAUAGAUAUAUUUGUGUCCAUUUGAUAAAACCAUAAUCAGUAAGUUAAUCCUUCACAGGUUGCUCGUAACCUUGGCUGGGUCAAAAUACCGUUUUACCCCCAAGAUUACAUCUUACUCCUUAAGUCCCACUAAUCCACUAUUGAACAAUUGGUUUAAGGUUCAACCUAUAAACUUAACCCCUCUCGGGCCAAUGAGAGGGUGGGGCCCCUUGUUCAAGACUUGGAUUCAGUGCUUAAGAGAACAACCUAUCUACUAACCCUAAAACGGGUAGGAGUGAAUUCCAUCUUGUACGCUAUGUUCCCAGCUACCCACCCGAUCUUACCCUUGAAAUGGGAGGCUUAUUGGGCCAACGCUGAUGAGCUACCCUCACCUAUGCAGAUCUAAGGAUAAUCUCGUGUGAACAGGAGUUCAUAGUUAACUCAGGAUUAAGACUAAGUUACCUAGGUCAUCAAUAAUUGAGAUAGUCAGUUUUAAACAGUAAACGGUGUUAUAACGUAAAAAAGACUAAUUCAUGGUUCAGUCUUAUGUAAACAUUUUACAUAGGAUGCCCCCACUUUCAUGUCUCUACAUGAACGAUUAGGAUCACCUCGUUUGUACUACAAAGUGGGCCGCAUCCAUAGUUUCUCUAAAUAAGCGCCCAACCUUUAUUUCAUAUACUAUAGACUAUUUAGGUUAUAUACUCGAACUUGAUCCACGUUUAUGUUUACACAUAAAGUUCAAGUUUAUUCAAAAAUAGCCUUGGAACUUGAUUUAUUGGAUUUAAGAUUAUAAUAUUUAAUUUCUCAAUAACAACUUUAUUGAACAGAAUAUGAUUUACAAACUACGAGUUUUAGGACAAAAAAUUCCAACAAACUCCCACUUGGACUAAAAUUCCUAGUGGUAUGAGAGAUGUGGUGUGAGAGAAUAUAUAUGAAACUAGGGCACUUGGCCAAUAAGUCUCCCACUUGUCCUAGUUUACAAACAUCGUAGACCUAAACUGUGUAGGUGACCCUCAAACACUUUAGCCGUGAGGGCUUUUGUAAAAGGAUCAGCAAUGUUUUGCUGAGAAGAAAUCUGGGUUACUACAACGUCACCACGAUGUACAAUUUCCCUGAUAAGAUGGUACUUGUGUUCAAUAUGCUUUUCUCUUUUAUGACUUCUAGGUUCUCUUGAAUUUGCAACUGCACCACUGUUGUCACAGUAUAAAGUGAUUGGUAGAUGCAUAUUUUGUUAGCCAUAUAGCUUCUUUUGCUGCUUCACAAGCCGCUAGGUAUUCAACUUCAAUUGUGGAAUCAGCUAUAUAAGUUUUGCUUUAUGCUUCUCCAAACUACUGCUCCUCCAUUUUGAGUAAAUACUGAUCCUGAUGUAGACUUUCUAGCAUCUUUAUCAGUUUGGAAAUCUGAAUCAGUGUAUCAAGUAAGGAUCAGAUCCUUUGUACCAUACAUGAGCAUGUAGUCUUUUGUUCUUCGAAGAUAUUUUAGAAUGUUUUUAACGGCUGUCCAGUGAUCACGUCCAGGAUUGGAUUGAUACCUACUGACCAUCCCUACUGAGUAGCAAAUGUCAGGUCUAGUACAUAACAUUGCAUACAUUAAACUUCCAACAGCGGAAGCAUAGGGAAUAUUUCUCAUAUCCUCAACUUCUUGAGGUGUCUUAGGACAUUGUUCCUUUGACAAAUGAAUUCCAUAUCUGUACGGCAGCAGACCCUUUUUGGAAUUCUGCAUUUUAUAUCUAGACAACAUUUUGUCUAUGUAAGAUGCUUGAGACAUGGCUAGUGUUUUGUUCUUACGGUUUCGAACAAUUUGGAUUCCGAGAACGUAUUGUGCAUCUCCCAGAUCUUUCAUUUGAAAUUGCAUAGCUAGCCAUUUCUUGAUAUCAGUAAGAUAUCCUACGUCAUUUCCAAUAAGUAGAAUAUCAUCUACAUAUAAGACUAAAAAUGCUAUAAUGGAAUUGACGACCUUUUUGUAAACACAAGGCUCGUCAACAUUUUUUCAAAGCCAUAAGAUUUGAUCGCAGUAUCAAAUCUUAUAUUCCAGGAUCUAGAAGCUUGUUUUAAUCCAUAAAUGGAUUUUUUAAGCUUACAAACCUUUUGUUCUUGAUCUUGUUCUAUAAACCCCUCUGGUUGAGACAUAUAGAUACUCUCUUCAAGAUUACCAUUCAAAAAAGCUGUCUUGACAUCCAUCUGCCAAAUUUCAUAAUCAUAAAAAGUGGCGAUGGAUAAGAGUAUUCUAAUUGACUUUAACAUGGCAACAGGAGAGAAAGUUUCCUCAUAGUCUACUCCCUCUCUCUGGGUAUAACCCUUUGCCACAAGUCGAGCCUUGAAAGUCUGUACUUUACCGGCAUGGUCUCGUUUUCUCUUGUAGAUCCAUUUACAACCAAUAGGUUUUACGUCAUUUGGUUGAUCUACUAGAGUCCAGACAGAAUUAAAGUACAUAGACUCCAUUUCGAGGUCCAUGGCUUUGAUCCAUUGGUCACGAUCUACAUCUUUCAUUGCCUGUUUAUAGGUUAAUGGAUCCUCUAUGCCAUCGUCAGGUAUGACGACUUGAGUUUCAAUUAAACCCAAAUAGCGAUCAGGCUGAUGAACAACCCUCCCACUACGUCGAGGCUCUCUCAACUGUUGAGAAGGAUGUGAUUGUCCAGAUUUCCUAGUCUUAUCAACUACCUUAGUGGAUGAACUAGGUUUAUCUAUAGCACUUUUGGAAAUUUCUUUUAAUACUAGUUUACUACGAGGUUGAUGAUCCCUGAUGUGGUCUUCCUCUAAGAAUGUGGCAUUUGUUGACACAAAUAUUUUAUUUUCUUGAGGAUCAUAAAACAAACCACCUCUUGAUUCUUUUGGAUAACCUAUGAAAAAGCAUAAUUUUGAACGAUGUUCCAAUUUCUUUGGAUUUUGUACCAACACGUGUGCUGGACAACCCCAAAUUCUAAAAUGACGUAAACUGCCUUUACGCCCUUUCCAUAGCAUAAGGUGUUUCUGAAACACUUUUAGAGGGAACAUUAUUCAAAAUAUAAGCAGCUGUUUCUAAAGCAUAUCCCCAAAAAGAAUCUGACAUCUGAGAAAAACUCAUCAUAGAGCGAACCAUGUCUAACAAGGUCCGGUUUCUUCUUUCUGAUACACCGUUCUGUUGAGGUGUACUAGGUGCAGAGAGUUGUGACUGGAUUCCAUUUUCUAUUAAAUAGUCUCGGAAUCGUAAGUCCAUAUACUCUCCACCUCGAUCUGAUCGAAGUAUUUUUAUUGUUUUACCUAAUUCGUUUUCUACUUCAGCCUUAUAUUCUUUGAACUUUUCAAGACUAUUAGACUUAGAUGUAUUAGGUAAAUAUGACCAUACCUUGAAUAAUCAUCAAUGAAGCUAAUGAAAUAUUCAUAUCCACCUCUUUGACAUUCAUUGGUCCACAAAGGUCCGAAUGUACGAGCUCUAAGGGUCCUUUGGCUCUUAGACCUUUUCCAGUAAAAGAUCUCUUGGUCAUUUUUCCUUCAAGACAAGAUUCACAAGGAGGUAAAGUAUUAUCUUCUAACUGACUUAGAAGCCCACUUUUAACCAAUCUCCCAAUCCUAUUGAGAUUUAUGUGACCAAGUCUUAAGUGCCAUAAAUAGGCAUUAGAAGAAACUUUUUGUCUUUUAUUCUGAGUUUCAGCUGUUCUGAAUAUUUCAGUAUUUAAGACAAAAUUUGCUCUAGUUGGUCUUAACUUAUAUAAGUUGUCUUCAAGUAUAGCAGAACAAACUAGAAUACCUUUAUAGAAAACGAACGCUUCAUUAAUUUCAAAAGAUAUUCUAUACAUUUGUUCCAAAAUACAAGAGAUAGAUAUUAAAUUUCUUUUCAUUUGAGGUACAUAUAAGACAUUCUUAAGUAUGACAUAUCUAUCUCUAAAAAACAACUUUAAAUCUCCCACUGCUGAAGCUGAGACCAUCUCUCCUGUUCCAACCUUGAGAGUGAUCUCGCCUUCUGAAAGCUUUUUCCAAGAACUAUUUUCCUGAAAUGAGAAGCAAAUAUGGUUAGUGGCUCCUGAAUCUAGUAUCCAGGUAGAAUUUUCAUAUUCCACUAAACAUGUUUCUACAACUAGUAAAUCAUAUUUACCUUGUGUUUCCUUCUCUGCCUUUUUUUCUGCAAGGUAUUUUGGGCAGUUUCUUAACCAGUGCCCGUUUUGGCCACAAUGGUAACACUUACCUUUUUCUGCAGCUUUCUUACCCUUGUUCUGUUUGGGAGUCUUUCCCUUUCCCUUCUUUUUUAUUUGAGCAUUAGGUUUUGAGGGUCCAGCUUUGGUUUUAGAGGACGAUCCUCUUAUAAAUUUUCUUUUUGUGGUAGCAACAUUUGCUUCCACUUGUUUUCCUUUACCCAUAGUUAGGUUUUGGAAUCGCUGGAGUUCAUUCAGAAGGGUUGUCAAGUUAAAUUCUAUCUUGUUCAAAGACGAAUUCGUUUGGAAUGGAAUGAAGCUCUUUGAAAGAGACUCUAAGAUAAAACUAACUUGAUUAACCUCUUUGAUGGGACAACCAUUCACUUCAGCGAUGUUGAAGUGCAUCAUCACGUCCAGAACAUGUUCUCUAACAGAGGUCCCUUCCUUCAUACGCUUAGUGUAAAUGUUUUUGACUGCCUCGUGUCUUAAGGACCAUUCUGGUUGCCCAAACAUUCCCCUUAAUGAAUCCAUAAUCUCUUUAGCCGUGGCUAAGGAUUCAUGUUUCUUUGCCAAUACAUCAGACAUGCUGGCAAGAAUGUAGACACGGGCUUUUUCAUUAGCUUUUAUCCAUCGAUCAUAUGCAUCCCGACUAGUUCGGUUAGCAUUAGAGGCAGGGUUUUGAGGACAUUCCUCAGUUAAGACAAAUCUUAAAUCGUCAACCACUAGUAUUGUGUUAAGAUUUGAUUUCCAAGCCGCAUAAUUAUCGCCAUUAAGUUUUUCGGAAGCUAAAAGUUGAACUAUUGAGCUAUUCAUGCUGAAAAACAAACAUAUUUUUUUUAGGAAAAAACUAUAAUCAUAAAAAAUAUCCAAUCUAAUUUAGCAAUUACUAAUAAUGUACCCUUUCAUUAUUUGUAUUUUGCAACAAUAUUUCAAAGGUUUAGAACAACCUUCUCCGAAGGGUAGUUGAUUAUUCCUCCUUUGAACCAAGACAAUCUUGACUAGAUGCUAUCUCUAGAAUAACUGCUUUAUUCUUUAUAGCACUUAGUUAUCGCUACUUUAGUCAAGAAUAUACUAACAACUUAGUAAUUCUUGUAAGUGUUACCCGCCAUUUUCAGACUUCAUAGAUUAGAAUCAUUUAUGAAAACUAAUCUAAGAAAACCUAUCCAGAUUUGGAGUUCGCGGUGUUCCGAAUCCUAUAAUACAACCCUCCGAAGGGAACGUCGCUCCAGGGCAGACAAGUAGGCAUAUUAUAGAAAUCUCACGGUGCGACCUAAUGGAAGAGACCGUGGGAUGUGCUGCCACAAAUCCCUCACCCACUUACUAUGAACUACUUCCCCUAUACACCUUGAUUUUGAUCCAUGCAAACACUCUCCGAAGGGAGGCCGCUCCUAUGCACGGCACAAAGCCCUGCAUGGACCUCACGGUGUGAACUCUUAGGGACACUAGAGCUAAAAUACAUUAUUUUUCUCUAGUUGAAGUGUUCUAUUUUAAAGAAGAAGAAAAAAAUAGGGUAAUCCAAGCUUCAAGAUUUAUAUUUAGGCUAACUUAAAGAAAUCUUUAAGUCUAGAUAAAACGUCCAAGUAUAACCAUUAUACAGGAUUUUAACCUAUGAUGUCUAGGUGAUAAACCAUUUUUAUUACCUCACACCUCUUACGAAUGCUCAUAAAACUAGGUUAACUAGGCUCAAGAACUGAUUACGAUCUCCAGGUAGGAGGUGUUCCGUAAACCGUCAACUUAAGAACCUCCAGCCUUAGUCAUCUUAUCUGACUUGUUGACAAGAUUGAACCAGGUGAGCCUUUUGUAACCAGUUUUACAAGAUAUCGACCUAUUUCUAUGAAAAAUGGAAGAUAUGUUUAACCUAAGUGAGCAUGCAUUUAAUCUUUGUUAUUGAUUUUAAAAGUCUAAUUUAUUUUAUAACACUUAUAAAAACUUUUAGACUUAAUCAAUCAUUUUAUCAAUAUAUAACCUUAUAAAAACAAUCAAUUAAUAUGGAUUUUAAUUUAUUUAACUUUAAUUAAAUCAUAUUUAAUUUUUAAUUUAAUUAAAUCAUAUUUAAUUAAAUUAAAUCAAACAAUAAUUAAUUAAUUUGCUUAAAUCAUAUUUAAUCAAGAAUAACUUAAUUAAUUAAAUAAUCAAUUAAUCACAUUAAUUAAUUUCCAUAUUAAGACCUUUUCCAGUAAAAGAUCUCUUGGUCAUUUUUCCUUCAAGACAAGAUUCACAAGGAGGUAAAGAGUUAUCUUCUAACUGACUUAGAAGCCCACUUCUAACCAAUAUCCCAAUCCUAUUGAGAUUUAUGUGACCAAGUCUUAAGUGCCAUAAAUAGGCAUUAGAAGAAACUUUUUGUCUUUUAUUCUGAGUUUCAGCUGUUCUGAAUAUUUCAGUAUUUAAGACAAAAUUUGCUCUGGUUGGUCUUAACUUAUAUAAGUUGUCUUCAAGUAUGGCAGAACAAACUAGAAUAUCUUUAUAGAAAACGAAAGCUUCAUUAAUUUCAAAAGAUAUUCUAUACAUUUGUUCCAAAAUACAAGAGAUAGAUAUUAAAUUUCUUUUCAUUUGAGGUACAUAGAAGACAUUCUUAAGUAUGACAUAUCUAUCUCUAAAAAACAACUUUAAAUCUCCCACUGCUCUAGCUGAGACCAUCUCUCCUGUUCCAACCUUGAGAGUGAUCUCGCCUUCUGAAAGCUUUUUCCAAGAACUAUUUUCCUGAAAUGAGAAGCAAAUAUGGUUAGUGGCUCCUGAAUCUAGUAUCCAGGUACAAUUUUCAUAUUCCACUAAACAUGUUUCUACAACUAGUAAAUCAUAUUUACCUUGUGUUUCCUUCUCUGCCUUUUUUUCUGCAAGGUAUUUUGGGCAUGUUCCUAACGAGUGCCCAUUUUGGACACAAUGGUAACAGUUACCUUUUUCUGCACCUUUCUUACCCUUGUUAUGUUUGGGAGUCUUUCCCUUUCCUUUAUUUUUUAUUUGAGCAUUAGGUUUUGAGGGUCCAUCUUUGGUUUUAGAGGACGAUCCUCUUAUAAAUUUUCUUUUUGUGGUAGCAACAUUUGCUUCCACUUGUUUUCCUUUACCCAUAGUAAGGUUUUAGAAUCGUUGGAAUUCAUUCAGAAGGGUUGUCAAGUUAAAUUCUAUCUUGUUCAAAGACGCAUUCGUUUGGAAUGGAAUGAAGCUCUUCGGAAGAGACUCUAAGAUAAAAUUAACUUGAUUAAUUAAUUAAUUAAUUUUAGACUUAAUCAAUCAUUUUAUCAAUAUAUAACCUUAUAAAAACAAUCAAUUAAUAUGGAUUUUAAUUUAUUUAAAUUUAAUUAAAUCAUAUUUAAUUUUUAAUUUAAUUAAAUCAUUUUUAAUUAAAUUAAAUCAAACAAUAAUUAAUUAAUUUGAUUAAAUCAUAUUUAAUGAAGAAUAACUUAAUUAAUUAAAUAAUUAAUUAAUCAUAUUAAUUAAUUUCCAUAUUAAUCAAUUAACAUGCAUACAAUAUAAUAUAACCUUUAUAUCAUACAUUUUAAUGCAUGAACAUGUUAACCUAUGGUUGGAUUUUAAAUCUAUAUGACACUCAAAAUGCACAUACAAAUUUAAAGUAAUUUAAUCAUACAUCACAUGCAUAAAUAAAAAAAACACCCUAAAAUGGACUGAUUUUUGGCUCCUAAAUUAAGCUAAGUACUAAAUUAUUACAUAAUUAAUUUGGUGUAGUACAGAACCACUCCCAAAAACUUCGAACCGGCCUAAAAACCAAAUUUAUUGGCUUGAACCGGGCCAAUUAACUAAACAGGCCCAGGCGCACACAGGUCAGGCGCAGGCGGGCGCGCGGGCGCAGGCGGGUCGCGAAGCGGGUCAAGGCCGGGUUUUCGGGUCUGUGACCUUCUUUUCUUCAUUUUUUUUCAUUUCUCUCACCCGGUUGAACCAAUUACAGCCUAACUUCAACUCUAAUGACUUUUUUUUAUUUUAAAAAAAUUACAAACACUUUGCAACAAUAAAAAUAAGCCAUUAACAAGGCUAAUUACAAUAAUUAGAACAAAAUGUUGGAUUUUCCGACUAACUUAGUCCAAGGGUAAAAUGGUCAUUAGAUAUUUCUAGUCAAAAGUCAAACUUUGACUUUUCUUAGUCAAAAGUCAAUAUUUUGACUUUUUACCAUUUUGUCCGUCUUGACUAAUUCCAACCUCCCGAGCAUGAAUCCGCAUUCAUUUGUCCAAAAUUCAAAUCACAUUUGAAUAUAAGGGCGGUCAAAGUUUGACUUUUCAAAGUCAAAUGUCAAAAUUUUGACUCUUUACUAUUUUUGACCAAAUCCAUCAAUUCCGAGCUUCUUAGUAUGAAUCCGCAUUCAUACUUAUAGUAUGUAAAACAUAAAGCUCUAUUUCUAAUUAGAAGAUCGACGACUAUAUCACUAUAUUUGUCGGUUUCCCUUUCUUCUCCCAAUUCGAGCAAUUCGACUUAUUUUAUCACCAUGUUCUAUGUUUAAUCCAUAUGAGCUAGCAGAGGAACCUAAUGGACCUAUAGAUCAUGGGCUCCAACGAUUCAAGAUUAACUAGCUAAACUCUUUUAAACCGAGUUAAUCAACAUUCGUUAACUAACGGGUCAUUCCACUAAAGUCCCGUAGUUGCACUUCCCUAACUAUAGAUAUAUUUGUGUCCAUUUGAUAAAACCAUAAUCAGUAAGUUAAUCCUUCACAGGUUGCUCAUAACCUUGGCUGGGUCAAAAUACCGUUUUACCCCCAAGAUUACAUCUUGCUCCUUAAGUCCCACUAAUCCACUAUUGAACAAUUGGUUUAAGGUUCAACCUAUAAACUUAAUCCCUCUCGGGCCAAUGAGAGGGUGGGGCCCCUUGUUCAAGACUUGGAUUCAGUGCUGAAGAGAACAGCCUAUCUACUAACCCUAAAGCGGGUAGGAGUGAAUUCCAUCUUGUACCCUAUGUUCCCAGCUAUCCACCCGAUCUUACCCCUGAAAUGGGAGGCUUAUUGGGCCAACGAUGAAUAGCUGCCCUCACCUAUGCAGAUCUAAGGAUAAUCUCGUGCGAACAAGAGCUCAUAGUUAACUCAGGAUUAAGACUAAGUUACCUAGGUCAUCAACAAUUGAGAUAGUCAGUUUUAAACAGUAAACGGUGUUAUAACGUAAAAAAGACUAAUUCAUGGUUCAGUCUUAUGUAAACAUUUUACAUAGGAUGUCUCUACAUGAACGAUUAGGAUCACCUCAUUUGUACUACAAAGUGGGCCGCAUCCAUAGUUUCUCUAAAUAAGGCGCCCAACCUUUAUUUCAUAUAUUAUAGACUAUUUAGGUUAUAUACUCGAACUUGAUCCACGUUUAUGUUUACACAUAAAGUUCAAGUUUAUUCAAAAAUAGCCUUGGAACUUGAUUUAUUGGAUUUAAGAUUAUAAUAUUUAAUUUCUCAAUAACAGCUUUAUUGAACAGAAUAUGAUUUAUAAACUACGAGUUUUAGGAGAAAAAAUUCCAACACGGAGGCCCCGAAAAUUCACGUCUAGCUACUGGGUGGUUAGAUUCUGAGUGAUCUCAAAGUUCCUUGCCCACAAAAGCUGAACGGUGAUGCCCUAGACUCGGUUUCUUCGUUCCGUCCCAAAACGCCAAAGAAAGGCACAAUCGCCUAGAAAGGAACGACCGGACUCAGACUCGGUUUCUUGGUUCCGUUCCAAAUCGCCGAAGAAAGGCACAACGACCUAGAAAGUAACGACCGGAGUAAGAACGGGGUCGGAGGACCUGCAAGUGCAUAUCUAACCACUGGGCAGUCCGAUUCUGGGUGAUCUCGAAGUUUCUUGCCCAUAAAAGCCGAACGGUGAUGCCCUAGACUCGGUUUCUUCGUUCCAUCCCAAAACGCCGAAGAAAGGAACGACCGAACUCAGAACGGGGUCGGAGGAUGCGAAAGUUCACAUCUAACCACUGGGCGGUCCGAUUCUGAGUGAUCUAGAAGUUUCUUGCCGACAAAAGCCGAACGGUGAUGCCCCAGACUCGGUUUCUUGGUUUCGUCCCAAAACACCGAAGAAAUGCACAAUGGCCUAGAAAGGAACGACCAGACUCAGAAUGGGGUUGGAGGCCUCGAAACUUCACAUCUAACCACUGGGCGGUCCGAGUCUGAGUGAUCUCGAUGUUUCUUGCCCACAAAAGCCGAACAGUGAUGCCCCAGACUUGGUUUCUUGGUUCCAUCCCAAAAUGAUGAAGAAAGGCACAACGACCUAGAAAGGAACGACCAUACUAAAAACGGGAUCGGAGGCCUCGAAAGUUCACAUCUAACCACUGGGCGGUCCGAUUCUUAGUGAUCUCGAAGUUUCUUGCCCACAAAAGGCGAACGGUGAUGCCCCAAACUCGGUUUCUUGGUUCGGUCCCAAAAAUGCCGAAGAAAGGCACAAUAGCCUAGAAAGGAACGAUCGGACUCAGAAUGGGGUCGGAGGCCUCGAAAGUUCACAUCUAACCACUUGAAGGUCCGAUUCUGAAUGAUCUCGAAGAUUUUUGCCCACAAAAGCCGAACGGUGAUGCCCCACACCCGGUUUCUUUGUUCCGUCGCAAAACUCCCAAGAAAGGCACAAUGGCCUAGAAAGGAACGAUCGGACUCAGAACAGGGUCGGAGGCCUCAAAAGUUCACAUCUAACCACUGAGCGGUCUGAUUCUGAGUGAUCUUGAAGUUUCUUACCCACAACAGCCGAACGGUGAUGCCCAUACCCGGUUUCUUGGUUCUGUCGUUAAACGCCCAAGAAAGGCACAAUGGCCUAGAAAGCAACGACCGGACUCAGAAUGGGGUCGGAGGCUUCGAAAGUUCACAUCUAACCACUGGAUGGUCCGAUUAUGAGUGAUCUCGAAGUUUCUUGCCCACAAAAGCCGAACGGUGAUGCCCAGACUCAGUUUCUUGGUUCCGUCCCAAAACUCGGAAGAAAGGCACAACGACCUAGAAAGGAACGAUCUGACUCAGAACGGGAUCAGAGGCCUCAAAAGUUCACAUCCAACCACGUGGCAGUCUGAUUCUGAGUGAUCUCAAAGUUUCUUUCCCACAAAAGCCGAAUGGUGAUGCCCCCGACUCGGUGUCUUGGUUCGGUCCCAAAACGCCGAAGAAAGGCACAGUGGCCUAGAAAGGAACGAGCAGACUCAGAACGGGGUCGAAGGCCUCAGAAGUUCACAUCUAACCAUUGGGCGGUCUGAUUCUGAGUGAUCUCGAAGUUUCUUGCCCACAAAAGCCAAACGGAGAUUCCCAGACUCGAUUUCUUGGUUCCGCCGCAAAACUCCCAAGAAAGGCACAAUGGCCUAGAAAGCAACGACCGGACUCAGAACGGGGUCGGAGGCCUCAAAAGUUCACAUCUAACCACUAGGCGGUCUGAUUCUGAGUGAUCUCGAAGUUUCUUGCCCACAAAAGCCGAACGGUGAUGCCCCAUACCCGAUUUCUUUUGUUCUGUCGCAAAAGAACCAAGAAAGGCACAAUGGCCUAGAAACGCACGACCAACCUUAGAACGAGGUCGGAGGCCUUGAAAGUUCACAUCUAACCACUGGGCGGUCUAAUUCUGAGUGAUCUCGAAGUUUCUUGCCUACAAAUACCGAACGGUGAUGCCCCAUACCCGGUUUCUUGUUUCCGUCGCAAAACGACCAAGAAUGGCACAGUGGCCUAGAAUGCAACGACCGGACUCAGAACGGGGUCGGAGGCCUCGAAAGUUCACAUCUAACCACUGGGCGGUCAAAUUAUGAGUGAUCUUGAAGUUUCUUGUCGACAAAAGCUGAACGGUGAUGCCCUAGACUCGGUUUCUUGGUUCCGUCCCAAAACGCCAAAGAAAGGCACAAUGGCUUAGAAAGGAACGAUCGGACUUAGACAGGGGUCAGAGUCCUCGAAAGUUCACAUCUAGCCACUGGGCGGUCCGAUUCUGAGUGAUCUCAAAGUUUCUUGCCCACAAAAGGCGAACGGUGAUGCCCCAGACUCGGUUUCUUGGUUCCGUCUCAAAACGUCGAAGAAAGCCACAGUGGCCUAGAAAGGAACGACCGGACGCAGACAAGGGUCGGAGUCCUCGAAAGUUCACAUCUAGCCACUGGGCGGUCCGAUUCUGAGUGAUCUCGAAGUUGCUUGCCCACAAAAGCUGAACGAUGAUGCCCUAGACUCGGUUUGUUGGUUUCGUCUCAAAAUGCCGAAGAAAGGGACAAUGGCCUAGAAAGGAACGACCAAACUCAGAACGGGGUCCGAGGUCUCCAAAAUUCACAUCUAACCACUGGGCGGUCCGAUUCUGAGUGAUCUUAAACAUUCUUGCCCACAAAAGCCGAACGGUGAUGCCCUAGACUCGAUUUCUUGGUUUCGUCCCAAAAUGCCGAAGAAAGGCACAAUGACCUAGAAAGGAACGGCCGGACUCAGAACGGUGUCGGAGGCCUCAAAAGUUCACAUCUAACCACUGGACGGUCCGAUUCUGAGUGAUCUAAAAGUUUCUUGCCUACAAAAGCCGAACGGUGAUGGCCCAUACUCGGUUUCUUGGUUCCGUCUACAAACGCCGAAGAAAGGCACAAUGGCCUAGAAAGGAACGACCGAACUCAGAACGGGGUCCGAGGCCUCGAAAGUUCACAUCUAACCAGUGGGCGGUCCGUUUCUGAGUGAUCUCGAAGUUUCUUACCCACAACAACCGAACGGUGAUGCCCAAACUCCGUUUCUUGGUUCCGUCCCAAACCGCCAAAGAAAGGCACAAUGGCUUAGAAAGGAACGACCAGACUCAGACAGGGGUCGGAAACCUCGAAAGUUCACAUCUAGCCACUGGGCGGUUCGAUUCUUAGUGAUCUCGAAGUUUCUUACCCACAAAAGGCGAACGGUGAUGCCCUAGACUCAGUUUCUUGGUUCCGUCCCAAAACGCCGGAGAAAGGCAUAAUGGCCUAGGAAGGAAUGACCAGACUCAGAACGGAGUCGGAGGCCUCGAAGGUUCACAUCUAACCACUGGGCGGUCGUAUUCUAAGUGAUCUUGAAGUUUCUUGCCCACAAAAGGGGGAAGGUGAUGGCCCAGACUCGGUUUCUUGGUUUCGUCCCAAAACGCCGACGAAAGGCACAAUGGCCUAGAAAGGAACGACCGGACUCAGACAAGGGUCAGAGUCCUCAAAAGUUCACAUCUAAGCACUGGACGGUCUGAUUCUGAGUGAUCUCGAAGUUUCUUGCCCACAAAAGCUGAACGAUGAUGCCCUAGACUCAGUUUCUUGGUUCCGUCCCAAAACGUCGAAGAAAGGCACAAUGGCCUAGAAAGGAACGGCCGGACUCAAAACGGGGUUGGAGGCCUCGAAACUUCACAUCUAACCACUGGGCGGUCUGAUGCUGAGUGAUCUCAAAGUUUCUUGCCGACAAAAGCCGAACGGUGAUGCCCAAACUCGGUUUCUUGGUUCCGUCCCAAAACGUCAAAGAAAGGCACAAUGACCUAGAAAGGAACGACCGGACUCAGAACGGGGUCGGAGGCCUCGAAAGUUCACAUCUAACCACUGGACGGUCCGAUUUGAGUGAUCUCGAAGAGUCUUGCCCACAAAGCCGAACGGUGAUGCCCUUGACUCGGUUUCUUGGUUCCGUCCCAAUCGUUUCGACAUCUUUACUCAAUCGGAGGUAACUAUACAGACAACACAAUUCAGAACUAUAGGUGAGUCCAAUAGUAGAGAAUCCCUUACCUUAUAACCUUACUUAAGCUUAUUUUUCAAACUAAAGUGCAACGAACCGACCUGAACAUAAUUGAAGAGAAAUCAAUCACUUCUACAAACAAUUUAAUCCAUUCAAUUCACUCUAUAUGUAAAUUCCAUAACUUACCCAAAUUGUGGAGAAUCAAAUUCUAACGGAGACGGAUCGGUGCAACAAAUAACCGAACAAUUCAAAUCUAAACAUACAUGGCGUGACGGAACCGGAGUGACUCGGUCUAACGGUGAUGCGACGAUAGGACAAAAUUUGAUUGACGUUCGGUGUAGGUGGAAGACGAUGAUGAAGUUGAUUGGAGAAUGAAAAGAGAAGGAAGAAAAGAGACGGUGGUGUGGCCGUAGGUUGAAGAGGAAGAGAAAGGAAGAAGAUGAAUAGGAAAAGAGAAAAAAUAAGAUUAAAUAUUAUAAAUAUAUAUAUAUAUAUAUAUGAAAUACAAAAAUAAAAGUAGAAUAACGAUGAAAUUUUGAAAAAUGAAAAUUUGGAUAAAGUAAAAUUUGAAAAUAAAGAUUUGAUACAAAUCCAAUAUUUGGAGGUAAAAAAAGUGUGUUAAGAUAAUGUAGGAGGAAAUCAAUAUUUAUGCUAAAAUUUUGCAUAUUUCAAAAUUAGUUACAGUUUAACUAAAAAGCAGGCGAGGAGAUUUUAGGGUUAAUGAAAAUUCAAAACACGUGAAAUGCUCAUGUUUGCUAUUCUUCUAAUAAAAUUUUGCUAUUUUCUCAAAUGAGUGUAAUCCAACAAAAUGAAGUUGUGUGUGUGUGAACAAAAAUGAGGUAAAUAGCUUUGAUGAUGAUGGCAAAUGGGUAAAGAAAAUCUUAUCUUAUUCUUCACUUUUCAUUUAAUUGACAAAAAGUAACCAACCAUAUGAAGGGAAAAACAAAAUGCUCUCUCAGUUACUUUACUCAGUUCUUAGUUCUUUGUGUGGGAGAUAUUUGAAAUGGAGAUGAAGAUCAAAAUGAAAGAGAGAUUAUGCAUACACUGUGAGAAGCACACAGAAAAAUUGAAAAUAAAUUGAGAAGAAGUGAGAGAUAAGCCUGAGGGAGAAAUAUUCAUGUAACGCCCCAAACUUGAAGGCAAAUUAUUUUGAGAGAAUUAUUUCGAUUUGUUCAAGAUUUUUUUUUUAAAAUAUGUUGAAGGGGAGAAAGAAGAUUUGAAAAUGUAUUAAUAUAAUUAAAUAUGUAUAUGUAUUUAAUUAUAUUUUUAUUAUUAUAUUUAUUUUACAUUUUAUUAAAUAAAAGAAAAGAAAAUGAAAAUUUUAAAUAUAUAUAUAUAUAUUUAUUUUAUAUUUUUUAUUAUAAUUAUUUUAUAUAUUUUUUUAAAUAAAAAGAAAAGAAAAUGAAAAUUUCUUUUUUCCCUUUUCUUCUUCCGCCCAGCGCCGCGACCCUCCCUUCCGUUCUCCAUCUCCGUUCGCGAAGCAACCUUGCAGCAGUCGUCCCGCGUGACUCUCCGUUCGUCUGUUUCCGUCUCCAUUCACCGAAGCCGAACCCAACCGCCACCCUCUCUUUUCUCCUUCGGAUUGAAACCGCCGCGCCCAUCCACCUGUAACUGUCGUGCCUCCCCGCUCACAACCGUCGUCCAGAUCUGCAUCGCCGAGCCGUCCAGGUCCUCGCUGCCGCUCGUGCUUCACCCUUGCAGUUCGCAGUAACCCAGAUCCGUCGCUGCAACCGUCGGCCGGUUCGUGAAGCCCUGCCGCGCAACCUCUGUUUCCAGCCGUCGCCCAUUUCGUUCUCCUCUGUUUUCUGCACUGCCACGCGACUCUCCGACCGCGUCUGUCUUCACCUCCGUGAAGUCGUCGAUGCAUACAUCUUGUGAAGCCCGGUCGCCGCGUCAGAUCGUCGGUCGAUUUUGAGGCAGCCGCCACGUCUCCUUUGGCUGACCGCUGACCGACCCACACUUAGGAUUUUUGCUACGAGUUCGAUAGUCGUGCGUUGAGGUGUUGGGAGUAACGUUGGGCUCCCUUAAAUUCACAACCAAUAUAUGAAUUGUUGAGGGUUCAGUUCGCCAAUACUUCAGUGAGUUGGAACUUACGUUGAGGAAAGUAAGUGAGAUAUGUAUCUUGAAAGUAAUCGAAUUUUUGGACUAAGGUACCUUUCGAUCUCUAAAUCAAUAAAUAAUUUUAUGUUCAAACAUAAGUUGGACAACCUUUGUUAAAGAACUGCUUCCCAAAACAAAUAGCAUUAACCACCCUUUUUUAAUUCAACACAUGGGAAUAGAGAUCGAAUCUCUAAUUUUUUGGACUAAGGUACCUUUCCUAAACUUGUCGAAUUCUAUUUUCUACACCAACUUUAAUUCGACCUCCCAUGAGUUCUCUUCUUCUAAGGAUUAACUUUUCUCUAAGGCUCUGCACUCUACUAAAAAGCCUUGAUCUUCUUCCCCCCAAUGUUUUCGUAAACUUCUUAAGACAGACCUUGGCCUUGGUUAGGCUCGGAUCUCCUUGGAUUAUCACCUUCUUCCCCUGAUAUGUAAAUGUUAACAUCAGAUUCUUCCAAUUCACUCCAGUCGUUCCCAAGGAAUACAAUCACUGCAUUCCAAGUAUGGCAACUACCCCUCCCAACUUCAAGGAUAAAAACUCAUUCACUACCUUCUAGUCUCCCAGCAUUAACUCAACAUCUUCACAAAUUACCUUCCCUUUGACUACAGUGCCCGAGCCCAAAAUGACUCCAUAAUUUGACGUUUCUCUUGUACUCAGUUACAACUCUUUCACUAUUUUUUUCUGAAAUGAAAUUGCGUGUGACUCCACAAUCAAUUAGUAUUAUAGCCACCUUCCCUUGUAUCAUCUCUUUUACCUUCAUUUUCCCUAGGUUGGAUAAUCCCACCACAUAAUUAAUGGAUAAUUCCACCAUCAUUUGACUCUCCUCUACGAUCUCAGGGGCAUUCAAUUCUUUCUGAUCAAUUCCUCCUUCUUCAAUAAUUUCAUACUCCUCGCCUUCUUCCUUCACAACAAUCAUUCACAAUUCUCUUUGAUCUUUCAUCUUGCAUUUGUGGUCAUGAGAAUAUUUCUCAUUACAGCGAAAGCACAAUCCCUUCUUUCUAGAUUGAAAUUCAGCAUCAAAUAAGCGCUUCGUCUGUCCCUCUUUCCGUACUUCCUCUUUUGUUGUUCCUCGUAGAGUAAUAGUUCUCAUCGGCCAAUUCAUUCCUCCUUUACUUUCUUCUGUAUUCGCAAUGGUAUUAGCCUUGGUGCUAUUAUGGGAGUUUAUCACCUUUUCUCCAGAAUAUCCAAAAAGAUUUGCUUCCUGACGUAUAUCUUCCUUGUUCUCUACCUUUUGCGCAAUUCGUAUCAUUUGUGCUAAUCCCUUCGACUCACAUAAAUCCAUCUCCGCCUAGAUCCACAGUUUCAAUCCCGACAUAAAUGUCUCUUUUACCACCUUCUCUAAUAGGUCCGACAAAGGAGCUACGCACUUAUCGAAUAAAUUUUGAUAUUCCUCUAUCGUUGUCUUUUGUUGAAUUUGCAAGAACCUUACAUACAACGAUUCCUCCCUAACGGAUCGAAAUCGCACAAUAAUCUUUCCUUCAUAUUCACCCAAUCUACAAAGUUCUCUCGUUCUUCUUGAGAACGGUAAAAGUUCAAUGCUAGUCCCUCAAAACUAAUAGUGGAUACAGUCAUUUUCUCAAAUUCAGUAAGUUUAUGAAUGUUCAAAUACCUCUCUACGCAAAACAGCCAAGAAUCGGGAUCAUCUCCAUUGAAUAUCGACAUCUCCACCUUCUUAAACUUAUUGCAGUCACUAUUACUUUCAUCAUCUAUUUUCUUUCCUUCCUUCCCUGUUUCGUUCUCCCAUCUUGGUCACCCUUCGCCUUCGUCCACAUUCUUCGUCGAUGAAUUGUGCAUUGUUGUCGAUUCCAUAAUUCGUAACAUCAUCUGAUUCUACCUCUCCAUAUUUUUGGAUAUUUUGGCCAACGUCUUUUCGAUCACCAGUAUCUUACUAAUCUCUUUCUUAAUGUCUUGUAUUUCCUGGUCAAACGUCUCCAUCUCUUCGAUCCGAGUCUGAACCAUUUGCAUUCUUCUUGCCCGAGAUCAAUGCUCUGAUACCAAUUUGAUGGAAACCACUCUUGGAAUGAAAUUGCUACUAUAUUAUUAAUGAUAGAAUAGGAAUGAAAUCCUAAUUACAUUAUGAAAUCCCACUCCUGUUAUCCUCUCUCUCAAGGAAGAAUAGAAAUUCACUUUCUCAAACAAAACCUAACUUUCCCGCCCACGAUUACUUUUUAUUUAUACUAACAAUAAGGUAACUAACCCUCACAUGCUAUUCAUGUGCACGUGAUAUAUUUUUUUUAAUUUCUUUGUCCCUCUUCCGCUGUACAGAUGUAAUAUAGGGGGUCUAUCAGAUUCCUCCUCUUUUCAAAGCCUCCAAUCAAACUCAAUGCUAAGUUUGACUGCUCCCUUCAGAGUGACGACCCUCAUUUUCCCCCUUCCGUGGUUUGGGGAGGAUUCCUCCUCUUUUUAAAGCCCUCAAUCAAACUUGAUGCUAUGUUUAGAACGCUAAGAAUAGGUGGUCUAGUUUUGGUUAGGCCAAAAGUGAAAUUUUCCCCCAAAAGCACUAAUAGUUAGGGAACUCAACACAUUCUACUUGACUUAAUCGACUUGACUCUCUAAUUUUUAUGAGCUUUUUUCAAUGCAUAUUGCAUAUGUUUUUUUUAUAGUUGUUGAUUGUCUCACAUUUUUAUGGUUUGCAUUUACAAGCCUCUUUUUUCUUUCUUUGGUAUGAAAUAUGGUAAUAGGCCUUGCUAGAACCGGUGGGGUAAUCUCUCUAUGGUUCUACACUUAGUUUCAAAGUUUGAUUACUCCCUUCGAAGUGACAACAAGCCUCGUUUUCCCCUAUUGUGGAUCAGAGAGGAUUCCUCCUCUUUUCAAAGCCCUCAAUCAAACUCAAUGCUAAGUUUAACUGCUCCAUUCGAAGUGACAACAAGCCUUGUUUUCCCCUAUUGUGGAUCAGAGAGAAUUCCUCCUCUUUUCAAAGCCCUCAAUCAAACUCAAUUAGAGUAAAAAAGGAAAAAUUUUCAUCUCGGGCGCGUGUACCUCACACGCGUCUCUCUAGGAUUUCCAAGUUCUCUCACUCGGGUGGUGAAGGAGGCGAACGGCUGGUGAGUGCUGCGGUCAGCAAGGGAUCAAAUUCGAAGGUAAUUCGUUCGGUUUUGGCAGAUUGAAUGUGAAAACUAAUGUCAUUUGGUAUCCAUUUCGAAAUUGAUUACAAUUGAUCAAUUGAACCAUUACGAAUGAUAUUCGUUUUGAUUCGGGAGAAUUAACGUCUGUCUAGAAAUUGUUUAAAUCGAUUUCCAAGCUGAAUUGAUUUGAACUAUCUUGAAAGUAUUGCGUGUGGUACGAAUCGAUUUAUUGGCUAUCAGUUCUGGGUUUGAAGACCGUGAUUUAAUUCACUCGCUGAAGGGAUCUCGCAUGAAUCUCCUCGGUUGAAUUUCAAUUCUUUUUUAGUUCAUUCGUGUUCCCAGAUUGGGCCGAAAAGAUCAUCACGGGUGUUGGGUUGAUGUCCUAAGCAUGAAACGAUGAAGAAAUUAUCCAGUGACAUUGAGGAGGUGAAGAAACGUGUGAUGUCAAGCCUUCAACGCGUACAUGAUAUGGCGGCGAACGACCGAAGGGCGGCGACUGCAAAGGCUGACCUAAUUUCUGUGAGGAAGAAAUGGUCGGACAUGAGUGGACCCGAACCGGUUUACGUGAACCGUGAAACAUAUAAAAACUGAAAUACAGGAAAUGGACCGAGCGGAGAUGGUCCCAUGAAGAUUGUUGGCCCAAAGGCGUGUGGGCCGAUUGUUUUGAAUGAAAACGUGAUGAAGCCCAGUGAGCCGGUAAAGGGGCUGAAGCCGAAUGGUGUGGACACAUUUACGAAUGGAAUUGGUCAUGGAUUUCUGGUUGAUGGGCCAUCGUUGAAUGAUGGGCCGUCCAUCUCACACGAAACUGGGAUCUCACAGAAGGAGUGCUUACCUGCUGGUGCUUCAAGUGUUCAGCAUGUUGGGCAAAUUGCAACAGCCGAAGGAUAUGGACCUGGGCUGGAUGCUAUUGCAAGUGCCCCAAAGAUUGGGCCGGUUGAUGGGCAUUUGAAUGAUGGGCCAGCCAUUAGAGAAUCGUUUGGUAUUAAUUCAAAUGGUGGGCCGCCUGUUUCGAUUCGUGGGCAUGAGGUGCAGAAAUCUAAUAAUUCUGGAGGUGCAGGCAAAAUUCAUGGGCUUCCUUAUUUGGCUCAACAAGAGGUUUCUCUAUGACCUAUACACCUCUGACUACCGUGGGAGAGAAAAUUGUGGUGACCCCGUUUGAAGAAGUUAUUAGUCAAGGAGUUAGAGUGUGGGAGAACUCCCUCGUCAGCCAAUUAAUUGAUGCAAAAUUGCUGUAUCUAGUCAUCUAUCGUCUUAUAGAGAAGAUUUGGGGUAGAAUUGAAAUGCCAACAAUUACUCUGAUGGAGAAUGGGCUCAUCUGCUUUCAAUUCAAACAUCUGAAGUCGAUAGAGUGGAUCUUAUCCCGUGGCCCAUGGCACCUUGGAGGCAAACCUAUGCUCCUCCGCAAAUGGACUCCAGGUAUAGUUCCUGAAUCCUUUGUCUUUGAUUCAGUUCAUGUUUUGAUAAAGUUAGGGAGGAUUCCGUUGGAGCUAUGGACGGAUGCUGGUUUGGCUGUGGUAGCGAGUGCAAUAGGAAAACCUCUUUCAGUUGAUCUUGCUACUAAAGAGAGGCGUCGUCUUUCUUAUGCCCGUAUAUGUGUGGAAUUGAAUGUGGACAGUAUUAUGCCUGCCGAAGUAACAGUCAACCUUAGAGGAGAGGAAUUUAUUGUAACUGUCACUUAUGAGUGGAAACCGAAAAAAUGUAACUUGUGUCGAUCUUUUGGACACUCGCAGAACACCUGCCCUAAGAAAAGAGGCAAUGAAGAUAGUAAAAAGGAAGCUGCAAGUAAAGAGGUUCCUGUUAAAGAGGUUGUUCCUACUAAAGAGGUGGUUCCAAUUUGUGGGGAGUAUGAAGAUGUUGUGUUGGAAUCCUUCCAACACAUGGAAGAAGGAGAAAUUAUUACCCAUAAACUGCCUGAAAAGGUGGAGGUAAAUUGGGAGGAAUUUACCCCAGUUGACAGGAAAAAUAGGGGAAUGAUCUCUAUUUGGGACAGAGGGAAAAGGGCGGAAGUGAGUAUCACUAACUCCUUUAACAACCUCAUGGAGGUGGAUAAAGGAGAUAAAUGGCCUUUAUCUAUAGUGGAUGCCUCCCCUCCUCCCUUACGAGUAGAUGACUCUUCUAUGGUCCUUUUGAGUACUGCAGGUGAUGUAAUUCCUAUGGGAGAGGCGGCUCCCAUACGACCUCAUGGUUAGUUGGUGUACGUGGAACGUGCGGGGCCUUAAUAGCCCUAUAAAGUGUAGAGCGGUGAAGGACUUCUUAGCUGUGUCUACGGUGGGUUUCUGUUGCAUCCUGGAGACUAGAGUUCGAGAGGAGAACUUUGUCUCGAUAUCUAGAAGAUUUGUGAUUCGUGGGGGUUCAUUAGUAACUACAGCGAUAGUGGAGCAGGUCGAAUGUGGAUUAUGUGGAAACGUAACAGUUUUGUGUUCACGACUAACGAGGUUGUCGACCAGUUUAUUUUUGGUGUAAUAACAGAUUUGAUCUCUGGGGAGAAGGUAGAGGUUCUGUGUGUGUAUGCCUAUAAUAGUAACAUCGAGAGACGUGUUUUAUGGAGGCAAAUGGCUGAGAUCUCUGCUGGUUGGAGAGGACCGGGUAUGGUCUUGGGUGAUUUUAACACCAUCAGACUCCAGUCUGAAGCAUUCGGGGGUGCUCCGAACGUGGGGGAUAUGGAGGAGUUUGACAUGGCUAUUCGAGAGGCGGACCUUGUUGAACACGCGGUCCAGGGGAACUGGUUUACUUGGACUAGUAAGAUACAUGGGUCGGGUUUGAUGAAGAGACUUGAUCGUAUCCUAGUGAAUGAUGAGGGGCUUAGUACAUGGCCUAACAUGAGGGUUAACGUCCUCCCGUGGGGUAUUUCUGAUCAUUCUCCCAUACUUGUCUAUCCCAGUAAUCAGCGAAGCCAACAAGUGGUCUCUUUUCGUUUCUUUAACCAUUGGGUUCAAGAAGCGUCCUUUAUGGAUGUUGUGUCCUCUGCUUGGACCAAAGAUACUAGAGUUUCUCCAAUUGUGAAUAUUGUGAGGAACUUAAGAAAUCUCAAGUCGAUUCUUCGCAGACAUUUUGGUAGGCAUAUCCGGACCAUCAGUGAGGAUGUUCGUCUUGCCAAUGAUACCAUGGACCGAGCUGAAAGAGAGAUGGAGACGAACUCUCUGUCGGAGGAGGCGAGUAAUCACGCGAGCUUAGCCACGGUAAACUUUUGGAAAGCGGUUAGAGUGGAGGAAGCCGCUAUGCGUCAGAAGUCGCGAACCAGAUGGUUGAAGCUAGAUGACCAGAAUACUGCCUUUUUUCAUCGAUCUGUUCGAUCAAGGCAGAGCAGCAAUGCUUUGAGAUCAGUUAUUGACCCAGAUGGAAAUCGGUUGACUAACCAUGAUCAGGUGACUCAGGUGGUAGUGAAUUAUUUCAAAGAUAGUCUGGGUUCUCAGAAUAUUAGCUAUGGAGAGCUCUCUACUAGUAUUGAGGAGAUUGUUCAGUUUAGAUGGACUGAGGAGUGUUGUCAGGCCCUCCAGUCGCCUAUUGGCAGGGAGGAAGUGAGACGUGUUCUGUUCUCCAUGGAUGGUGGAAAGGCUCCAGGCCCUGAUGGGUAUUCAGUUGGCUUCUUCAAAGGAGCUUGGACGGUGGUUGGAGAGGGUUUCUGUGAUGUCGUCUUACACUUCUUUGAGACCAAUUACUUCCCUCAAGGGUGAAUACGACUGCUAUUACACUUAUUCCUAAAAGGAAUGGUGCUGAUCGAUUGGAGGAUUUCAGCCCUAUAUCUUGUUGCAGCGUUAUUUAUAAGUGCAUUUCAAGAAUAUUGGCAGAUAGGCUUCGUGUGUGGCUUCCUUCUUUUGUUAGUGGAAAUCAGCCAGCUUUCAUCCCUGGGAGGAGUAUUAUUGACAAUAUUCUUCUUUGUCAGGAGCUUGUAGGGGCAUACCAUUUGCACACAGGAAAACCUCGGUGCACUAUGAAGGUUGACCUCCAAAAAGCUUAUGAUUAUGUUAAUUGGGAUUUCCUCUUUGGCCUGCUGAUUGCCAUAGGUACGCCUUUAAGAUUUGUGAGUUGGGUUCGAGCGUGUGUGACCUCUCUGAUGUUCUCCAUUAUGAUUAAUGGAUCGUUGGAAGGUUUUUUCCAUGGGAGGAAAGGACUUAGACAAGGUGACCUUUUAUCCCCGUUCUUAUUUGUGAUGGUCAUGGAGGUGCUUUCUCGCAUGUUGAACAGCCUACCUCAGAAUUUUCAAUUCCACUAGUUUUGUGAGAAGGUCAGAUUAACUCAUCUUACUUUUGUAGAUGACCUGAUGAUCUUUUGUACUGCUGAUAAUCAUUCUAUGAGUUUCAUAAAAGAGACUAUUAAGAGGUUUGGUGAGCUUUCGGGACUGUUUGCUAAUCUUGCUAAAAGCUUAAUUUUUCUUGUGGGGGUUAAUAGUUCGAAAGCCUCUCGGCUUGCUGCUAACAUGGGUUUUUCCAUUGGUCAUCUCCCUGUUCGUUAUCUUGGGCUUCCUCUCCUCUCUAGAAGAUUGCGGAGCUCUGAUUGUGAUCCCCUUAUUCAGCGUAUUACCAGUCGUAUUCGGUCUUGGUCUGCUAGAGUGUUAUCUUUUGCAGGUAGACUUCAGCUUGUUCGCUCAGUCCUUAGGAGCCUUCAGGUUUAUUGGGCUAGUGUGUUCAUGCUUCCUAUGAAAGUCCACAGAGACGUUGAUAAGAUCUUGAGGGCUUAUUUGUGGAGAGGUAACGAGGAGGGAAGAGGUGGUGCUAAAGUUGCCUGGGAUGAGGUUUGUCUUCCUUUUGAUGAAGGAGGUCUUGAUAUUCGCGAUGGAUCUUCUUGGAAUAUAGCAAGCACGUUGAAGAUAUUAUGGUUGCUACUUGUUAAAUCUGGUAGUUUAUGGGUUGCUUGGGUGGAAUCUUAUAUCCUUAAAGGGAGAUCGCUCUUGGAGAUCGAUGCUGGGGUGAGUCGAUCUUGGUGCUUUAGGGAAAUCUUGCGUAAGCGGGAUAUCCUUAAAGAUCAUGUUAAGAUGGAGGUGGGCAAUGGAAGGAAGUGUAGAGUGUGGUUGGUUCCAUGGAUUCAGGGUGGGCCGAUUAUCCAGCAGUUUGGGGAGAGGGUGAUCUAUGAUGCAGGUAGUCGGUGGGAUGCGAGGCUGGUGGAUUUCAUGGGUCGGGAUGGUGAUUGAAGGUGGCCGCUUGUUUCUUUGGAUUUGAUGGACAUUUGGGAUAGGGUUCAGGGAGUGAGGCCGAGUCCGAGUGUUGAGGAUAGGUGGGUCUGGGUGCCGGGGAGUCAUGAUAGUUUUUUAUCACCAGUGCGUGGGAGACUAUUCGUCCUCAUAGUAGUAGGGUUGGUUGGUCGGGUUUACUAUGGGGUGGGGGAAAUAUUCCUAAGCACUCCUUUUGUGCUUGGUUGGCCAUCAGGGAUAGGUUGGGUACUAGAGAUAGGUUAAGUCGGUGGGAUAGGUCGAUUCCUUUAUCGCGUUUGCUUUGUGGAGGGAACUAUGAGUCUCGUGAUCAUUUGUUUUUUUCUUGUCAUUUUGGGUGGGAGGUUUGGUCGAGGAUCCUUUUGCUUAUGUCAUCUUCUCAUAGAAUCGGUUAUUGGGAAGAGUGUGAGGAGAAAACUGUGGCGCCUUCUCUGGUGUGCUACAAUUUAUUUCAUUUGGCAGGAGCGAAAUCAUCGUCUUCAUGGAGUUGCUAUUCGGGAGCCUAUGGUUGUAUUCCAGCUCAUUCGGUCGUGUAUUAAAGCGCGUGCUGCUUCUUGGUCGGAUGGUGUUCAUGGUCUUGUUUAAUGUUCUUUUCGUUUGCUUGUCCCCGGGCUGUGGGGUUUCUCUUCUCUUUAUUAACUUUGUUGUCUUUCUCUCUUCUUCUUUUCCUUUUAAUGUUUGGAACACUAGUUGGUUUCUUUUGGUUUUAGUUCUUGUUCCCGAGAUGUGGGGUUGUUUUGGGUACUUAUGGGUUGUUUUGUCUAACUACUUGUUCUAUGAGUGUUGUUCGCUCUUUUGUCUUGACCUUAGGCUGUGAGGUCCACCUUGUUGUUGUAUAAUAUUAUCAUUACCUUUUCAAAAAAAAAAAUCAAACUCAAUGCUAAGUUUGACUGCUCCCUUCGAAGUGACAACAAGCCUUGUUUUUGCCCUACUGUGGAUCGAGGAGGAUUCCUCCUCUUUUCAAAGCCCUCAAUCAAACUUGACGUUAUGUUUAAAACACUAAAAAUAGAUGGUCUAGUUUUGGUUAGGCCAAAAGCGAUGUUUUCCCCCAAAAGCUCUAAUAGCUAGGGAACUCAACAUGUUCUACUUGACCUAACCGACUUGAGUCUGUAUUUUUUAUGAGCUUUUUUUAAUGCAUAUUGCAUAUGUUUUUUUUUAUAAUUGUUGAUUGUCUCACUUUUUUAUGGUCUGCAUUUACGAGCCUCUUUUCUUUCUUUGUUAUGAACUGCGGUAACUAGGCAUUGCUAGAACCGAUGGGGUAACAUUUCUAUGGUUCUACACUUAGUUUCUAAGUGUGAUUGCUCACCUCUAAUUUUCAAAACACUUAAUUUCUAAGCACAUACAAUGCUCACCUAGAAAAAAAUGAAAAUUGUUGUAGUUAAGAUCAAAACUAAAUAAUUAUGAAAUAAGACAUAAGAGAUUUGAUUUUAACAACCUUCCCGUUGUACUUGGGAUCCACUCUGGCUUUGUGCUGGAAAAUUGGUUUGGAGCUAAUCGUAAGCUUUCGGUUGCUCUUCUAAAACCUUUAGAUACUCUUCAAAGCUAUAAGCUUUGCUUCCUGACGAAGAAUCUUCUACUAUUACAAUACAUAAGAAAAUUCUAUUUCAUAAACCCUGUAUCAUAAUUGAGGCUGAUAGAAUGAUUAUUCUAUAACCCUACCGAUAGUUUCAUUCUUAACAUUCAUAAACACGAUGCAUGGCAGCUAUCCAAUUCUAUUUCAUGUUCUCGAGAAUGGCUCGGUUUAACAAUAAUGUUAAUUUUUGUUUUCUAUUUUAAAAUAAUAACGCUGCUUACUAAUCUUUUUUUUUCCAUUUGGCAUUCUACUUUUUCUACUCAGCUUUCUUUCCCUAGUGAUAACAAAUAAUACGGGUGAUAAAAAACUUAAUCACUCACUUGUUUCAGCCACUGAAAGCCCUUCUGCUUUAGAAAUAGAAGAUGGGUUUGAGUAGGUAGAUUUACUUGCAUUGUAUGUGCUGUUCAUUGAACUCUCAAUUUCAUCGAGACCAAUUUCUCACUCAAACAUGGUCUUGCAUUCUCUAGAAACGUCCUACAAACAAAAAUGAAGAACAAAAAACUACAAUAAGGUCUAUGAAAAAGUUACAAAGGAAAAUCUCAAAAACUAAUAUGUAAGUCAUAACAACCUUAAGUCUUCUUAUCGUGGGUUAAAAUGCACGUAAGGUUUUUCCAAGAGUCCGAGCAACUAGCAUGUAAAUAAGUUAAGUCAACUAAAUUUGCUAUAAAUUUACUCGUAUUAACAUUAUCAUUGUUAUAGACUUGACAACUUCAAAUUUAUCAAUAUAAAAUAUGCUUUAACAAAACGUACCUUGAGGUUCCUCCAACCUUAUUAAAAAAGCAAAUAAUCCAACAAUUUAACAAAUUUAUAGUGCAUAUUAUGUAUAUCAAUUGAUCACAACAAAAUAAGAUCGAACAAAUACCCAUGAGUAAUAUUUAGCCACCAAAUGAAUAAUGAUGAAAACCUGAAAACAAAACCGAGAAAAAAAAAGAAACAAUUCAUCAAUAAAACAAAUUUAGGGGACUAAAAAGUUGUUUACCUUAUUACACACUUCAAAAUAUUAAGAAAAGUGGAGGGAAAAAACCAACCAAUAAUCAACAAAUAAACUUCAACACAAAUAGCCAUAAAUUUUCUUCUUUAAAGGUAUCACAAAUAAGUCCAUCAGUAAUAACAAAAUAAAAAAGGGCAAUGUGCAAUUGAAUUCUGCAGUCGUAAAGCUAUGCUAAAGGCAGUAUGAAAUCAAACUUGAGCACUAACAAGAAAAUUUGCAAAACAAAAAUUACUAGACAUCAUUAACUAAAGUACCAGCACAACAAUGAAUGUGUAACCUCCGCAAGAGCAAACCCGAAUGGAGAAGAACAUGAAGAAAUAUAUAAAUAGAAGAAACAUAAAAGACAAACAUGAAACACAUGGAAAUAUACAAAGGGGAUAAAUAAAAGUACAAUUAUAAAGUGAUGAAGCACAAAUAUAGGUAUCAACAGAACCAGAAUACAAGUCUUACCCUAUCUCGACUGUCGAGGAGUGUUAACCAACCGUCGGAAGGUUGGUUUAUUUUUUAGAAAAAAUUAAUGUUGUCUGAAUUCUUUUCCAAGCCACUAACCAGCCCCUCCUUAUCUAUGAUCGGCGAUCAACUCCUCAACCUCUAAUUACAUUUAAAAGAGUGAUGCGAACAUUGUGUGAAAUCCCAAACCUUUGAUGGAUCCCACCAUCACUCUCUUUCUAUCCCCUUCAAAACCUCAUUAUUUUCAAGAGAGGCCUCAAAGCUUCUUCCAAUUAACAUAAAAGAAGAAUGAAAGAGAAGGAGAGAAAGGGAAAGUGGUUCAAAAGCUAUGGAAAAAAAAGUAAAAGAAAAUGGUCUACUCAUUGGCACAUCUUACACAGAUGAUAAUGUUAGGGCAAGGCAAUGAGAGACAGAAUGCUUUUGGAGCCUUCUCCUCUACUUUCGAAGAUUUUAACAAACUAAAAUAUGCAAAUGUUACAAGAAAGAUCUUUGGAGAUUUGAAAUAAUCCAAAAUAAAGAAAAAGGAAAACCCCAAUAUGUACAAAUUUCAUAAUCUAAAACUUGAAAAGUGAUUGAAUGAUGAGAUAUGUUUGUACAAUCAAUUAUAGAGACAGUGAAACAUUAAAACAAAAAUGAAACGUACCAAGAUAAAAAGAAUAGCAACUAGUAUUAUGACCUUUGUAUGUCUUCAAAAUACAAACAUCAAAAUGAAUCAAGAGAUCUACCACACAAAUACUGGUAUCAACACAAAUAAAGCAAUUGUUUUAGUAACAAUAUUUGAGUACAAUUAAACUAAGCAUGCUAUUGUCCUUGACAAAUUUACAUUCUUCUAAUCGAACAAAAUCUGACCUUUAAAUAAUGAUAGAAACUGAAGAUGAAAGCAAGUUUAGCUACAACUUCAGACCGUGAUAUAUAUGAUGGAACCUAUAAAAAAAAAGAAGAGUACCUAACUAUAUAUACACAGAGGAGAUCUGAUGCUUUCUAGCACAUCAGAGGCUCAAUCAAUUUAUAUUUAAUUGAAAAACAAUCCCUAUAUUUUAAUGCAUACACAUUGAAUAGCCCCUGUUUCAAUCCAAUUUACAAAACUACCUCCAUAAAAUUACAUAAUGGGGGAAGUUCGACCGGAUGCACUGUGCUUUACCAGAACCACAUGAAAUUAUUGGAACAUAGUUCAUUCAAUUAACUUUCUAUUCAAUAAUUGAAACAAAUGGAAAGAGGAUAAUUGAAUAUUAAAUAAAGAUGGAAUUAAUUGGGAACUCACGGAGUAAUGCGAUUUGUUCGGGGGCUCACCACUGGAGUUGGAAGAGAGACAAGGAUUAGAAAGGAAAGGAAGAGGAGCGUCUGAUAAUCCAGCGGAUUCUUUGAUGAGUGGAGUACUAGUAGUAGUAGUGGAGGUUCCAAGGACAUUGAAGUCAAUCCGGUGAGACUGAGGGAAUCCAGAAGGUUGAGGUUGAAGAGAGUAGAAAUUGCAACCAAAAUCGGUGACGAUGGUGGAAUCGAAAUUGCGAGGGAAGAAGAAAAGAGCAUCACAAGUCGAAGUAGAGGAGGAAUCAACACUGGAGAAAGGAGUAAGAUGAGGAGAACCUGCCAUUAAUGGAAGAGGGAGGAAGUGAGAGAGAAAGGAGAGGGAAUUAAUUAAUUAAAGAGAAUUAGGGUUUGAGAAGAGAAAGGGAAAAUGGAGUGUACGAACAAAGAAAAAGAAGAAGAAAUGGAAAGGACGCGCUAAGAGAAGAAGAUGGAGAUGGAUCGGUGAAAUGGGUAUGAUAGGGUUUCUUCCUUAAAGAAACGGAAAUUGAGAGAUAGGCCUUAGGGUUUUGAGAAGAGAAAGGAAAAAUGGAGUGUACGAAGAAAUGGAAAGGACGCACUAAGAGAAGAAGAUGGAGAUUGGAUCCGCGACUAAGAGAAGAAGAUUGGAGACUAAGAGAGAAGAUUCAGAUGGAUCCGCGAAAUGGGUAUGAUAGGGUUUCUUCCUUACAGAAACGGAAAUUGAGAGAUAGGCCAAAGAAGACAAGAGAGCAAGAGAGAAGGGGGAGAGAGGAGGAGAGGGAGAGGGAGACUUGGCCGUUAGAGAAGAGGAGAAAGAAACUUUAAAUGAGAGAGACUGUACAUGUAGGGUUUUUAUUAGAUUUUUUUUUUUUUUUUGAAAUCUUGCUUAAUUGGAUUUAGAGAAUUUUGUGUAUUCGGUUCACCGACUCGUAUUAGCUGUCCAUUGGUCCAUUGUUUUGUCCUUUUUUUUUCAACAAACUAAAUGUUUUAAGCCAUUUACAAAUUAGAUUUCGAUAAAUCGAUAAUCAUAUUUUUUACAAUAUAGGACUAAAAAAGAUAACUAUAUAUAUAUAUAUAUACAUACAACAGUAUUUAGUUAAAUUACAAAAAAAAAUUCUUUUGAAUUUUGUAGUUUGUGUAAAAAAAUUACCUUAAACUUUGAAAUGUUAAAAAAAAUUGUUUUGAACUUUUAAAAAUUAUUCAUAAAUACAUCUACAUACGUAGGAUGAAGGUAUUGGCAUGCUUCUCUAAAAAAACUUUCCAAAAAGAUGUUGUGUGACUUUUGAAAAGAAAAAUUACAAAUGGGGUCGUUUUUAAACAAAUUAGAUAUAUCAAGUUAUAUUUCUUUAAUUUUUUUCCUUUUUUCACAUAUUAUCAAUCACAUCUUACUUUUUUCUUUUUUCUUUGGAACCCUGCAAAAAUAACAAAAACAUUUAUAAUCACAUGACUCAUGUCACUACAUUUUCUAAAUUUUAAAAGUAGUAAAUUUAAAAGUUGAUAACCCUAUGAUUAUCGUUUGAUAGUCAUCUAAUAUCACUAAUUUUGUCAUAUUCUUAAUAUCCAAAUAAGGUUUCUUGGUGAGUCUAGAGUCAAACGUGAGGACUUAUACUAAAAAUAUAUUUAUAUUUUGAAAUUAUCUUAAGGUGAUUAAUAACAUACGCCUAAGAACAUAGCGGUAUCAUCCACUUGUAAGGGGGGAGGGGAGUCAUCCACUAUAGAUAAGGUCCACUUGUCUCCCUCACCCAACUUCAUAAGGCUGCCAAAAGAGUUAGGCAUAAUCACAUCCACACGUUUACCCUUCUCUCGAACAUAAACCAACUCUCUUUUCUUCCUAAUAACGAGUAAUUUCAUCUCGAUUACCUACCUCCUUUUCCUUAAUAUGCCUAAUGGGGGAGCUAUUAGUUUUACUUUCCUCCAACUAUUUAACGUCUAACACCACAUCCACAAGACACAAUUGUCCGUUCCUCCUCUUUGUUUGAAACCACCUUGCUCACAUCCUCCUCUCGAUGAACUUUGUUUUCCACAAUCUUAGGACACUUACCACUAGAAUGCCCAAAAGACCGGCACAAAUUAUACCUUCGAGGCUUCCACUCAUAAUUCACAGUCAUAACGAAAUCCUCUCCCCUAUGGUGAAUUGUAAAUUCAGCAAGCAUAGGAGAGUCCACAUUUGAUUCAACACAUACUCAAGCAUGUGACAACCUUCGUCUUUCCUUAGUAGCUAGAUCUAAAGAUAGAGGUUUGCCUAUAGCACUAGCCACAACAGUCAAUCUGACAUCUGUCCAUAACUCCAUUGGAAUCCUACCUAGUUUAAUCCAUAUAGGAACAUAAUAAAAAACAAAGGAUUUAGGGACAAUACCUGGAGUCCAUUUACGGAGGAGCAUACUUUUGCCAGCAAGAUGUCGCGAUCAACGAGAUAGGAUCCAUUCAACAAGUUUUGGGCAUUUGAAUUGGAAACAGAUGAGUCCGUUCUCAAGAAUUGUAAUCGUUGGCAUUUUAAUUUUAUCAACAAUAACAACGAGCUAAACGAAAUCCUCUAUCCAGGACGCACUAAUGAAAACUAAAAUGUAAAAUAAGUACGAAGUAAUUAAUUAAAACAGAAGACAAAAGAAACCCAAAGUAAGUUGACAAAAUGCCCACAAUAAGCUUCAAGAUGAGUGAGAGGGAACACCAAGAGAAACAUGAAUAGCCUUGCUAACUUUUCACUACUAGCCAACUACAUAUAUUUUUACAAUACGUGUUAGGGAAAUCUUUCCCUUUGCAAAACAAACCAAUAUAUAAUCAAUCAUUGGCUCCUUAUGGGAAAAUACAGAAGCCCUAUACAUGUCUGUUUCAAGCCUGUGUUGAACAACUUUUAAUUCCCUAAGAUAAGGAGAUUUAUCUGAAGGUUCGAGAAUAAUGACAUGUCCUAAACUAACCCACCAUUUCGCAACAGUGAACCAGUUUGAUCGUUAGGGGACAACUUUUGAUAAUAAGCGCACAACCAUGCCCCAAUUCCAAUGUUGCCCAAAAGUAAAGGCCUUUCUUCACAAUGCUCCAUAAAAAAAAAGUUCGACUUUCACAUAAAGAUCUUAUUUCUUUUUUAUUGCUCCAAGAGAUCUAAUAGAUCUAUUUUCACCACGCAAAUCCCUUUUGUUAUCAUGGAAAAUGUGUUGGUUGUGCUCAAACCAAAUCUCUGCUAGCAACACUUUUAUCAAAUUAACCCAUGUUUUUUUUUAAAAAAAAGAGGAUAUGAGUUUCACUAUUAUUAAUAUUGAAAAAUGAAGAGACAAAGCUCAAUGUCAUGAGGAUUAUACAAAGAGCAAUAGGAUGGAGGAUCAACAGACGCACCUGGACAUCUCAACUAGGUUGACACCCCCUUAGCGCCCUCAUCACAUCCAAAAAGCGACAACACAAGAUCAAAACCAAAAGCCACAAAUAGAAGGCUUUUUUUGUGUUUGUUUUGCCUUUGGACAUUACUCCUUUGUUAUGGGUUUUAGCUUGGUUGGAUAUGAUGAGGGUGCUAUGGGGGUGUCAACCUAGUUGAGAUGCCAAGGUGCACCCCCUGAUCCAUGGUUACAUGUUCAUUGUAUAACUCUCUUGUACUAUGAGCUUUUGUCUAAUUAUUAUUAUUAUUUUAAUAUUAAUAAAGAGGUUGUCUCCUUUUCAAAAAAAAAAAAAAAAACAAAAAACAAAACAAAACAAAAGCCACAAAUAUAAAACCAAACAAAAUGAUAAAAUAAUAUGUCCAAAACAAAAUCAUAAAUCAUAGGUAGCAGGUCGAGAACAAAGAAGAAUAAGCCUUGAUUGAGCAAAAAAUCCCAACAAAUAUUGAAUGUUUGGAGAAGACGGAACCAACAUUUCGAUACAAAGACAUAGUCAAUUAAAAGGUGCUAAAUAUUUUUCAUGUUAUCAACACAAAUGGGGCAGACAUGAGGUGAGAGGACAUGGGAGGGAAGUUUUCUUUGAAGUACUAAAGCACAGUUUAAUUUUCCAAACAACGUAAUCCAUAUGGGGAUAUUUAUCCAAAGAGUGAGCUAAAUAGCCCAAUGAGUGAUUGUUUUAUAAAACAUCGUUUUGAAAUAAUAAGUAUUUAACAAUUAACUCUUAACAUAAAUGAAAUCAAACUCAAACAACUUAUCUCAAACUUUCCCUUUCAGUUGCUAUACCUAGAAUCGUCGAGACGAAAAACAAUAAACUAGGCAUAGAAGCCCUAUCCCGUGAUACGAUACUUACGAGAUGAAACUCUAGGCAUCAAUUGUGCCCUAUCUCGUUAUAACUACAAUGAGAUGGAAAACUAGGCAUUCGUACAGGCUCUCAUCCCUUGAGAUGGGAAACUAAGCAUCUUUAGAAGUCUUCAUCUCUUAUCUAAUACCAAUGAUGGAAAGCUAGGUAUUUACUGAAUAUCCAAAUCAAAUGACCUCUAUGCACAGAAAUAUAUCUCCCGAAGGGUUGCUAUAUAUCUUAGAAUAUUUUAGGUAUACACUAAAACAUGCUAAUAUUAUUUUCAAGCUUAAACAUUUUGAAAACUUAGCACAAUCAUGAUUGCUUAUAAUUUUCAUUAGUAAAUUCAUCAAUAAAAACAUGUUUACCAAAAUGUUUCUAAAUUCAUGCUUUGGAAAUACUUUAUAAGUCAGUAUUCUCAAAUAUUCAAACAUCAAAGCAUGCUUGAAACAUUUGAUAGUAAAUUCAUGUUUAGAAAUCAACUUUAAACUCAUUUUUGUCAUUUAUAGAGAGUAGCUUGGACCCUUGGCUUAUAAACUUGUUCGAUCUCCUUCAGAUCUAAAAUAAUGAAAAAUAAUGGGAAAUAAUUCCAUUUAAUUCCCGUUGAUCAUAAAAAUAUCAAAACUUUGCUUAAAAUUUCCAAAAACCACAAAAACAGCCCAAAGACAUUAGCUUGCGUACAAAAUAUUGUGGCAGAAGUUGGCAGGUGCGCGUAGGGCUUGCGUGUCACAAUCCAUGUCUCGUUCUAACCUCAUGUGCAGCGUGUCACAAUCACAACUUUUCAAACACGGAACAGACUAUUGUGCGACACUUGUUGUAACUCGAUGAACACGUCAGUUGUAUGAAAUUCGAUACGAUGUAGCCUCCCUAUAGGUUUUAAGAGAAAUUGGUUUUAUUAAACAUGAGAGAGAAAGGAAAGCAUUGGAAACAUGGUUAAAAAAAACUUUGAAGACUGUCCAUUGCAAAGAGAGCUUAAAUUGCAAAGAGUACCAUUAGUGUCGUUUUUAAGAAAAUUGUUUUCUUCUAGAUAUUAUAACUCUCUUUCCUUCUAGAAAUAGAAAAUGAAGUACAAGAGAAUCAUGAGAUUCUAUUAAUUUAUAAAUAAUUAAAUUAAUAUAUAUUUCAAAUCUACUGAUUAAUUAAACAUUAAUCAAUUAGUUAAUAAUUAAUGAAAUCGAAUUUAAUUAAAUAAUAUUAAACUAAACUAUUAAUUAAUUCUCCAAUUAACUAAUAACACUAAAUUAUUUAUCUUAUAUUUAACUUAAAUUAAAUUUGAAUCAUAUUCAAAUAUAAGUUUCUCUCAAUAAUUUUAAUAUGAAUCCAAUUUACAUUAAAUUAAUAUUUGAACUCAUUCAAAUAUUUUAUCUCUCAUAAAUUAAUUUUGAAUCAUCCCCAAAGUUAAAUUUAUAUAGUAAAGUUUGAUCAACAUUAUAUUAUAAUGUAUCACUAUACAUUAUACUAAUUCCCAAGUUAAAUUUAAACAUUUUAAAUUACAACCAAUACAAAUAAAUCUCAUUACCCUUUAAGAGCUAGGAAAGGGACCUAAUGGACCUACAGAUCAGAAGCUACAACGAUCUAAGAUUAAUUGGCUAAACUCAUUAAUCAAUAUUUGUUAGCUUUGUGUACACUCCACUAAAGACUCACAACUGAACUCUUCUCACUAAAAAUAUAUUUAUGUGUCCAUGGAUAUAGACCAAUAAUAGUAAGUUAGUCCUUCACGAGUGUUUGUAACACCAGUUGGACCAAUUUACCGCUUUACCCCUAUGUUACCUCUAAUCCUUAAAAAUCAGUGCUCCUCUAAUGAACAACUUGUUUAUGGUCCUACUAAUAAACAAAAACCCAUCUCAUGUCAUAGAGAGGGUACGAGCCCUUUGUUCAAGUUUUGGAGACACCAUUUAAGCUAACAUUCAUCUACUUACCCUAAAGUAGGAAAUGAGUGAAUUCCAUUUUGUGCAAUUAUAAUCCCAACUCCCCACUCAGUCUUGUCCCCAAAAUCACUACUACAAAAACAGGCUCUCUUGACGGUUGUAGUUUUCCUUUCUUGACGAUUUUUCCCAAAAACGUCAAGAAAGAUGUGAUUUCAAAUAAAAAUACGUCAAGAAUUUUUAUGAAAGGCCAAUUUUCAACUUUCUUGACGUUUAUUAAACGUCAAGUAAGAUGUACUUUUUCUUGACGUUUUUUAAACAUCAAGAAAUAUCUAAUAAUUUUUUGACGUUUUAAAAACGUCAAGAAAUUUAUAAAAAAAUUCUUGACGUUUUUAAAACGUCAAGAUAAUUCUAAAAAAUCAUUGAUGUUUUUAAAAACUUCAAGAAAUUUAAAUUUGUUUUUGAUGUUUUAAAAACGUCAAGAAAUUUCCAAAAAAUUUAUUGUGUUAAUUUUCUUUUACAAAACGCAACGUUUCAAUUAGAUCACUUCCCCUUUUCUUAAUUAAACCUAAUUCGCCGCGACUUUGUCCCUUCUCCACCCGAAAUCAAAAGCGUCGUUCACCUAACCUUCCCUUCGCGUUCAUCUGUGCAUUCAUCUGCGUUCAUCGCCGAAAAAGACUUCCCUUCGCGUUCAUCAGCGUUCACCUUCAUUCAUUUGCCUUCAUCGUCCGUCAUUGUUCGUAUGCUUUGCGUUCCCUUCACCUUCGUUGAUUUGCGUCCGUCUGUUCACCGUUUGAAAUGUGUAAACACAUUCUCUAUUCGAAAACGAGUAAACACGUUCACCGUCCUUCUGUCGCAUUCCACUUUCACUAAACCUCUAUUCGUUUACAAAUCCUUCAUGGUUACUCAUUCAUUUUCUUCCCUUUCUAAAGGUAAUAAUUUUCCUUUUUUCCUUUGUGAUUAAAAUUUGUAAUUUUGGAAUUUAAAAUUGGAAUGCAAAAUUAAAGAAGAUGAAAUAUGCCUUAGAGAAUGGAAGAAAGGUUUUGCAUUUUAGGCUUGAAAAGGGGGAUACAAGUUAUUAUAUAUUGUAAUAUAUAAUAUUUUGAACAAGGCUACCAAGCGUGCGAAUAUGAUUCAUUGGUUAGUUUAGGGAUUGGAAAGAGAAGGAUUGUGGAGUUUGUGAUAAUAUUUUGGUACACUGGAGCUUGAAACAGAGAAUAUUAAAAAACACAUACUGUUAUACACAAUAUUAUAAUAAUACGAAUCACUAGAUUUUCUUCUUCGUUUUCUUUUUCUUCUCCUUGACUUUUUGUUAUGGGUAUUGUAUUGAGUUUUGUGUUUUAGAUUGUGAUUGUGAAGUAUGGGGUAGCUAAACUCUUAAUCCUAGGGAUAGAUGUAGACAAAGUUUAUGAAUUAUUCUUUGUAAUGCAUCUGAUUAUCUGCUCUUAAUCUUUUCAUGUUUUUAUGUGAAUAAUGUUCAUAAUAUCUUAAUCACAGAUUAAUUGUUGAUUGGCCAAUGAACCUUAAUCUUUGCAUGACUAGAGUGGUUAUGAACUUGGAAAGAGCUAAUUAAGGAUCCUUGAGGAGAGUUGUUGAAAGAAGUGGACCUAAAAACUUUUGUUUGUUAAUAAAAAGAAAAAUGAACAGAGAUUCAUCUUCGUGAAGGUCUUGAUGUUUAAUUUAAUUUAAAUUGUGUAUGAAUUUUUAAUUACGAGCAUUUUAAUAUGUUGCGUUUUAAUCCUAGGGAUAGAUGUAGACAAAGAGCACUAUAGCCAAGGUAUAGAGUGAGGGAGAUAAGGUUUAUAUGUCUUAGAGAAUGGAAAGAUGGAAUUUGUGCUAAAAUCAUUAGUGUUCCAAAUACAAUUAUGAAUUGGGUAUAGUUGCAUUCCCCCUUCUGGAUUGCAUAGCACAUAAAUAUACUCUCAUGGAUUGCAUAGCACAUAAAUAUACUGUCAAAAACAAUAACAUAAAACACAAACUUGAUUUAGUUUUAUUCACACUUGUACACCAACAUGUUUCAAGGAAUGAUCAUAUAUUAAAAAUCAUUUUCAAAUUUGGUAAUAUAAAAUGGACGAAGUGAGACCUUGAGGUUUUGACCACCAAUACUAUCUAACUGAUGAGUUUAUGAUUUUUGUUUCUACUGUGUUUUUCCUUAAGCUUUAACUUGCUUUAGGGGCAAGAUGGUGAAGGUCUAGUCCACAACCUUUCCCAAGAAUUUAAUGAUGUUUGGGUUGACCCAAUUAUUGUUAUUGGACACCGUUUUAUGGUAAUUGGUUGUUAUGGUUUUUAAGUGUGUUUUGAUAUCUUGUGUUAAAAAGUAAUUGCAAAAAGUCAGAAAAGUUUGUUAAAGAUUAAGUGUUUUUAAGUUUGUCAUUCCACUUUAAUUCUCACCAGUACUUGCUGAAUGGAAGCCUCUUGUCUAAGACAAUUCGAGUGGAAUAACUCUCGUGACUACCACAACAUUUGGGAACUCACCAAAUGUAAGACUAUUCCUUUAUCCUAGCAUUUGAUCUCUCUCUAUAAUUUGGUUUGCUAUCGUAAGUUUGAUUAAAAUAAAUGCUGAUAAUUCAACUCCAAUGUUCUUAUUUUCUUAACUCUCAUUCAGUCAGUUAGAAUCAGAACUCAUUUAUUUAUCUUGUCUCCAUAAUUUGGAUUCAAAGAUUCAUCACAAUAAUCUUCUCAACAACAUUCUUGAAAAGGUAUUGAAUUUUCAACUGUGUGACCUUUAUACACAAAUUUCUUCAAAGAAAUUUACAUUCUUUAGAGUUUAGAGCUUUGAAUUCUAGUACAACUUAUGAAGCUUUUGAUACUUGUUAGACUUUUUUGCUUGGUGCGGAUAAAACCUUAUUUACAUUCUUUCUUUCCUGCAUGUUCUCUUUUGAUAUUUGUUAGACUUUUUUGCUUGGUUGUCCUUAGUGUUUUCCUCUUUAGCUGAAAUUUCUCUAUCUUGAAAAAAAUAGAGCUUUAAAAUUCAACUUCAACUUUAUUUGAUACUAUCUUAGUCCAUACUUAUUUUGGUAUUUCUUUCCUUUCUCACAAACACAUCUAAGAGGUUGCCUUCACAAUAUGGCCAAAUUAACAAUAUGGCAACCUUUUUCAUUGCAAAACAUAUUAGAGGUUGGUUACUUAGUUAGCCUUAUUGGGUAAAUAAUUGACAUUUAGGUACUUUUUAGUUUGUAUAUUUAUAGAUGCCAAAUCGAUAUGUGAAUUUUAAUUGUUGCUUAUUUGAAACAUUGCAACCAUUUGAUAAAAUGUUGCUAUGUGAAUCCAUCUUAACUUGAUAUAUUAUUUUAUUUUGGUUUAGGUUGUGGAAUCCAAGUUUGUAUUUGAAGUCAAAUUCAUCCAAGAUCAUUGAGUUUCAAAGCUUCUUUAAUUAAGAUUUUGUUUCUUGAACUAGAAUUGUAGUCUUGUGAUUUUUGGAAUAGCAUAGUUGGAUUGGUUUUGUAAUUUUGGGAUUAUCAUAUUAGGUUGGGGUUGACUGAAGUAGUGUUUUGUAUAUGACAAUAUCAAACAAACAUGUAAAGUUUUCGAAAUGUUCAUACAUAUAUGAUUAAAUGUUAAUAUAUGUUAAAGUUUUAGAAUUGUAUUCGUGCAUAUUUAUGAGAUUGUUGGGCCACACUACAAGAAUUAUAGAGACAAUACAGGAACAAAAAUAUAAAUAAAUUAUAAUUUAGAAAAAAAUGAAACAAGCUUCAUGUUUUUUAAAUGUCAUAAACAAAUACAUUCUUGACGGUUUUUCAAUGUCAUUAACAAGUAAAUUCUUGACGUUUUUUAAACGUCAUAAACAAUUGUGUUCUUGACCGUUUUUAAAUGUCAUAAAUUACAUUCUUGAUAGUUUUUAAAUGUCAUGAAUACUCAUUCACUUGACGAUUUUUAACUGUCAUGAAUAUUUGUAUACUUGACGUUUAUAAACUGUUAAGAAUCGCUAUUCUUGACGUUUUAUUAACCAUCAAGAACUUUGACUUUCUUGACGCUGACUUCAACGACGGUUUUAAAACCGUCAAGAAUAGUGAUUCUUGACAGUUUAAAAACGUCAAGAGAGUCUAUUUUUGUAGUAGUGAAUGAUAAGCUUAUUGAGUCGGCGAUCUAGCCACUCUCACUCGUACAAAUCAAAGGACAAUCUCUCGCGAACAAGAGUUCAUAAUACACUCAAGAUUAAGACUAAGUUAUAUAGGUCAUCCUAGUGAAAUAGAAACCUAACUAGUUAAUGUAGUAACACCAAGUGGUUACUAUUUCGCGAUCUGGUCAAUUGCAAUCUCAUUGCAUAGGAUACCUUCACUCGCAUGUCAACUACAUGAACACAUUGGAUCAUUGUAUUUGUAUCAAAUACAAGGUGAGUCGUAUUCAUAAUGUUACCAGGAUAAAGGUACCCAUUCUUAUCCGUAUACUAUAGACCCUUUAAGCUGAUCUCGAACAUUGAUCCUGUAUGUCUCUACAUACUAUUCAAUACUUAUUAAACAGUUUAGGAUGUUAGUUUAUUGGAUUUGAGUUAUUAAGACAAAACUAAUAAUAUAAUCAAUAACAAUUAUUACAAUAAUAACACUUUAUUAACAAUGGUCAAUGGAUUAUAUUUACAAUCUACGAGUUUUAGGACAUAAAUUCCAACAAACUCCCACUUGGACUAAAACUCUCGUCUCUUUGGGAUGUUCAUAAUAAAGUAAUCCUCUAACAUUGAAAAUGGUAAAAUGUACAAGUGUAUUACAUAGAAUGUGUAUAUACAAAUACAAUAAACUAGGGCAUCCUCAUACCCAUUACACAUCUGCCACUUUUCCUAGAUUACCUAAUGUACAUAACUCGCAGAUCUAGACUUUCUAGAAGACCCUCGAACACUUUAGCCAUGAGAGUCUUUGUAAAUGGAUUAGUAAUAUGCCCCACUAUUAUCACAAUAUAAAGUGAUGGGGCAUGUUCAUGUUUGGAACAACUUCCAAAUUAUGCAAGAACUUCCUCACAAAACUGCUUCUUUUGCUGCUUCACAAGUAGCAAUAUACUCAACUUUCAUAAUAGAGUGUGUAAUGACGCGUGGCUCAGGCUGCUUGAUCAUGCCAGGACAUGCUUCUUGCAUGUCCAAGCCUAAAUAACCUCUUUCGCUCAAAACACACGCUCAUCUCACCUUGUCAUCCUGGCAAUCAACCCACCCAUGGCCUUGUCUAGAAAUAUGAUUUUUCUACCAGAAACUUAACUCGACUUUGAAGCUUAAAUCAAUAAGAUUCCUUCUACAAACUUACUUAGAAUGUCUUCACUAGCUUACCACAAAGUGUCACUAACAAAUUCCAAGUAUUGAGUUAUGUAGCUCAAAAUACUCUACAUUGUUCAAGUUUUUUUUUUUUUUUUUUUGAAAAUGACCUUUGAGUCUUUCUUCACUUCAAUGCCUUUCUUCUUGGUAGCCUUUCUCUGAUACUACACUCAAUUUAGGAGAUUUUCGAAGUAGAGUUACCCAAUUAACACAAGUUGAUUGUUAACAUAAUUCGUCCAAAGUUGUACAUAUAGUGAUCCUUGCAUGCUCUUUGGUUGAACCUUUUUUCUCACCUCUUACGCCCAUACUUGCCACUUUCCACUCAUGCAAGACACUUAUUUGGCAAAACUUAGGUAUCUUGUAUGUUGUCCACUUGUACUCUACCGCACAUCUUACCUCAUAUUGCUUAAGUCAUCCUUGGACGCAUAUCCCUUUUUCUAUGAGGGUUCUUUAGUAAAUUCUUACUGCCAAGAAUGCCUAAGACUUUUUUUUCUCGCCUAAUCUCCCAAACAUCUCUCAAUGCCUUCAACAAACCAUGCCAUCUUGACUAGCAUUUGGUUGAAUUGCCCCAUUGGCCGCAUGACCUAUGUCCACAUAGCCCACCUCUUUGUUGCAUGACAUUCCUUAUCCACGUUCUAACUUCUUUAGAGUUUCUUGACAUUUCCUAGAUGCUUAGCUUCCUUGCCUAGCGCAUACCCUUGGUCAUAUAGCCUUGUCUUAUAGAGGUUGUCUUGACACCUUUCGGCCAUACCACAUCUCAACCUUUGGCCACCCAACAUGUCUCUUUAGAGGUUCGCUUGACACUUUUGGCCGCCUAGAGUAUGCAACAUGCCCUAGCCAACACUUAGCCAAUUUUCGAACACCCUUUAGGCCUUUCUUUGUUACGAUGACACUUUUCUUUUAUCAUCUUAAAAAUAUUAACACAUCUUCCAUAACACUUCAACUAAACUAUCCAAUCUUAAACCAUCUUUCUCCUAACAUCAACCCCUAAUGUCCUAUUGAGUUCUUUAGAUGAAUUAAGGAUUAUUGGGUAUCAGUGUUUACACGCGAGAUGUAAGUCUUCCUCCUUGGAAUUACGUAUAGUAGUGUGCGGAGGGAGAGGAAUGUGAUGCAGGUCUUCCUCCUCAACCCUAAGGAAUUCUUCUUCGCUAACAAUGCCCUUUUGAUCGGGUAAGGGCUUGUUCGGUCAGGUCGUGAGGUGAAGGAUGUUGUUAUAAUGAUGGGGGAUUUGGUGGUGAGAGGAUAAUAGACAUGCGAGAGGACUUGGGUAAGAUUGAUGAGGGGAGUUUCAAUUUUUGGAUGAGGACUGGAAUUGAAGGAUUUGGAUUUUGGAGGAGGCAAUGAGAGAGUUAGGGGUAAGAUUGCAAGAGGUUUAGGGUCGAUGGCCACGUCUAGCUUUCAACUUUUUUCCUUUUUAUACGAGUUAGACGCGUCAUCAUGGACAUUUCUCCUCUUGAGGAGUGGUGGCAGCGGAGAAGCCUCUUCUUCUUCUCUGUCAUUCCAUUCUUCUCCCUUAACUUUAUUUAAGGUUUUGAGGUGUCUCUCUUCUUCUUUAUUUUGAUGGAGUGUUAUGGUUUGGUUGAGAUUCGCCUGAGAACAUGCAUAAGGGGUGAUUGCAGAAAAGCUAAAAGCUUAGGAACCGUCGGAGGAAGGGCAGAUCAUUAAUUGUAUGUAACGCCUUCCUCUUACGUGGUGGCAGCAACUUUGAGAAUAGAUUUAGGGAUUUCCGACGUAUCAUUAAUUGCGUGGGAAUAUGUUUAGGGAUUUCUGACGUUUAACAAAUCAGGUCAUGAAUAGGGUGCUAUUCCCGACGUUUUCGUCGUGCGUCAGGAGUUCUCUGUCUUUUUUAACUCCAUUCUUUACAUAAAGGAAACAUAAAGAGAAAUAAAAUGAGAGAGGGAGAGGGAGACCGAGAGGAAGAUUGAGAAGAAGAGGGCAUUGUCAUCACCAUUGUCGUCCCUGUUGUCGUCCCGUCGUCGUCGCCAUCGGUAAGUGGUUUAGUUUAGUUAUUGUUUUGUUUUAGUUAAUUAGUUUUAGUAUUUAGAUUUCAAAUUUGUUUUAGGUGUUAGAUUUUAGAUUUCAAAUUAGUUUUAGUAUUUAGAUUUUGAAUUAGUUGUAAGUUUUAGUAAUGAAAUUUAAUUUCAAGUGUUGUUAGAAUUUUGAAUUAGUUGUAGGUUUUAGAAAUUUGAAUUUGAAGUGUUGAAGUUGAGAUUGAAGUGUUGAAGUUGAGGUUGAAGUGUUGAAGUUGAGUUUGAAUUUAAAAUUUUCAAUUUGAAUUUAGGAAUUAAAUGAAGUUAUUUUUUUUUUAAAAAAAUAGAGGAUCUCCCGACGCAUGGUUCCUAGACAUCUCUCGAUGCUAUAUUGACAACAUCUUCGACGUUCAUACAACGUCAGAAGAUGUCUAGAAACCCUCAACGCACAACAUUGUGCAUCGAGAGUUCCUCUCCCGAUACAUUUUUCCUCACUUGUGUUCCGACAUAUAUUAGUGCGUAAGAAAAGGCUUUUCUGACGCUUUUUAUAUAUCUCCCAAUGAUUUUAUGCAUCGAGAGAGUCCUCAUUUCUUGUAGUGUUAGACAAAGAGCUUGAAUGUGGUAGAGGGGAAAGGCAUGACACCUUUAGGUGCUUUCAUCAAAGGGAGGAUUGAGGUUCUGAUUAUGGCGCUAAGGUUAACUGCCAUCUUCUUCUUAAUGCAAUAAAUCAUCAUUGUGCACUCUAGUGGGAUGGUGUUGUUGUCAACCAGGCAGGCGGUUUCGUUUUCAAGUCUUAGGUCUUAAUUCUUAACAACCUUUGAGUAUUGAUGCUCUACCCCAACCCUCAUCCAAAACGAUAACUAACACAAUGGUUUGGAAGUUUUUGUGAAACAUCAUCUAUACUUUUUCUUUAAUGGUCGAUGAAAAAAAAGUCAGGAAAAUGGUAUUUCUGACCAUUUUAAGUGUUACCAAAAUAUCACAUUUGGUGUAGUAUGGUAUUGUUUUGAAUAUUUUUGUAAAAUAGUGGAUCAAGAAGUUUUACUAAGAUAAAGUUUCAUGUUGGACAAGAGGAUAGUGGAUGGGAAUUAAGUUGAAUGGUCCACUUUUUUUUUAAAUCCUUUAAGGUUUUAUGAAAACCUUUCACAAUACCUUUUCAUAAUCAUUUUGUAAAAAUAAUAUCAAAUCAUUUAAAUAUACCGAAAAAUUAUUUCAUUUCGAAUAAACCUUUCUUUAUGCUUAAAAAAUCAUUUCAUUUUGUCAAGGAUCCCGAAUCGUUCUCUACGCUUGGUCUCAUUACCUCGCGUUUAGACUACUGUAUCAACAGCAUCUGAGAACAUACAAAUUCGUCUUUGUUGCUAUACCGCUAAGCUUUAUACGCUCAUUUCAAUGCAUAAGUCAGCUUCUUAUUACCAUGUAGUUUGUACACUCCAUGGUGGCCUUCACUCUUUAUGUGCACACAAAAGUUAGCAUCAUCUCAAAGAAACAUAGUAUUGAAAUCAUAGUCAUCAAAUCAAGCUUUAAUAUUAUAAAUAAUGCUUGAAAACAUAACUUUUCGUAGAAAUCUUUCUGAAACAUUCUCAUCUGAAUUCUUCUUUCAAAUCAGUAAAGAGAAAUCGUAAUAAAGUUUCUUAACAUAAAUUCUUUUGACUGAAAAGCACUCACCAAACUUCACUAAAGAAGUCCUUCUCACAAACCAUCUUUUCGCGUGGCUAAACCAACAACACUUUAGCAUUUCAACAAAACUCUCGUCAUCCCCUCCUUAGUUACCUAAAUUCUCCUAUUUUAUAGAUCCCUUAUACUAACUUAGUCAUGCAAAUCCUUAAUAUUUAACCUAGUCAUGCUCAAAUCCUUAAUCUUACAUGUUAACCCAUGUCAAAUCAGAUUUGACAUUUUCUUUACAAACCUUGCUCCCCGCCUAACCCAAACCGUGAAUAAAUUCAACCACUUAACAUUUCUCGUGAAUAACCUUAUCGCUUGAUUAUAUUUUUAUUAUAAGAAACGUUCCACCUGAACUAACCAACUUUUACUCGCAUAAAACUCUUAUCACGAAUCUAAACUCCAAGGCUUCCUCGUAGACUUCUUCUCCACGAAACACUUGGUUCUUCUCGCGAAGACCACCCAAAACUCCUAGUCUAACACUCAAAACUUUCAUUUCUUAACUUAACGACCCAACUUUUUACCUAAGUCGAGGUCAUUAACUUUUGACAAAAGACCUUGGUUAAUUAAAAUUUAAAACCUCAAAAGAACAAAAUUUAUUUUGUUUGUUUGGGCCCCAGUUUUAAAUUACUAAAAUUCACAUGAAAAUUUAAAACUAAAAAGUUUCAAAUCUUUGAAUACUUUAAAACUUCAAAAUUUUCUAAACAGUCUCACGUUCGAAUACAAAUAAUACUAUAAAUCACUAAGCGGAAGCAAAAUUUUAAAGUGUCCCCUGUGGCGGUCACGCUUCCUUCCUGCCCCUCGCCGGUUUGCUGCCUUUAUUACCUUUGCCUGAAAAAUUAAACAUAAGGAGGGUGAGUAUAAAAAUACCCAGUAAGAGACCCUCUACUGGUCCCGUCAGGGGAAAAUAAAUUGUUAACAUUCUAUUGGGACACCCUGUACAGUCGCAGUCUUGUGAUCCCGUAGGAUGCACAUUUCAGUCUAACGCCCCGUGGGACGUACAUUUCAGUCUAGUGUUCUGCAGAAACACAUAUCAGUCUAAUGCUCCCGAAGGUCGCAUAAAAAUUGGUGAUCCCGUAGGACACCUACAAGGCAUACAUCCCAAUAAAACUAACAAUUUUUCCCCUCAAUCCAUUCUAACCAUCUUUACGGUAAUUUAUGACAUCUUUCAGUUACUUCAAAAUAUAAAGUUCUUUCACUCAACAUUCUAACAGUCAACCUAUCUCACUUAAGUUCGAAGGUCGUUGAUAACAUUUUAAUACAUCUGUCAAGUAAACAACAAAGUCACAACACCCCUCAUUUUUACCAGCGCAAACCACAGUUCAGUAUAAUCCACAUUCAACCGAAAAAUUCACUAGUUCACAUCCAAAUCUUUAUACAGCACAAUCUAUUAAUAUCAUCAUGUACACAUAAGCAUAAUUUCAGUCAUUCACAUGUAUACUUUCGGCAAUCCACAUCAAUUCACACAUCAAUGUAUUUAUAUAUAUGUUUCCAGUCAAAUACAACAUACACUAAACAUUUAGUCUGCAACCAAACGUGUACAUCUUAAUCAUCAUCCAUACAGUCCAACACAACUCAAAAACUUUAGGUGAGUCCAGUAGAAAGUCCCUUACCUCAAAGUUAGGGAAGCUCCCUUAAUCAACUAUCGUCCACGAAACAAUCCAAAUAAGGGCAAACCGAAAUCAAAAUUCACAAAUUGGUUGUGAAUUUAAGUGAUCCAAGGUUACCUUUCACACCUUCAAGAAUAAUUUAUCAAAUUAGUCAAUUAACCCAUCCGUAACGUUUGAACACCUUGAAAACAUCACAACCCAUACUUAAAUUGUUUUGAAAACGACUACAAUUUCAUAACUUCAAUCUUACCAACAAUACUUCGACGGAUCUCAGUAAAAAUAGGGGCAGCGGCAAUCGAUUCUAAACAAAAACCAUCGUGCAAACAGAUUAGAGUGUACGUCGGUUUGUGAAUCGCGGUUAGAAGAAAAAACACGUUGCUGGAAGAAGAGGAAACGCGCGGCUAGAAGGAGGCGUGCGCGCUGCCUCAAAAUCGAUCGACGAUCUGACGCGGCGACUGGGCUUCACGAACGGAAGAAGAGAGGAAAGGAAUGGACGACGGCUGGACUUGGCUUCGACGGAGACAGAGGUCACGCGGCGGGGCUGGGCAGAGGGUCACGCGGCGGUGGGCGGAGGCCAUGGAUCUGAACGGCAAGGGAAGGGGAGAAGAUGAUGGUCGGCUGGGUUAGGGUACAGGAAAGAGAAGAAGAAAAAGAUGGAGAGAGGGUGUCACACGCGUGAGAGAGGGGAGAGAGGAAAAAGAUAUUUUAAUUUCUUUUUCUUUUCCUUUUUUUUAUGCUAAUUAUAAUAAUAAUAAUAAUAUAUAUUAUUAUGAAAGACUUUUCCAACACUUUUUUUUUUCAAGACAAAACAACAAAAUGACGUCGAACAAAAAUUAAGAGUAAAAACAUCGAAUGGUCCGAUUAAAUUAAUUACCUUAGAGUUUGGGGUGUUACAUUAUCGCACAACUUCUUUCGCGAACUACCCACUUAUCGCAAAAAAGUAUACUUAACCGUAAAAGAUCUUAUCACUUAAUCUUUCCAUGGAUUUAUUUGAACACCAACUUCUUAAUUCUUAGCCGAAUUUUACUUCCUUACUCAAAUUAGAAAUGGGUCGCACAACUUCCUUCGCGAACAACCCACUGAAUCGCAAUAACGUAUACUUAACCAUAAAUUUUUUUAUCGCUUAAUCCUUUUCGUUGAUUUAUUCAAACGCCAAAUUCUUAAUACCUAGCCAAAUUUUACUUCAUUACUCAAAUUAGAAAUGGGUCUCACAUUUAGAGCCUAUCGCUUCUUUAAGAUACAUGAUCUUACCGAUUCAGAGAAAUUAACCACAGGCGUUAUUAGUUUUGAUGAUCUGGCAUUGGAUUGGUACCAAGCACAAAAGAGUUGGAAGUUUUUAAGAAUUGGGCUGACCUGAAAGAACGAAUGCUUGUACAGUUUCGAUCAAUUCGAGAAGGAACUUUGGUUGGAAGAUUUUUCUCAAUCAAACAGAAAAUGAAUGUAGAAGAAUACCGCAACCGAUUUGAUCGAUAUUUAGCUCUGGUAGCAUUUCUUCAAACGGUAGUGUUAGAGGAGACUUUGAUGAUUGGGCUUAGCCCAUGAACAAAAAUGGAAGUGGAAACCGUGGAACCGAUUGGGUUGGCCCAGAUGAUGAAAUUUGCGUUGAAGAUUGAGAAUAAGGAACUAGUGAGAAAAGAGUGUGGGUUGAGCAGUGCAUUUCAUGUAAAACUGCAACUCACCCUAUCUAUUGUGGAAAACAACAAUACAAUGAUGACUAAGGAAGAAACCAGCAAUGGAAAGUCUGCUGAUGAGAGCUAUCACCCUGAAAGGAGUUACUGAUAGAACUAAGACAUGCACAACAGAAAAAGAAUCGAAAUUCUACCCUAAUUGGGCUUAGUUAACGAGACUAAACCAAAAAAUAAGGUUUUUAGAAUACUUACAUUUGAAGCUGCGUUUUAUUCGAACAACCACUAAGUUUGACUUAGUAUCCUCUAGACUCAUAAUCGAGUUGUGGGACCCGUUGGAUGAAAGAACCAGACGAGAGAAAUAGAUGAAAAAAAUGGGCGUGGUAAAUUUUCUUUUUUUUUUAAGUAAAUAAGAAAAAGAAAUUCCAUUUGGUGUGAAAGCCCAAAUAUAAUAGCCAACCCAUCAAAUGAGUUCAAAGGCCCCAUUUAUAAGGAUUUUUCAUUCAAAAUUGUAUGUCCAUGCAAUACUAAAGUCCAACAACUCAAAGUCCACUUUCUCUAGCAAGGACUUGAUAAAAAAAGAGAAUAUGAGUUAAUAGGAAAAUGAAAGGGAAUUCCUUGGAAAGUUGGUUUGUGUGUCAUUAAAAGUCAAGGUGGAAAACAAAGUACAACAUAUGGCUAAAUGUGAGAGUAGGCGUGCAAGUAUAAUAAAUACCUACCAAGAUGUUUAUUAAUAACAUGUGUUUGAUACAUAAUUACAACACUUUGACCAAACAACCAAUGCUUAACUAUUUUCAAAACGUAUGGUCAUCUCGCUGCAAAUCCUUCAACCUUCUUCUCUACUUGGCCUAAACACCUCAUCUUGGAAGAUGAAUUUUUGAAAGAAUGUCUAAAAGACUAAGGUUUUAUGAAAUCCUUUUCGCAAUACCUUUUCAUAAACAUCAUUUCGCAUAAACAACAUCAAAUAAUUUUAUCUCGCAUAAACCUUUCUUUAUCCUUAACAUACUCAUAACAUAACAAUUUCACAUAAACACACAUUAGUUAACAUUCAUUCCUUUCACCAAGGAUUUUGAAUCGUUCUCUACACUUUGAUGUAGAACAUCUCCCUUCUUGAUGUUUCUUGAGUUUUAUCCUAGAGGAGGGGUUUGAAUUACCAUUUUUAUAGUUUAGGAUUAGUUAUUUGAAUUACCAAUUUUGUAUCUUGAGUUAGUUAUAACUAACUCAACCCCAAGUUAGUUUAACAACUCUUGUAAUCUCCAGCCUAUAAAAAAGCUUCUCAUUUUCAUUAAUAAGACAUAAAAAAAGAGGCAUUAUACAUAAAGAUUUCUAGCUUUGCAAUUACUGCAUCAAUUGGUAUCAGAGCGUGAUCCUAGCUCACUCUUCCCUAAAAAAACUUGGAUCCUACCACUCUUAUCCAUGGACGCGGAAGCCUCCUUCAACCAACGCUUGCAGUUGGUAGAACAAGCUAUUGAAGAACUUCGAAAAGGGCAGUCGAAUAUACAACAAUCGUUAGUAGAAUUAACAAACCUUUUUACCCGAUUUCAUGUCCAACCUUUAGAAGAAGCAAUUCAGCCCCCAAGAAACCCAAUUGCAGCAAACCAAGAAAGACAAGAAAAACCAAUAAACCCUGUUGUAAACCAAGAACUACUAAGAAAUCAACCUAUUCACAUCCACAAUAAUCGAUUGUAUGGAAACAACGUACUUGGAAAUUUCUUAAACGAUUCUGACUCUUCCGAUGAAGACAACUUGCUGAACAUUCAUCAAGAACCUCAACAAAGGCUUGGACUUCGACCAUACUUUCAAGAAGAUCAAGAAAUACGUAUGAAAGUGGAUCUCCCUACCUUCAAUGGUCAAAUGGACGUGGAGAAGUUUCUUGAUUGGAUCAAGAACGUAGAAAAUUUUUUCGACUAUGCCAAUACACCCGAACACAAGAAGGUUCGAUUAGUUGCUCUCAAACUUCAAGGUGGCGCAAGCGCUUGGUGGGAUCAAUUACAAAACAAUAGACGAUUAUUCGGUAAACAAUCUAAAGAUUAGCUGAAUAUCUUAUAAAAAGAUGUUGCCAUAGGCUUAGUGGUGACAGGUGAGAAAGUAAGCUGUGUCUUUUAUGACUCUUAAACGUUGAAGUCAAUCAAUGAGUUCCAAAUGCAAUAUUGGAAGUUUUCUUAAAUAUUUUGAUGCUUUUGCAUGUUGUGAAAGAACUUGGUUAGAUGUGAGAAAGGGGUUUACGAGAUUAGUUACUUACUAUUCCCUUUUUCACUGUCAUUGCUACUCAGUAGAUAUGCUAUGGGCUCGUGUUUCUGUAGAAUAUAAUUCAGAUGCUCUUUCUCUAGAAUAUAAUUUAAAUGUUCUCUCUACAAAUUUGAAGUAAUUUCUACUGUUUUUGCUAAUAAUUUAUAUAUUAUAGAGUUAAAUUUAACACAGUUAAUCAUCUUAAGCAUUUGACUCUGGUGUUCUUAAGAUAUAAAUUCAAAUCCCUAUAAUUUUAUCAUCUUGAUCUUUUCAAUCGUCUCACAUACCGUCUUCAUUUCAUAAUCUUGCCUACUAGCUGCGUAUCAUCAAUGAAAUUACCAUAGGAGUCCACAUGUGGUAAUUAUGGAUCUAGCACGAUAUACUGCGUAUCAUGUUGUUGGAGAUCAUUUUAAAUGAUUAACCAGUCUAUUGAUGGUUUGAGUCUUUCCUUUUGAAUCUAUAGGUUGUUCAAUGGUCUAAUAUUAACUAUGUUUAGAUUUAUGGUAAUUUUCAUUCUUUUACAGCCUUAAUAACCAAGGAAAGGUGUGCUUUGAUAAUCUUUUCUUUCUCUUCAGCAGGUUGGUAAUGUAGAAAGGAUACAUGUAUACUAUGCCCACGGACUAGAUAGCCCAACCUUUGUUCGCCGAUGUUAUUGGCUCCUAGAUAAGUAUGUUAUGGUUGAAAGAAAAUUGUUAAAUUGCUUGCUACCAGUUGUUUCAGUGGGGUCUAUCCCCAUCAUGCCACAAGCAAAGAAAAAUGAAAUUAGACAGUGGCAGUAUAUCGUGUUCUACUUAUAUAAUUUAUGACUUGCUUCUGCUUUUUGUUCAGGACCUUUGAACACAUUGUCCUUGUUCAUUAUCGUGAAACACAAGAGGUUAGGUUCAGCACAAUGCAUCUGCAGUUACUGAAAUAUUAUCUUGAGACAAACUUUUAUCAUUUGGACUACUACAUCUAUUUAAGAUUUGUUGAUUUUUCCUCCAUGGUUGCAAUAUUAGAACUUCAUCCAAAAUAAUGUUGUCAUGUGUGUCUUUAUGGUGAUUCAUGUGUUGAGAGUUCUCUUUCUUCUGCUAUCCAUAAAUUUAUGGAAUGGAAAGGCAAUGAUCAUGACACUAUUUUUUGUCAGAUAAACACUGGUUUCAUAUGCUUCAACUUUAUGGUGCUUCACAGCACACAGAUAAAACUUCCAAACAAUCUGCACCCAAUAUUACCAUAAUGCAUUUGGACACUUCAUUAACAACUUCUUACAAUUAGCCUUUCUAUAUUGAAAGUAAUUUGUUAUCUUAACUUCCUGUUGCUGCUAGUUUCAGAAUUUUCCAUCCACAUCGUUGAACUCAAAUUCUGGUUCUGUCUCUAACCCAUCAACUCCGUGGCUUUUAUCGGAGGAACUUGAUUCCAAGGCUACUCAUGUUUAUUCUCUUGGUGAAAAUGAAUUGUCAGGUGAUACUGGCCGAACCUGUCAAAAAUAAAUGAGUCAUAGUUUGUUUGAUCAUUCAUUUUCUAAUCUUUCUUCUUUAUAUUUAAUUAGUUGUUUAAUUUCUUAAAAAAGAAUUAUGGUUUAUUUAUAGUAUAUUUGGUAGUAUGCAUGCCUCAGCUUCUUUAAUGCAUGUCUCUUACAGUAUAUUUGGUAGUCUUUUAUAAUGUUACACCCUUUUUUUAAUUCCUAAUACCUUUUAACUUUCCAAAUUUUCAUUCUUUCUUUUAGAAAAUUAUUUUCAUUAUUUUUUUAUGGUUACAAAACCAUCCAUUAACUACAUUAAUUAGACAAUUCACUCCAAUAAUAAAUAAAUAACUUUUUUGGAUCUAAGGUCUUUUCUCAUUCUACAAAUUUAAUUUACUAUAUAAAGGUUAUUAUGCUAAUUGAAAAAUAUAUUUCUCUCAAGUAUGCAAUGACAGAAAAUUAGGUUAUAAAUAUAAAAAAAAAAAUUAGGUAUUAUAAUUUUUUUAAAAAAAUUAUAUUUUAAUUUUUUAAUAAAACCUUGCAUUUGGGGAUUCACAUGUUGUUACUUGUCGAACCAAAAAGGAUAAAUUCGCGAUGAAAACUCUUUAAAAACCCAAUUCGUGGAAGGAAAAAUUGAACUGUGGCGUUGAGUUAUUUUGUUGUUGAAGAAGAUCAGUAAAAAACCCACACCAUUAAAACUUCUUUUUGUUUCUUUAAGUAUAUUUUAGAUUGCAGCGUAUUUUCUAUUUGGGUUUAGUUAGGGUUUCUCUUGUUUAUUCCAAGAUAUGCAUGGAUAGUUCAUGUUCGACUAUUUGGAAAGAGGGAUUUAUGUAGCACGGGUAUUAUAUUCUGGUUUUGGAAGUGUCGAGAUAAAUUAAGGACUUUUUUAAUCUUCUUCAAACAAACCUAUACGAAGGUGAAGAAUAAUUUGUGCUUGUAUUUUAGUCGGAAUAAGAAGAAACAUGAAGAUAAUGCCCAGGAGGAAAAUAACCAUGAGAAAAAGUUGUGUAUUCCUCCAUCCAUAACUGAGCUCUCUAAUGUGUAUUCCUCCCUCCAUAACUGGCUUACUUUGGACUGUUUGGAUAGAAAGAAACAAUAGAAUUUUUAAGGAUAAAUCAAGGUUUAUUGUUUACUUGUGGAAAGACAUAUGUAACUUGAUCGGAGUUUGGUCUAGGCGUCAUUCAUCUUGUAACCAAUAUGAUGUUACUACCAACUCUUAACUUUAAGCUUUGUAAGAUUAGGUUGUUUCGGGCUUCCCUCUAGACUUCAACCUUGUAACUUUAACUCUAUGUUAAUAGAUAAUGACUCUUAUCCUAGGUUUAUCUUAGUUUGAAGGAUUCGGUUUCUUCUUCUUAAAAAAAAGUUGUAUUUCGACUACUAUUUGGGAGGAAAAUGUGCUUAACUAACUAAAAAUCUAAUGACACUUCCAAAACCAGUCAUUUCAAGAAAUGUUUCCUCAAUAAUAUAUUUAAUGCUCUUCCUUUAUAGAGUAAAACAGUAAAGCAACAAAACCAUUUUAAUUCAUUAUAUAUAUAUAUGUAGAUAUAUAUAUAUUUAUGUAUGUCAUUACUACAAAAAAGGCCUUUCUUGACGUUUGUUGUUUUUCUUUCUUGACAUUUUUUUUCAAAAAAACGUCAAGAAAGGAGUAGUUCCAAAGAUAAAACGUCAAGAAUUUUUACGAAAAGGCGGGGGUAGGUCAAUUUUCAGAUUUCUUGACAUUUAUUAAACAUCAACUAAUAUGUAUUUUUUCUUGGCGUUUUAAAAACGUCAAGAAAUAUCUAUAAAAAUUUUGACGUUUUUAAGAAUGUUUAUAUAUUCAACAUUCUUCAAAAUUUUCAAACGUCAAGUAAUAUGUACUUUUACUUGACAUUUUAAAAACGUCAAGAAAUAUCUUAAAAAUUCUUUAUGUUUUAAAACGUCAAGAAUUUUUAUAAAAAGCCAGAGAAGAGUUAUUUUUUAAAUUUCUUGAUGUUUUUUUAGACGUCAAGUAAGAUCGUUUUUCUUGACGUUUUGAAAACGUCAAGUGUUAUUAAAUAUAUAUAUAUAUAUAUAUAUAUAUAUAUAUAUAUAAAAGAAAAUAUUGGGUUGAAUCCUUCGUAGCCCUAGACUUGUCUCUACCGCAUUCGAAAAUGCCAAGUUCUUUCUGAGGAUCUCUAACUUCUGCCGUGUUCACCGUCCGUCCGUCCGCGUUCACCACGUCCGGGUUUAUCUAAUAUAUUUUUCCAAAUCUUAAAGAAGAACUUUUGAUUUCAUUGGAGUUUAUCAUUAGAGGCAUUACUAUAUUGGCUGCCUCUCAGUGGGCUAUAGGUUUUCCAAUGGUCAUUUGAGACUGGUUGAUAAUAGCAAAAGUUAGAGCUUGAGAAGAAGGAGCGAAGAAAGUAGUGAAGACAAAAGAAGAAAGAAAGCUGAGUGAAAAACGAAAAUUGACAAGGUAGAGAUGUGACAUGAAAAUGAUGAUGAGAAGUGAAGGAGGCACGACACAAUACUGGUACACAAUAACAAAGCCUUGAUAAUUAAAAAAAGGAUGGUGCCAAGAAAAUUUAAAUACAAAAAAAAUGAAGGUUCUUGCAAGUGUAUUGAGUGAAUGGGAGAAAGAAAGGAUAAAAAAGGUAGAAAGAGAGAAAGAGAAGUCAAGGGUAGAGAUACAUAGCUUUGUAUAUAGAAACUUUAUGUUUAUACUCCAUUAUACGUUGUGGAGAAUAUAACAUCCUGAUAUGUCUGAUUCAAUUUGAAUGAUGCAAUUAUUUAUUUUUCUGCAAUAAUUCUACUUCUAGAACCUAAAUCAUAUUGUUCACAUGAAAUGAUAAAAUAAUCAUUACACAUUUACAAGAACAAUAAAUAAAUUAUGUGAUUUUCGUGAGAAAAAUGAAGAAGAAAUAACUUCUAACAAAAGUAAAUAUAAAUUAAAGGAGAAUAUAAAAUUGUUGAAAAUAUUUAUUUUCAAUAAUUUGGAAGUUCUUUGGCUAUAUAUAAUGAAAGAGAGCCUUUCCAAGGUGUGAUGCCUGGCGUCAACAAUGACGCGCUUAGCACAGAUACGGAACCGGACACCAUCUUCUUGGUGUUUGUCUGUGCAAAAGCCUCGAGUGGCUAUGGUCUUCUUCUUCUCUGUGAGGGAAAUGGUUGAAGUUGCUAGACUAUUUCAAUUACUAUGUGAGAGGUGGCUGAAUUUUAUUGGACCUCUCUUCUUGAGCUUACUUUUUACAAUUGUUUAACAAUCUCUCUCCGAAUAUACCUUCGUCCCCUUAGCUGCUUUCCACUUUGGUAAAAUCGCCAAAGCUUUAUGUGUACAUUACAAGAGAGAGGAGCAGGGCAAAAUAAGGUUAUUGGAACAAGGCAAAAGUUAUCAUUGCUAGCUGCAACUUUCCUCAUUCUUUUCACCCUCCUUCAAACCAUAUUGUCUGCUAUGUAUGCAUUUCCUAGCUAGCCUUCCCCGGCAUAUUCUAUUUUAGCUUUUUUCCUCUACAGUUUCUGUUAUGUAUUUUUACUGAAUAUUGAUCUCCUUUUUGCUAUCAAGAUAGUAUACCAUACAUGCAUGUGUAGGACUUUAAUUUUAUCCCUUAUAUUUUAUAAUUUGUCUUACUACUGUUAUUGACUGAUAUACCAAUAUACAUGUGUAAAGUAUUGACCAUAUAAUUAAUAUUAAAUUUAUUACAUUCACUCAUCAAUUUAAGUUUUUUAGUCAAUGUAUGUUCAUGAUGUACCAUGGUCAUAUCAUAAUAGAAUAGAUCCAAGAUUAUAUAUGUUCAAACCAACUGGUGAUUUAAUUAUCAAAGAUAUUAUGAUUUUGUCCAGUUUUUUUUUUUUCAGUCACUACUAGAAAAAUGGAUUUUAAUCAAGACAUUGUGUCGUUGAAAAUAAAAGAAAAAAGAGGUGGGAUGAGGUACAUUGUGUUGUUGAAAAUAAAAAUAUGGAUUAUUUCUUAAAACAACCAUACACAAUUUAAUUUAUUUCAACACAAUUUUUGCGUCAUUAAUUAACGACAAUUUUUUUGUCAUUAAAAAAAUUUUCAAAUGAAAAAACCUCAAAUUUCAAAAAAAUUCGAAGUGGGCUACCGAGUCGUUAUGAAGAACCCUUGCCCUCCAAUUUUUUGCCACUUGCCGUCGUCGAUUCCACACUCCAACCACUGUUGUCGUUGCUCCCACAACAAGCCUUCGCCGUCAAACCCACCAAUCUAGCCACUUUCGUCGAAUAAAUUUAUUUAGAAAUAUAAGUUUUAAUGACACUUGAAAUCAAGAAAAAGGGAUAUGAGGGAAUAAAAUGUGUCGUUAAAAAUAAAAAUACAAAAUUUUUUGUGACACAAAUUGAGUUUUCUUGACAAAAUUUUGGCAUUGUAAAUAAUUGCAUAAAUUAUGUGUCAUUAAAAAUUACCCUAAUAAAAAAUCAAUGUUUUCCUUCAAUCAUACGUUUUUUGAUUUAAAACAAAUAAUUCGAAGCUUUCAUCCCACUUGUGAACAAUGACCGAAAAAAACCUUACUUCAUCCCACAUCGUCGUUGUCUUUAGCUCUCUCACAAAUGCUCUCUGGCGACGUUCCCCCCUCUCUCGCAAAUACUCUUCACGACUUUUCCUCUCUCUCAAAAUUAAGCUCUCCGCCCACCAUUUGAAGGAACUCACCAAAUUUGCAAGUAAUUGAAGAAUUCGUGGUCCAUGAGAUAGAUUAAGUCCAUUUAUGAGUUAGUUUGAUUAUAUUAUGUCACAUAUACAUGUAUUACAAUUAAGGGACACUUGCAAAAAUGGCAAAAUAAGUUAUAAUAAUUAAGUCCAUAGAACACAUACCUUAUUAUUUGAGAAAGUGACAAAAACAAAGACCAACUCACACAUCAAGAGGUAAAAUGUCAACAAAUGCCCUCGUUAUUGAUGUACAUUUGAUACACCUUAUACACGUCUGAUACACCUAAUACCUCUUGAUACAUUAAGUCCAUUUAUGAGUUAGUUUGAUUAGAUUAUGUCACAUAUACAUGUAUUACAAUUAAGUGACACUUGCGAAAAUGGCAAAAUAAGUUAUAAUAAUUAAGUCCAUAGAACACAUACUUUAUUAUUUGAGAAAAUGACAAAAACAAAGACCAACUCACACAUCAAGAGGUAAAAUGUCACAAAUGCCCUCGUUAUUGAUGUAUAUUUGAUACACCUUAUACACGUCUGAUACACCUAAUACCCCUUGAUACACUUGAUACUUCUUACUGAUACACUUGAUACAUUUGAUAAUACAAUUCAUGCACUCGGUACUCAUUGAUACACUCGAUACUUUUUGAUACACACUUGAAACAUCUUCAUACACAUAAUACUUCUCGUUCCACAUAAUACUUCUCGUUACACUUGAUUCUUCUUGAUACACUUGAUACCCCUGAGACGUUGAUACACUUGAUUAGUUUGAUACACUUAAAGACUUCACUUAUAAGUUUGAUACACGUAAUACACCACUAAUAAACUGUUUAUACUUCAUUGGUACACUUAACAAAUUUGAUAUGUUUGAUGUACAUGCACUACAAGAAAUUUACCCUUUGUCGAUGACAAAUAUCGUCAGUAAAUCUUCAAAAACUAAUCAACUUUUCUUUUGCCAACAAAAUUAAGCUGUCAACACACACCGUCACGUAGGUCUAUUGGAAGAUCCUCUAUCGAUGGCAAAAAAUAAACUGUCAGCAAAAAUAGGAACUAUUUUGAGAUAAGGUUUGUGCGUACACGUGUGUGCGUUUGUGCAUGUGUGUGUGCUUGUGUGCGUGUGGAUAGGUGUGUGUGUGAAUGCGUGCUCGUGUGCAUGUGUGUGUGCGUGGGUUCGUGCGUCUGUGGGUGUCUGUGUGUAGGUGUGCGUGUGUGUAAGUGUGCAUGUGUACGUGUGUGCGCAGUGCUUCUAUGCUUGUGUCCGAACAAGUUAAUAUUUUUUAAUGUUGAGUUUCUUCCAAUUUUAAAAUAAUAAUUUAAUUAUCUUGAUAUUUAAGGCAUUAAUGUUAUUUUGAGAUAAAGAUAGUGAACGGGUUGAUAUUUUUUAAUUUUGAAAUUCAAUUAAGGUUAUUUUAAUACAAAAUCUAUCGUUGAGACUCUCAAAUUCCGAAAAAUAAUAAUUUUGUUAUUUUGAAAUUCAAUUUUGUUAUUUUGAAAUUCAAAUUCAAUUAGGUUAUUUUGAAAUUAGUAUGAUUGAAUAAAGUUAUUAAUAUGUUGAAUUAAUUAGUUGAGUCUCGAGAUAUUAAGAAAAAUAUUAUGAUAUGAGUUGAUGUAUCUAUUUCAAGUAAAAGAUAAUUAAAAGCUGAGAAAUGCAUAACAUAAAUUAAUUACAAUGUAGAGACGAAAUAAUUACAGUUGAAGAAUAUUGAUAUUUUGGUAUUUUAUAAAAUACCAUGCACGUGCAAAAAAUGCUAGUUGCUAAAAUUCAAAGGAAAAAGUAGUUUUGUCAUUUUUCAAAAUGACCCCUAAAAACGUUGUUAUGUCUCUUAUGACAAAGAGUGUAGAUCUACUGAUCCAUAUUCGAUUUGUUUUUUGUUGGUAAAAUUGGAUAAGACCGCAUUAUAUUGAAAUAAUUACACGAAUGACACUUUUAAGCCAAUAUUGAUAGAAAUUAUAAUUUAAUCAAUGUUAUUAAGUCAAAUGAACAUGGUUUAAAACUCUUUCUAAACAUAAUUAAUGUAUUUGUUUUUUAACUUUAAUUAAUUUACACAUCUUUGUGCGUGCGUGUGCGUGCGUUGUGCACGUGUGCGCGUGUGCUUGUGUGCGAACAAGUUAAUAUUUUUUAAUUUUGAAAUUCAAUUAAAGUUAUUUUUUAUACAAAAUCUAUCGUUGAGAUUCUCAAAUUUCGAAAAAUAAUAAUUUUGUUAUUUUGAAAUUGAAAUUUAAUUAGGUUAUUUUGAAAUUAGUAAGAUUGAAUAAAAUUAAAAUCUUGAAUCAAUUAGUUGAGUCCCAAGAUAUUAAGAAAAAAGGAUGUAUCUUUUUCAGGUAAAAAAUAAUUAAAAGCUAAUAAAUGCAUAACAUAAAUUAAUUACAACGUAGAAACGAAAUAAUUACUGUUUGAGAAGGUGAAUAUUUUGGUAUUAUAAAAUAUCAUGUACACGUGUAAAAAAUUCUAUUUGCUAAAAUUUAAAAGAAAAAGUAGUUUUGCCAUUUUUCAAAAUGACCCAUAAAAACGUUGCUAUAUCUCUUAUGACAAAGAGUGUCAUCUACUGGUACAUAUUCGACUUGUUUUUUGUUCGUAAAAUUGGAUAAGACUGCAUUAUAUUGAAAUAAUUACACUAAUGACACUUUCAAACCAAUAUUGAUAGAAAUUAUAAUUUAAUUAACGUUAUUAAGUCAAAUGAACAUGGUUUAAAAGUCUUUCUAAACAUAAUUAUUGUAGUUUUUUUUAAUUUUAAUUCAUUUAUACAUCUUUGUGCAUAUGUGCGUGUGUGCGUGCGUGUGCGUGAGUGCGUACGUGUGUGUGUAUGCGCGUGUCCACGUGUGCGUGGGUGUGUGUGUCUACGUGUGCGUGGGUGUGAGUGUCCACGUGUGCGCUUUUGUGCGUGUGCGUGUGCGUGUGUGUGCGUGUGUGUGCGUAUACGCGCGUGUGCGUGUGUACGUGAGUGGGCGUGUGCGCUUUUUGUGCUUUUCUUCCAAUUUUAAAAUAAUAAUUUAAUUAUGUUGAUAUUCAAGUCAUUAAAAUUAUUUUAAGAUAAGGUUAUUUUAAUAUAAAAUCUCCGUUCUAAAUAAACACAAUCCAGAUCAGUGCCACUGAACACAGGCAUUUCAACCUUCUUGAAUUUGCUAUGAUCGUUCGAGUUUUCAUCCAUUUCAAACUUGUUUGUUUUACCUUCUACCUUGAUUUCCUUCAAUGUCUUACCUCCACCUUCGAUGAUACUCUCAAUCGUUUGUCCUUUGCUCGAUGAUCCUUCCAUUCUUCCGGAGAUUGUCGAAUUAUCCUUCUGCUAUUCAUUUGAUGCAUUUAGCAACCGUUCUUGUUUUUCUAACUAGAUGACUAGUCUUUCGAUGCUUUUUGGCAAGAAUAACAAGUUUUCUUCAAUUGCCAGCAACUUGUGUAACUGAACUUGUAUCCCUGAGAUUUCCUUAUCAGAGGUCUCCAACUUCUCUUCGAUCCGUUUUUUGUGCUGCUCUAUCGUUCUCCCAAGUAAAAUCGCUCUGAUACCAAUUUGUUAAGAUACUGUAAAUAUACGGCAAGUGCAUCUUACUUUAUUGAAUUACCUCAACGAAUUACAGUAUAGAGAAUAAAAAAUCACUCACAUCUACUUCCUAAAGGCACACUCCAGUGAGGAUCACAACAAAGAACAAGAAAAACUAAGAACAAACUGCAACCAUGAAAAUGACCAAAACAAACAAUAAAAAGAACUUGACUUGGACCCUCUACUUCUCCCGAGCAUGAAAGAGGGCAGCCUCUACUUCUUUGGAAUAUUUUGUCCCCUUUCUCCCUCCUCUUUCCUCCCUUUUUAUUUUUCUUUACUAACAAACUAAUGGGAAAGAUCUCCUCCAAUAUUCUCUCCUCCUAUAAUCUCUCAUAUAUUCUCGUGUGGGUCAAUAUUACCCUUUUUAAUUCUUCUACUGUAUUUAAAUAAUAUUGGAGACAUAUGCUUCCUAACAAGAACAAGAUCUGAAUUUAUUAUAAUGUAACUAUAAGAAAAUACAAGAUAAAACCAAGUAUAAAGCAUUAGAACCCUCCCUCUUGAGUACUCUCACCCAAGCCUUAUAUCACUCCCCAGAAUUCUCCCCACCACCCUAGUUACCACACUUACAUAAUAACUACUAGUAACCACACUUACACAAUAACUUCCUAAAUAUCUAAUUACCCUUAUACCCCAACCCUAUACAUAAUCUAGGUAUCUAACAAAUUCCAUAACAUAAUGUAUUAGGGGAAGAAGGAAAUCGAGGAUAAAAAACACUAGCUAGCCAACAAAUAUCUUUCAUUAGUGAGCUUGAGCCAUUUUACACGUAAAAUGGGAAAAGUAAGCCUGCAACCCAAAUUAGCCUAAUGGUUGUCUUAACAACCACUACCCACCAUCAUGAUAGAAACAACUGAAAAGGAAGAGCAUGAUACAAUCCAACUCAAAUAUAAGAAUUGAUUUUGAUGUUUAACUAAAAGUAAACAGGCAGUAGAAUAAGAAACUAUGCCCUUUUAGAUCUAGAAGGUUCACAACAAUUUCCAGCCUAAACACAACUACGAGCCAAUGGAAGAAUAACGGCAAAGCCCUUGUGUGCAUGGAAUCGCUAACUUUGGUGCAAAUGAGAUGAUUAUCGGUAUUCAAAGGCCAAAAGGACACAUAGAAGAGUGUUCGUCUAAGGUUGGAAGACUAACCUUGAAAAGAGAGCAAUACAAAAAUUUAGAGUUUUCCGCACUUUUCCUGUAAUGACAUGAGUGCUUGUACUCCCAUAAGCAGUGAGAGAACCACCAAGCUCCUCAAUCAUCUAAAUCAGAAAACAAAUGCACAUUAGAGCAGUCACAAUUUGGAAUAAAUAGAACUUUUUAUUGUUAGAAUCUUAGAAUAUUUACGAAAAGUUUAUGGGAAUAUUUUUCUUAAUUCCUAAAUAUUUUCCUUUUUUAUUCCUCUGUAUAUUCUAUUUAUUCUCCCUUGUACCUAUUGUAUUUUUCAUCAGAAAAUAAUAAGAAGAAAAAUAUAGUGGUUUUUCUCCUGAUACACAGGUUUCCACGUAAAGUUGUGUGUUUGUUUGUCUCCCUUUCAAUAUGGUAUCCGAGCAGGUGGUCCAAAAAGGUCUUGUCUUGUCGUUUCCUCCCUAAUUAAAAUCCAUUUCCAGUUGUUGGGCCUUUCAAAUAUUUCAAGCCCACAAGUGAGGAGAGUGUUGGUGAUAUAUAAUUGAAUUUUCUUUCUUUUUUUAAAAAAGGAUACGAGUCUCACUAUUAUUAAUAUAAAGAAAGAGACAAAGCUCAAUGUACAUGAGGAUUAUACAAAGAGCAAAAGGGGAGAGGGAAGAUCAAUAGGCGCAUCCGGACAUCUCAAACUAGGUUGACACCCCCUUAGUGCCCUCAAAACAUCCAAAAAGCGACAACACAAGAUCAAAACAAAAAGCCACAAAAACAAAGACAAACAAAAUGAUAAAAAGAAUCUUUCCAAAGAAAAAUCAUAAUCAAAGGCAGCAUGCUGAGAAAUGCAUUAUAUAGGGUAUCGUUGCCUGCAAGGAUAAAAAAUCAUCUAGUAGCUCAUGUGAGCAACUUGAAACCUUACCAUCAAGAUCCAGAUGACCAGUAGUGCAACAAUGGUGUAUGGUCAUCUAGUGACCUAAAGCAGAAAGACGAUAAAGAAAUGGAAGAAAUCGUUCCUAAGAGAGUGAGGAAGGGUAUACCCAUGAAGAGGAUACAUGAAUUCCUACUGAAGUGAAAGAACCUCCAUGCGGAAGAAACACGUUAGGAAUGUGCUGAAGGGUAUACCCAGUCGACAGGGACGCCAAUUGUUUAAGAGCGGGAGAAUGUAACAAGCAUGCUUGUCCAGGGCGCUGUUUGCUUAUGGCCGCAUGCCCAAACACCCAAAAUUUACAUUGUUUUUAUGUAUAAUCAUUUAGUUUUACUUUUUACUUUCCCUUUUAUGUCAUAAACCUUGGGUGUGAUUUGGCUUUUUCUUAUGCAAGCCUACCAGAACUAAAAAAGUCUAAAAUGUACUAUAGAUGGGACAUAGUAGUUGAAUCCCUGCCCAAGCCUUGUUGCACUCUUCGCAAUCAAAGUUUUUCUUUGCAAUUGACAAUCUUCAAUGCUUGCUUUAACGAUAUUUUCAUUGAAUUUCUUUCUCCUCACGUUUUAUAAAACAUUUUCUCAAGAACGUGAAGAGAGGCUACAUCGUAUCAUGUGUUUGUCCGUGGUUUUUGGAUUUUGAUCAGCUAACUUGUUGUCUACGUAAAACAAGUGCAACAUAAUCGCUCCUCUCGUGUUUGAAAGCUCGCGAUUGUGACACAAGAAAUGCACUAGCCAAGAAUGCACACGAGGAGGGCUACACGAAAUGCCAAGCACGCAACCAAGUGAGGUUCACAAUGUGCUUGUGUGUGAGGUUAGCACGCGGGCAUGCCCAACGCGCGUGAAAAGCCUCUUGUGAGAUUCACACACACUAGCCAGCGCCCAACCAAGGCCCUGCCGCGCACCCAUUCGUGUCAGGCAGUGUCAUAUUGCGUGUUGAGCUAUUUUUGGUAAUUUUUUGAGUUUUUUAAGUAUACUUUUGAUAUUUUCUUGGCAAAAGAUAAUUAAUUGUACUAUUUUACCAUUAUUUCAGGACAUGAGAAGAUCAUACAAAUUUAUAAACCAAGGAUUUGAGCUUGUAUCUUUGAGUGGAAAAUGUUUUAUUUAAAGUGAUUUCAAGCAUGUUCUUAAGUCAUGAUUUAUGACGGAUUUAUGCUAAAAUGUUUAAGUUAUGUUAUGAAAAGUCUUUCAAGCGUGUUAUUGUUUAAAGGUAUUUAUUCAAGCAUAUUUUUUACUCUUCAAAAUGCAUAAUAUUCAAAAUGUUUUCCCACUUUCUAGGUAGAGAUCGUGUCCUCUAAGCCUAACUUGAACCUGUCUACUAAAGGAUUUCAUUUUGUUAUCGUAUGUGUCCUGUUAUUUUGUACUAAUGGUAAAUUAGUCUUUUGUGCUAUCAGACUUACGCUUUUGGAAAGGUUUUAUAAGGUUUUGUUCUAGAUAAAUAAGAUUACGUUUUUUCUAUGUAAAACUUGUCUAAGGUUGUUAAAUGAAAAAGGUUUAGCCCAAUUGGUUUUAGUAAAACUUAUGUGUUAUGUUUCCGCUGUUGUUUAGAAUUUAAAGGUUCAGGCUAAGGGUCAGAUAGUGUCGUUCUUGACGUGGGUGCUAUCGAUUGGCUUCACGCCAUAUCUCGAGCCACGCAAGUAGGUGCUCGUGGUGGGGUGUGAUAGCCUAAGUUGGCUUAUUAACGGUUAAAAUGUAAACAUGUCCAUAACAAAAUAGUUGGGCAAGGCCCAUGUGGACCGACUGGUAAAGGUUGAAGAGCAAAUGCUCUACCUAAUGAAAGUUCCUAACUCAAUUCGCUUCUCGGAAACCCGCCUUGAAGAAAUUUUUUAGAAAGCUGAUGCUAUUAAUUAAACCACCACCCAAAAUCUUAAGCUAGUGAUUAAAAGUAAAUUUAAUUAUAUAUCACUAACAAUCCCCCACUUAUGGGUUCGAAAUAUCUAAAAGGUCCAACAAGUGAAAAUCAAUUUUAAUUGGGAAGGAAACACCAAUACAGGGACUUGAACAUAAGACCUUUUGAACCACCUGCUCUAAUACCAUAUUAAACCCCAAAUUCACCCAAAAGCUUAAGCUAGUGGUUGAAGGUAAAUUUAAUUAUAUAUUACCAAAGUAUGAGGUUUCAUCACAAUACCAAUUGGCAAUGAGAGGAGUAGCUCAUCUAUUUUAUAAAGAGUCUAAGUUUCCUUGGUUUUUCAAUUGUGGGAACAUGCCCCUUCAAGAUGGUGCCUCUUUGGUUUCACCUAUCUUGAACCAAAUAUCCGUUUAGGCUUAAUGAGCUCUAAUACCAUAUUGAAAGCAAUAUAUACGAAACCAAAGCUUAAGUGAAAACGUAAGAAUCGAAAGAAAAGCAUUGUGUUUGUAGUUUUAUUAUUUUUAUGAUAAUUACAGACGUACAAUUGGUGGUUUAAUAUAUAUCACUAACACUAUUGCUGCAAUGAUCGAUCAUCUCGAUGGAUUACCCAUUUAAGAGUUGUUGACAAGAGUUGACACUCUAGAAUCAAAAGUUGUAAGAACUAGAUGUUGUAAUAAAUGUCCUAAAACUCGUUGUAAUCAUAAUCUAUUCAUUAAAGUCGUUAUUGAUACUAUAAUCUUAAAGCCAAUAAACUAAGGACCCGAAGUUAUUAUUAAGUAAACUUGAACUUUAUGUAGAGACAUAAAAGUUGAUCAAGUUUAAGUAUAGAGCCUAAAUAGUAUAGAUUGUACGAAUACAGUUAGGCACCUUAUUCCAGGACAAUGAAUGCAGUCUGCUUUGUAUUUAGUAUAAACGAUGUGAUCCUAAAUCCUAGAGACAUGAAAGUGUGGACAUCCUAUGUAAAGAGUUUACAAAAGACUAGAACCAUGAAAUAGUCACUUUUAAGUUAUGACACCGUUAACUUUGAAAAACUUACUAUUUCAUUGAUAGAUAUCAAAUAUAACUUAAUCUUAAUACUGAGCUAACUAUAAGCUUCUGUUCUCACCAGCAUGCUUGUUUAAGGCGUUGUUUAUCUAUGGCCACAUGCCCAAAUACCCCCAAAUCACCUUUUCUUUAUGCCUUGUAUUUAGUUUAGUCUAUUGCUUUUCUUUUUAUGUCAUAGACCUAGGGUGUGAGGUGUCACACAUUUUCAUUUGCAAACCUGUCAAAGCUCAAAAAGUCUAAAUUGUACUAUAGAAGAGACCCAAUAGUUGAAUCCCCAACCAUGUCUUAUCGUAUUCUUUAUAAUCAAAUUUUUAUUUGCAAUUGAAAGUCUUCAACGCUUUCUUUAAUGAUGUUUUUAAUGAUAUUCUCUCUCACAUUUUAUAAAAUAAUUUUUUCAAGAACGGGAAGGGAGGUUAUAUCAUAUCGUGAGUUUGUUCGUGAUUUUUGGAUUUUACAUUACUGACUUAUUGACUGAGCAAAACAAGUCCUCUACAAUUGUCCGUUCCAUGUUUGAAAGAUUGUGAUUGUGGCACGCAGAGUGUCACAAGUGUGCUUGUCCAAUGCAUUAUUUGCCUAUGGUCGUAUGCUCGUAUAUCCUCAAACCACUUUAUCUUUAUGCUUUGUACUUAGUUUAGUCAACUGCUUUCCUUUUGUUGUCACCGACCUAAGGUGCGUCGUUUCGCAAUUUUCAUAUGCAAUGUUGUCAAUGCUAAAAAAGUUUAAGAUGUAUUGUAGGGGAGGCAUGGUAGUUGAAUCCCCAACUAAGCCCUAUUGUGAUUUUUGCAAAUCUAAGCUUUCUUUGCAAUUGACAAUAUUCAAUUUUUUCUUUAAGGAUGUUAUCAAUGUUUUUCUUUAUCUCUCACGUUUUAUACAACCAAUUUCUCUCAAAAGAUGAAGCGAGGCUACAUCGUACCAUGAGUUUAUCCGCAACUUUCAAAUUUCACAAGGUUGCCUUGUUCAUCAAUUUAGAACAAGUGUUGCACAAUCGCCCGUCCCGUAUUUGAAAAGUUGCAUUUUGUGACAAGUGGUAUUAAAGCUUUCUUAGCUCCUUGGCUAAGCGAGAUGCAAUUAUGUCGACAAUGAAACAACUAUCAAAGUUGCAAUCUGAGCGACUGACUGAGAUUGAAGAGGAAUUCUUGGAUAUGAAAGAAUUGUCAAAGGAAGUAAGAUUUCUCCAGACCUAACUUGAGAUGUUUAAAGAAAAAGUCAGAGAAAUAGACGCAUUGAAUGCCUAAAUAGACAAACUACCCAUAAAUGAAUUGGCGUUGAGGGUUGAUUCGUUAGAACAUAAAACCACCAAAGUAGGUAGUUUUAAACGUGGAAGUAGCUCUUCAAGUUCUAUCGCACAAAUGGAAGAGCGUGUCGAAGAGUUUGACUUUUGACAAGCUCCAACAUAAUCAGUUAUAUUUCAAGAAAGAGAAAAGUGUUUUUGCUAAAUAGCAUAUCAAUUUUCUGGGUCACAUCAUCGAAUGUAGAAAGAUUUGAAUGGAUGAACAUAAGUUGUGAGCUAUUAAGGAGUGGAGAGCCCCCACUUCCGUGAAAGAGUUACGUUUCAUCCUUCAAUAUAUUCUAAAAUAGGGUUCACCUACUAUCCUCUAGACUCAGUACCGAGAGAAAGAAAUAGAUGGAAAAAGAAAUGGGCUUGGUAAUUUUUUUUUCUAUGUAAAUAAGAAAAAGAAAUCCAAUUUGGUACAAGAGCCCAAAUUCAAUAGCCAGCCCAUCAAAUGAGGUCAACGACCCUAUUUAUAAGGAUUUUCCAUGCAAAAUUGCAUGUCCAUGGAAUACUAAAGCCCAACAACUCAAAGCUCUAUUUCUAAUAUGAAAUUCGAUGGCUAUAACACAUAUACUUGUCAGUUUCUCUCUCUUCUCCAAUUCGAACAAUUCGACUUAUUUUAUUUAUUCCAUCACACUGUUUUAAGUUUAUUCCAUAUGAGCUAGCAAGGGAAACUAAUGGACCUAUAUAUCAUGGACUCUAAUGAUUCAAGAUUAAUUGACUAAAUUCUUAUAGACUAAGUUAAUCAACAUUCGUUAACUAACGGGUCAUUCAUGUAUGUACUGGAACGAUUCAGAAUCACCUCGUUUGUACUAACUACAAAUCGGGCGACAUCCACAGUUUCUCUGAAAAAAUCUGGGUUACUACAACGUCACCACGAUGUACAAUUUUCCUGAUAAGAUGGUACUUACGUUCGAUAUGUAUUCCCCGUUUACGGCUUUUAGGUUCUCUUGAAUUUGCAACUGCACCACUGUUGUGACAGUAUAAAGUGAUUGAUAGAUGCAUAUUUGGAACGACUUUCAGAUCUGUCAAGAAUUUUCUUAGCCAUAAUGCUUCUGUUGUUGCUUCAAAAGUUGCUACGUAUUCUACCUUCAUUGUGGAAUCAACUAUACAAGUUUGUUUUAUGCUUCUCCAAACUACUACUCUUCUAUUUAGAGUGAAUACUAAUCCUGAUGUAGACUUUCUAGCAUCUUUAUCAGUUUGAAAAUCAUAAUGAGUGUAUCCACUAAGGAUCAAAUCUUUUGUACCAUACACGAAAAUGUAGUGUUUUUUUCUUCAAAUAUAUUUUAGAACAUUCUUAACGGUUGUCCAGUGAUCACAUCCAAGAUUGGACUGAUACAUACUGACCAUCCCUACUAAUUAACAAAUGUCAGAUCUAGUACACAACAUUGCAUAUAUCAAACUUCCAACAGCGGAAGAAUAGGAACAUUUUCUCAUAUCCUCAAUUUCUUGAGGUGUCUUAGGACAUUGUUCCUUUGACAAAUGAAUUUCGUAGAUGUAUAAUAGCAUACCCUUUUUGGAAUUCUACAUUUUAUAUCUAGACAACAUUUUGUCUAUAUAAGAUGCUUGAGACAUGGCUAGUGUUUUGUUCUUGCAGUUCUGUACAAUUUGGAUCUUAAGAACGUAUUGUGCAUUUCCCAGAACUUUCAUUUGAAAUUGCAUAGCUAGCCAUUUCUUGAUAUUAGUAUGAAAUCCUAUGUCCUUUUCCAAUAAGUAGAAUAUCAUCUACAUACAAGACUAAGAAUACUACAAUGGAAUUGACGACCUUUUUUGUAAACAUAAGGUUCGUCAACCUUUUGUAUCAAAGCCAUAAGAUUUGAUCAUAGUAUCAAAUCUUAUAUUCCAGGAUCUAGAUGUUUGUUUUAAUCCAUAAAUGGAUUUUUGAAUCUUACAAACCUUUUGUUAUUGAUCUUGAUCUAUAAACUCCUCUAAUUGAGUAAUAUAGAUACUCUCUUCAAGAUUGUCAUUCAAAAAAAGUUGUCUUGACAUCCAUCUGCCAAAUUUCAUAAUCAUAAAACGUGGCGAUGCAUAAGACUAUUCUAAUUGACUUUAGCAUGGCAAAGAUAGAGAAACUUUCUUCAUAGUCUAUGUUAGAAAGUGACAUGCGCAGUGGAAAAAUGGAAUACAAAAUUACCCUAAUUGCACCUAUUUAACUUGCAACCCUAAAUUAAAAGAAUUAGGGUUUAGGAAAUAUUAUACCUUUGUAUCUAUUGGAAUAUGAACGUCUAUACCUCUCACAAAAUUCCAAAAGUUUUUGAAACCAAAAUGUAACACCUUAAACUUAGGAUUUGGAAUUCGUAUCUCCAGCAUUCUCUGCAUCCCCUGCGACCUGGCAGCAUCAUCCUUACUAUUCUUAAAAACUUAUUAGAAUGAAAUUCCUCUUCACAAACCAACACGAAAUCUUUCAUCAUGCUUUUCCUCACUCACAUAUAUCCUAGGAAAAUUUCCAAGAGGUCACCCAACAUAGAAUUUCUUCAAGCUAAGCAAGCUUAACUAUGAAGUCCCUAUAAUCGAGCCACCGAAAAAAAAAGGUUCACAUUGUUGGUAUAGGUAAUAAGUUUCAAUUCUUUUAAGUCUUUCUUAACAUGACUUUCAUGUCCUCAAGGUGCACCUUGUCGGUAUACUUGUCGAUUUCUCUCUCUUCUCUCAAUUCGAACAAUUCGACUUAUUCCAUCACAAUGUUCUAAGUUUAUUCCAUAUGAACUAGCAGGGAAACCUAAUGGACUUAUAUAUCAUGGGCUCCAGCGAUUCAAGAUUAACUUGUUAAACUCUUUUAGACCGAGUUAAUCAACAUUCGUAAACUAACGGGUCAUUCCACUAAAGUCCCGCAGUUGCACUCCCCUCACUAUAGAUAUAUUCUUGUCCAUUUAAUAUAACCAUGAUCAAUAAGUUAAUCCUUCACAUGUUAUUCGUAACCUCGAAUGGAUCAAAUUACUGUUUUAUCCUUGAGACUACAUCUUAUUUCUUAAGUUUCAUUGAUCCACUAUUGAACAAUUGGUUUAAGGUCCAACCUAUAAACUUAAUCCCUCUCGGGCUAAUGUGAGGGUGGGGCCCCUUGUUCAAGACUUGGAUUCAGUGCUUAAGAGAACAACCUAUCUACUAACCCUAAACAGGUAGAAGUGAAUUUUGUCUUGCAUCCUAUGUUCCUAGCCAUUCAUCUGAUCUUACCCUUGAAAUAGGAGGCUUAUUGGGAGAACGUUGAUGAGAUACCCUCACCUAUGCAUAUGUAACCCUAAAACAAGUAGAAGUGAAUUCAGUCUUAUGUAAGUACUUUACAGUGCUUAAGAGAACAACCUAUCUACUAACCCUAAAACAGAUAGAAGUGAAUUCAGUCUUAUGUAAGUACUUUAUAGUGUUUAAGAGAACAACCUAUCUACUAACCCUAAAACAGGUAGAAGUGAAUUAUGUCUUGCAUCCUAUGUUCCCAGCCAUUCAUCCGAUCUUACCCUUGAAAUGAGAGGCUUAUUGGGAGAACGUUGAUGAGAUAUCCUCACCUAUGCAAAUGUAAGGAUAAUCUCAUGUGAACAGGAGUUCAUAGUUAGCUUAGGAUUAAGAUUAAGCUACCUAAGUCAUCAAUAAACGAAAUAGUCAGUUCUAAACAGUAAACGGUGUUAUAACGUAAAAGUGACUAUUUCAUGGAUCAGUUUUAUGUAAGUACUUUACAUAGGAUGCCCCCACUUUCAUGUCUCUACAUGAACAAUUUAGGAUCACCUCGUUUGUACUAAUUACAAAGCGGGUCACAUCCGUAGUUUCUCUAAAUAAGGCACUAUAGACUAUUUAGGCUAUACACUCGAACUUGAUCCACGUUUAUGUCUCGACAUAAAGUUCAAAUGUAUUAAAAAAUAGCAUUAAGACUUAGUUUAUUGGAUUUAAGAUUAUAAUUUUAAAUUUUUCAAUAACGAUUUUAUUGAACUGAAUAUGAUAACAAACUACGAGUUUUAGGACAUAAAAUCCCAACAUAUGUAUUUUUGCCUCUAAUAAUAAUGUUGAAAGAUGUUUGUUGUGGUUUCAUAUAGGUGAUAUCUCUUCUGGUUGGACAUAGUUAGGUUUCGUAAUGGGUGACUUUAACGAUAUCAAAAUGCAUUUUGAGGCUUUUGAUAGGUCUUCUGUUCCUAUGGAUAUGGAGGAGUUCGAUAUGGCUAUUUGCAAGGCUUAUUUAGUUGAACCUACAGUACAGGGUAACUGGUUCACCUGGACUAGAAAGGUUCAUGGGUCUGGUUUGAUAAAAUGGUUUAAUCGUAUUCUGGUUAAUGGUGUUGGAUUACUGCAUGGCCUUCGGGUAUUUCUGAUCACUCCCCUCUUAUUUUAUCCCAACUUUUAGCAGAGACAGUGGGUAGUUUCUUUUUGUUUCUUCAACCAUUGGGUUGAGGAUUCUUUGUUUAUUGAUGUUGUCUCUUUGAUUUGGAGUCGCCAUGUAGGAGUUUCUCUGAUUGUGAGUUUCGUGAGAAAUUUACAUAACCACAAGCCUACCCUCCAUAGACAGUUUGGUAAGCACAUUCAGACCUAAGUGAGGAGGUUCGUAUUGCUAAAGAGUCCAUGGAUAAAGCUCAGAGAAAGGUUGGGCAAAAUCCUAUGUCUGAUGUUUUGAGUCGCCAAGCAGGUCUUGCCAUUGAGGCCUUUUGGACGGCUGUUAGAUUGGAGGAAGCCUUCAUGUGUUAGAAGUCCAAGAGGUUUGUGAGUUGCCUUAGAACUUGUGUUACCUCCUCGAUGUUCUCCAUUAUGAUUAAUGGCUCUUUCAAGGGUUUUUUAAUGGGAGGAAAGGUUUGGGUAGAGUGAUCCUUUAUCUCCUUUCCUUUUUAUCAUGGUGAUGGAGGUCCUCUCUCGUAUGUUGAAUCGGCCUCCUCCGAGCUAUCAGUUUCACAGGCAUUGUGAGAAGGUUAGCUUAACUCAUCUAACCUUUGCUAAUGAUCUUAUGAUUUUUUGUGCUGCUGAUGAUUCCUCUCUGAGUUUUAUUAACGAGACUAUUAGAAAGUUUGGUGAUCUCUCGGGGCUAUUUACUAAUCUUAGUAAAAUUUCUAUGUUUGUUGUAGGGGUUAAUAGUGAUGAUGUUUAUCGUUUGACUACCAGUUUGGGUUUUGUUCUCAGGCAUCUCCCUGUUCGUUAUCUUGGGCUUCCUUUACUUUCUGGGAGGUUACGACCUACUGAUUGUGCUCUCUUAUUCAACGUAUUACUAGUCAGAUUCAUUCUUGGUUUGCUAGAGUUUUAUCAUUUGCAGGUAGAUUGCAACUGGUUUGAUAUGUGCUUGAUAAUCUUCAGGUUUACUAGGCUAACGUGUUUGUGCUGCCUGUGAGUGUGCAUCAUGAGGUUGAUAAAAUCUUGAGGUCUUAUCUUUGGAGGGGUAAGGAGGAAGGUAGAGGAGGUGUUAAGGUGGCGUGGGCUGAGGUGUGUUCCUUUUGAGGAGGGUGGUCUUGCUAUUCUUGAUGGGUCUUCUUAGAAUGUUGUGAGUACUAUGAAGAAUCUUUGGUUGUUGCUGACUAGUUCGAGUUUUCUAUGGGUUGCUUGGGUGGAGGCAUAUGUUCAUAAAGGAAGGUCAUUGUGGGAGGUCGAUUCUUGUGUUGGUCGGUCUUGGUGUCUUUGCGCUAUCAUGUGUAAACGAGAUAGUCUAAAAGAGCAUGUUCAGAUGGAGGUUGGGGAUGGUAGGCAUUGUAAACUGUGCCUGGAUCCGUUGUUGCAGGGUGGUCCUAUCCUUCAACAAGUUGGUGAGAGAGCGCUUUAUAAUGUAACGAGUAGAUAGGAGGCUAGGCUCUCUAAGUUUAUUGGUUCGAAAGGGGAGUGGAGGUGGUCGAGGGUGUCUUUGGAUUUGAUUAAUUUAUGGGAUAGGGUUCAAGUUGUAAGUUCGUGUCCUAAUGUUGGUGAUAGGUGGGUUUGGGUUCUUGGUCGUCAUAGUGGUUUUUUGAUUGCUAGUGCAUGGGAUACUAUUCAUCCUCGUAGUGUUAAGGUUCGUUGGACAGGUUUCUUGUGGGGUGGGGAUUGAGAGUCUCGUUAUCAUUUGUUUUUUCAUGUCCUUUUGGUUGUGAUAUUUAGUCUCGGGUCCUUUAGGUUAUGGCUUCCUCUCACAGGAUUGGGUAUUGGGGGGUUGAGUUGUUUAGGGUUUGUCAUUAGAGUAUUGGUAAGGGUGUGAGAAGGAAGUUGUGGUAUGUUCUCUGGUGUGCUACGAUUUAUUUUAUGUGAAAGGAGCAUAAUCAUUGUCUCCAUGGUGGUCAAGCUCGUGAGCUCAUUGUUCUGUUUCAGCUUAUUCCAUCUUGUAUCAGUGCUCGUGUUGUUUAUUUGCGUGAGGAUGCUCAUGGUAUUAUUUAGCUUGUUUUCUUUUGAUUUUUGUUUUAUCUGCUUGUUCUCGGGCUGUGGGGUUGUUUGGACUUUUUAUGUUUUUGUUGCUCUUAAUUUUGUUGGGUUUAUUAUUGUUCUUUCUUUUGAUACUUUGGAUUCUUCCUGUUUUUGUGAGCAUUGUCCGCUCUUGUGAGGUCAUCCUUGUUGUAUUAUGAUAUUAACUUUUCAAGAAAAAAAAAAAGAUAAUGCAAUUCAACUUUAGAUAGAAACAUGAUUCGAAUUUUCAUUUCAAGAAAAUACAAGGGGACAGAACUCAAGGAUUAUGUGGAUCACAAAACUUGAAUUACUAGAAUCUAAAUUUCCAUAUGUUAGAUAUCAUUAGAAGCAGUUAGACCAAAAGUUAAUUAUCAAUAUGUUAGUUCACAGGAACUGCAUAAUCAAGCACAUAAACAUCCACAUUGUCAUUCAUUGUAGGCAGCUUUGAUACACAAAAAAUAUGGAUAUUUUCAGAAGUUCAAGCAUACACAAAAAACAUAUCCUUGUCAGAAAAUAGCCAACUAAGAAAGAGAAGUUCAAGAUUUAUAUACAAAGUGCAGCUGCAAAAGGACAAGCAAGAUGCCAGAAUCUAUAUAUUAUGCAGUCGGAUAUUAAUUGGCAAGUACUAACAGCAAAGGUACCAAAAUAAAACCGUAUCAAUUUAUCUUGUCUAAAACUAAACAGUAUAUGUAAAUCUUGCAAACAAACAAGUUUUUUGAAUCAAAACUGCCAAAAGAUUUUGAUUCAAGUGAUAUGUGGAUUGUGAUCUUUUGUGUCACCCAUCCAUUCCUCUGUUUUAACCAUUUAAAUCAAUAAAUAAUUUUAUGUUCAAACAUAAGUUGGACAACCUUUGUUAAAGAACUGCUUCCCAAAACAAAUAGCAUUAACCACCCUUUUUUAAUUCAACACAUGGGAAUAAAGAUCGAAUCUCUGAUUUUUUGGUCUAAGGUACCUUUCCUAAACUUGUCGAAUUCCAUUUUCUACACCAACUUUAGAACGAGUAUAUACAUCAAGUAAUUUCAUGUUCAACUCAAAAUUGGACAACCAUAGUAUUACUCCAAAGCAAACAAUACUAACUGUUCCAUUAAAUAUUUUUUUAUAGCUCUUGAUUGUCUCACUUUUUUGUAUUUUGAAUUUACAAGCCUCUUUUUUCUUUCUUUGGUAUGAAAGGUGGCAACUAGGCCUUGCUAGAACGAGUGGGGUAACCUUUCUAUGGUAGUACACUUAGUUUCGAAGUUCGAAGUUUUCCUCCUACAGUGGAUCAUCGAUAUUGAUUCUUCUACUGUUAAUUCGACCUCCCAUAAUUCUCUUCUUCUAAGGAUUCACUUUUCUCUAAGGCUCUGCACUUUACUAAAAAGCCUUGAUCUUCUUCCCCCCAAUGUUUUCAUAAACUUCUUAAGACAGACCCUGACCUUGGUUAGGCUCGGAUCUCCUUGGAUUAUCACCUUAUUCCUGAUAUGUAAAUGUUAACAUCAUAUUCUUCCAAUCCACUCCAGUCGUUCCCAAGGAAUACAAUCACUGCAUUCCAAGUAUGGCAACUACCCCUCCCAACUUCAAGGGUAAAAACUCAUUCACUACCUUCUAGUCUCCCAGCAUUAACUCAACAUCUUCACAAAUUACCUUCCCUUUGACUACAGUGCCCGAGCCCAAAAUGACUCCAUAAUUCGACGUUUCUCUUGUACUCAGUUGCAACUCUUUCACUAUUUUUUCCUGAAAUGAAAUUGCGUGUGACUUCACAAUCAAUUAGUACUAUAGCCACAUUCCCUUGUAUCAUCUCUUUUACCUUCAUUUUCCCUAGGUUGGAUAAUCCCACCACAUAAUUAAUGGAUAAUUCCACCACCACCUGACUCUCCUCUACGAUCUCAGGGGCAUUCAACUCUUUCUGAUCAAUUCCUCAUUCUUCGAUAAUUUCAUACUCCUCGCCUUCUUCCUUCACAACAAUUAUUCACAAUUCCCUUUGCUCUUUCAUCUUGCAUUUGUGGUCAUGAGAAUAUUUCUCAUUACAGCGAAAGCACAAUCACUUCUUUCUAGAUUGAAAUUCAGCAUCAAAUAAGCGCUUCGCCUGUCCCUCUUUCCGUACUUCCUCUUUUGUUGUUCCUCGUCGAGUAAUAGUUCUCAUCGGCCAAUUCAUUCCUCCUUUACUUUCUUCUGUAUUCGCAAUGGUAUUAGCCUUGGUGCUAUUAUUGGAGUUUAUCACAUUUUCUCCAGAAUAUCCAGAAAUAUUUGCUUCCUGAUGUAUAUCUUCCUUGUUCUCUACCUUUUGCGCGAUUCGUAUCGUUUGUGCUAAUCCCUUCGACUCACAUAAAUCCAUCUCCGCCUAGAUCCACAGUUUCAAUCACGACAUAAAUGUCUCUUUUACCACCUUCUCUAAUAGGUCCGACAAAGGAGCUACCCACUUAUCGAAUAAAUUUUGAUAUUCCUCUAUCGUUUUCUUUUGUUGAAUUUGCAAGAACCUUACAUACAACGAUUCCUCCCUCACGGAUCGAAAUCGCACAAAUAAUCUUUCCUUCAUAUUCACCCAAUCUACAAAGUUCUCUCGUUCUUCUUGAGAACGGUAAAAGUUCAAUGCUAGUCCCUCAAAACUAAUAGUGGAUACAGUCAUUUUCUCAAAUUUAGUAAGUUUAUGAAUGUGCAAAUACCUCUCUACGUGAAACAGCCAAGAAUCGGGAUCAUCUCCAUUGAAUAUCGACAUCUCCACCUUCUUAAACUUAUUGCAGUAACUAUUACUUUCAUCAUAUAUUUUCUUUCCUUCCUUCCUUGUUUCGUUCUCCCAUCUUGGUCACCCUUCACCUUCGUCCACAUUCUUCGUCGAUAAAUUGUGCAUUGUUGUCUAUUCCAUAAUUCGUAACAUCAUCUAAAUUCUACCUCUCCAUAUUUUUGGAUAUUUUGGCCAACGUCUUUUCGAUCAUCAGUAUCUUACUAAUGUCUUUCUUAAUGUCCUGUAUUUCCUGGUCAAACGUCUCCAUCUCUUCGAUCCGAGUCUGAACCAUUUGCAUUCUUCUUGCCCGAGAUCAAUGCUCCGAUACCAAUUUGAUGGAAACCAGUCUUGGAAUGAAAUUGCUACUAUAUUAUUAAUGAUAGAAUAGGAAUGAAAUCCUAAUUACAAUAUGAAAUCCCUCUCCUGUUAUCCUCUCUCUCAAGGAAGAAUAGAAAUUCACUUUCUCAAACAAAACCUAACUUUCCCGCCCACGAUUACUUUUUAUUUAUACUAACAAUAAGGUAACUAACCCUUCCCUUUACUAACCCUCACAUGCUAUUCAUGUGCACGUGAUAUAUUUUUUUUAAUUUCUUUGUUCCUCUUCCACUGUAUAGAUGUAAUAUAGGGGGUCUAUCAGAUUCCUCCUCUUUUCAAAGCCUCCAACCAAACUCAAUGCUAAGUUUGACUGCUCCCUUCAGAGUGAAGACCCUCAUUUUCCCCCUUCCGUGGUUUGGGGAGGAUUCCUUCUCUUUUUAAAGCCCUCAAUCAAACUUGAUGCUAUGUUUAGAACGCUAAGAAUAGGUGGUCUAGUUUUGGUUAGGCCAAAAGUGAAAAUUUCCCCCAAAAGCACUAAUAGUUAGGGAACUCAACACAUUCUACUUGACUUAAUCGACUUGGCUCUCUAAUUUUUAUGAGCUUUUUUCAAUGCAUAUUGCAUAUGUUUUUUUUAUAGUUGUUGAUUGUCUCACAUUUUUAUGGUUUGCAUUUACAAGCCUCUUUUUUCUUUCUUUGGUAUGAAAUAUGGUAAUAGGCCUUGCUAGAAUCGGUGGGGUAAUCUCUCUAUGGUUCUAAGGAGCUUGGACGGUGGUUGGAGAGGGUUUCUAUGAUGUCGUCUUACACUUCUUUGAGACCAAUUACUUCCCUCAAGGGGUGAAUACGAUUGCUAUUACACUUAUUCCUAAAAGGAAUGGUGCUGAUCGAUUGGAGGAUUUCAGCCCUAUAUCUUAUUGCAGGGUUAUUUAUAAGUGCAUUUCAAGAAUAUUGGCAGAUAGGCUUCGUGUGUGGCUUCCUUCUUUUGUUAGUGGAAAUCAGCCACCUUUCAUCCCUGGGAGGAGUAUUAUUGACAAUAUUCUUCUUUGUCAGGAGCUUGUAGGGGCAUACCAUUUGCACAGAGGUAAACCUCGGUGCACUAUGAAGGUUGACCUCCAAAAAGCUUAUGAUUCUGUUAAUUGGGAUUUCCUCUUUGGCCUGCUGAUUGCCAUAGGUAGGCCUUUAAGAUUUAUGAGUUGGGUUCGAGCGUGUGUGACCUCUCCGAUGUUCUCCAUUAUGAUUAAUGGAUCGUUGGAAGGUUUUUUCCAUGGGAGGAAAGGACUUAGACAAGGUGACCCUUUAUCCCAUUCUUAUUUGUGAUGGUCAUGGAGGUGCUUUCUCGCAUGUUGAACAGGCCACCUCAGAAUUUUCAAUUCCACCAGUUUUGUGAGAAGGUCAGAUUAACUCAUCUUACUUUUGUAGAUGACCUAAUGAUCUUUUGUACUGCUGAUAAUCAUUCUAUGAGUUUCAUAAAAGAGACUAUUAAGAGGUUUGGUGAGCUUUCGGGAUUGUUUGCUAAUCUUCCUAAAAGCUCAAUUUUUCUUGUGGGGGUUAAUAGUUCGAAAGAUUCUCGGCUUGCUGCUAACAUGGGUUUUUCCAUUGGUCAUCUCCCUAUUCGUUAUCUUGGGCUUCCUCUCCUCUCUGGAAGAUUGCGGAGCUCUGAUUGUGAUCCCCUUAUUCAGCGUAUUACCAUUCGUAUUCGGUCUUGGUCUGCUAAAGUGUUAUCUUUUGCAGGUAGACUUCAGCUUGUUCGCUCAGUCCUUAGGAGCCUUCAGGUUUAUUGGGCUAGUGUGUUCAUGCUUCCUAUGAAAGUCCACAGAGACGUUGAUAAGAUCUUGAGGGCUUAUCUGUGGAGAGGUAAGGAGGAGGGAAGAAGUGGUGCUAAAGUUGCCUGGGAUGAGGUUUGUCUUCCUUUUGAUGAAGGAGGUCUUGAUAUUCGCGAUGGAUCUUCUUGGAAUAUAGCAAGCACGUUGAAGAUAUUAUGGUUGCUACUUGUUAAAUCUGGUAGUUUGUGGUUUCUUGGGUGGAAUCUUAUAUCCUUAAAGGGAGAUCGCUGUGGGAGAUCGAUGCUGGGGUGGGUCGAUCUUGGUGCUUUAGGGAAAUCUUGCGUAAGCGGGAUAUCCUUAAAGCUCAUGUUUAGAUGGAGGUGGGCAAUGGAAGGAAGUGUAGAGUGUGGUUGGUUCCAUGGAUUCAGGGUGGGCCGAUUAUCCAGCAGUUUGGGGAGAGGGUGAUCUAUGAUGCGGGUAGUCGGUGGGAUGUGAGGCUGGUGGAUUUCAUGGGUCGGGAUGGUGAUUGGAGGUGGCCGCUUGUUUCUUUGGAUUUGAUGGACAUUUGGGAUAAGGGUUCAGGGAGUGAGGCCGAGUCCGAGUGUUGAGGAUAGGUGGGUCUGGGUGCGGGGAGUCGUGAUAGUUUUUCGAUCACUAGUGCGUGGGAGACUAUUCGUCCUCAUAAGUAGGGUUGGAUGGUCGGGUUUACUAUGGGGUGGGGGAAAUAUUCCUAAGCACUCCUUCUGUGCUUGGUUGGCCAUCAGGGAUAGGUUGAGUACUAGAGAUAGGUUAAGUCGGUGGAUAGGUCGAUUCCUUUAUCGUGUUUGCUUUGUGGAGGGAACUAUGAGUCUCGUGAUCAUUUGUUUUUUUCUUGUCAUUUUGGGUGGGAGAUUUGGUCGAGGAUCCUUUUGCUUAUGUCAUCUUCUCAUAGAAUCGGUUAUUGGGGGUUGAGUUAUCUUGGAUUUAUAAUCAGGGUAUUGGGAAGAGUGUGAGGAGAAAACUGUGGCGCCUUCUCUGGUGUGCUACAAUUUAUUUCAUUUGGCAGGAGCGAAAUCAUCGUCUUCAUGGAGGUGCUGUUCGGGAGCCUAUGGUUGUAUUCCAGCUCAUUCGGUCGUGUAUUAAAGCGUGUGCUGCUUCUUGGUCGGAUGGUGUUCAUGGUCUUAUUUAAUGUUCUUUUCGUUUGCUUGUCCUCGGGCUGUGGGGUUUCUCUUCUCUUUAUUAACUUUGUUGUCUUUCUCUCUUUUCUUGUCCUUUUAAUGUUUGGAACACUAGUUGGUUUCUUUUGGUUUUAGUUCUUGUUCCCGAGAUGUGGGGUUGUUUUGGGUACUUAUGGGUUGUUUUGUCUAACUACUUGUUUUGUGAGUGUUGUUCGCUCUUUUGUCUUGACCUCAGGCUGUGAGGUCCACCUUGUUGUUGUAUAAUAUUAUCAUUAUUACCUUUUCAAAAAAAAAUCAAACUCAAUGCUAAGUUUGACUGCUCCCUUCGAAGUGACAACAAGCCUCGUUUUCGCCCUACUGUGGAUCGAGGAGGAUUCCUCCUCUUUUCAAAGCCCUCAAUCAAACUUGACGUUAUGUUUAAAACACUAAAAAUAGAUGGUCUAGUUUUGGUUAGGCCAAAAGCGAUGUUUUCCCCCAAAAUCUCUAAUAGCUAGGGAACUCAACAUGUUCUACUUGACCUAAUUGACUUGACUCUGUAUUUUUUAUGAGCUUUUUUUAAUGCAUAUUGCAUAUGUUUUUUUUUUAUAAUUGUUGAUUGUCUCACUUUUUUAUGGUCUGCAUUUACGAGCCUCUUUUCUUUCUUUGUUAUGAACUGCGGUAACUAGGCAUUGCUAGAACCGAUGGGUAACAUUUCUAUGGUUCUACACUUAGUUUCUAAGUGUGAUUGCUCACCUCUAAUUUUCAAAACACUUAAUUUCUAAGCACAUACAAUGUUCACCUAGAAAAAAAUGAAAAUUGUUGUAGUUAAGAUCAAAACUAAAUAGUUAUGAAAUAAGACAUAAGAGAUUUGAUUUUAACAACCUUCCCGUUGUACUUGGGAUCCACUCUGGCUUUGUGCUGGAAAAUUGGUUUGGAGCUGAUCGUAAGCUUUCGGUUGCUCUUCUGUAACCUUUAGAUACUCUUCAAAGCUAUAAGCUUUGCUUCCUGACGAAUAAUCUUCUACUAUUACAAUACAUAAGAAAAUUCUAUUUCAUAAACCCUGUAUCAUAAUUGAGGCUGAUAGAAUGAUUAUUCUAUAACCCUACUAUAGUUUCAUUCUUAACAUUCAUAGACACGAUGCAUGGCAGCUAUCCAAUUCUAUUUCAUGUUCUCGAGAAUGGCUCGGUUUAACAAUAAUGUUAAUUUUUGUUUUCUAUUUUAAAAUAAUAACGCUGCUUACUAAUAACUAAAUGUUUUAAGCCAUUUACAAAUUAGAUUUCAAUAAAUCGAUAAUCAUAUUUUUUUACAAUAUAGGACUAAAAAAGAUAACUAAUUUAUAUAUAUAUAUAAUAUAUAUACAUAUACAACAGUAUUUAGUUAAAUUACAAAAAAAAAUUCUUUUGAAUUUUGUAGUUUGUGUAAAAAAAUAACCUUAAACUUUGAAAUGUUAAAAAAAAUUGUUUUGAACUUUUAAAAAUUAUUCAUAAAUACAUCUAUAUACGUAGGAUGAAGGUAUUGGCAUGCUUCUCUAAAAAAACUUUCCAAAAAGAUGUUGUGUGACUUUUGAAAAGAAAAAUUACAAAUGGGGUCGUUUUUAAACAAAUUAGAUAUAUCGAGUUAUAUUUAUUUAAUUUUUUUCCUUUUUUCACAUAUUAUCAAUCACAUCUUACUUUUUUCUUUUUUCUUUGGAACCCUGCAAAAAUAACAAAAACAUUUAUAAUCACAUGACUCAUGUCACUACAUUUUCUAAAUUUUAAAAGUAGUAAAUUUAAAAGUUGAUAACCCUAUGAUUAUCGUUUGAUAGUCAUCUAAUAUCACUAAUUUUGUCAUAUUCGUAAUAUCCAAAUAAGGUUUCUUGGUGAGUCUAGAGUCAAACGUGAGGACUUAUACUAAAAAUAUAUUUAUAUUUUGAAAUUAUCUUAAGGUGAUUAAUAACAUACGCCUAAGAACAAUAGCGGUAUCAUCCACUUGUAAGGGGGGAGGGGAGUCAUCCACUAUAGAUAAGGUCCACUUGUCUCCCUCACCCAACUUCAUAAGGCUGCCAAAAGAGUUAGGCAUAAUCACAUCCACACGUUUACCCUUCUCUCGAACAUAAACCAACUCUCUUUUCUUCCUAAUAACGAGUAAUUUCAUCUCGAUUACCUACCUCCUUUUCCUUAAUAUGCCUAAUGGGGGAGCUAUUAGUCUUACUUUCCUCCAACUAUUUAAAGUCUAACACCACAUCCACAAGACACAAUUGUCCAUUCCUCCUCUUUGUUUGAAACCACCUUGCUCACAUCCUUCUCUCGAUGAACUUUGUUUUCCACAAUCUUAGGACACUUACCACUAGAAUGCCCAAAAGACCGGCACAAAUUACACCUUCGAGGCUUCCACUCAUAAUUCACAGUCAUAACGAAAUCCUCUCCCCUAAGGUGAAUUGUAAAUUCAGCAAGCAUAGGAGAGUCCACAUUUGAUUCAACACAUCUCAAGCAUGUGACAACCUUCGUCUUUCCUUAGUAGCUAGAUCUAAAGAUAGAGGUUUUCCUAUAGCACUAGCCACAACAGUCAAUCUGACAUCUAUCCAUAACUCCAUUGGAAUCCUACCUAGUUUAAUCCAUAUAGGAACAUAAUAAAAAACAAAGGAUUUAGGGACAAUACCUGGAGUCCAUUUACAGAGGAGCAUACUUUUGCCAGCAAGAUGUCGCGAUCAACGAGGUAGGAUCCAUUCAACAAGUUUUGGGCAUCUGAAUUGGAAACAUAUGAGUCCGUUCUCAAGAAUUGUAAUCGUUGGCAUUUUAAUUUUAUCAACAAUAACAACGAGCUAAACAAAUCCUCUAUCCAGGACGCACUAAUGAAAACUAAAAUGUAAAAUAAGUACGAAGUAAUUAAUUAAAACAGAAGACAAAAGAAACCCAAAGUAAGUUGACAAAAUGCCCACAAUAAGCUUCAAGAUGAGUGAGAGGGAACACCAAGAGAAACAUGAAUAGCCUUGCUAACUUUUCACUACUAGCUAACUACAUAUAUUUUUACAAUACGUGUUAGGGAAAUCUUUCCCUUUGCAAAACAGACCAAUAUAUAAUCAAUCAUUGGCUCCUUAUGGGAAAAUACAGAAGCCCUAUACAUGUCUGUUUCAAGCUUGUGUUGAACAACUUUUAAUUCCCUAAGAUAAGGAGAUUUAUCUGAAGGUUCGAGAAUAAUGGCAUGUCCUAAACUAACCCACCAUUUCGCAACAGUGAACCAGUUUGAUCGUUAGGGGACAACUUUUGAUAAUAAGCGCACAACCAUGCCCCAAUUCCAAUGUUGCCCAAAAGUAAAGGCCUUUCUUCACAAUGCUCCAUAAAAAAAAAGUUUGACUUUCACAUAAAGAUCUUAUUUCUUUUUUAUUGCUCCAAGAGAUCUAAUAGAUCUAUUUUCACCACGCAAAUCCCUUUUGUUAUCAUGGAAAAUGUGUUGGUUGUGCUCAAACCAAAUCUCUGCUUGCAACACUUUUAUCAAAUUAACCCAUGUUUUUUUUUAAAAAAAAAGAGGAUAUGAGUCUCACUAUUAUUAAUAUUGAAAAAUGAAGAGACAAAGCUCAAUGUCAUGAGGAUUAUACAAAGAGCAAUAGGAUGGAGGAUCAAUAGACGCACCUGGACAUCUCAACUAGGUUGACACCCCCUUAGCACCCUCAUCACAUCCAAAAAGCGACAACACAAGAUCAAAACCAAAAGCCACAAAUAGAAGGCUUUUUUUGUGUUUGUUUUGCCUUUGGACAUUACUCCUUUGUUAUGGGUUUUAGCUUGGUUGGAUAUGAUGAGGGUGCUAUGGGGGUGUCAACCUAGUUGAGAUGCCAAGGUGCACCCCCUGAUCCAUGGUUACAUGUUCAUUGUAUAACUCUCUUGUACUAUGAGCUUUUGUCUAAUUAUUAUUAUUAUUUUAAUAUUAAUAAAGAGGUUGUCUCCUUUUCAAAAAAAAAAAAAAAACAAAAAACAAAACAAAACAAAAGCCACAAAUAUAAAACCAAGCAAAACGAUAAAAUAAUAUGUCCAAAACAAAAUCAUAAAUCAUAGGUAGCAGGUCGAGAACAAAGAAGAAUAAGCCUUGAUUGAGCAAAAAAUCCCAACAAAUAUUGAAUGUUUGGAGAAGACGGAACCAACAUUUCGAUACAAAGACAUAGUCAAUUCAAAGGUGCUAAAUAUUUUUCAUGUUAUCAACACAAAUGGGGCAGACAUGAGGUGAGAGGACAUGGGAGGGAAGUUUUCUUUGAAGUACUAAAGCACAGUUUAAUUUUCCAAACAACGUAAUCCAUAUGGGGAUAUUUAUCCAAAGAGUGAGCUAAAUAGCCCAAUGAGUGAUUGUUUUAUAAAACAUCGUUUUGAAAUAAUAAGUAUUUAACAAUUAACUCUUAACAUAAAUGAAAUCAAACUCAAACAACUUAUCUCAAACUUUCCCUUUCAGUUGCUAUACCUAGAAUCGUCGAGACGAAAAACAAUAAACUAGGCAUAGAAGCCCUAUCCCGUGAUACGAUACUUACGAGAUGAAACUCUAGGCAUCAAUUGUGCCCUAUCUCGUUAUAACUACAAUGAGAUGGAAAACUAGGCAUUCGUACAGGCUCUCAUCCCUUGAGAUGGGAAACUAAGCAUCUUUAGAAGUCUUCAUCUCUUAUCUAAUACCAAUGAUGGAAAGCUAGGUAUUUACUGAAUAUCCAAAUCAAAUGACCUCUAUGCACAAGAAAAUAUUUCCCGAAGGGUUGCUAUAUAUCUUAGAAUAUUUUAGGUAUAGACUAAAACAUGCUAAUAUUAUUUUCAAGCUUAAACAUUUUGAAAACUUAGCACAAUCAUGAUUGCUUAUAAUUUUCAUUAGUAAAUUCAUCAAUAAAAACAUGUUUACCAAAAUGUUUCUAAAUUCAUGCUUUGGAAAUACUUUAUAAGUCAGUAUUCUCAAAUAUUCAAACAUCAAAGCAUGCUUGAAACAUUUGAUAGUAAAUUCAUGUUUAGAAAUCAACUUUAAACUCAUUUUUGUCAUUUAUAGAGAGUAGCUUGGACCCUUGGCUUAUAAACUUGUUCGAUCUCCUUCAGAUCUAAAAUAAUGAAAAAUAAUGGGAAAUAAUUCCAUUUAAUUCCCGUUGAUCAUAAAAAUAUCAAAACUUUGCUUAAAAUUUCCAAAAACCACAAAAACAGCCCAAAGACAUUAGCUUGCGUACAAAAUAUUGUGGCAGAAGUUGGCAGGUGCGCGUAGGGCUUGCCUUGCCAUGUCUCGUUCUAACCUCAUGUGCAGCGUGUCACAAUCACAACUUUUCAAACACGGAACAGACUAUUGUGCGACACUUGUUGUAACUCGAUGAACACGUCAGUUGUAUGAAAUUCGAUACGAUGUAGCCUCCCUAUAGGUUUUAAGAGAAAUUGGUUUUAUUAAACAUGAGAGAGAAAGGAAAGCAUUGGAAACAUCGUUAAAAAAAACUUUGAAGACUGUCCAUUGCAAAGAGAGCUUAAAUUGCAAAGAGUACCAUUAGUGUCGUUUUUAAGAAAAUUGUUUUCUUCUAGAUAUUAUAACUCUCUUUCCUUCUAGGAAUAGAAAAUGAAGUAGAAGAGAAUCAUGAGAUUCUAUUAAUUUAUAAAUAAUUAAAUUAAUAUAUAUUUCAAAUCUACUGAUUAAUUAAACAUUAAUCAAUUAGUUAAUAAUUAAUGAAAUCGAAUUUAAUUAAAUAAUAUUAAACUAAACUAUUAAUUAAUUCUCCAAUUAACUAAUAACACUAAAUUAUUUAUCUUAUAUUUAACUUAAAUUAAAUUUGAAUCAUAUUCAAAUAUAAGUUUCUCUCAAUAAUUUUAAUAUGAAUCCAAUUCACAUUAAAUUAAUAUUUGAACUCAUUCAAAUAUUUUAUCUCUCAUAAAUUAAUUUUGAAUCAUCCCCAAAGUUAAAUUUAUAUAGUAAAGUUUGAUAAACUUUAUAUUAUAAUGUAUCACUAUACAUUAUACUAAUUCCCAAGUUAAAUUUAAACAUUUUAAAUUACAACCAAUACAAAUAAAUCUCAUUACCCUUUACGAGCUAGGAAAGGGACCUAAUGGACCUACAGAUCAGAAGCUACAACGAUCUAAGAUUAAUUGGCUAAACUCAUUAAUCAAUAUUUGUUAGCUUUGUGUACACUCCACUAAAGACUCACAACUGAACUCUUCUCACUAAAAAUAUAUUUAUGUGUCCAUGGAUAUAGACCAAUAAUAGUAAGUUAGUCCUUCACGAGUGUUUGUAACACCAGUUGGACCAAUUUACCGCUUUACCCCUAUGUUACCUCUAAUCCUUAAAAACCAGUGCUCCUCUAAUGAACAACUUGUUUAUGGUCCUACUAAUAAACAAAAACCCAUCUCAUGUCAUAGAGAGGGUACGAGCCCUUUGUUCAAGUUUUGGAGACACCAUUUAAGCUAACAUUCAUCUACUUACCCUAAAGUAGGAAAUGAGUGAAUUCCAUUUUGUGCAAUUAUAAUCCCAACUCCCCACUCAGUCUUGUCCCCAAAAUCACUACUACAAAAACAGGCUCUCUUGACGGUUGUAGUUUUCCUUUCUUGACGUUUUUUCCCAAAAACGUCAAGAAAGAUGUGAUUUCAAAUAAAAAAACGUCAAGAAUUUUUAUGAAAGGCCAAUUUUCAACUUUCUUGACGUUUAUUAAACGUCAAGUAAGAUGUACUUUUUCUUGACGUUUUUUAAACAUCAAGAAAUAUCUAAUAAUUUUUUGACGUUUUAAAAACGUCAAGAAAUUUAUAAAAAAAUUCUUGACGUUUUUAAAACGUCAAGAUAAUUCUAAAAAAUCAUUGAUGUUUUUAAAAACUUCAAGAAAUUUUAAUUUGUUUUUGAUGUUUUAAAAACGUCAAGAAAUUUCCAAAAAAAUUAUUGUGUUAAUUUUCUUUUACAAAACGCAACGUUUCAAUUAGAUCACUUCCCCUUUUCUUAAUUAAACCUAAUUCGCCGCGACUUUGUCCCUUCUCCACCCGAAAUCAAAAGCGUCGUUCACCUAACCUUCCCUUCGCGUUCAUCUGUGCAUUCAUCUGCGUUCAUCGCCGAAAAAGACUUCCCUUCGCGUUCAUCAGCGUUCACCUUCAUUCAUUUGCCUUCAUCGUCCGUCACCGUUCGUCUGCUUUGCGUUCCCUUCACCUUCGUUGAUUUGCGUCCGUCUGUUCACCGUUUGAAAUGUGUAAACACAUUCUCUAUUCGAAAACGAGUAAACACGUUCACCGUCCUUCUGUCGCAUUCCACUUUCGCUAAACCUCUAUUCGUUUCCAAAUCCUUCAUGGUUACUCAUUCAUUUUCUUCCCUUUCUAAAGGUAAUAAUUUUCCUUUUUUCCUUUGUGAUUAAAAUUUGUAAUUUGGAAUUUAAAAUUGGAAUGCAAAAUUAAAGAAGAGGAAAUAUGCCUUAGAGAAUGGAAGAAAGGUUUUGCAUUUUAGGCUUGAAAAGGGGGGAUACAAGUUAUUAUAAUUGUAAUAUAUAAUAUUUUGAACAAGGCUACCAAGCGUGCGAAUAUGAUUCAUUGGUUAGUUUAGGGAUUGGAAAGAGAAGGAUUGUGGAGUUUGUGAUAAUAUUUUGGUACACUGGAGCUGGAAACAGAGAAUAUUAAAAAACACAUACUGUUAUACACAAUAUUAUAAUAAUACGAAUCACUAGAUUUUCUUCUUCGUUUUCUUUUUCUUCUCCUUGAAUUUUUGUUAUGGGUAUUGUAUUGAGUUUUGUGUUUUAGAUUGUGAAGUAUGGGGUAGCUAAACUCUUAAUCCUAGGGAUAGAUGUAGACAAAGUUUAUGAAUUAUUCUUUGUAAUGCAUCUGAUUAUCUGCUCUUAAUCUUUUCAUGUUUUUAUGUGAAUAAUGUUCAUAAUAUCUUAAUCACAGAUUAAUUGUUGAUUGGCCAUGAACCUUAAUCUUUGCAUGACUAGAGUGGUUAUGAACUUGGAAAGAGCUAAUUAAGGAUCCUUGAGGAGGUUGUUGAAAGAAGUGGACCUAAAAACUUUUGUUUGUUAAUAAAAAGAAAAAUGAACAGAGAUUCAUCUUCGUGAGGGGUCUUGAUGUUUAAUUUAAUUUAAAUUGUGUAUGAAUUUUUAAUUACGAGCAUUUUAAUAUGUUGCGUUUUAAUCCUAGGGAUAGAUGUAGACAAAGAGCACUAUAGCCAAGGUAUAGAGUGAGGGAGAUAAGGUUUAUAUGUCUUAGAGAAUGGAAAGAUGGAAUUUGUGCUAAAAUCAUUAGUGUUCCAAAUACAAUUAUGAAUUGGGUAUAGUUGCAUUCCCCCUUCUGGAUUGCAUAGCACAUAAAUAUACUCUCAUGGAUUGCAUAGCACAUAAAUAUACUAUCAAAAACAAUAACAUAAAACACAAACUUGAUUUAGUUUCAUUCACACUUGUACACCAACAUGUUUCAAUUAAUGAUCAUAUAUUAAAAAUCAUUUUCAAAUUUGGUAAUAUAAAAUGGAAGAAGUGAGACCUUGAGGUUUUAACCACCAAUACUAUCUAACUGAUGAGUUUAUGAUUUUUGUUUCUAUUGUGUUUUUCCUUAAGCUUUAACUUGCUUUAGGGGCAAGAUGGUGAAGGUCUAGUCCACAACCUUUCCCAAGAAUUUAAUGAUGUUUGGGUUGACCCAAUUAUUGUUAUUGGACACCGUUUUAUGGUAAUUGGUUGUUAUGGUUUUUAAGUGUGUUUUGAUAUCUUGUGUUAAAAAGUAAUUGCAAAAAGUCAGAAAAGUUUGUUAAAGAUUAAGUGUUUUUAAGUUUGUCAUUCCACUUUAAUUCUCACCAGUACUUGCUGAAUGGAAGCCUCUUGUCUAAGACAAUUCGAGUGGAAUAACUCUCGUGACUACCACAACAUUUGGGAACUCACCAAAUGUAAGACUAUUCCUUUAUCCUAGCAUUUGAUCUCUCUCUAUAAUUUGGUUUGCUAUCGUAAGUUUGAUUAAAAUAAAUGCUGAUAAUUCAACUCCAAUGUUCUUAUUUUCUUAACUCUCAUUCAGUCAGUUAGAAUCAGAACUCAUUUAUUUAUCUUGUCUCCAUAAUUUGGAUUCAAAGAUUCAUCACAAUAAUCUUCUCAACAACAUUCUUGAAAAGGUAUUGAAUUUUCAACUGUGUGACCUUUAUACACAAAUUUCUUCAAAGAAAUUUACAUUCUUUAGAGUUUAGAGCUUUGAAUUCUAGUACAACUUAUGAAGCUUUUGAUACUUGUUAGACUUUUUUGCUUGGUGCGGAUAAAACCUUAUUUACAUUCUUUCUUUCCUGCAUGUUCUCUUUUGAUAUUUGUUAGACUUUUUUGCUUGGUUGUCCUUAGUGUUUUCCUCUUUAGCUGAAAUUUCUCUAUCUUGAAAAAAAUAGAGCUUUAAAAUUCAACUUCAACUUUAUUUGAUACUAUCUUAGUCCAUACUUAUUUUGGUAUUUCUUUCCUUUCUCACAAACACAUCUAAGAGGUUGCCUUCACAAUAUGGCCAAAUUAACAAUAUGGCAACCUUUUUCAUUGCAAAACAUAUUAGAGGUUGGUUACUUAGUUAGCCUUAUUGGGUAAAUAAUUGACAUUUAGGUACUUUUUAGUUUGUAUAUUUAUAGAUGCCAAAUCGAUAUGUGAAUUUUAAUUGUUGCUUAUUUGAAACAUUGCAACCAUUUGAUAAAAUGUUGCUAUGUGAAUCCAUCUUAACUUGAUAUAUUAUUUUAUUUUGGUUUAGGUUGUGGAAUCCAAGUUUGUAUUUGAAGUCAAAUUCAUCCAAGAUCAUUGAGUUUCAAAGCUUCUUUAAUUAAGAUUUUGUUUCUUGAACUAGAAUUGUAGUCUUGUGAUUUUUGGAAUAGCAUAGUUGGAUUGGUUUUGUAAUUUUGGGAUUAUCAUAUUAGGUUGGGGUUGACUGAAGUAGUGUUUUGUAUAUGACAAUAUCGAACAAACAUGUAAAGUUUUCGAAAUGUUCAUACAUAUAUGAUUAAAUGUUAAUAUAUGUUAAAGUUUUGGAAUUGUAUUCGUGCAUAUUUAUGAGAUUGUUGGGCCACACUACAAGAAUUAUAGAGACAAUACAGGAACAAAAAUAUAAAUAAAUUAUAAUUUAGAAAAAAAAUGAAACAAGCUUCAUGUUUUUUAAAUGUCAUAAACAAAUACAUUCUUGACGGUUUUUCAAUGUCAUUAACAAGUAAAUUCUUGACGUUUUUUAAACGUCAUAAACAAUUGUGUUCUUGACCGUUUUUAAAUGUCAUAAAUUACAUUCUUGAUAGUUUUUAAAUGUCAUGAAUACUCAUUCACUUGACGAUUUUUAACUGUCAUGAAUAUUUGUAUACUUGACGUUUAUAAACUGUUAAGAAUCGCUAUUCUUGACGUUUUAUUAACCGUCAAGAACUUUGACUUUCUUGACGCUGGCUUCAACGACGGUUUUAAAACCGUCAAGAAUAGUGAUUCUUGACAGUUUAAAAACGUCAAGAGAGUCUAUUUUUGUAGUAGUGAAUGAUAAGCUUAUUGAGUCGGCGAUCUAGCCACUCUCACUCGUACAAAUCAAAGGACAAUCUCUCGCGAACAAGAGUUCAUAAUACACUCAAGAUUAAGACUAAGUUAUCUAGGUCAUCCUAGUGAAAUAGAAACCUAACUAGUUAAUGUAGUAACACCAAGUGGUUACUAUUUCACGGUCUGGUCUAUUGCAAUCUCAUUGCAUAGGAUACCUUCACUCGCAUGUCAACUACAUGAACACAUUGGAUCAUUGUAUUUGUAUCAAAUACAAGGUGAGUCGUAUUCAUAAUGUUACCAGGAUAAAGGUACCCAGUCUUAUCCCUAUACUAUAGACCCUUUAAGCUGAUCUCGAACAUUGAUCCUUGUAUGUCUCUACAUAAUAUUCAAUACUUAUUAAACAGUUUAGGAUGUUAGUUUAUUGGAUUUGAGUUAUUAAGACAAAACUAAUAAUAUAAUCAAUAACAAUUAUUACAAUAAUAACACUUUAUUAACAAUGGUCAAUGGAUUAUAUUUACAAUCUACGAGUUUUAGGACAUAAAUUCCAACAAACUCCCACUUGGACUAAAACUCUAGUCUCUUUGGGAUGUUCAUAAUAAAGUAAUCCUCUAACAUUGAAAAUGGUAAAAUGUACAAGUGUAUUACAUAGAAUGUGUAUAUACAAAUACAAUAAACUAGGGCAUCCUCAUACCCAUUACACAUCUGCCACUUUUCCUAGAUUACCUAAUGUACAUAACUCGCAGAUCUAGACUUUCUAGAAGACCCUUGAACACUUUAGCCAUGAGAGUCUUUGUAAAUGGAUUAGUAAUAUGCCCCACUAUUAUCACAAUAUAGAGUGAUGGGGUAUGUUCAUGUUUGGAACAACUUCCAAAUUAUGCAAGAACUUCCUCAGCAAAACUGCUUCUUUUGCUGCUUCACAAGUAUCAAUAUACUCAACUUUCAUAAUAGAGUGUGUAAUGACGCGUGGCUCAGGCUGCUUGAUCAUGCUAGGACAUGCUUUCUGCAUGUCCGAAGCCUAAAUAACCUUCUUUCGCUCAAAACACACGCUCAUCUCACCUUGUCAUCCUGGCAAUCAACCACCCUUGGCCUUGCUAGAAAUAUGAUUUUUCUACCAGAAACUUAACUCGACUUUGAAGCUUAAAUCAAUAAGAUUCCUUCUACAAACUUACUUAGAAUGUCUUCACUAGCUUACCACAAAGUGUCACUAACAAAUUCCAAGUAUUGAGUUAUGUAGCUCCAAAAUACUCUAACAUUGUUUAGGUUUUUUUUUUUUUUUUUUUUUUUUUUUUCUGAAAAUGACCUUUGAGUCUUUCUUCACUUCAAUGCCUUUCUUCCUGGUAGCCUUUCUCCUGAUACUACACUCAAUUUAGGAGAUUUUCGAAGUAGAGUUACCCAAUUAACACAAGUUGAUUGUUAACAUAAUUCGUCCAAAGUUGUACAUAUAGUGAUCCUUGCAUGCUCUUUGGUUGACACUUUUAUUAUCACCUCUUACGCCUAUACUUGCCACUUUCCACCUCAUGCAAGACACUUAUUUGGCAAAACUUAGGUAUCUUGUAUGUUGUCCACUUGUACUCUACCGCACAUCUUACCUCAUAUUGCUUAAGUCAUCCUUGGACGCAUAUCCCUUUUUCUAUAAGGGUUCUUUAGUAAAUUCUUACUGCCAAGAAUGCCUAAGACUUUUUUUUUCUCGCCUAAUCUCCCAAACAUCCCUCAAUGCCUUCAACAAACCAUGCCAUCUUGACUAGCAUUUUGUUGAAUUGCCCCAUUGGCCGCAUGGCCUAUGUCCACAUAGCCCACCUCUUUGUUGCAUGACAUUCCUUAUCCACGUUCUAACUUCUUUAGAGUUUCUUGACAUUUCCUAGAUGCUUAGCUUCCUUGCCUUAGCGCAUACCCUUGGUCAUAUAGCCUUGUCUUAUAGAGGUUGUCUUGACACCUUUCGGCCCAUACCACAUCUCAACCUUUGGCCACCCAACAUGUCUCUUUAAAGGUUCGCUUGACACUUUUGGCCGCCUAGAGUAUGCAACAUGCCCUAGCUAACACUUAGCCAAUUUUCGAACACCCUUUAGGCCUUUCUUUGUUACGAUGACACUUUUCUUUUGUCAUCUUAAAAAUAUUAACACAUCUUCCAUAACACUUCAACUAAACUAUCCAAUCUUAAACCAUCUUUCUCCUAACAUCAACCCCUAAUGUCCUAUUGAGUUCUUUAGAUGAAUUAAGGAUUAUUGGGUAUCAGGGUUUACAUGCGAGAUGUAAGUCUUCCUCUUUGGAAUUACGUAUAGUAGUGUGCGGAGGGAGAGGAAUGUGAUGCAGUUCUUCCUCCUCAACCCUAAGGAAUUCGUCUUCGCUAACAAUGCCCUUUUUAUCGGGUAAGGGCUUGCUCGGUCAGGUCGUGAGGUGAAGGAUGUUGUUAUAAUGAUGAGGUAUUUGGUGGUGAGAGGAUAAUAUUAAAGGUUUUGAGGUGUCUUCUUCUUCUCUCGCCAUUCUUCAUCUUAUUAAGCUUCUUCUUCUCUUUAUUCUUUAUCUUUAUUAAAGGUUUUAAGGUGUCUCUGUUCUUCUUUAUUUUGAUGGAGUGUUAUGGUUUGGUUGAGAUUCGCCUGAGAACAUGCAUAAGGGGUGAUUGGAGAAAAGCUAAAAGCUUAGGAACCGUCAGAGGAAGGGCAGAUCAUUAAUUGUAUGUUACGCCUUCCUCUGACGUGGUGGCAGCAACGUUGAGAAUAGAUUUAGGGAUUCCCGACGUAUUAUUAAUCGCGUGGGAAUAUGUUUAGGGAUUUCUGACGUUUAACAAAUUAGGUCAAGAAUAGGGUGCUAUUCUCGACGUUUUCGUUGUGCGUCAGGAGUUCUCUGUCUUUUUUAACUCCAUUCUUUACAUAAAAAAAACAUAAAGAGAAAGAAAAUGAGAGAGAGAGAGGGAGACCGAGAGGAAGAUUGAGAAGAAGAGGGCAUUGUCAUCUCCAUUGCCGUCCUCUGUUGUCGUCCUGUCGUCGUCGCCAUCUGUAAGUGGUUUAGUUUAGAUAUUGUUUUGUUUUAGUUAAUUAGUUUUAGUAUUUAGAUUUCAAAUUUGUUUUAGGUGUUAGAUUUUAGAUUUCAAAUUAGUUUUAGUAUUUAGAUUUUGAAUUAGUUGUAAGUUUUAGUAUUGAAAUUUAAUUUCAAGUGUUGUUAGAAUUUUAAAUUAGUUGUAGGUUUUAGAAAUUUGAAUUUGAAGUGUUGAAGUUGAGAUUGAAGUGUUAAAGUUGAGGUUGAAGUGUUGAAGUUGAGUUUGAAUUUAAAAUUUUCAAUUUGAAUUUAGGAAUUAAUUGAAGUUAUUUUUUUUUAAAAAAAUAGAGGAUCUCCCGACGCAUGGUUCCUAGACAUCUCUCGAUGCUAUAUUGACAACAUCUUUGACGUUCAUACAACGUCGGAAGAUGUCUAGAAACUCUCGACGCACAACAUUGUGCAUCGGGAGAGGAACUCCCGAUACAUUUUUCCUGACUUGUGUUCCGACAUAUAUUAGUGCGUCAGAAAAGCCUUUUCUGACGCUUUUUAUAUAUCUCCCAAUGAUUUUAUGCAUCGAGAGAGCCCUCAUUUCUUGUAGUGUUAGACAAAGAGCUUCAAUGUGGUAGAGGGGAAAGGCAUGACACCUUUAGGUUUCAUCAAAGAGAGGAUUGAGGUUCUGAUUACGGCGCUAAGGUUAACUGCGCCAUCUUCUUCUUAAUGCAAUAAAUCAUCAUUGUGCACUCUAGUGGGAUGGUGUUGUUGUCAACCAGGCAGGCGGUUUCGUUUUCAAGUCUUAGUUCUUAAUUCUUAACAACCUUUGAGUAUUGAUGCUCUACCCCAACCCUCAUCCAAAACGAUAACUAACACAAUGGUUUGGAAGUUUUUGUGAAAUAUCAUCUAUACUUUUUCUUUAAUGGUCGAUGAAAAAAAAAGUCAGGAAAAUGGUAUUUCUAACCAUUUUAAGUGUUACCAAAAUAUCACAUUUGGUGUAGUAUGGUAUUGUUUUGAAUAUUUUUGUAAAAUAGUGGAUCAAGAAGUUUUACUAAGAUAAAGUUUCAUGUUGGACAAGAGGAUAGUGGAUGGGAAUUAAGUUGAAUGGUCCACUUUUUUUUUAAAUCCUUUAAGGUUUUAUGAAAACCUUUCACAAUACCUUUUCAUAAUCAUUUUGUAAAAAUAAUAUCAAAUCAUUUAAAUAUACCAAAAAAUUAUUUCAUUUCAAAUAAACCUUUCUAUGCUUAAAAAAUCAUUUCAUUUUGUCAAGGAUCCCGAAUCGUUCUCUACGCUUGGUCUCAUUACCUCGCGUUUAGACUACUGUAUCAACAGCAUCUGAGAACAUACAAAUUCGUCUUUGUUGCUCAUACCGCUAAGCUUUAUACGCUCAUUUCAAUGCAUAAGUCAGCUUCUUAUUACCAUGUAGUUCGUACACUCCAUAGUGGCCUUCACUCUUUAUGUGCACACAAAAGUUAGCAUCAUCUCAAAGAAACAUAAUAUUGAAAUCAUAGUCAUCAAAUCAAGCUUUAACAUUAUAAAUAAUGCUUGAAAACAUAACUUUUCAUAGAAAUCUUUCUGAAACAUUCUCAUCUGAAUUCUUCUUUCGAAUCAGUAAAGAGAAAUCGUAAUAAAGUUUCUUAACAUAAAUUCUUUUGACUGAAAAGCACUCACCAAACUUUACUAAAGAAGUCCUUCUCACAACCAUCUUUUCGUGUGGCUAAACCAACAACACUUUAGCAUUUCAACAAAACUCUCAUCAUCCCCUCCUUAGUUACCUAAAUUCUCCUAUUUUAUAGAUCCCUUAUACUAACUUAGUCAUGCAAAUCCUUAAUAUUUAACCUAGUCAUGCUCAAAUCCUUAAUCUUACAUGUUAACCCAUGUCAAAUAAGAUUUGACAUUUUCUUUACAAACCUUGCUCCCCACCUACCCAAACCGUGAAUAAAUUCAACCACUUAACAUUUCUCGUGAAUAACCUUAUCGCUUGAUUAUAUUUUUAUUAUAAGAAACGUUCCACAUGAACUAACCAACUUUUACUCGCAUAAAACUCUUAUCACGAACUUAAACUCCAAGGCUUCCUUGUAGACUUCUUCUCCACGAAAUGCUUGAUUCUUCUCGGGAAGACCACCCAAAACUCCUAGUCUAACACUCAAAACUUUCAUUUCUUAACUUACGCAAAGACUUUUUCGCUUCUUAUCGCACAACUUCUUUCGCGAACUACACACUUAUCGCAAAAAAGUAUACUUAACCGUAAAAGAUCUUAUCACUUAAUCUUUCCAUGGAUUUAUUUGAACACCAACUUAUUAAUUCUUAGCCGAAUUUUACUUCCUUACUCAAAUUAGAAAUGGGUCGCACAACUUCCUUCGCAAACUACCCACUGAAUCGCAAUAACGUAUACUUAACCAUAAAUUUUUUUAUCGCUUAAUCCUUUUCGUGGAUUUAUUCAAACGCCAAAUUCUUAAUACCUAGCCAAAUUUACUUCAUUACUUAAAUUAGAAAUGGGUCUCACAUUUAGAGCCUAUCGCUUCUUUAAGAUACAUGAUCUUACUGAUUCAGAGAAAUUAACCACAGGCGUUAUUAGUUUUGAUGAUCUGGCAUUGGAUUGGUACCAAGCACAAGAAGAGUUGGAAGUUUUUAAGAAUUGGGCUGACCUGAAAGAACGAAUGCUUGUACAGUUUCGAUCAAUUCGAGAACGAACUUUGGUUGGAAGAUUUUUCUCAAUCAAACAGAAAAUGAAUGUAGAAGACUACCGCAACCGAUUUGAUCGAUAUUUAGCUCUAGUAGCAUUUCUUCAAACGGUAGUGUUAGAGGAGACUUUGAUGAUUGGGCUUAGCCCAUGAAUAAAAAUGGAAGUGGAAAUUGUGGGUUGAGCAGUGCAUUUCAUUGGGUUGGCCCAGAUGAUGAAAUUUGCGUUGAAGAUUGAGAAUAAGGAACUAGUGAGAAAAGAGUGUGGGUUGAGCAGUGCAUUUCAUGUAAAACUGUAACUCACCCUAUCUAUUGUGGAAAACAACAAUACAAUGAUGACUAAGGAAGAAACCAACAAUGGAAAGUCUACUGAUGAGAGCUAUCACCCUGAAGGGAGUUACUGAUAGAACUAAGACAUGCACAACAGAAAAAGAAUCGAAAUUCUACCCUAAUUGGGCUUAAUUAACGAGACUAAACCAAAAAAAUAAGGUUUUUAGAAUACUUACAUUUGAAGCUGCGUUUUAUUCGAACAACCACUAAGUUUGACUUAGUAUCCUCUAGACUCAUAAUCGAGUUGUGGGACCCGUUGGAUGAAAGAAUCGGACGAGAGAAAUAGAUGAAAAAAAUGGGCGUGGUAAAUUUUCUUUUUUUUUUUUAAGUAAAUAAGAAAAAGAAAUUCCAUUUGGUGUGAAAGCCCAAAUUUAAUAGGAAAAUGAAAGGGAAUUCCUUGGAAAGUUGGUUUGUGUGUCAUUAAAAGUCAAGGUGGAAAACAAAGUACAACAUAUGGCUAAAUGUGAGAGUAGGCGUGCAAGUAUAAUAAAUACCUACCAAGAUGUUUAUUAAUAACAUGUGUUUGAUACAUAAUUACAACACUUUGACCAAACAACCAAUGCUUAACUAUUUUCAAAACGUCUGGUCAUCUCGCUGCAAAUCCUUCAACCUUCUUCUCUACUUGGCCUAAACACCUCAUCUUGGAAGAUGAAUUUUUGAAAGAAUGUCUAAAAGACUAAGGUUUUAUGAAAUCCUUUUCGCAAUACCUUUUCAUAAACAUCAUUUCGCAUAAACAACAUCAAAUAAUUUUAUCUCGCAUAAACCUUUCUUUAUCCUUAACAUACUCAUAACAUAACAAUUUCACAUAAACACACAUUAGUUAACAUUCAUUCCUUUCACCAAUGAUUUUGAAUCGUUCUCUACACUUUGAUGUAGAACAUCUCCCUUCUUGAUGUUUCUUGAGUUUUAUCCUAGAGGAGUGGUUUGAAUUACCAUUUUUAUAGUUUAGGAUUAGUUAUUUGAAUUACCAAUUUUGUAUCUUGAGUUAGUUAUAACUAACUCAACUCCAAGUUAAACUAACUCAACCCCAAGUUAGUUUAACAACUCUCGUAAUCUCCAGCCUAUAAAAAAGCUUCUCAUUUUCAUUAAUAAGACAUAAAAAAAAAAAGAGGCAUUAUACAUAAAGAUUUCUAGCUUUGCAAUUACUGCAUCAAUUGGUAUCAGAGUGUGAUCCUAGCUCACUCUUCCCUAAAAAAACUUGGAUCCUACCACUCUUAUCCAUGGACGCAUAAGCCUCAUUCAACCAAGGCUUGCAGUUGGUAGAACAAGCUAUUGAAGAACUUCGAAAAGGGCAGUCGGAUAUACAGCAAUCGUUAGUAGAAUUAACAAACCUUUUUACCCGAUUUCAUGUCCAACCUUUAGAAGAAGCAAUUCAUCCCCCAAGAAACCUAAUUGCAGCAAACCAAGAAAGACAAGAAAGACCAAGAAACCCAAUUGCAGCAAACCAAGAAAGACAAGAAAGACCAAUAAACCCUGUUGUAAACCAAGAACUACUAAGAAAUCAACCUAUUCACAUCCACAAUAAUCGAUUGUAUGGAAACAACGUACUUGGAAAUUUCUUAAACGAUUCUGACUCUUUCGAUGAAGACAACUUGCUGAACAUUCAUCAAGAACCUCAACAAAGGUUUGGACUUCGACCAUACUUUCAAGAAGAUCAAGAAAUACGUAUGAAAGUGGAUCUCCCUACCUUCAAUGGUCGAAUGGACGUGGAGAAGUUUCUUGAUUGGAUCAAGAACGUAGAAAUUUUUUUCGACUAUGCCAAUACACCCGAACACAAGAAGGUUCGAUUAGUUGCUCUCAAACUUCAAGGUGGCGCAAGCGCUUGGUGGGAUCAAUUACAAAACAAUAGACGAUUAUUCGGUAAACAAUCUAAAGAUUAGCUGAAUAUCUUAUAAAAAGAUGUUGCCGUAGGCUUAGUGGUGACAGGUGAGAAAGUAAGCUGUAUCUUUUAUGACUCUUAAACGUUGAAGUCAAUCAAUGAGUUCCAAAUGCAAUAUUGGAAGUUUUCUUAAAUAUUUUGAUGCUUUUGCAUGUUGUGAAAGAACUUGGUUAGAUGUGAGAAAGGGGUUUAUGAGAUUAGUUACUUACUAUUCCCUUUUUCACUGUCAUUGCUACUCCGUAGACAUGCUAUGGGCUCGUGUUUCUGUAGAAUAUAAUUCAGAUGCUCUUUCUCUAGAAUAUAAUUUAUGUGCUUUCUCUACAAAUUUGAAGUAAUUUCUACUGCUUUUGCUAAUAUUCUCUAAAGCUUAUUCAAAAUGUAGUUGUUUAAUGACUGUUCAGAUUUAAAAUAUAUUAUAGAGUUAAAUUUAACACAGUUAAUCAGCUUAAGCAUUUGACUCUGGUGUUCUUAAGAUAUAAAUUCAAAUCCCUAUAAUUUUAUCAUGUUGAUCUUUUCAAUCUUCUCACAUACCGUCUUCAUUUCAUAAUCUUGCCUACUAGCUGUGUAUCAUCAAUGAAAUUACCAUAGGAGUCCACAUGUGGUAAUUAUGGAUCUAGCACGAUAUACUGCGUAUCAUGUUGUUGGAGAUCAGUUUAAAUGAUUAACCAGUCUAUUGGUGGUUUGAGUCUUUUCUUUUGAAUCUAUAGGUUGUUCAAUGGUCUAAUAUUAACUGUGUUUAGAUUUAUGGUAAUUUUCAUUCUUUUACAGCCUUAAUAACCAAGAAAAGGUGUGCUUUGAUAAUCUUUUCUUUCUCUUCAGCAUGUUGGUAAUGUAGAAAGAUUACAUGUAUACUAUGCCCAUGGACUAGAUAGCCCAACCUUUGUUCGCCGGUGUUAUUGGCUCCUAGAUAAGUAUGUUAUGGUUGAAAGAAAAUUGUUAAAUUGCUUGCUACCAGUUGUUUCAGUGGGGUCUAUCCCCAUCAUGCCACAAGCAAAGAAAAAUGAAAUUAGACAGUGGCAGUAUAUCGUGUUCUACUUAUAUAAUUUAUGACUUUCUUCUGCUUUUUGUUCAGGACCUUUGAACACAUUGUCCUUGUUCAUUACCGUGAAACACAAGAGGUUAGGUUCAACACAAUGCAUCUGCAGUUACUAAAAUAUUAUCUUGAGACAAACUUUUAUCAUUUGGACUACUACAUCUAUUUAAGAUUUGCUGAUUUUUCCUCCAUGGUUGCAAUAUUAGAACUUCAUCCAAAAUAAUGUUGUCAUGUGUGUCUUUAAAUUUUUACUGGCAGUCUGGCACCAUAUAGAUCUAGUAGUUGUGCAUGCAUGUCUUCCUCUCUAUCCUCCAUUGAAAAACUCGAUAAUUAUCUAUUUGUGUUUUAUUUUGAUGAUUUAAUCCAACAUUUAUUAUGGAUAAAGUCAGCCAUAAAAUACAUAUGUUUACUACUGCUCUUUGUACAUUUUAAAUACUAGAUUUCUUGAUGAUUGUUGUCUUUAAGUUGCUCUUAAUGUUGUUGCAUAUCGAGAAAUGCACUGUAAUUUCUGUACCAAUUUUAUCACUGCUUUUAACUAAAUCUUCAAAAAUCAAGGCACCACCUGGAUGUAGAGUGCUAUAUGGUGAUUCAAGUGUUGAGAGUUCUCUUUCUUCUGCUAUCCAUAAAUUUAUGGAAUGGAAAGGCAAUGAUCAUGACACUAUUUUUUGUCAGAUAAACACAGGUUUCAUAUGCUUCAACUCUGUGGUGCUUCACAGCACACGGAUAAAACUUCCAAACAUUCUGCACCCAAUAUUACCAUAAUGCAUUUGGACACUUCAUUAACAACUUCUUACAAUUAGCCUUUCUAUAUUGAAAAUAAUUCGUUGUCUUAACUUCAUGUUGCUGCUAGUUUCAAAAUUUUGCAUCCACAUCGUUGAACUCAAAUUCUGGUUCUGUCUCUAACCCAUCAACUCCGUGGCUUUUAUCGGAGGAACUUGAUUCCAAGGCUACUCAUGUUUAUUCUCUUGGUGAAAAUGAAUUGUUAGGUGAUACUGGCCGAACCUGUCAAAAAUAAAUGAGUCAUAGUUUGUUUGAUCAUUCAUUUUCUAAUCUUUCUUCUUUAUAUUUAAUUAGUUGUUUAAUUUCUUAAAAAAGAAUUCUGGUUUAUUUAUAGUAUAUUUGGUAGUAUGCAUGCCUCAGCUCCUUUAAUGCAUGUCUCUUACAGUAUAUUUGGUAGUCUUUUAUAAUGUUACACCCUUUUUUUUAAUUCCUAAAACCUUUUAACUUUCCAAAUUUUCAUUCAUUCUUUUAGAAAAUUAUUUUCAUUAUUUUUUUAUGGUUACAAAACCAUCCAUUAACUACAUUAAUUAGACAAUUCACUCCAAUAAUAAAUAAAUAACUUUUUUGGAUCUAAGGUCUUUUCUCAUUCUACAAAUUUAAUUUACUAUAUAAAGGUUAUUAUGCUAAUUGAAAAAUAUAUUUCUCUCAAGUAUGCAAUGACAGAAAAUUAGGUUAUAAAUAUAAAAAAAUAAUAUUUUUAGGUAUUAUAAUUUUUUUAAAAAAAUUAUAUUUUAAAUUUUUAAUAAAACCUUGCAUUUGGGGAUUCACAUGUUGUUACUUGUCGAACCAAAAAAGAUAAAUUCGUGGUGAAAACUCUUUAAAAGCCCAAUUCGUGGAAGGAAAAAUUGAAGUGUGGCGUUGAGUUAUUUUGUUGUUGAAGAAGAUCAGUAAAAAACCCACAGCAUUAAAACUUCUUUUUUGUUUCUUUAAGUAUAUUUUAGAUUGCAACGUAUUUUCUAUUUGGGUUUAGUUAGGGUUUCUCUUGUUUAUUCCAAGAUAUGCAUGGAUAGUUCAUGUUCGACUAUUUGGAAAGAGGGAUUUAUGUAGCACGGGUAUUAUAUUCUGGUUUUGGAAGUGUCGAGAUAAAUUAAGGACUUUUUUAAUCUUCUUCAAACAAACCUAUACGAAGGCGAAGAAUAAUUUGUGCUUGUAUUUUAGUCGGAAUAAGAAGAAACAUGAAGAGAAUGCCCACGAGGAAAAUGACCAUGAGAAAAAGUUGUGUAUUCCUCCAUCCAUAACUGAGCUCUCUAAUGUGUAUUUCUCCCUCCAUAACUGGCUUACUUUGGACUGUUUGGAUAGAAAGAAGAAUCCUUCGAAGCCCUAGACUUGUCUCUACCGCAUUCGGAAAUGCCAAGUUCUCUCUGAGGAUCUCUAACUUCUGCCGUGUUCACCGUCCGUCAGUCCGCAUUCCUACGUCUGCGUUCACCGCGUUCACCACGUCCGAGUUUAUCUAAUAUAUUUUUCCAAAUCUUAAAGAAGAACUUUUGAUUUCAUUGGAGUUUAUCAUUAGAGGCAUUACUAUAUUUGCUGCCUCUCAGUGGGCGAUAGGUUUUCCAAUGGUCAUUUGAGACUGGUUGAUAAUAGCAAAAGUUAGAGCUUGAGAAGAAGGAGAGAAGAAAGUAGUGAAGACAAAAGAAGAAAGAAAGCUGAGUGAAAAACGAAAAUUGACAAGGUAGAGAUGUGACAUGAAAAUGAUGAUGAGAAGUGAAGGAGGCACGACACAAUACUGGUACACAAUAACAAAGCCUUGAUAAUUAAAAAAAGGAUGGUGCCAAGAAAAUUUAAAUACAAAAAAAAUGAAGGUUCUUGCAAGUGUAUUGAGUGAAUGGGAGAAAGAAAGGAUAAAAAAGGUAGAAAGAGAGAAAGAGAAGUCAAGGGUAGAGAUACAUAGCUUUGUAUAUAGAAACUUUAUGUUUAUACUCCAUUAUACGUUGUGGAGAAUAUAACAUCCUGAUAUGUUUGAUUCAAUUUGAAUGAUGCAAUUAUUUAUUUUUCUGCAAUAAUUCUACUUCUAGAACCUAAAUUUUGAAAGCCUACUAAUUUUUCAGAAUUAAUUCGAGACCCCACUUUUGCUCCCCUUCCUACCUACGGUUACUUUUUGCUUAAACUUUAAAAGUUGUUUGAAAAUUUUUGCUGAAACUUGUAAAAUUUGUUUGAAGUUCGUAUAUCUCUCACAUAUUGCAAGGUUUCUUAAUUAUUUUAUUGAAUUUCCUACAUAAAUGCAUUCAAACAUGAGUUGACAUAAAUGCAUUUUGCUAUCAAGAGAGUAUACCAUACAUGCAUGUGUAGGACUUUUAUCCCUUAUAUUUUAUAAUUUGUCUUACUACUGUUAUUGACUGAUAUACCAAUAUACAUGUGUAAAGUAUUGAUCAUAUAUAAUUAAUAUUAAAUUUAUUACAUUCACUCAUCAAUUUAAGUUUUUUAGUCAAUGUAUGUUCAUGAUGUACCAUGGUCAUAUCAUAAUAGAAUAGAUCCAAGAUUAUAUAUGUUCAAACCAACUGGUGAUUUAAUUAUCAAAGAUAUUAUGAUUUUGUCCAGUUUUUUUUUUCAGUCACUACUAGAAAAAUGGAUUUUAAUCAAGACAUUGUGUCGUUGAAAAUAAAAGAAAAAAAGAGGUGGGAUGAGGUACAUUGUGUUGUUUGAAAAUAAAAAUAUGGAUUAUUUCUUAAAACAAUCAUAUUGACACAAUUUAAUUUAUUUCAAAACAAUUUUUGCGUCAUUAAUUAACGACAAUUUUUUUGUCAUUAAAAAAAUUUUCAAAUGAAAAAACCUCAAAUUUCAAAAAAGUUCGAAGUGGGCUACCGAGUCGUUAUGAAGAACCCUUGCCCUCCAAUUUUUUGCCACUUGCCGUCGUCGAUUCCACACUCCAACCACUGUUGUCGUUGCUCCCACAACAAGCCUUCGCCGUCAAACCCACCAAUCUAGCCACUUUCGUCGAAUAAAUUUAUUUAGAAAUAUAAGUUUUAAUGACACUUGAAAUCAAGAAAAAGGGAUAUGAGGGAAUAAAAUGUGUGUCGUUAAAAAUAAAAAUACAAAAUUUUUUGUGACACAAAUUGAGUUUUCUUGACAAAAUUUUCGCAUUGUAAAUAAUGGCAUAAAUUAUGUGUCAUUAAAAAUUACCCUAAUAAAAAAUCAAUGUUUUCCUUCAAUCAUAUGCUUUUUGAUUUAAAACAAAUAAUUCGAAGCUUUCAUCCCACUUGUGAACAAAUGACCGAAAAAAACCUUACUUCAUCCCACAUCGUCACUGUCUUUAGCUCUCUCGCAAAUGCUCUCUGGCGACGUUCCCCCCUCUCUCGCAAAUACUCUUCACGACUUUUUCUCUCUCUCAAAAUUAAGCUCUUCGCCCACCGUUUGAAGGAACUCACCAAAUUUGCAAGUAAUUGAAGAAUUUGUGGUCCAUGAGAUCGAUUAAGUCCAUUUAUGAGUUAGUUUGAUUAGAUUAUGUCACAUAUACAUGUAUUACAAUUAAGGGACACUUGCGAAAAUGGCAAAAUAAGUUAUAAUAAUUAAGUCCAUAGAACACAUACUUUAUUAUUUGAGAAAGUGACAAAAACAAAGACCAACUGUAACGACCCAACUUUUCUAGGUAAGUCGAGAGUCGUUAAUUUUUGACAAAAGACUUUGGUUGAUACAAAAUGAAAUGUAAGCCAAUUGAAAAACAACUUUAAGUCAGGCCUGAUUUUCAAAUAUUCCAAAAACUUAAAAAAAGUACUAUUUACAAAUAAAAGUUUGUAAGUUAUGUUUCAAUACAACGUCUUAAACCUAAAACAAAACAAUAAGCGGAAGCAAACUAACACAUUUCCUAUGGCAAUCACACUUCCUUGCUGCCCCUCGCCGGUUUGCCGCCUUUAUUACCUUUGCCUGAAAAUUAAACAUAAGAAGGGUGAGUAUAAAAAUACCCAGUAAGAGACCCUCUACUGGUCCCGUCAGGGGAAAAAUAAAUUGUUAACAUUCUAUUGGGACACCCUGUACAGUCGCGCAGUCUUGUGAUCCCGUAGGAUGCACAUUUCAGUCUAACGCCUCGAGGGACGUACAUUUCAGUGUAGUGUUCUGCAGAAACACAUAUCAGUCUAAUGCUCCCGAAGGUACAGAAUAAUUGGUGAUCCCGUGGGACACCUACAAGGCACACAUCCCAAUAAAAGCUAACAAUUUUUCCCCUCAAUCCAUUCGUACCAUCUUUCAGUUACUUCAAAAUAUAAAGUUCUUUCACUCAACGUUCUAACAGUCAACUUAUCUCACUUUAGCCCAAUGUCUGUCAGUAACAUACUAAUACGUCAGUCAAUCAAACUAUAUAGUCAUAACGCCUCUCAGUUCACCAGCACACAGUCAUACUUUAGUAUAACGUACACCCAGUCUAAACGACAAUCACAAAGUUCACAUCCGCAUCUCAAUACAAACACAAUCUACAAUUGUCGUCCUGUCUACAUCCACACACAUAUAUAUAUAUUCCAAGACAAUCACAAUAUGCAUUCAACAUCAAGUCUACUUCAAUUCAUGUGUAUAUAUAUAUUUUCAGUCAUCCACAGUAUACAUUCAACACCGAACCUACAUCCAUACGUAUAUAUAUAUUGUCUCAACACAUUUACUCAAUCAGAGGUGACUAACAUUACAAUUCAAAAGCAUAGGUGAGUCCAGUAGAAAAUAAAAUCCCUUACCUCACUUUUAUGCAAGUUCUUCAAUCUACUAAAUCCAAUGAAUCAAAUCCUAAACAUAAUCAAUCAUAAAAUCAACAUCUUUCUAAAUAGUUUCAACCAUUCAAAUUACCCCAUAUGUAAAUUCCACAACUUACCCAAGAAGUGGAAAAUCAAGUCCACUUCAACCUUUUGGAAAAUCAAGGAUUCGCUCACUGAAUCAAGAUGUACCUUCAAGAAUUAAGCAUUUCGCCAACAAUUAAAUCCAAUGGCAGCAUUCAACAAAAACCAAGAAACCAACAAAAACCAUAACUUGUUCUUACCCAAAUAUGAGCCCAAUGGUUCACGGCGAGGCAAAAAUGACAAUCAAGAACGAAUCAAGCGGCUGUAAAUAGAGCAACACUGAAUGCGACUCAACUGGAAAAGAAAAUCGGCUUCAAAUCGUAACUCCGUCUUACAACGAGCAGAAGAACGUCGACUUGAUAGGGGACACGUAAUUUAGGAAGAGAUCGACUUGGAUCCGUGUAUGACUUCACGAGAUGUAUGCGUCGACGGCUUCACGGAGGUGAAGACAGACGCGGUCGGAGAGUCACGCGGCAGUGCAGAAAACGGAGGAGAAAGGAACGGGCGGCGGCUGGGCUUGGCUUCGACGGAGACAGAGAUUGCGCAGCAGGGCUUCACGAACGGAGAGGAAAGGAAUGGGCACGGCGAUGCAGAUCUGGACGACUGCUGCAAGGUGACGCGUACGGCACUUCACGAACCGGCGACGGUUGCAGCGACGGAUCUGGGUUAUGGCGAACUGCAAGGGUGAAGCACAAGCGACGGCGAGGACCUGGACGGCUCGGCGAUGCAGAUCUGGAUGACGAUUUGCUUUGACGCGGGAGGCACGACGGUUGUGAGCGGAGAGGCACGGUGGUUGUGAGCGGAUGGGCGCGGCGGUUUCGAUCCGAAGGAGAAAAGGAAGACGACCGGAAAGAAGAAGAAGAAACGACCGGCAGCUUGUGUGGCCGACUGGGUGAACGGAGAAGAGAGGGAUGUGCGGCUGCUAGGGUACGGGAAGGAGAAAGGGAUGGAGGACGCACGGGAGGAAGAAGGAAGGAAAAAUUUCUUUUUUCUUUUCUUUUAUUUAAAUAAUAAAAAUAAAACUAAAAUAUAAAUAAAUAUAUAUAUAAUAAAAUUUCUUUUUCUUUUCUUUUAUUUAAACUAAAUAAUAAAACUAAAAAUAUAAAUAAAUAUAUAUAUAAUUAUAUUAUCACAUUUUCAAAUCUUCUUUCCCCCCUUCAACAUAUUUUCUUCAAAACAAUAAAUCUUGUACAAAUCGAAAAAAUCUCUUAAAAUAAAAUACCUUCGAGUUUGGGGCGUUACAUUCUUCCCUCCUUAAGGCGAAAGUUCUAAUCCUGAAAUAACUCUUGAUAACGAGUCCUCAUCUCUUCUUCUCGCUCCCAUGUCGCCUCUUCAAUUCGAUGAUUCCGCCACAAAACCUGUACUAAUGGAAUGCUUCUAUUACGAAGCAUCUUUACCUCUCUAGCCAGAAUCUCCACAGGUUGUUCUACAUAGCUCAAAUGCUCAUCAAUCUCCAAGGGUUCAUAGUCCACGACAUGAGAUGUAUCGGCCACAUACUUCCUCAACAUCGAAACAUGGAAAACAUUAUGGACUGCAGAGAGUGAUGGUGGUAAUGCCAAGCGAUACGCCACAACACCAACCCUCUCUAAGAUCUCAAAUGGUCCAACAAAACGAGGACUUAACUUCCCUUUCUUCUCAAAACGCAUAACACCCUUCAUAGGUGCUACCUUCAAGAAUACCUUUUCUCCCACAUCAAACUUAAGGUCUUUUCGCCGUACAUCUGCAUAACUCUUUUGUCUACUCUGCGCUGUUUGCAUACGUGCUCUAAUCUUUUGAAUAGCCUCAUUAGUAGACCGAACUAAUUUAGGUCCCAUCAACCUCUGUUCACCAACCUCACUCCAACAAAUAGGGGUUCUACAACAUUUACCAUACAAAGCCUCAAAUGGUGCCAUACCGAUGGUAGCCUGGAAACUGUUGUUAUAAGCAAACUCCAUCAAAUGUAGAUGAGAGUCCCAACUACCUGGAAACUCUAGAACACAAGCUCGUAGCAUAUCCUCUAAAACUUGGUUCAAACGUUCAGUUUGACCAUCAGUUUGUGGAUGAAAGGCUGUACUGAAAUCUAAUCUCGUACCCAUAGCAGUCUGAAGUCCCUUCCAAAACUUGGAAGUAAACCGUGCAUCCCUGUCAGAAACAAUCGAUACAGGCACUCCAUGCAGUCUCACAACCUCAGUUAAAUACAACUGUGCCCACUUACUAGCAGUAUAAGUGGAUUUCCCUGGUACAAAAUGUGCCGAUUUCGUAAGCCUGUCUACAACAACCAAAAUCACUGUGAAACCCUUCAGGGUCUUAGGCAGCCCUGAAAUAAAAUCCAUCGACACAUUCUCCCACUUCCACUCUGGCACACUUAAAGGUUGUAACAAACCUGCUGGUUUCUGUCUAGGUGCCUUAACCUGCUGACAUACUAGACACUUACUAACGAAUUCCGCCACUUCCCUUUUCAUAUUCCGCCACCAAUAAAAUCGUUUUAGAUCCUGAUACAUUUUCGUACUACCAGGAUGCAUGGAAAAUGAAGAAUUAUGGGCUUCAUCUAGUAAGUCAAUCUUAGCUGCACUGUUCGCUGGCACACACAAACGUCUCUCAAACAUCAAUCCACCAUCAGAGGAUAUGGAGAACUCAUCAGUCUGCUCUGUUCCAACAAGGCGACGUCUCUCCGGAGUCAAAUAAGGAUCAUUACUCUGAGCAUCAACAAUCUUCUGCCUCAGAGUCAGUUGCACCGUUAAUUGAGCUAACUGUGAGGUGACUCUCCCCACAGAUACUACAAUCUCAGCUCUCUCCAAGUCUCGAUGUAAUGGUACCUGUCUAGUAAUGAGUGCUGCCGAAUGUGAUACUUUUCUACUAAGAGCAUCAGCCACCACAUUCGCCUUACCAGGAUGGUACAAUAUCUCACAGUCAUAAUCCUUUACCAACUCGAGCCACCUUCGCUGUCUCAUAUUCAACUCCUUCUGAGUGAAGAAGUACUUCAGGCUCUUAUGGUCAGUAAAGAUUUGUAUCUUUUCACCGUACAAAUAAUGUCUCCAUAUCUUCAAUGCAAAAACCACUGCUGCCAACUCCAAAUCAUGUGUGGGGUAGUUCUGCUCGUGACUCUUCAACUGACGAGAGGCAUAAGCAACCACCUUACCUUUCUGCAUCAAAACACAACCCAGUCCUUUCUUGGAAGCAUCACUGUAAAUCACAAAACUUCCGGAUCCAUCUGGUACUGUAAGGACCGGUGCAGUAACUAACCUUUGCUUAAGGUUCUGAAAACUAUCCUCGCAAGCUGGACUCCAAACAAACGGAGUUCCCUUCCUUGUCAACUGAGUCAAGGGAGUAGCCAAACGUGAAAAAUCCUCCACAAACCUCCGGUAGUACCCUGCUAAACCCAGAAAACUACGAACCUCACUAACUGUAGAGGGUCGAGACCAACUGGUAACCGCUUCUAUCUUUGCAGGGUCUACAGAAACUCCCUCACUGGAAACCACAUGACCAAGAAAAGCCACCUGCUUCAACCAAAAUUCGCACUUAGAGAAUUUAGCAUAAAGUUUAUUGACUCGAAGAGUCUCUAACACUUUAUGUAAGUGUUCCUCAUGUUCGGCCUCAGUCUUGGAAUAAACCAAAAUAUCAUCAAUGAAGACUAUCACAAAAGUGUCUAAGAAAUCCUUAAACACCCUGUUCAUCAAAUCCAUAAAUACUGCAGGUGCAUUAGUCAAACCAAAAGACAUUACCAUGAAUUCAUAAUGUCCGUACCUCGAACGAAAAGCAGUCUUAGGAAUAUCACGGUCUCUAAUCCUCAACUGGUGAUAACCUGACCGUAAGUCAAUCUUAGAGAACACCGUGGCUCCCUGUAACUGAUCGAACAAAUCAUCGAUUCUAGGUAAAGGAUAUCUGUUCUUGAUUGUUACUUUAUUCAACUCUCUAUAGUCAAUGCAAAGACGCAUCGACCCAUCCUUCUUCUUCACAAACAAUACUGGUGCACCCCAAGGCGACACACUAGGUCGAAUAAAGCCUUUGUCAAGCAACUCCUGUAACUGUACCUUCAGUUAUUUCAACUCGACAGGAGCCAUCCUAUAAGGGGCUCUAGAAAUGGGAGUAGUGUCUGGCUCCAACUCAAUGGCAAAAUCAAUCUCUCUAUGUGGCGGUAGUCCUGGAAGAUCUUCUGGAAACACAUCUGGGUAUUCUCUUACCACAGGUUCUGAAGUUAAGGAAGUCUCAUCUUCCCUAGUAUCCACCACACUUGCCAAAAUACUCCAGGUACCCUGGUUGAGCAGUUUACUAGCUUUCAUAGCUGAGAUUACUUUAGGCAGUACUACUGUUCCUACCCCUUGAAUUUAAAGCUAGAUUCGGUAGGGGGACUGAACACAACCUCUUUACGAGAGCAAUCAAUACUAGCAUGAUUAGUAGCUAGCCAAUCCAUACCUAAAAUUACAUCAAAGUCACGCAUAUCUAAUACCAACAAGGUUACGUCCAGCACACGACCAGCUAUCUCAAUUUCACAUGCUUUAAUCUUUUCCUUAGACAACAUAAUUUCUCCAGACGGUGUAGACACUGACAAAACAUAAUCUAAGGGUUCCACCUCUAAGCAUGCAUGCGUCACAAAAAGCGAUGAAAUAAAUGAAUGAGAAGACCCCGAGUCAAACAAGGUCAAGGCAAAAUGCCCUAACACUGGUAAUGUACCUGUCACCACUGUGCAGGCCUUCUCUGCUUAUGAUCUAUUAGUGGCAAAGAUUGUACCCCGCUGUGGAGGUUUCGCUCCCUGACUGCUCUGUCCAGCCCCAGUAGAUCUCAAGGGACAUCGAUCAGCCAUGUGUCCCUCUUGCUUGCACUUAUAACAGACUCUCGUUCCCAUCAAACAACGACCCAGGUGGUGUUUCCCACACGUAUUGCAUAGUGGCUUCUCUCGAGUAGUGUCUCCUGCCCCGCCAGAACUCUGCUGGAAACUGCAAAAAGGAUCGCCUAAUCUCAAGUUCCUCUGAGGAAUUCCCACAGUUCUCUGCUCUGCUUUCCUCUUUUGACCAGACGACGAUCCCUUAUCAAAACUCCUUGCCCGAAUUUCAUCCUUCCCAAUGCUCAUAUCCACUGCCAGGCGCAGCGCUUCAGCCUGGGUAGUGGGCUUUAGUGCUCGCACAAAGCCUCUAAUCUCAUCUCUCAAUCCUUUGACGAACCUAUCAGCUCUAGCCUGCUCAUUACCAACAAGUUCAGGGGCAAAACGCGACAGCAUAUCAAACUCCUGGUCGUACUCCUCGACUGUCAUAUGUCCUUGCUUCAAUUCCAAGAAUUCCUGGCUUUUGGCGUCUCUAAGGUUAGCCGAGAAAAACUUGGUAUAGAAGCAGUCUUUAAACUGAUCCCAGGUAAUCUGUCUCACAUCUCCACCUAGCAUACGCAUCGUAGUUCUCCACCAGAUAAUACCUCUGUCCCUCAGAAGAAAAGCAGCACACUGAACUCUAUGCUCCUCUGGACAUCUCAUGUAAUUAAAUAUGGUUUCCACAGAGGACAACCACAACUCAGCUUUAGUAGGAUCCUCUAGUGACCCAUCAAACGUCUGAGGGUCAUAUUUCCUAAAGUCCCUCAAAUGUUUCGCCUCAGCAGAAAGUUGGUUCGGUAAUGUCUGCGGCUGUUGUGCAGCCAAUCCUUGCGCAGGAGGGGCUGCUGGUGCAGGUGGAGCUGCUGGUACAGGGGGAACCACAGGUGCAGGUGGAACUGCAGGUGCCUGCUGGUUCUGAGCUAUAGCCGUCAUAAGCUCCGUGAACCUCUGCUCCAUGUGAGCAGACAGUGCAGCAAACUCAACAUGAGUCACGGGUGCAGUAGGAAUUCGCUAUUCAGCUUGACCCUCAGUAGGUUGAUUACGACCUGCUCCUCUACCCGGCCUCUACGACCUCCUCUACGUACACCUCUCUUUGGCGGCAUAAUUCCUAUUAUCCACCAACAACACUCUUUAAAAAGUCUUAAUCAUAAGCAUAAGAAGUCUUUAUCGUCAUGCAAUCUAGUUUAAUUUAGGCAAAGUCAUGCAAAUAAACCAUACAUAUAAGCAUAAAGCAUACCUGACGAGAGACGAAGGGUCGCGUUAGGCAUAGGGACAUAAAACAUAGACUUACAUCGUAAGUCAGUCUACAGAACCUAAAACUUAGGCUCUGAUACCAACUGUAACGACCCAACUUUUCUAGGUAAGUCGAGGUCGUUAAUUUUUGACAAAAGACUUUGGUUGAUACAAAAUGAAAUGUAAGCCAAUUGAAAAACAACUUUAAGUCAGGCCUGAUUUUCAAAUAUUCCAAAAACUUAAAAAAAGUACUAUUUACAAAUAAAAGUUUGUAAGCUAAGUUUCAAUACAACGUCUUAAACCUAAAAAAAACAAUAAGCGGAAGCAAAAUAACACAUUUCCUAUGGCAAUCACGCUUCCUUCCUGCCCUCGCCGGUUUGCCGCCUUUAUUACCUUUGCCUGAAAAUUAAACAUAAGAAGGGUGAGUAUAAAAAUACCCAGUAAGAGACCAACUGGUGAUUUAAUUAUCAAAGAUAUUAUGAUUUUGUCCAGUUUUUUUUCAGUCAUACUAGAAAAAUGGAUUUUAAUCAAGACAUUGUGUCGUUGAAAAUAAAGAAAAAAGAGGUGGGAUGAGGUACAUUGUGUUGUUGAAAAUAAAAAUAUGGAUUAUUUCUUAAAACAAUCAUAUUGACACAAUUUAAUUUAUUUCAAAACAAUUUUUUCGUCAUUAAUUAACAAUUCUUUUGUCAUUAAAAAAAAUUUCAAAUGAAAAAACCUCAAAUUUCAAAAAAGUUCGAAGUGGGCUACCGAGUCGUUAUGAAGAACCCUUGCCCUCCAAUUUUUUGCCACUUGUCGUCGUCGAUUCCACACUCCAACCACUGUUGUCGUUGCUCCCACAACAAGCCUUCGCCGUCAAACCCACCAAUCUAGCCACUUUCGUCGAAUAAAUAGAAAUAUAAGUUUUAAUGACACUUGAAAUCAAGAAAAAAAGAUAUGAGGGAAUAAAAUGUGUCGUUAAAAAUAAAAAUACAAAUUUUUUUGUGACACAAAUUGAGUUUUCUUGACAAAAUUUUCGCAUUGUAAAUAAUGGCAUAAAUUAUGUGUCAUUAAAAAUUACCCUAAUAAAAAAUCAAUGUUUUCCUUCAAUCAUACGCUUUUUGAUUUAAAACAAAUAAUUCGAAGCUUUCAUCCCACUUGUGAACAAUGACCGAAAAAAACCUUACUUCAUCCCACAUCGUCACUGUCUUUAGCUCUCUCGCAAAUGCUCUCUGGCGACGUUCCCCCUCUCUCGCAAAUACUCUUCACGACUUUUCCUCUCUCUCAAAAUUAAGCUCUUCGCCCACCGUUUGAAGGAACUCACCAAAUUUGCAAGUAAUUGAAGAAUUUGUGGUCCAUGAGAUCGAUUAAGUCCAUUUAUGAGUUAGUUUGAUUAUUAGAUUAGAUUAUGUCACAUAUACAUGUAUUACAAUUAAGGGACUUGCGAAAAUGGCAAAAUAAGUUAUAAUAAUUAAGUCCAUAGAACACAUACUUUAUUAUUUGAGUGACAAAAACAAAGACCAACUGUAACGACCCAACUUUUCUAGGUAAGUCGAGGUCGUUAAUUUUUGACAAAAGACUUUGGUUGAUACAAAAUGAAAUGUAAGCCAAUUGAAAAACAACUUUAAGUCAAACCUGAUUUUCAAAUAUUCCAAAAACUUAAAAAAAGUACUAUUUACAAAUAAAAGUUUGUAAGCUAAGUUUCAAUACAACGUCUUAAACCUAAAAAAAACAAUAAGCGGAAGCAAAAUAACACAUUUCCUAUGGCAAUCACACUUCCUUCCUGCCCCUCGCCGGUUUGCCGCCUUUAUUACCUUUGCCUGAAAAUUAAACAUAAGAAGGGUGAGUAUAAAAAUACCCAGUAAGAGACCCUCUACUGGUCCCGUCAGGGGAAAAAUAAAUUGUUAACAUUCUAUUGGGACACCCUGUACAGUCGCAGUCUUGUGAUCCCGUAGGAUGCACAUUUCAGUCUAACGCCCGAGGGACGUACAUUUCAGUGUAGUGUUCUGCAGAAACACAUAUCAGUCUAAUGCUCCCGAAGGUGCAGAAUAAUUGGUGAUCCCGUGGGACACCUACAAGGCACACAUCCCAAUAAAAGCUAACAAUUUUUCCCCUCAAUCCAUUCGUACCAUCUUUCAGUUACUUCAAAAUAUAAAGUUCUUUCACUCAACGUUCUAACAGUCAACUUAUCUCACUUUAGCCCAAUGUCUGUCAGUAACAUACUAAUACGUCAGUCAAUCAAACUAUAUAGUCAUAACGCCUCUCAGUUCACCAGCACACAGUCAUACUUUAGUAUAACGUACACCCAGUCUAAACGACAAUCACAAGUUCACAUCCGCAUCUCAUACAAACACAAUCUACAAUUGUCGUCCUGUCUACAUCCACACACAUAUAUAUAUAUUCCAAGACAAUCACAAUAUGCAUUCAACAUCAAGUCUACUUCAAUCCAUGUGUAUAUAUAUAUUUUCAGUCAUCCACAGUAUACAUUCAACACCGAACCUACAUCCAUACGUAUAUAUAUAUGUCUCAACACAUUUACUCAAUCAGAGGUGACUAACAUUACAAUUCAAAAGCAUAGGUGAGUCCAGUAGAAAAUAAAAUCCCUUACCUCACUUUUAUGCAAGUUCUUCAAUCUACUAAAUCCAAUGAAUCAAAUCCUAAACAUAAUCAAUCAUAAAAUCAACAUCUUUCUAAAUAGUUUCAACCAUUCAAAUUACCCCAUAUGUAAAUUCCACAACUUACCCAAGAAGUGGAAAAUCAAGUCCACUUCAACCUUUUGGAAAAUCAAGGAUUCGCUCACUGAAUCAAGAUGUACCUUCAAGAAUUAAGCAUUUCGCCAACAAUUAAAUCCAAUGGCAGCAUUCAACAAAAACCAAGAAACCAACAAAAACCAUAACUUGUUCUUACCCAAAUAUGAGCCCAAUGGUUCACGGCGAGGCAAAAAUGACAAUCAAGAACGAAUCAAGCGGCUGUAAAUAGAGCAACACUGAAUGCGACUCAACUGGAAAAGAAAAUCGGCUUCAAAUCGUAACUCCGUCUUACAACGAGCAGAAGAACGUCGACUUGAUAGGGGACACGUAAUUUAGGAAGAGAUCGACUUGGAUCCGUGUAUGACUUCACGAGAUGUAUGCGUCGACGGCUUCACGGAGGUGAAGACAGACGCGGUCGGAGAGUCGCGCGCAGUGCAGAAAACGGAGGAGAAAGGAACGGGCGGCGGCUGGGCUUGGCUUCGACGGAGACAGAGAUUGCGCAGCAGGUCUUCACGAACGGAGAGGAAAGGAAUGGGCACGGCGACGCAGAUCUGGACGACUGCUGCAAGGUGACGCGUACGGCUUGCUUCACGAACCGACCGACGAUUGCAGCGACGGAUCUGGGUUACGGCGAACUGCAAGGGUGAAGCACAUGCGGCGGCGAGGACCUAGACGGCUCGGCGAUGCAGAUCUGGACGACGAUUUGCUUUCCGAGGGAGCACGACGGUUGUGAGCGGAGAGGCACGGCGGUUGUGAGCGAAUGGGCGCGGCGGUUUCGAUCCGAAGGAGAAAAGGAAGACGACCGGAAAGAAGAAGAAGAAACGACCGGCAGCUUGUGUGGCCGACUGGGUGAACGGAGAAGAGAGGGAUGUGCGGCUGCUAGGGUACG
rnacentral:lncRNA from 1 species